rnacentral:lncRNA from 1 species
GUAUGGAGAGUGGGACUAACCUUGGAAGCAAAGGUCCCCUGAGGCCAGUUGAGCAACCCGGCAACCAUUUGCCCUGUUUGAUUGCAAUCGUCAUCAAUGGCCUAGAAAACCCAUGCCCACAUCAGAAAACAACAAUCCACCAUAAAAAGAGUCUAGGAUUUUCACGGAAUCCGCAAAUUUAUUUUUAAAUCGUUACCAAAAACCCUAAUCUCUGGGCACGAAUUCACAGACCUGUUUGCCCAGAAUAAGGAGGCCAGGCUUCUCCACAUCGACGAGAGCUUUGAGAAGCUUAGCAACUGAAAGUGGGUACAGAGUGGCGGAAGCUUCGACGUGGAUGGCCCUAUCGGCGCCCAUGGCGAGACCCGUUCUGAGCGUGUCGACGCACUGGCUGGGACCCACACUGACAGCGAUAACCUCCGACGCCAGACCCGAUUCCUUGAUCCUCAGAGCCUCUUCCAAACCUAUCUCACAAAAGGGGUUCAUCGACAUCUUGACGUUGCUGGUCUCCACGCCGCUCUGAUCGUGGGUUGGCGAUUGUUAUUGGAUGAUGAUGAAAUUACAGAUACUGAAUAACUUGAGAGUUUGGAUUUGGGUUACCUUGUCGGAUUUGACUCUGAUCUUGACAGCGUAGUCCACAACACGCUUUAUCGCCACCAUUAUCUUCAUCUCGUAUAUGGGUGGUUAUCUUCUCCGGCACAAGGGUAUUGGCAAAUGACUGAUGAUGAAGGACGAGGAUAUUCGCCCGAGCCCUACUGCACGACACCACAUCCGCUUAUAAAAUCUUUUGAUACGGAUAAGUACAAGGGAAGUGGAAAAAAAGGAUUAUUAAGAAAAAUAAAUAUAUUACCAAAAAAAUUAUUUAAAAUUUUGUUCAUGUAGAAAGAACCCGUGAAUCAGAUCGAAAAAAUUAUAUUAAAACUGCUGUAUAGCCGAAAAUUGUGUACAGAAUUUAUUUUAACAUUGUAUUAUUGAAUUUUUUAUUCAAAAAUUGCUUAACGUGAGAUAGAAAUUAAAAAAUCAUUAGUAAUUUUGUCCGAAAGUUGUUAUAUUUCAUGUGUUUUAAAAAUAGAUGUAAUUUAUUCCUAUUUGCAUUUUUAACGUACAUUUAAUUAAAUAACCCAAAAAGUUAUUGAGUUCACAUCAUCUAUGGAGUCUACCUCUCUUUGCUUUUGUUGCUUCCAAAAAUACCAUACUCCCAUAUUUUUUUGGUUCUACUCAUUUUACUUUAUUUUUUUCAUUCCAUUCAUUCCACGUGAAGUCUUCAAUCCUAAUAACAUUUACUAUAUUACAAUUAAGUUUAAUUUUUAAAAAACUUAAUUAGGGUUAAAUUUCCUUUGAGAGAACUUCAUUACAAUUAUUUGAGUUGUACGUUAAGUUUCAUUUAAAAAUAACUUAUUUAAAAAGAUGUUAAGCUUCCCCUAUUUUAUUUAUAAAGUUUAAUAUCUAUUUGAUUUUAUAUUUGAAAUCCAACUAAAACCUAAUAACGAAUUGUUGUAAAAAAACUCCAAUCAAAAUACUAACAAAAAUUAAAACAUAAAACUCUGAUAAAAAAUUGUUAAAAAAUCCAACAAAAAAACAAUCAUAAAAAACCCUAAUCAAAAACAUCAUGGAAGUUUAAAUGAAAUUGCCAAAAAAUAAAAAGUAUAGAAAACCCUAACAAAAAAACAACACCAAAACACCUGACAAAAAACAAUUACAAAUUCUAGCACAAAAACCCCCAAUUAAAAAUAUCUAUAAAGAAAAACCUAAAAAAAACCAAUUAUAAAACCUCCAACAAAAAAUAAAGAGAAAGAUGAAGAAUAUGAAAAAUUUUGAAGAAGAAAGAAACAUGAGAGAACUAUCAUUGAUCUUUAUUUGUUAAUCUUUGUUAUAUGUUUGAACUUCACUAGAAAAUGAGAGAGAGAGCAUAAACCUAAAGAGAGAAAGAGCUGAAAAUGAGAGGAGAAAUGAAUCACAAUGAGGGGAAUGACAAUUUGAGGAAAUAUAGAAGGGUUAAAUCAUUUGAACUAGGUUAACGUUUUUAUUAAAAAAAAAGAGUAAUGAAGGUCCUUGUUCUAAUUUCAAGAGUAUGUCUGUUAAUUACCAAAUGUGGCAACUCUAAAUAAAAUCCUUUGUUAUCAACUAAAACUAAAAGUCCCAUUACAUCAUAUCCAACUUUCAUUUGUUAUCAACAAAGUAAAACUAUAUACAACUAUUAUCACCAUCUCUCCUAUUUUGAUGUUAUUUUCUUAGAUGAAUUUGUAAAUCAAAAUUUACACCACCCAUAAAUUUUUUGAGCUUCCUAUUUAACACAACUUCAAUUUGUUAUACUUUGAACAUCACAAAGAUAAAGUAAUCAACAUUUUGCUUGGACAAGUUUUUCUUCUCUAAAGUUUAGAGUCCUAUUUCACUUCCCGUUUAUGGGUUGUUAGUUCAUCUAAUAUCUCACCAUCAUCCAUUCCAUGUACUGUGUUUCCGAAAUGAGUUGAUUCCACAUCCUAAAUGUCUGUGCAAAUUAAUAAGGAAUGUCGAGUUACCAAUUUUCUUAAAAGCUUAAUCUUGCAAGAUUUGGAUUCAAAAUGCAUAUCAUGCUCUCUUUAACACCCCUCCCCCCUCUCACAUGUAGCCCUAUACCCACACGUAGAGAAAUAGACUUAUAGGAAAAUUGGUAGUUUAAUAUAGUAUCAGCACUUGGUUUGGUGGGAGGUCUCCUGUUUGAGUCACCUCUCCACAAUUUACAUUUCUCCUAUUUGUUUAAUUUACAGUUCUUCCCUUAAUCUGUAAUUCUUUGGAUAUAAAUUUUCCCCCUAAUUUGUAGUUUUGUGGAUAUGAAUCUCUCUUCCAUGUUCAGGUAUGGGGCCACACAUAAGAGAGGGUGUUAAAGAGCAUGAUAUGCAUAUUAAACCCAAAUCCUAUAAGUUAAAACUUUUAGGAAAAUUGGUAGUUUAACGCUUUUAGGAAAAUUGGUAGUUCAACAUGUGUACACCCCAUUUUGGGGACUGCUAUUGCUCCCACUUCUUUUUGUCAAAUGGUGGAGCUUUUUAGGAGCACAUGUUGUAUUUGGAAAGGCUAUUAGAAAAUGGCAACAUGACUGUUAAUGGAAGUAAUGAUUUUCUAAAAAGGCAACCAUGGGAAGACACAUAACAAAGAUGUUUGGGGAGGAGGGAGAGUGUGCAUCAAGACUACUCAUGAGGGGUAAGAAACAAAAAAAAAAAAGUGUCGAAGAUAACUAAAAAAUUGGAGAAACAUAAAGGAAUAAGGAUUUUAGGGCUAUGGAUGGUGAACAAGAGUGAAUUAUGGGUGUCUAGGACAGCUAGGAAUGGUGAGAGGAGUAGGGAGCUGUAGAAGGUGAUGAGCUAGGUAAGAUGUAUUUUCGAGAAAGAAAAGAACCAAAGAAAGAAGGUGGUGAAUUAAGUGAGACACGUCUCAGAGAAGCAGAGAAAGUUGGCUUGAAGCCAAGCAAACUUUUGCUUGAGAUGAGCAUUGCCUAGUAAGAUUGUUUCGAUUCAUCGAUUAUUACUGAUCAUCAUACUUCUCUUGUCUUAUAUUCAUGUGAUUAUUUUACAUUGAUUGUGGGGUUGCUUUGGUUUGGUUAUUAUGGCUUCAUCCUCUAUUUCUUUAGUUUUAUUCAAGGAUAAAUCUAAUUGUGCUUUGAUUAGUUAUUCCAUAUUUGAAAAUCUUUGUGUAUUUUGGGUUUUUUCUCUUUAGAUAUUUUCUAGAUUAAUCCACUGACCUUUAAACCCACAAAUAAAGAAAAAUGAAAUGAGUUUUUUCAUAUUUGUUGGGUGUUUGGCCCUUGUUUAUCUUUUUUUAAAGCUUUAUUCCUUUAUAUUCUCUAUUUCUCCCCAUUUUGUACAUGGGUGUUUCAAUCAGAGUCUCUAUUUUGGCUUCCACAUUUGAGAUUUCUUUUAUGAGCGAAGACCCAAAAAUGGAGACUGGCUUCUUGUAAUUGAUAAAAUAGUUAGUCACCCAUUAGCUUAGAUGAAGCAUAGAUGUUAACCGGAUUGUGAACAUGGAUACUCUAUUUUGGGCCUAUUAGGCCUUCCAAUCCUCUCUUAGUUUCAUUAUUCUUGAGGAUAGUGUUUGGUUGUGUCUGCUACUUAUUCUGUGGCUUCGGUGGUCUGUUUGUUUAUUCUUGGCUAUUAUCAAUGCUAACAAUGGGAAAGAGACUGGUUUUGGUUAUGCUCUUACGGAUUUGAAGGUGAUCAAAGGGUCCAGUGAAGAGAAGAUUAGUAGGUCAUAUUAGGUUAAUUAAUUAAUUAGGACAUGUUUUGAGUUAUAUUAAGUAAUACAAGCUCUUAGUGGGCUUAAGUAACUUAAGCCUAGUGGGGAAUGCCAUAAAUACCCCUUAGGGGUUAGCAUUUCCAUAGGUUUUUCUAGAGAGUCAUCUUUCACCUCCAAAGAAGGAGAGUCAUAGCCUUUACCAUUUUUUCCAUCAUUAUCGAAGUGUGUCAAGAUUAAGGUUUAAGUCAUUGAGCGGAAGACUCCAGGUUUAUGAGACUUCAUACAACUUCGUUUUUCAUUUUCAUCAAAUGGAAUUAAUUUGAAAACAUUUGAAUCUGAAGUAUGGUUUUUGUUAGCAUAUUUCGAAUCCCUUUAAAGUUUAAAAAUGCAAAUUUUCCACUAUGUAUAGGAUUUAAAAUCGCUUAAGAUAGUUAAACAUGUUCCCCACUUGAUCUGAAUUGGGAAACGGAGAAAUCUGAUAUUUUCCCAUCACAAGGUAGGAUAAGAACUUGUGAUUGAUCUUUAUGGAUUGGACUAAUUAAUUAAUUGGAACCUAAUUAGGCUAAUUAAUUAAUUAAGACCUAAGCAAACUAGUUUAAGUUACACAAGCCUAGGAUGGACUUAAGUGACUUAAGCCCAUGGGAAGCUUAUAUAAACUCCUUUAGGGGUUAGGGUUUCAAACUUUUAUCAUCUAGUCUUCAAUUCCUUAAAGAGAAUAGAACUCGAGCCAACAACUCUCCUAAAGGAUUCUAUUGCUCCGUGUCAAGAUUCGAAAAAAAACUAUUUGAUGGAAGGUUGUUAUGUUUAUGAGAUUCGUUAUGUUUUUUUACACCUUUUCACUAAAUGGAAUUGAUAUAGGAAUGUUCAUAUCUCAAGUGCAACACACUUAUUCUCUUUAGAUUUAUAUUGCUUAUGGUUUUUUUUUUUUUUGUCAUGGUUUUCCGUUAAGAUUAGAUUAAGAGAGCCCUAUGUCAUAGAAUGCUUCAAAUGAGCCUCCCCGGGGGUUUGUAUAGAGCCCAUGAAGCUUCUAGAGACUCCUAUACUUAGCCAUUGGUGGGAAGAGUGUGAAAGGUUCUACAGAUGUCUAGAGAUAUUUACACAUCUCUACACUAUGGUGGAAGGCAUGAGAGGAGUCUAAGGCAUUCUAAAGAAUUAUAAAGAUCUCUUAUAUAUUCUUGUACAUAGGCUUGUACAUAGAAUUGUGUAGGAAGUUAUAGAUUAUUCUUGAGCUGUAAGGAACCCUCCAAGGUUCCAGAGAGUUCCAUUGGUGCCUAUAAAUAGGUGAAUGCCUCAUUUGGCCAAGACACUAAGCAAGUGAAUUCCAAAACACUUGUAAAGCUUCCUUUGAAUAAUAAAAGUUUCAAUUCUUCAAGAGUUGCCUAUUAUGCCUUCUAAAACUUCUAAGUCAUGAGCAUCUUAACCUAACAAGUUAAGCAUUGGGAGUAAUGCUAACUUAGCAAGAUCAAGGAUCUUGACUUGUCUAAGUGUUGCACGAUCUUAGGAAAAGAUUAAGUUUGUGACAGUUGGUUUCAAAGUGUGACUACGAAGUGAGCAUAGUAAAGGAAACAUGUCGAGCUUCAACAUGGAGGAAACUAGUGAGCAAACCCGUGGGAAAGAAACCGAGCCUACUGCAUAGGACAGGGACAUGAAGGAUAAAUCUCGUAAUGCCAUAGCCAACGUGGAGGCAAGGCUAGCCAAGGUGGAGCUAGCCAUGGCAGACACCCGGGAAGGGGUGGACUUAAUCGAGCAAGGCAUGGAAAAUGGCUUAGAGGAUCUAAAUGAGCAUAUCCAAGACCUUCAUGAGAGAGUGCUAGGCUUACAAGUUCGGCCGAUGUCAUAUGAGGAGUUCAUGUCCUUCCAAAACGAGGUCAUGAGCAUGUUUGCUAGCAUGGAGUCGAAGGUGGAGGCCUUGGCUGCACGCAUAGAGGCCCAAGACCAAGAGGUUCAACAAGAGCUAGCUAUCUACAAGACUGUCUUAUCAGCACGAGUCAUGGCCACUCAUGAGGCACUAAGGGUGGAAGUGCCCAAACCACACACGUUCAAUGGCAAGAGGGAUGCCAAGGAGUUGGACAAUUUCUUGUGGCACAUGGAGCUCUACUUUGAGGUUAUAACACUAAUAGAUGAAGCCACUAAGGUAUGUACCACAACCCUCUACCUCACCAAUAAAGCUACUCUAUGGUGGCGUCAGAGGUUUGCCAAUAUAGAAAAAGAAAUGUGCACCAUAGACACAUGGGAUGCCUUUAAGCAAAAGAUCAAAAAACAAUUAUACCUUAAUGAUGUGGCUUACCUAGCAAGGAAAAACACAAAAUGUCUUAAGCACACAGACUCGAUCCGUGAGUAUGUCAAAGAAUUCUCUACACUUAUGCUUGAGAUACCCAACAUGUCUGAGGAAAAGCUACUAUUCAACUUCAUGGACAACUUGCAAAGCUGGGCCGAGCAAGAGUUAAGGAGAAGUGGUGUCCAAGACCUAGCCACGGCCAUGGCGGUAGCGAAGUCCUUGGUGGAAUACAAAAAGGGAGACUCUUUUAAGCCCAAGCCACAGUCUAAGGGUAAUCAUGCUAAAGGUGGGGAAACAAGGGAUCAAGGAGGUACACUCCUAAGGAAUGAUCAAGCAAGACCUCUGGUGGCAAGGAUGGUAAGGGUAAGGAUAAACGGAAAUAGUUCACGCCUAAGAUCAAUUGCUUCCUAUGUGAUGGUCCACAUUGGGCGCGAGACUACCUCAAAAGAAAAGCCCUAAAUGCCAUGAUCGAGGAAAAGUAGAAGGAAGACAAUGCUCAUGUGGGAUCAUUACAACUCUUAAAUGAUAUCAAGGCUAAGUCAGUGCUUAAGACACCUCAAAGUAAAAGUCUAAUGUACAUAGAAGCCCUUGUAAAUAGGAAGGCUACCAAGGCUUUGGUGGACACUAGUGUCACUCAUAACUUUGUCUCGAAGGAUAAGACAAAGAACUUAGAGCUCCAAGCAUCUAAGGAAGGAGGUUGGCUCAAGGCAAUUAAUUAAGUUUCCAAGCCAUCACACGAAGUAGCACGCAGGGUGGCAAUGCACAUUGGCUCAUGGGAAGGAAUGGUCGACUUCACAGUGGCACCCAUGGACUACUUCAAGAUGGUACUGGGAAUGAACUUCCUAUAGAAAGACAAGGUCAUGCCACUACACUUCCUACAUUUAAUGGUUAUCCUAGAGGAUGAAAAGUCAUGCAUAGUCCUUACGGUCACCGAAGGUUCACCCAAGACCCCUAUGAUAUCGGUUAUGCAAGUAAAGAAGGGAUCAAAGAGGAAAGAGGUGACCUACCUCACCACUCUUAAGGAGGAAAAUGAUGAUGAGUUGGGGGAGCCCAUGCCUAAGGAAAUCAAGAGAGUCUUUGAUGAGUUCAAGGACGUGAUGUUGCCUAAGUUGCCUAAAAGACUCCUUCCUAGAAGAGAGAAAGAUCAUAAGAUCGAGUUAGAUGCAGGAACUAAGCCCCUUGCUAUGGGGCCAUAUAGGAUGGCACAACCCAAGCUGAAAGAGCUAAGGAAACAACUUAAGGAGUUGUUGGAUGCAGGGUUUAUCCAACCAUCCAAGACUCCCUAUGGCGCACCGAUUUUAUUUCAAAAGAACCAUGAUGGGUCCCUACAGAUGUGCAUCGAUUACCAAGCACUCAAUAAGGUAACAAUAUAGAAUAAGUACCCCAUUCCACUCAUUGUUGAUCUAUUUGAUCAACUUGGUAAAGCAAGGUAUUUCACUAAGUUGGACUUGAGAUCAGGCUACUACCAAGUGAGGAUUGUGGAAGGAGACAAACUGAAGACUACAUGUGUGACCCGAUAUGGCUCAUAUGAGUUCUUAGUGAUGCUCUUCGAUCUCACCAAUGUACCAACAAUGUUUUGGACACUCAUGAAUAAGAUCUUCCAUCCCUAUUUAGACUAGUUUGUGGUGGUAUACUAAGAUGACAUAGUCAUCUACAAUAGCAUCUUAGAGGAGCACGUGGAGCAUUUAAGGAAGGUCUUCAAGAUCUUAAGGUAAAACGAGUUAUAUGUAAAGAAGAAGAAAUGCUCAUUUGUUAAAGAGGAUGUGAGCUUCCUAGGGCAUCGCAUCAAAGAUGGCAAGCUGAUGAUGGAUGACAACAAGAUGAAGGUCAUCUAGGAAUGGGAUCCACCUACUAAGGUACCUCAACUAAAGUCUUUCCUUGGCUUGGCUAACUAUUACCAGUGGUUCAUCAAGGGUUACUCUACAAAGACAGCUUCACUCACUAAUCUUCUUAAGAAGAACAAGGCAUGGGUGUGAGACAAAAGGUGGCAACAAGCCUUUGAAGAUCUAAAAAGUGUUGUGAUUGAGGAGCCAAUGUUGGCAUUACCCAACCACAUGAAGGUUUUUAAGAUACACACAGAUGCCUCAAACUUUGCUAUUAGGGAAGUUCUGAUAAGAUAGACAUCUAAUCGCCUUCAAGAGUUGCAAGCUAAAUGACAUAGAGAGACGCUACAUGGUACAAGAAAAUGAUAUGACUGUCAUUGUCUAUUACUUGCACACCUGAAGACACUAUCUUCUAGGGUCUCACUUCAUAGUGAAAACCGACAAUGUUGUCAUUAGUUACUUCUAAACACAGAAAAGUCCUAAGUAAGCUAGGUGGCAAGACUUUCUGGUUGAGUUUGACGAUGCGCUGGAGUAUAAGACAAAAAGUACUAAUCAUGUGAAUGACGCCCUAAGCCGUAAUGUAGAGCUAGCAUUCAUGACGAGCCAGCCCCAAUGAGACAUAAUAGAUCUUCUAAGAGAGGGGUUGCAACAUGAUCUAGUGGCUAAGAGCCUUAUUACCUUGGCCCAUGAGGGAAAAACUAAGUGUUUUUAGGUAGAGGACGACCUACUCUACACUAAGGGGAGACUACUCUACGUGCUUAAGUGGGGGAACAUAAGGUAGAACUUGAUUAAGGAGUGCCAUGACACCAAGUGGGUUGGGCACCUUGGGCAACGACGCAUAAAGAGCACUACUCGAGUCAGCUUACUACUGAUCUUAGAUACAAGAUGAAGUUGAGGCAUAUGUGAGGACUUGUCUUGUGUGCUAACAAGACAAGGUAAAACAACAACAACCUAGAGGCUUGUUGGAGCCACUACCUAUAGCAGAGCGUCCAUGGGAGAGCAUCACCAUGGACUUCAUCAUCGGGCUACCUAAGUUGGAGGGCUAUGGCUCGAUCAUAGUGGUAGUGGAUAUGUUCUCUAAGUAUGUGACCUUCAUAGUAGCCUCUACUGACUGUACUGCAAAGGAGACAGCAAGGCUAUUCUUGAAACACAUGGUCAAAUACUGGGGGUCGCCUAAUUACAUCAUCAGUGAUCGCGAUUUGCAUUUCACUAGGAAGUUUUGGACAAAGCUCUUUAAGCUUAUGGGUUUGAAGCUUCACUUCUUCACAAGCUUUUCACCCGUAAACAGAUAGGCAGAUUGAGAGGGUGAACGCCUUAUUAGAGUUAUACUUAUCCUUCAUGAGUGUCAACCAAAAGGAAUGGACUAAGUUGCUAGAUGUAAUCCAAUUUUCAUACAACUUGCAAAGAAGUGAGACAACCAACAAGAGCCCGUUCAAGCUAGCCAUAGGGCAGCAACCAUUGACUCCUCACACACUACCAAUAGGCUAUACGAAGAGAAGUUCAGCGGCUUUGAAGUUCACUAAGGGGUGACACGAGCCAACUGACAUAAUAGCUCAUACUUGGAUAGGGCCGCUAGAAAGAUGAAGAAGUGGGCUGACAAAAAGCGACAUCACACUGAGUACAAGGUCGGAGACAUGGUCUUUGUCAAGCUCCUUCCUAAAAAAUUCAAGUCACUAAGGCCGGUACAUAAAGGCCUUAUGAUGAGGUAUAAAGGACAUUUCCCCAUACUUGGAAAGGUCGGCAAGGUGUCCUAUAGAGUUGAGUUACCACCGAGGUUGAAGAUUCAUAUCGUCUUCCACGUAAGUUACAUAAAAUCAUAUCACGAAGACAAGAAUUAUCCAAGCCAAGGGAUGUCCUAGAUGACACCUACAUCGAUUAUGACCUUCUAUGACAAGGAAGUAGAACACAUCAUUGCAGGCUGAGUCAUCAAGAGAUGAGGCGUGCCUCCUGCUACGGAGUACUUGGUGAAAUGGAAGGGACUACCAGAGAACGAGACUAGCUGGGAGCCAAUAGAUGCACUAUGGCAAUUUCAGGAGCACAUUAAGUGGUUCUAGGUGGAAGGUGCGACAAGGACGUUUACGGUUUAGGUAGGGGAGAGUGUCAUAGAAUGCUUCAAAUGAGCCUCCCCAGGGGUUUAUAUAGAGCCUAAGAAGCUUUUGGAGACUCCUACACUUAGUCAUUGGUGGGAAAAUGGUGGAAGGUUCUAAAGAUGUCUAAAGAUAUCCACACAUCUCUACACUAUGGUGGAAGGUAUGAGAGAAGUCCAAGGCUUUCUAGAAAAUUCUAGAGAUCUCUUGUAUAUUCUUGUACAUAGGCUUGUACAUAGAAUUGUGUAGGAAGUUUUAGAUUAUUCUUGAGUUGUAAGGAACCCUCCAAGAUUCCAAAGAGUUUCAUUGGUGCCUAUAAAUAGGUGAAGGCCUCAUUUGGCCAAGGCACCAAGCAAGUGAGUUCCAAAGCACUUGUAAAGCUUCUUUUAAGUAAUAAAAGCUUCCAUCCUUCAAGAUUUAUCUACUACGCCUUAUAAAGCUUUCAAGUUGUGAGCAUCUUAACCUAGCAAGCUGAGCAUUGGGAGCAAAACUGACUUAGCAAGAUCAAGGGUCUUGACUUGUCUAAGUGUCGCACGAGCUUAGGAAAAGACUAAGUUCAUGACACCUAGGACUAGUAGCAUGCACCCUAAGUAAUCCAAGGCUAGAAAUGAAAUGAUACAAGGAUUCCCAACACUUGACUUAAUUCCUUAGAAAUUGAAACUCAAUAAAAAACAUUAGUGUCAUUAACCUCAUUUUUUUUAUUACCAAUACUUAAUUAGGGGAAACCUUGAGCUAACAACCUCCUCAUUUUUUAUGAUGAUAAAACUGUACCAUCUAAAGAAAGCUUUCCUUAAUGUAUGCAUAUUAUAAGCAAUUUAAACAUUCAUCAUAAAAGAUGGAAAACAUAAACUCAAAUGGAGACAUGGAUAUAUAGAUAUAAGAGACAUCAUAAAGGUUGCAACAUGAUCGUAUAUCCGAAAUAGCAUCCAAAAGCAUGUCAUCCAAAAAAAAAUCAACCAUAAUAACCAUGUUCAAAUUGUCCCAAAAAGGAAAAAAAUAUAUAUAUGAAACAAAAAGUAUUAAAUAGUUUACUAAAUGUUAUGCCCUAGAUACCUAAAGAUAUCUCCCCCUUAGGCAACAUCGAAACAAUGAGGGAACUAUAUGGCUCAAGGUUGAGGUGGUGGAAACAAGGAACAUAGGACAGCUAUUGAAGAAGCUAAAAUUCUUCAUAAAUGAUUGAAUUUUAUUUCACCAUGAGAAACAAUACAAAGAGGGAUUUUUUUUUUUUUUUUUUUUUUUUUAUCAAGGGGAAGACCCCUUUCUCUUUACUACUUAUCCCUUUUAAUAAAAAUUCUUCCACAUUUUUCCACUUUAUUUUGCCAACAUUCUUUCAACCCCUUUUGCACAAAAAUGCCAAAGAUAGUAUUAGGAUAACCUUUUACAACCAUUGCUAACUUUUGACACAAGUUGCUAAAAAUUGUUGAAGAUUUGCUUUUAAUGUCAGGUAGGAUAGCAGAUUGGUUCUAAUUGAAGGUCAUUUCUUGUGGAGGACCUUACUUAUAAGUGAGAUGAUUGUUCCUAUCUUCAUGGUUUUAUGUUGUAUAGUUAUAGAGACUUUUUAGAGGCUAUCAGCUUUAGAGCAAAUUUAUGUUGUUUGUUAGGGAUUAAGUAUUUUAUUCAAAUUGGGUGAAUGGUACUACCUCUUUACUUGAGAUGGCUUUGAGAUUGGGUGGUUGAAUAGUAGUACUUUGGAAUGGUCUAGUUUUUGUUCGCUUUAGCUAUCAUUUUCUUAUGCUGUGUCUAUAGACGAGUGGAGACGUCAUUUGGAAAUUGGUCAAAUUGCCCGUGAAAUUGAUCAAAUUGUCAAGUUGUCAUCCUAAAAUUGACUAAACCUAGUUUGUAAAAAUGAGAAACGACCGUCACUAGCGACUAACAUCUUCUCAAGCUAAGUAUUAAUAGAUCCAAUCUGAGCAUAAAGGGCAUCUUAAUGUUGCAGGUUCAAUGCUCAUGAAGCAUAAUAUUUUGGAUACUUGGUGUGAGACACCUCAGCAUAAGUCUAAUCCAUAAGGAUAGUCUCCUCAGGAGGUUGAGAUGUGGGCAAUUGAAUGGUGGCAUCCAUGCCCUUGGUUUGCAUCUCCUGUUGAACAUCCUCACCCCCUAAUCCUUUAUGGUCACCCUCAGUCUCUAUCUAUAGAAUCUCUGCCUCUUACUCAACCCGGUCUUCAUUCAUAGCAGGACCCUUUCUUUUUCUUUCCAAUGAUCCAUUAGGCAAUUUCUCAAACAGCAUUCGGUCUGGAUUUUACGUUAUAGGUAUCAUAGGAUGAGGCCUGAAUGUUUUUUUCUCUUCUUAUGUCCACAUUGAAUGCUUUCAGGAUUUUUGUGAUCAGUCUUCUUCCGUUGGCCACUACUUUAGAAUUGCUUUUACAACAGUUUUUCAUGUGUUGAAAGAUGAUAAGGAAACCUUAGAAUGGAUCGGAGUCAAUAGAAAAUGCUACAUAAUAGGACACCUUGUCUCUAUGUCCACCCUUAGGUAGAAAAAUAUGUUUGAUCAUGUGGUGGUGCACCCUAGAGAUAAUGCUCAAGGCAUGGGCAUGGAGCUUUGAAGUCACUGUGUCGAUGGGUAAGUUACAUAUCCUCUAGAAAGCCCUACCUAGGUUAAAACUAGACACUAUAGGCCAUCCCUUCGUCUCAAAUAAACAAAGUCCCCCACAAAGGAUCUCCAAAAUAUCACAAAGCAUAUCAAUAUUUAGUUUAAUUCAACUCCUCUAACAAAUGUGCUAAUUGGCCUUCAUAUAUUUUAGGUUCAAGUAAAAUACCUGAACAAGGUUGGGGUAUGUAGGCUCUCUUGAUGAGAUGGUAUUGGUGAGUAUUUUUUUUUCUUCAAUACAAAACUAUUACAACACUUGGUUUUUUUUUUUUCUAAAAAAAAAAGAAAAAUAAAAAUAGUUUUAUAUUAUACUUAGUUUCAAGAAAAAUAAUAAUCAAAGCAAAAUGAAAAAAAAAUUCUCAUAUUGGUUUCUCGUGAAAAAUAUAAAAGCAAAUAAAAUACAAUUAAAAUUAAUUAAAAUCUUAUGUAUUUUUAAAUUAUUAAUUUUUAUAUAAAAAAUGAAAAAUAGUAUAAUGAAUUUAGAAGAAUAUAUAAAAAUAAUGUAUUAACUUUAAAUCUUUUUUUCUUUAUAUAUAUAUUUUCCCUUCAAUUUUCUAAUACCAACACAUAAUAAGGUUAAUGUCUUCUAGCCAACCAAUUGUAAGUCAAUUUUCAUAGAGCUUUUUUUUUUUUUUUUUUUUACAUGCCACCAAGUAGUUAUAUAAGCAUUUUUGCAUGUUAUUGUUAUCCAACAUACAAUAACUAUAACAUCCAAUUAUUAUGAACAUGAACAAUAAAAUUAGAUGCAACUAACUAUUUAGUGUAUAACAAGAAGUUGGUGAAGUAAUUCAUCCUAACAUGAUUCAACAAUUUUUGUUUAUUUUUCAAGAUUAAUUAUAACAUACCCAUUCUAUUAAAGUUGUUGAGAUAUUUGAGCAAAACUAAAAAUCAACAUUAAUUCAUUUUAUACCCACAAGAGAAAUAAGAUUUGUUUUUUUGUUUGAUAAUAAAGUAGUUGUAGUUAUUAAUGAUAAUUUUGAUCCUAAUUUAAUAGGUAUCCAAAAAAAAAGGAAAAAUGCAAGUAAACCAAUUCUUAUCUAACACAAUUAUUACCACCUUAAAAUCCUGAGGGGUAGCUCAGUUGAUCAGUUCGAGUCCCUUUAGGACCAUGAAAAGCUUACCCGAUGGUUCACCUUAAGAAAAGCAAAGCAUUUAUAUAAUUCAACUGGUAGUUGAUAAGUCUUAGAAAGGGUUUUGCCAUCAUUGGCUUCUCAGUAAAGGGCAAAUUUGGGUUGUGGCUGACAAUUAUUGAAUUUGUGAAGAAAUAUGUGAAGAAAGGAAACAAAAAGAGUUGAGGACAGAAUUCUUCAAUUAAAAAAUGGUUAGCCCAUGAACCCAUUCUUCAAACAGUAAGCCAAUGAGCCAAUGAGCCAAAAAGAAAGAAGAACAGCUGGUUUCAUCUUUUUAUCUUAAUGACUUUGACAACCCAUCUUUCUUUUAAAUACUUGUGACUUUGGAAUAUAAUUAAAAUGAAACUUUGGAAUGCCCACAUCUGAUUCACGGCCUUUUUACCUGUUUUCUUGUUUAACAUUUUUUUAAAUAUUAUAACAGAUGGAAAAACAUGAUUCUAACAGGCUGGAAAAUAGUGGAAGUUGGAACACCAACCAUAACCAAACUAUACCUUCCAUCUUUCUCCAACACUCGGAAUUAUUGAUACAAGUUGGUGGUUUUAUGAUUGUUUCUAUUGAGGGGACCCCUCUCCAUUUCCAAUUUCAAUGGAAAGGUUCUUCUUUCCCUACUUUUUUUUUUUGUUUUUCAAAUUCUUGUAGUUUUGUCUGUCUCUCUCAACAAAGCAAACUGCAAUCACUAAUUCAAAGAAAAGGAAUCCUAAAUGAAAAGAAAAGAAAGGAAAGGAAUGGUAAUUUAGGCUAUGAUGAUGCUCCUAUAUAAUGGCUGUAAGUCAAUAACAACACACUGGACCCGCCUCCUAUCUCAAAAGAUCACAAACCCAAAUAUCAUAUACUUCCAAAUUUCAAUUUGGUUCCCUGUUUAUAUCACAAUCUGUCCUAUAUCCUCUUAAUACAUCUAAAAUCUCUCUAUAUCAUAAAAAUAAUGAUGGAAAAAAAAAUUAAAAAGAAAGAAGGAAAAAAUGACAAAAAAAAAAAAACCUUGGUGCUGCUAUGGGUCCAUAGGAAUUGGCAGGACUGCACUUCUGGAUCCCCUUCCAUGGCCAAAAGAAAAGAAUGAUCUUCGGAAUCUGCUGCUGCAACCUUCACUAGGGCUGAAGUCACUGACAGGCCUGUUCUGUUGCAAAAUCUCUUGAAUUGCUAAAUACAGCUGCCUGUCGUUGGAUGAGUCCAUUGAAAAAGACCUCCUGAUGGGUUGGAUUGAGAACUGAUCAUCUUUGCCUCUAGUGUCAAUGCACUCAUCACCCAUGCUUGCAACAUGAUGAAACUUCCUUGCCUUUUUAGGCACAAUUCUCUGCUCUAGCUUCCUAGGUGAUGGACUAAUUGAUGGCGCAGAUAACUCUCUGGAAUUCAGUCUUUCUGGUGGCCUAAGCAGUGAUGAAUCAGCAGAACUAUCAUUUCCCAAUUCAAUUACUACAAAAUCUUCAUCCCCUCCUAUGUAAUUAUUGGCGUAGGGGCUUGGAUCUUGGGGGGAAGAGCUAGGAGCAAUGAUUUGGUGAACAGGAAACCGGGGUGUGGUUGAAAUGCUUGUUCUGCAAAGUGGGCAAUUAGCAUUGCUUUGAAGCCACACGUCUAUGCAAUCUAUAUGAAAUAUGUGACUGCAGUUUGGUAUGAUUCUUAGCUUCUCUUCUUCUUGAAACUCAUUCAAGCAAACCGCACACUCGCAAUGGCUUCUUUCUCCAAACUCUCUGCCACCUCCUUUCCUGAACUGGAAUAUUGGGAUUGAUCUGAUGACUGACUCGUCCAGGCCUCGACUCUCGAUUGCUGGGGAGUACACCAUUAAAGGGUCUUCCGGGUGCCGACUCCUUGAGAAAGAAAAUCGUCUCAGCAGAUCAAUCCGGUGCCAAUUGAGGCAGCAUUUGAUUACAAAGAUGUAGUAGCUCACCAGCAAGAAAGCAGUGGCCAGGAUUCCUAUUACGGCAAUGGCUAUAAUGGGGAAACUGGUGUCCGAGGAAUGAGAGGGAGAAGGAAGCACUGAGCUCGCCUGGCUUUUGAUGGGAGAAAAGGCUUGUGAUCCAUGGAUGGAGGAGUCUGUGCUCACAAGAUCCAUGAGAGAGGCUAUGAAAAACAUUUAGAAAUGAGUCUAUUCGGAUCUUCAAUUCACAGAAACAUGCAAAUGCUAGAAUAAAAUCGACAGACACUCAGAUAUAGACCCUACAGUUGUAAUGCAGCAUACCAUAAAUGUGAUUGAGUGAGUGAGGCUGAAACAGCAAAUGGGUCACUUCAAGAUCUCAACAAGACAGAAAACCCAUGUUGAAUUCACCAGGAGAGUAUUGAAAAGGGAAAAAUUAAGGACAUAUAGCUGUAUUGAAAGUUGAAACAAAUGCAGAAACAUAGAGAAGAGAGAGAGAGGGAGAAAACCCAGGAGGGUUGAAUGAGAGCGCUGCUGGGGAAGACAUCAAAACGCUUCAAAUUCAAUGAGAAUCUGUUGGGGACCUCUUUAAGAGGACUGCACAAAGCCUGAGCGUAGGGUACGUGGUUGGUUGGUGAAUUUCUCGGCUUCCAAAAGAGAAAUUUGGUGAGAAAAUUUUCAAGUCUCUUGAUUAUAGUAACGUAGCGUUUAUUUUAAUUUUAUGUAACCGAAACUAAUGGGCUGGUUCAAAAAAAUAAAAAAUAAAAAAAGGAACUUUCUAGGAUAGGCCAGCAGUCCACCGUUGGUCAUGUGGUUUCUUUUGCAUGUCCACAUCUUCCAACUAGUGGAGGUCCCUGUCACAACAGUAAGAAAACACCCAAUUGAAUAAAAGUAUGAACUUUUGGCUCCCAAUAUUACUUAUGCCCUCAUUCAAUACCUCAAAUAAAGCAGAGAUUUUGUGUCCCAACUUUUAUGAUUUCAUUUCAUCUUACUUCAAAUGCUAAUGACAAAAGUCCAAGUAUAUUCUGUAAUCACCCACACCCCAAUAGUUUUGAAUCACACUUGAAAUAGUUCCCAUGCUUUCUUAAUAAUUUAGAUAAUUAUUUACAGAAAAAAAAAUUCAGAACAGGAUGAUAAUCAUUUUGUGAUAGCAUGGAAGAAACUUUACUAGCCACUUUGGCCCCAUGAAGUUGAGUACUUGAUGCCAAUUAAUGGCAGGGUGGAAAAUAGAGAAAAGGGAUCAUAGUCAAAUCUAGAGUACAAGGCAUUGAAUCUUUGUUAAUAAUUAACAAAUGGGUAAAGCAUGGGUCACAGGGUCUACAGUUUGGAUUGCAAAAACCUCAGGCUUCUAUAAAAAGCUCAUCCAUUAUCAAUCAUCAAUCUGAAAGCCAGAAAGUCCAAGGCACAUGCAACCCACGACAGGGGUAAGAUUUCUGCAUCAUGUCCCUGAGUUGCAUUCACAUCAUAUGUUUCCCUCCGGGCCGUUCCAAUUUGAAAUCUCAUGGAAAUCUUCAAGAGCAAGGCUACAGAGUUUAAGAUAAUACUAGGGGUGGGUCCUGAUGGGAAAAGAGGUAGUGUAGGAUAGUCAAUAAAGGGCAUGUGUCUCUGGUGUGAAGUCAAAUCCAGUGUACCAUCCUCAAUGGAAAAUUUAGAAAUAGAACCGACACUCUACAGACUGCCGUGUUGACAGAUUAGAGAAAGACAAACCCACUUACACUUGCCUCAAAACCCAGUCCUGCCAUUUCAAAGGCAAAAAAAAAGGGUUUCUUUUUAUAGUCAAAGGUUGAGGCCUGGCCUGGCCUAGCAAAGAAACUUCACCUACUCUUUUCUUAUUUUUCAAAUUAAGGCCAUUCAACUUUUCCUGUUUGCAGGCUUGCUGCCAUAUCUUACUCCAAAAAAGGUGAAAACCCAAAAGAAAAAGAGUGUUUGCUUCAAUGGAAAACUCAUGUUUAAUAAAUUCACCGCACGAGUUUUGUUCCAGCUUUUCCUAUGAAAGCUGUGAUGCGUUUGGUAUGAAGUUGAUUUUGUUCCUAAAAAUUUUGAUCUUGGCGUGGAAGGCAACUUUUUCCUUUUCCCCCUUUUUCUUUUUGAAAAGUUCGGCAUUAGUUACCAAAUGUCCUUUUACUUGCAUGUAGGACAGCGGAAGCAUUACACAUCGCAGCAAAAUCCCAUUUACCCGAAUUUUCCACUAACUCUUUUUAUUUUUUACCAUCAUUUUUUAAUAGAAGUGAUGCACUCUUCAAAUUACAUGAAGCUUUUAAGAAGGUAAUAACCCGUUUCAAAGCGAACUUAACCUACAGAGUAUGUUUUAAAAAUAUUUAGGUAUUUGAUAAAAUUUAAAAAAUAUUUUUUAAAAUCUUUAAAAUGAUUUGUAAUAUUGAAAAUUUAUUUAUACUUUUUUUAAUAAAAAAACAUUUUAUAGGUAAUUUUUCUAAAAUACUUUUAGAGAAAAUGUCUUCCCUUCACUAUAAAUAUUAUAUACUAUCAAAUACACUUUAAAAAUCUGUUUAACAAUAAUUUUAUAAAGUGUUUUUAAUUUUAAAAAUAUUUUUAAAAACAAAUUAAAUUUUUGAUAAAAUUUAAAAAAUCUUUUUAAAAAUUUUGAAAAAUAUCUCGUAAUAUUAAAAAAUAUAUAUAUUUAUAAUGUUUUUUAUAUAAAUACUCAAAAUUCAUUUAAUAGUGAUUUUAGGAAAUGUUUUUAAUAUUUCUAAUACUUGAAAAUUUUUUAUCAUUUAAGUAUUAAAAAUAUUAAAAACACUUUAUAAAAUCACUUUCAAAUGGACUCUUAAUGAUUUUACUAAAAACACUUUUCAUAGAAAACAUUUAUAAAAAAUAAUUAUGAAAUACACUCUAAAUUAAGUAAAAGUUGUUUUUAACAUUACCACUAUUUAUUAAUAGUGCAUUUGUUUAAAAUAUUUAUAUGAAAAAUUCAUUAGGGUGGGAUAUAAAUAUAGAAGUGUUUUUCUUUAUAUAUUUUUUAUAAUAAAAAAUGAUUUUUGAAAUUAUAAAAUUUGAAUUUAAGAAUCAUUUGAUAAUAAUUUUUGUUAAAGCACCUUUAAUACGUGGUGCUUCUAUUGAUAGCGCUUUCAUUUCUAUGAAUGGCUAUAAAUUAUAUUUGAAUAAAUUUUUUAUAAUGUAUUAUAUAAUAAAAAAAAAGUCAUUUUUAAAAAAAUUAUACAUUAAAUGAUUAUUCAAAUAGUAUUUCCUAAAUUUUAUUAAACAUUUUUUUCAAAAAAAAAAAAAAAGUUUUCAAAUACUAGAAAACGUUUUUAAUCUCUCACACGAUCACAUCCAAACAAGUCCUAAUGCUACUCCUAGAAACACUCCAAAACAAAAGUCUUCCUCUAUUAAUGUUCAUAAAAUCCACAUAUAUUCUUCCAUCGUUUUUUCAAAAUUCAAAAUCAUUUCUAAAACAUCAAAUCAUGUUCUUUGGAUUGGCUGACUUGUUUUUUGAAAAUAGAAGGCUCAUUAUUGACGUCCGUUGACUUCAUAACCCAGUCUUGAUCUCUUGAUGGAGGGCAUAAAUGUAAAUUGGACGAAACCCUAGGGUGCGCUAGAGUGUAGAGGAUGAAAGGUUGGAAAAAGGAUGAGGUGGGGGUGUAAUAAAGAGGAGGGUUGGGAGAAUGGGACAUGUGUAGGUGAAGCAUUAAAUUCAAGACUAUGCUUACCAACAACAUAUAAAUAAAUAAAUAAAUAAAUAUAGGAACAGCACAUGGGGUGAGUAGGAGACAUCAGAAGAUGUGAACAACCCCUUGUCAGUCCAAUUUGCGUCUUUUAUCUACUCUAUUAUCUAUAUCGAUUUUCGUAUUUAUUUAUUUAUUUAUUUAUUUUUACCAUUUGAUUUUGCAUGGAUGUCGAAGGGUUUAUUGGCUGCCACGUGUAGGGUUAUGGUCAAGAUCACGUGGGGUGCCUACAUGGGAGUCACGUGAGUGCAUGAGGCAGGCUUGAAUUGCAGGAGGAGCAGGAGCAGAGCAGUGGCUGUUGUCUUAAGACUUUGCUCUCUUGGUGGAACUGCAGCUUAAGCAGCAUCCACGUGUUGUCACGUGCAAUGCGAGCCAUCCACACCACCAGUUUCUUUUUAGUGAUUUUCUAAAGUCAGUUAAGGUUGCAGUCAAUACCUUCAAAUGUUGACAGAGUUAGGGAUCUUUGUUAAAUGGAUUUUAUUAAGAUAUUAGUAAGUUAAUUAAUUGAGGGUCAACAUAACAGAUGGGUCGGGUUGGGUUGAAUCUGAAUUUAAAACGAUUUAAUUUAUGUUUAAUCAAAUUUAACAUUUAACUCGAAGCACUCAACUUAAGUUUAAUUGAAUCUUAGUUUUCAAAACAUUAUUUAAAUUUGGGUCAUUUGGAUUAAAGUCAAAUGGGUUAGAUUAAUCGGGUUAUAUGGUUCAAAAUCCACUUACCUUAUUUUUUAUACAUUAAUAUUAAAAUUUAAAUAAAAAAUAUUAGAAGAAAUUUCAAACUUGGGAUUAGUUGAUUGUAGCCAUGCAUUUGGAUGUUGGUAUUCUUGUUUCUUGUCUUGUUUCCAAAUACCCUUUCAAAUCGCUUUGUUAUUCAAUAGCAUCCUCCCGAUCAUUUAAAAAUUUAAAGAGCAUUGGUAUGAUGGAGGAAUUCAGAAAUUUUAGUUGAAUAAGUAAAAUUUUUCUCUCAUAAAACCAAAUAGCCUCUAUAGCUCAGUGGUAGAGCGUCAGUCUUGUAAACUGAAGGUCUGUAGUUCGAUCCUGCAUGGAGGCAACUUUUUAUAUUUCAUGAUCCAUUAUGCUCUAGUGAUUUAGUUUUCAUUAUAAUUUUAGAUUAAAAAAUUACAUCAACAUUUGAUAAGUUGGUUAUGACUUUGAUAUAAGGAUGAAACUAUCAAUAAUAUAUAUAAAUAUUUUGACACAAAAUAUCUAAUAUAUUAAAAAAUUAAAAAAAAACUCUAAAAAACAUUAUAAAAUUAUAUAUAUAAUUUAUCAUAUUUAAUAAUAAUAUCUUCUACCCUAAUAAAAAAUAUAAAUUUUAUAAGCAUACAUUUAUUAUUACAUUGUAUUAUAUAUUAUUUUACAAGAAUAUUAUGAUAACAUGUCUAAUUUUAAAAUAUAUUUAAUAUUAAAAUUAUCAUCAAUUUUAAUUUAAAUGUAUUUAAUGAUAUCAAAUAAUAUAUAUAUAUAUAAUUUUUUAAUAUUUAUAUAUUUUUAUAUUUAAUAAAUAUAUAAAUUAUGUAAAAAAAAAAGACCUAUUAAGAAGAUUAUGUUUUUAUAUUUGGAUCAAAAUUAAGUUUUUCCGAUAAAAUAUAUGAAACUAUUGAUAAAUUAUUGAUUGAAACGUGAAAAAAAAAAUUCAAAAAAUAGAUGAGAUAUUAGUAAAAUAUCCGAAAAUAUUGAUUGAUGAAUAUAUCAUUUCAAAUUUUGCAUCAACAUCCACAUAUGUUGGAUAUAUUGGCCAAAUAUAUUUAAACCUUGUUUCCAUGAGAAGUCUUUCCUUCAACAAUUUCAAAAGGUUAAUGAGGUGGUUUCCAAGAGAUGUGUGUAGGGGUCUCCAACGGGCGGGCCGGGCCAGCGGGCUUUUUGAAAUAAGCCAAAAUGGCUUUCAAAAAAGGGAAGGGAGAGGAUUUAAACCCCUUCCUUCAUGCUUAAAUUUCAAGGUUCUAACCAAUUGAACUACAUUCCUUUAAUGUUUAUUAAUUGAGUUAGUUAUAUAUAUAUAUAAAAAUAAAGUAUAUUAUUUUUUAAAGGGGCGGGCCUACGGGCUGGGCCGGGCCGAAAGCGGGCCACGGGCCACGGGCUUUUUGGAGACCCUUGGAUGUGUGCAAUCACAUUUGGUAUUAUAGGUGACAAAGUUUGAUAAAUGAGUAAUUAUUAGGUUAACUUAUAAAAUCCGAAUUUGAUUUAAAUUGAUUCAUUUAAUAAUCCCAUUUAUUUACCCAAUUAAAACUUUAAAUUAUUUAACUUAUAUUUAAUUUAAUUAAAAUUUGUUUUUAAAUAAAUAGAUCAAUUAAAACAUAAACAUAUUUGAUUGAAACAUUAAUAAUAUAGAUUUAAAUAAGACCUAAUUCAACCUAACGAUCAAAUAGAAAUAUCUAAUUAUUAAAUAAAUUAAACAUGUUACUUGCUUAAUAAUUAUGUGACAUUUGAAUUUAUGCUUUUGAUAUAAUUAUUAUUUAUAUCAGGUUUAUAUAAUGAAAUAUCUAGACUUUGACACCAGUCAACAUUGUCCACCAAUACAGAUUGCAACUCUUAUAUGCUACAUCACAUCAUGUUGAAGGAAGAGGAUGACGUUCAUUGGCAGCAGAGCCUCCAAUCAUAAGGAGCUUGAGCAAAUUCAAUCUCAACACUGAAAUUCACUAGAAAAAAAGUUUAUUAUUGAUACUUCAUUUGUGUAAAAGCAUUAUAUUUCUUGCAUCAAUCGUAAAGCAUGACAUUCCAGUAGGUACGGAAGAGAAAAUUUGUUAUGAAUUGAAAAAUCUGUCAAGCUUAAUUUGGAGGGCCCAAAAUUGACACGUUUAAGAGCUCUAUCAUUAGCCCAAUGAUAAGAGUCCAUUUCUUGAGUUUCAAGGAAGGCCCAAGUUUAACUUAGAGGGCCCAAUCUUGGUACCUUCUAAAAGGUGCAAACUUUGGCCCAAUUAUAAAAGCUUAUCCUUGCUUCCUAAGCAUCAAUGAUAUAUUUGAUCGAAGUAUUCACAUAACUAUCACGAAAUGAAAUGAAAUGAAAAUGUAUAAGUAAAUGAUGAUUUUGAGUUAUUUACUGACAAUAAAGAAUUAGGUGGUGUUUGUUUUUUUUUUUUUGGCUUUUUACUAAAAGCAAUUUGUUUUCAGAAUUUAGGUUAUUUAUUUUUCUAUUUUUUCAUGACUUAUUAUAAACUUUUUACUAAAUAAGAAAAUCCAAAAUAUAUAGUUUUUUCUAAAUAGAAAAAAUAACAUAUUGGUUUUCUUUUUUUUUUACUUUUUAAUAUUUAAUAGAAAUAAAAUAUUAUAAAAACAAACAACCUAAUAUUUAACACUAUUAAGUAUUAAGGUUUUAUUUAGAAUUAAGUAAAAAAACAAACACUACCUUAAAAUGAAAAGUAUGUAUAAUGACCUUAUACAAAAAAAGUCUCAUUAUUUUCUUCCAAAGAACUCAUACUUUUGUUUUUCAACUAUUACUUUGUUUUUAUUUUUUAAAUAAUAUUUCAAGUUUUUUUUAAUAAUACCUUUCUCUUUAUUAGAUAAUUUUAAUGACUUUAAAAGUAUUUUAAUAUAUUAAUUUAUUAUAUAAUUUUAAUGAUUUAAAAAUAUUUAAAUGUUGAAAUAUUUAUUUUCAAGUCUAAUUUUAAUUAUUUAUUUUUUGAAGUAUUUAAAUAUAUAAUAAAUGUGGGAUUAUGUAAAUCUAGUUGUAAUUAUUUAUUUCAUUCUAUUCAUGUUUUUAGUUGAAUUUGCUCAAAAUUUACACCUCUUUAUUUAAAGAUCAUGGAUUAGUUAGGUGUCUUGAGAUUUUUUUUCUCUCAAGACACUACUUGUUACACUAGAAAAUAAUUUGUGGCUAUAUUUUUUAGGCAAAAAGAAUUAUAUGUUAAAACUUCCUUUAUUGACUAGUUUAUCAUAGGGUGUAGAGGAAAGUUUGUGAUGUCUUUUUAUGUCAACUUUGGGAGAAAAAUAUCACUUUAGCAUUUUCCUUAGAAAAUUUUCAUACAUAAUUGAUUUUGGAACUAUGGAGGAGCAUAAGUAGGGAUAGAUAAUUCGAUUUUGGAAAAAUUAUAAUAGCUUUUCAACUUGGUGUUAAUGAUAUAUUGUUUAUUUCUUAUUUUUUUUCCAUUUUAAUAUAUAAUUGGGGAUUUUAAACUUGUAGAACAAGGCUUUUUCAAUUGAAUUGACACGUACAUAUGAAAGUUCUCUUUGGUUGCUAAUCACAUUUUUUUUUCUUUUGCUUUUUGUUUUUAUCAUAAUGAAUAUUGAACUCGAAAUUCAGUUUUUAAAAUCUUAUGAUGUUUUAAAGUUUAUAAAUAUUAUUGAUUUUUAUAAAUGAUGUUAUUCAUAUCUUGGUAAAGACAAUAUUUUCAUAUCGGUCAAGAUGAUUAAUAACAUAUAAGUUCAUAAAGAAAAACCUAUUGAUUAAUGGAUAUUUAAUGAUUUUUAUUAGGAAUGUUUUUUAAUUAGUUUCAAUACUCAUCUUUUAGAGCAUACAUAUAGGGUUUUAGAUGCUACAUUGGUUUUCAGCUUGUGAUUUAAAUUAUUGAAGCAAAAAAUGAGGGUUUUGCUUUAUGGAACUAUCUAAAGGGAGGUGAAUUAGGCGGUCUUCCUUUUUAAAAUCCAAAAAUUAGAUUUUUAAUACUUAUAUUAGUUAUACAUGUGUUCAAUAAUUAAAACAAAGAACAAGUCCAUAAUUUACAUGUGAUGUGCAUGGAAAAACACCUACAAAUUCUCUCAAAUACUUUACAAAUGAAAAAAAAAUCAAGGAUCGAUCAAUCACAGAGCAACUUCACUAAAUAUGAAAACAUGACUAUACAAUUUUACUUGGAUGAGGUGCUACCUUCUCUUAAGGGUUUUUACACUAGCCAACAAUUACACUCACCUUCACUCUCACCAUGCACCUCUAUUGUGCUCCAUAGUAAACACUUUAAUGACUGUAGCAAGAUUGCGAUAAAUUACUGCGAUUAAUUUGAGAGUGUUGAUAAUGAACAAAAAAUAAUGAUAAUUAACUAGAGAGCAUAUGAUUUUGUAAAAACACCAAAAAGAGGCAUAGUUAUAAGUGAAAACUUUAAUGGAUUGGAUUGAAUAUAUAAUUGAAGUAUGAAUGAAAAAUUACCAAAACAAUGUUCAAAACCGUGCUAAUCAAAGCACAAUCACUUGAGUACUCUCAUGGGGCACUUGAAUGCUCCUUUUAAUCACCGUAAUGCUGAAAUUAAUAAUUUGUCUCAAAUUGUUUUUCCAAAACAUAAAGCAAAAUAUUAUAAAUUUAUAUAAUCAAACCCAAUUUCAUCUUAAAGCUAGCCUACUUAGUCUUAAUUCAUGUCCAAAAAUACUCAUACUUGUCAAAGAAUGAAUAUGGUAUAAACAAAUUCUUUAUUUUCAAUUAUAUUCAAUUAUUGAAAGAAUAAAUCGGUUUACAUACAUUUUGAACAAAGGUAUAUACACAUAGACUAAAUCAAGGAAAUGAGGAAAUCAAUCACAAUCAAAUCAAAAUCAAAUGAUAGGUUGAUAUCUAGGAGAAGGUUAAGUUAGAACCAACUCAUGUAUUCAAUAUUCCCCCUUAAGAUGGCAUAUGGAGAUCAUGAAUAUCAAACCUAGAAAGUAAGGGAUAUGAAAUAUCUAUACCAAGGGAUUUUAUGAAAUAUCAACCAAUUGUUGUUGUGAUUAAACAAAUUGAAUAAGAAUAAUUUCAUUUCGAAUCUUUUCAUAGAUCAAGUGACAAUCAAUUUCAACGUGUUUAUUCUGUUCAUGGAAAAUUAGAUUAAUAGCAAUGUAUAGAGUUGUAUUAUUGUCACAAUAUAGAUGCAUUGACCAAGGAUGAUGAACUCCAAAAUCUAUAAGUAAAUAUUGCAACCAAUGCAAGUAGUAAUCAUUAAAUAAUAUUUCACUUUUCUUCAUGAGUGUUAUAUCAUUGAUUGCUUUUUAGAUCUUCAAGAGAUUGAUAGGCCACCAAGUAAAAUACAAUACCCUAUAAUUGAACAUCAAGAUUAUGCACAAUAGGCAUGGAGGAAGGCAAAAGAAUUCCUUGACCUAGACGAUUUUUUAAAUAGUAUAACACUCAUGUACUUGUGAGAUAAUUGAGACUACAUUGGCUUGUCAAGAAUUUGAACAUAAUUAGCAAUAUUAAGCCCUAUCAUUAUGAGUCAAAGUAACUUCCCAAUCAAAUGCCUAUAAUAAGAAGCAUCCAACAAAGGUUCUCUAUCUAAUUUACUCAAUUCCAAAUUUUGUUUCCUAGGAGUUUUUAAAGUUACAUGUUCCAAGAAAACCAAAAUCUUUUAGUACUUCUAGAGCAUGUUUUCAAUAACUUAAAUAAAUCUCAUUCUUAAAAUAUGUCAUUUCAAUGAUGAUGAAGUACUUUAAUUUUCCAAUCUCUUAGUUAGUUUGAAAAUGCUAUAUAGGUUUUCCUUGACCACCUUAAUUCCUUUAAGAUCAUUCAUUGUAAUAAUUAUAUCAUAAAUGUAAACAAGAAUGAUUGUGAAAUAGUUAUUUGAGGCUUGAGCAAAUAAGAAGUAAUAUGUACGUCUUGGCUUGCUUGUAAACCAUAAACAUCAAUGUGAUAGAUAAUUUGGCAAACCAUCAACGUGAAGCUUGCUCAAGGCCAUAAAGGGAUUUUUUAACUUUGCAAAUCAUAUUUUUGGUUCUAGAUUUCCUACAAACUUGGUGGAAGCUGCAUGUAUACCUCUUUAUCUAAGUCUUCAUAAAGAAAAACAUCGUUGAUGUCAAGUUGGUGAAGAUGUCAAAUUCUAAUUAUACAAUAAUUAGGGGUGACAAUGUGUCUUAUCGUGUUGAGGUGAGAAAUAGUGAAAAUUUACUUAAUCCGACUAUGACCCGUUUGAUAAUCGUGUCAAAAUAACCUAACAUGAAUACAAUUAGUUUAUUUCAUGUAACAUGACCCUUUUAACAUGUUUAAUAAAUAUAUUAACUUGGAUUAUGUAUUAAUUGACAUGAAUAACUCAUUAACUUGAUUUCAACCCCUUAAACUCAUUAACACAAUUCCAACCCAAUAAACUCGUUAAUAUGAUUUAACUCAUUAAACUUGUUAAUAGGAUUAUAACCUCUUUAACCUAUUUAAAAUUUUAAAUUUAUAAAUAAUAAAAUACUUCUAGAAAGUUUAAUUUUUAAAAUUUGAACUAUAAUACAUGUAUGCACCAAUUUCAUGAAGUCCUGAAAAAUUAGCAAAAUUAUAGAAAAAUAAUAUAAACAAAAAUUUGUAUUAAAAUUAAUAAGUAUGGGCUACAAUAUUAGUCAUAGUACUGCUUAUUUCUGAAUGACUUUAUUAAAAAGCGAAGAAUACAUGUGUAGUUCUUAUGUGAUUUCUUAAACUUGUAAGGCGAUUUUAUAAAGUUUUUUUUUUCUUUGUGAAACCUCUUUUUCUAUGUGAAAUUGUUUUGCCGAUUUGAAAUCUUCAUUAAAGGAAGUUACUAUUAUUUAUAAUUGAAAUUAGAGAAUGAAAUGUGGAAUCCCCAUGAUUUAGUUGCUUAAUUCAAGGAAUUUGAUUAAUUGAUUUUGGUAACUUGUCUCAUAAAAUUUUCUAACAAGAAUAUUUAUUUUUAAUCUCUUUUAUUUCAAUUGGAAUAUUUGUUUCCUUUGUAAAUUUGUCAAUAGAAUAUUUAUUUAUUUAUUUAAUUCUCUUUUGACUACAAUGAGAAGAUUUGAUUUUGUUUGUAAGACUAAAUUUUAUAACCUUUCAAAUUUGGCCAAGUGACACCUUUUGAAUAUAUGUCACAUGUCAAAUGUGUGUGACUCAUUAGUUGUUGAACCUAAAUUUUCUUGAAUUAGAAAGCUAUACUUUUGAAGACUAAUUUAGUGAUAAUUUAAUUCAUUAAAUUUUUUUGGUGUCUACAGUAUAUUUAUAAUAUGAAAAGUAAAUUAAAAUUUUAAUUUUUUUACUUGUUUAUUAUUUUAUUUAUUAUUUAAUGAUAAAUAUUUUUAUUCUUUAUUGAAAUAUAUAAAAUUUUAAUUAAUAUUUUAAUUUUUUUAAUUUCUAUAUAUAAAAUAUAUAGAUUUAUAUGGUCUAAUUGAGUCAUUAAAAUAAAUAGGGUAAAUAACUCACACAUAAGUGAUGGAUCAUUCUAACAUGAUUAAAUUAACAAGUUAGAUGAAUUGAGUAGUCAAAUACAAACAUGAUUUGUUUAUUAAAUAAGUUAUAUGAAUUGAUACGAUUAUGACAUCAACUCAAUUAAACUUAACUCAAAUAAGCUUUGUCUUUUAUUUUAAGUUGUCUAGUUGUUCACACAAAUUUUCUCAAAAUAAAGAAAUUAUAUAUAAAAUUGUAAAUUUGAUUAUUUGAGGGGACCAUUUUCAAUACUCUUUUUUAAGUAAUCUGGUGUUUAAUUUUGAAUCAAAGGGGCUUUCAUUAACAAAUAAUAGACUGUAGUUUUCAUAUAAGAAGAAAUCUCAAGCCUUUUUUUCUUGAAGGAAUCUUUAAAUUUUCUUUGAUACUUUAAAAAAUCAAUCUUCUUUGAUUUUUUAAGAAAUCUUUGAAUUUUCUUAAAGUCUUCAAAAAAAAAAAAAAAAAAAAAACUGAGUUUAAGGAAUUUUUUUAAUAACUCUCCAAAUUUCUUUGAUAUUCCAAAGUGUCCUUUAGAAGGGGACAAAUCCUCUAUUUACAGGAUUGAGAGUUUUAUUUUAAUAUUAUCUCUUAAUUUUUAAGAAAUAACUCUCUUAUUUAUGAUAAUUACUAUUUAUUUUAUUUAUCAUAAUUAGUUGCCUAUGAUAAUUAUCAUAAUUAAUUUUUCUAGAGAUAAAUAAUUAUAUAUAUUUAAUUAAUCAUGAUAACUAUAAUAUUUAUUUAAUUUUUUAUUAAAUUAUUUUACAUAACAUAUCAAUAUAUAUUAUUAGUCAAUUAUUAACACCGAAAAUUAAUGAGUUGGCAUAAAAUUUAUCUCUCUAUAAUAGUAUCAAAGCGAGCCUUAAUAAUAACAUUGCUUAUAGUCAAUUUCACAUGCCAACUUUUUACUGGGCAUUGGCGAUUUCAAUUUUGAUAGUCCGGUUAGAAAAAGUAGGUAAAGAUUAUUUGAUGUGGUAGGUCAUUUCUUUCAUAAAGACGAUGGCGGUGAAUUCAUGAGACAGGUGAUAAAGGAGAGAUUCUUUCUUUUGGCUUUGGAAUUUUAAUGAGGUCCUCGAUCCUCAUCCAAAAUACACCUCUCCAAUUAUAAAAAUCUUAUUAAAAAAAAAAAGAUUUGACAUGUGCCUUUCGAACUGCUGGUUUUCUGUUCCAAAAAUGAGAAUGGUUUCAAGUGGAUGAAGGAAGGUGAAGAACCCUUGGUUUUGUUAAGCGAAAAGCCACAUGAUUAAAUAAACAUAAGGCGGCAAAGGCUGAAAAUUUAAAAUUAUACUAAGGAACCCACCCCACAGGGCGACUACACUUUUGGUGAAGCCACGAGAAUGAAAGAUAUCGAAGGUGACACCAAGACAUUAAGCAGCACCAAGGUUUCGAUAUAUUAUAAGAUGGGAUCUUAUGAAAGACGAUCUCUAAUCUCUCUCCAAUCUCUUCUUUAACCUUUUCUUACUUAAAUCCAUUUCCAUGGUAGGGCACAUGUCCAGCUGACCCUACCCCCUCACCUACCUAUACUGCUAUACCCUUUUGUAUAAUUUGAUAUGGAUUGGAAGCCACCCCAACAUCUUUCUAAUUGCUCGUAAAUGUUGAGGUGCCUUUCCAUUUUGAGGCUGCCCUAAUGUGUGGCUGAAGUACGUAGGAAAAAAAAAUUGUGAUACAUGCACUGACGAAUCAAAUCCCAAUGUCAAAUUAUUAGACUCACCUGGUUCUUAAAUUAUUGUGAAUGCCGCUGGCCAUGGAUAAAUGGAAUUAGUGCGUGGCUUAAUGAAAAUUUAUUUUGAAAGGGAUAUUAAUUUGAGAGAAUUUUGGCUGAUACUUGGAGUUGAACGUAAGCAUAUAUGACCUCAUUUCGGGUGUGAUAUUGUGCUUAUAACGAACCUUUCGUUCUUUCCAAUUCCAGUGGGUAUUAAAUAAUUAAAGAAUUCAUGGUUCGAAGGCGAAAGGUAGAAGACCAAAAAGGGAUUACAAAGCCAUCGGCUUGACCAUCCAGAUGCAAUGGAUACAAACUUUGGACUCUAUCGAAAGUUCUUUGGGCACGUGCCCAAGUGUCCUACCCAUAUGAUAAGUUACACGUGGCUAAUUGCGGACCGGUUGCUCGUGCUAAACAGGGUACUUUUUCUACGCAUAUAAGAUGUUUCACUAGUGGGGCUUCACCAUGCAAACUCAUGGAUGAAGACCCUGAGGCCAAGAUGAAGGAACAGAAAGAAGGCGGAGGAGAGGUUCGGUAUCGAGGCGUUCGGAGGCGGCCAUGGGGGAAGUUUGCUGCGGAGAUACGUGACUCGACUAGGCAUGGAGCGCGCGUCUGGCUCGGGACUUUCAAUUCUGCGGAGGAGGCUGCAAGAGCAUAUGACCGAGCUGCUUAUGCCAUGAGGGGUUCCUUGGCGAUUCUCAACUUCCCUAAUGAGUAUCAUACACCCGGCACGGCUAGCUCUUCAGCUUCAUCCUCAAUGCCCGAAGGUGAUCAGCAGGGAAAACAAGUCAUUGAAUUGGAGUACUUGGAUGAUAAGCUGCUAGAGGAUCUUCUCGACUCUGAAGACAAAAAGAACAAGAAAACCUGAAGUUUCUGCUGCCUCGAAUCCCCUGAAAUCUAGUGCUUCAUCGAAAAAAAAUCCCCUCGCUCCUGAUUAACAACAUUUUUAUUUUAGUCAAUGAAUGUGUUCUCGGAUCAUUAUAAGUAUUUCUGCCGAAGUCCAUUGAUUUUUGGAGACUGAAAAAUGUCAGAAAAAUUGGUGCGAACAGGUUUACUCCUUUCUAAAUUAUGCAAUUGAAGUAUUUGGAUUAGUGCGCAGUGUAAACAUCAAGGAAAGCAUGAUCCACUAUUUUAAGGAGCCUAAGUGCUUUCCCCUUUACUCUUUUAGGAUGUCUUUUCAGUGAAGAAAGUUGGGAGACCACCACUUACCCUUUUGAUUGGUAUAUAACUGCCAACUAAUAACUGGACUAACAUUUGGCCCGUCUGGCCCUACUUCUUUGACUUUGUUGUUAAUUUAUAACUUUAUGUGAAGUGGGGGCUGUUUGGGAAUGUGUGAAGCAAGGAUUUGAGCCGACUUCGCCUAAUCUGAUUCUCCAUAAGUGACUUCAUUUUAUCAUAUUGGUGUUUUUUUUCUUCUUCUUUUUAAAUGGCUGGGGAGGAGGGGAUUUGGGAGGGAUGCAAUGCCAUGGUUGCAUGCUGGAUUAUCCUUCCAAAUGAAACAUCCAUUUGGUUUCUAGUAACUAAUUGCAAACAAUUAAAGAGAAUAAAAUUUUAAGAUGAUUAAACAAUAAGUACCUAUGUCCAUGAAAAGGAGAGAAGUUCACUCAUGGGUGUUCAUGAAAGACAUCACAAAGAACCAUCAAUAUGAGAAGAAUCCUGAUACAAUUAACUUUCAUGCAUAAGAAAAGACGCUCAAAAAAGAAUAAUGCUUACAAGGAAAGAAUCUCACUACGAUCAACUGAAAAAAUAUUCCAAUUUAAUUGGAAAUCCUUACAUGGGAAGAAUAUCAAUAAAAUCAACUAAAAAAAUAUUUUAAUUUUAUAUCAAAAUAUUUGUGAUUUAACCCGUAUCAUUUCAUCAUGACUUCUUAUAAAUUUUGUUCCUUUUUAUCAACACCACCCCUUGAGUUGGAGCAUAAAUAUUUAUUAAGCUAACUUGAACAAGAUCUUGAGAAAUUUUGUCGCAGGAUUUGUUUGCACUUUUUUUUUUCAAAUAAAGUCAUAAUUAACUUUAAUAUGUUUAAUCAUUUCAUGAAAUACUAGAUUUUAAGCAAUGUUGAUAGCAUACUUAUGCCUGAAAGCUUUAUCCCAAAUCACAUGAGUACAUGAAGUGAUUGCAUCAUUAAUGGUAGUAUUAUUACUUUAUAUUCAACUUCUCCACUUGAUAGGAUGCAUGAAAGCAUUGUGCUUUCUUCUGUUUCAAGUAAUAAAGAUUAUCACCAAGAAAGGUGCAAUUAAUACCUAGUAACAGAGUACCUAGUGGUAGCAUGCACCUAUCCACUGAACUUGUACUCGACUCUAUGAGUGUACGUUACAUAGUCCUUUUUUCGAAGUCUAAAUGUCCCUUGAUAAAACCUUCUAAUAUUUGAGGUUUUGGUAACAUUCAUGUAUCAAUGAACAAAUUAAUUUACUAGCUAAACUUUAAAAUUAGGCAAUGUUUUUCAAUGGGUGAUCAAGAUCUUGGAAUUUUCAAUGUUGUUUGAAUAGCUUCCACACACAAGCAUAUUUUCUCCUAUUUAGGAAUAAUCCCUUUUUUGAAGGUGUGAUCUUUAUGCUCAAAAAAUAAAGAUACUCAAAAAUUUAAUAUUGACCUUCUCGUGAAGGAAAAGCUUUAUAACUAAUUUUUUUUGUGCAUUAUAUAUAUCCUCAAUAUAGACUUUAAAAAAAAAAGAAGUAACUCCCUCUACAAAGAGUGAAGAGUCAAUUAAACUUUUUUUUUUUUAAAAAAAAGGAACCAAUUACUCGUAAAAGUAAUGAUUAUUUUUACAUACCAAACUUGAGGAGAUUACUUAAGAUCACAAAAGUUUUUAUUAAAUUGCAAGCUAGAUGCAUUUGAAACGAUCGUUGAUGUCUUAGCAACACCUUAUGUAACUCAUCAAUCUUUAUGUAAAAAUGCAUUUUUAACACCCAUAUAAAAUAAUGAUCAAUCCUAAUUUAAUAGAAACAAAUGGUAAUACAUGAAUAUCAUUCAUAUUAAUGAGAAAAGUAAAUAUUGAUUUAUAAUCAACUUCUUAAGUUUGUGUCAAUGCCUUAAUCAUUAGUUUAACUUUGUCAUUCAAUGAUACCAUCAUUACGACAUUUAAUUAACUUAGAUUUGCGUAAAUCCCUUAAUCACUAGUCUAGCUUUAUGUCAUUCAAUGGUACCAUCAUUAUGGUAUUUAAUUGAUCUUAUACCCCCAAUUUGUAUACCCCAUGUUUUUCUUAAUUUACCAUACAUCACUUAACAAUGUUCCAUGCAUGGAUUUUGUUAAGUGCCUUAAGUUCCUUUUGCAUAGCCUUUCUCCAAAUUGGAUGAGGAUUGGCUUCAUUAAUGUCAUUAGACUCAUGAUAUAUGGAACUCAAACAAUUGUUAAGUGAUUUUGUAUAUAUAUAAAAAAAAAAUUGUAAUUAAUGUGGUAGGCAUAAAAAUCUCACAAAUGAGGAUUGAUUAAUUGUUAUAAUUGAGCAACAUGCUUGAGGCUUAGUCACAAUACUAGAACUUGAAGUCAGACAUUCUCUUCAAAUAAGGACGUAUAUACAUUAUAUUGGAUCUCCAUUAAACAAGUAAAGAACUAUUUAGUAGACAAUGAAACCUCAUUGAUCAAUGGUGGUAGAGAGACACAUGAUGACCAGACUAUUCCCCUGGAAAUGAGAAUAAAAAAUAUCAUUAGCCGCAAAAAUCUCAAAAAAAUUUAGAUAAUGGGAUAUAAAGAGUUUAUGAAUUUUACAAUCAUAACUCUUAUACUGGUUUAAGUGGUAGAGUAAUCAAGAACACAAAACGAGUUUGAUGAGUGGUUGAGAUAUGAACAAAGCAAAGAUUUCCAAAGACACCAAAAUCAGAAAUCUCAAUUUUUGGGCUAAGGAUUUCAAGAAGAAAUUUAAAAUUAACUACAUGACUAGAAAAUUUGUUCAUCAAGGAAAUAGAAGUAACGAUAUCAUAACAUCAUAAUUAAUCAAUAUUUUUAAUAACAUGCAUUUGGAACAUGAUAUACCGGCUUUCUAAUAAUCAAUGAUUUUUGGUUCAACCACACCAUUUUGUUUUGGGAUGCCAAUACAACAAGUUUAACGAANNNNNNNNNNNNNNNNNNNNNNNNNNNNNNNNNNNNNNNNNNNNNNNNNNNNNNNNNNNNNNNNNNNNNNNNNNNNNNNNNNNNNNNNNNNNNNNNNNNNAUGUAAGUGCCAAAUUAGGUAGUGUCGACAAUGAAAUGGAAAUUUUGGAAUAUAGAAACAACCUCAUUUUUAUGUUCUAAUAAGUAAACCUAUGUAGCAUAAGAAUAGUCAUUAAAAAAAAAGGUAACAAAAUGUUGAUUUCCAUCCUAUGGAUCAAUUAGGACACAACCCCAAGGUAAACUAAUUUGAAAGUUGCAACAAAAAUGGAAAGAGAUGAAAAAAUAAUAGAGGAAUUUAAGGUUGUUUCAAAAUUUCAAGACAUGCUAAGAAACACAUGAGAUUAUAGAUGAUUAGGUAACAACCUUGGUUAAGUAUAUUCAACAUAUAUAUCCCACGAGGAUAAAUAUCUUCACUAAACUUUUCCUAUUAUUCAAUCCCCUAAUACCAUACAAGUGAAAAAUUAAUGUCACGGUCAAAAAUUUUAAUAAGCUUCCAAAGAGAUAAUAAUUUUGGGGAAAAAAACAACCUAAGAAACCUAUGAAUUGAGAUAAUUUAGGAAAAAACUAAAUGUUCGUUAGCUCUAGAAGGGAAUUGAAGCUCAUCAUCAAUAAAGAUUGUUGCUAUCUCGAAUAAUAUCAAGUAAACCAUUAAGAUCGCUAUUAAUGGUAUGAUUAGCAGCACCAAUUAUCGACAAAAAAAUUAUUAAAAAUAUAAGAAAUGAGAGCUUUAAGAUUAUCUAAUUGAUUUGUAAACCUAGGUAAGUGAAUCAGUAUUACGUUUUGUUAAGGAAGCUUAGAUCCAAUUGGUAUCAUUCACCAAGUUAUUGGAUUAAAUUACACUAUCAAACUUUGGCUUUAAAUGAGAAUGAAGAAUCUAACCACAAUCCUUAUUGGGAUUAGAUAUGUUAUUGCAAUAAUGUUUACAAUCGGAUGAGUGCUAAUUUCUAUUGAAAUCAUGAAGCAAUCUCUGAUCAUUGGUCUUCUUUGUAGAAACAUGAGCAUUGAAUUUAAAAUUAAUAAUUGUUACUUGGGAUUCAACCUUCAUAAUCAUUGCCUGGGUUUCCUAAUCACUUUCAAGAAUUACUUAUAUAGUGAAGGCACUCGAAACUAAUCAAAUUUGUCCUCUUAUAAAGUUGUCAUAUUCAAGCUUCAGAAUAGCCAAUAAUUGAAAAACUUAUCAUACUCCGCAAUUUGUUGAAGAAUAUUUGGGUCUAUUGAAGGGGACAAUAUAGGGAAUAUUUGUCCCAUAUGCUCAAAAUGUUCAAUUAACAAAGUGUUCUGUAUGUUUAGGGAUUUGUUAGCUUUAAUUACACAAAACAUUAGCAGUUUUAGAGAAAAUUAAUUUUUUUUUGCAAUCUUAGGUUCCAUGAAAUUAAAAAGCCAAUAACAAGUCAAUAUGGCUUGAGACCCAGUCAUCAUAUUCAAAGUCAUCCAACUUAGAAGCAUUCAUUUUGCCACUAACAUGUGCUAAUUUCCAUUUUCUAUCUUUCAAGAGAAAAAGACUGCUCUUAACCAUGGCAAAUAAUUGAACCCAUUAAGAAGAUUGAGGAAAGUAUCAUAUGAGGGUUGUCAUUUUCCUCCAUGACAAAGAAAAAGCAACAGAGAAAAACUCAUAAUAUUAGAAAGAGAAUGAAAGAAAUUGAGUCAUAGAUACACACAGAAGAAUCCAAAAAUAAAGCAAUAAUACAACCACAAAUAUGAGAAGAAGCUCAAUUACAAAGAAAGGAACUCAAUACAAUCAACUAAAAAGCGUUCCGAAGUUCAUACGAAAAUAUUCAUAAUGUGAAGAUCAUUUCAUGAUUCCUACAAUUUCUUCCUUCUACCAGUCCACUCCAUACAAGGUUUGAUCAACAACUUCUUCAUUGAUUUUCUGGUCUCUCUCCGGUGUAUCAUAGAGCAUUUUUGACAUGUUUCUGCAAGAUACACUUGUUAACUUUAAGCGACAUAAGUGCAAAAAAAUAAGAUCAUGUUGUAUUGCCUGUGCUUCCACUCUGCCUUGUUUAGUACUAUUAUGGAGCAGUACUUCCAUAUAGAACCAGUGAUCUCCAGUUCAUUAUGUUGCCUUCUUUAAACUAACUUUAAUUAUCUAUACAUAUAAAACAAAGUGGUCCCAUCAAGGGGCUAAAUCAAGAAUCAAGUGGGGCGAACAGGAAACAGUGGCAUCAAUUUUUAAGUCCAUAAGCUUUAAUAAAAGGAAUAAAACCAAGGAUAUGAAUAUGUUAUUUUUUCAUUUGUUCAUGCACUGGAAGAUCUUUCCUCUUCAAGCAUUGAACCAGCAUCCUUCUGUGCAAGUUGCUGUCGGAACCUUCUAUAAUUGUCAGAAGUCUGUUUCUGAAAUAUACAGAUAAAACUUUUAGCAAGUCUUGACAUUGCUCAUCACUAGGACAUUGUACUAGGAUACCAAUUCAUCUAAUUAGGGUUAAGUUGGCAUCUCGUACACUAUUUUUUAUUUUUCCUUCAUCUUUUGUUCCCAUUUGCAGUGGAAGUGGCACUUAGAAUAUCUGAUCAUGAAGAAUUAGCUUUCGGUGAGAUGAUACUAGGUCAAUUGCCAUUAUCUUUUUGAGUUACUGUGCGAGCAAUCUUGAAAAUAUUUUGGGAUAAAUAGAAUUUGUGCUUAUCAUAAACAUGCUAAACAUCCAAAUCAAGUGCUUUUACUAUUGAUAUCAAAUCAGUAAUUGAUUUUAACCUUUAUGCUUAUCUUUCAGAUUCUCAAUUAUGUAUCUUGAAUAAUGAUAUUAAGCAGAAAUCAUGAAUUGAAUUGCUUUAAUUAACUGUGCCUUAUCAAGCUUGUCAGCAGUGCUAUUGCUACCGCGAAUCAAAUUCGCUGUGCUUCCCGCCUUCUCCAAAUAAGCCACAAGCCCAAUUAUAUCCGCCCUCCUCCCAUCUCCAAGGGAUCAAAAAAUAAAAUGACUUCAAUCAAUUUUCAAGUUUUCCAUCUUGAUCAGUAGACCACCCGGCAUGAAUGUUACCCUCAGUUUAGGAAUAGGAAUUCCUUUUACUAAUCAUUUGGCACUAAAAACUAUGACCCCUAGCAAUUCAUUCCCUCCAUUAGAUAUCUGGGGGCAUCUUGGCUCAGCCAAAAAUGAUAAGUCAUUGCAUUUCACAUUGCAUUCAUUUGUAUUAAUGAGCUAAUUUUUUUUCACAGAAUGUGAUGUGAAUCGAAUUACUUCCAACCAUGUGUCUCUAUAAGGGUUUAACAAAUGUAAUUUGCAUUGUCUGUACACUUUUUUUUCGGUUUCUUUUCUUUUUUAUGCAUGAUUCAUUAGUCCACGGAUCUUCUAUGCAAAGUGUGCAGGCCAAACACCUCCUUCAAUGCAUUAUUCUAGAAGUUAAGACUCAGUUUACUCCUUAAUUGAUCUGUUCCAUUUACUUCAAAUCAUUUGAUUACAUUAAAUGAAUCUUGAAAUUCAAAAAUGCAUCAAAGUUAAAAGACCUUCCAAUGCAUUAAGAAAUCAUCUGAUACAAAUAUAUGUGAACCUGCAACAACAAUAAUGUCAAAAUGGAAAACUUAGGUAGAAAAUAUUAGAACGGAAACUUACGACGAACUCAAUUUUUGGCGCCUUUCUUCUUCUCAUCUUCUGAUCCAAGAAGCUCUUCCAACACCGUGUCAUCCAAACACUCGAACUCAAUGACUUGCUUUUCUUGCCCAGAAGAGGAACCUCCCAUCUCUAAACUCCUACAAGGCCCAGAAGAUGACGAGGAAGACGAUGAGGAUGGUGAUGGUGGGGGGCGAUGGGAGCCCAUGAUUUCAGAAUAGUACUCAUUAGGAAAGUUAAGAAUGGCAAGAUGACCCCUUAAGUUAAAGGCCGCUCGAUCAUAGGCGCGAGCUGCAUCCUCCGCCCUGUCAAAUGUGCCUAGCCAUAGACGAGCACCUUGCCUAGACGGAUCCCUAAUCUCGGCUGCAAACUUCCCCCAUGGCCUCCUCCUCACCCCUCGGUAUCGAACUUCUUCCUUUUCCUUCCCUUCCUGCUCCUGCUUCUCAUUCCCUUUCGAAUGAUCUUCCAUGCUAAACGUGUCGAUUUGCUAGGCGCAAUUUUUUUGGUUUCAAAUGUGCUGGUUUACGAGAGGCAUGGAUGCUUAUGUAUAUAUAUGGUUGCCACAGUCAGGUCUGACGUCACCGCUCAAUGUAUGUUCCACAGCGUGGGUUGACGAGCUUUCUGAGGGGGUUUCCUCGAAUUCAAAGCAAGUAUAAAAAUUCGAUUCUCCGACCUUUCCAAUGAGGAUCGAACAGGCCUUUUAUUAGAACCGUAUGAUAACUCCACACUGUUUUCAAAUAGUCAAUGUGAUCUAGAUUCUUCGUUAAUUUUUUCCACCUGACUGAUUGUUUACAAUUUUAUUUUUCACCGUCCCAAAUUUAAACCAUUUACGCGAUUCCCUGGAUUGCAUUUUUCUUUAAUGUUGACUUUACGAGGCAAUAGGACCCCCCAGCAACCCCACUAGGGCGACUUCAUGGGAACCAGAUUACUUUUGGAUCCAGAUAUGGUCCAGAAGAAAUAAGACAAAUCAAUUAAUGUCCACUAAAGUUUUGAUGGAACCCUUAGUCCGUGUUUCCUGUGGAUGUAUGUAUUGUAUGCACCUCAAUUUUCACCAAUCCCUGCUACGAGUCCCUUUAAUUUUGACGUUAUAAAUGUUUUUCCUGACAUUAGCAGAGUGUUUUUCUGCCGUCUUUGAGGACCUUCCACGGCCCAUAAACUAAUAAGGAUCGUCCAGUGAAUUUAGUCUUCCCCAGUUAAUUAUCCUGCGAGGGAAACUUGGGCAGUAAGUUGCCUACAUGAGUGGCUCCCGCCUACAUGAGUCAAGGGACCAUACGUCAGGACGACAACCAGUGUGGUCACACCAAAGUGGGUUGCCUGGACUCCAGGGUGGUCGCUUCAAAGUUGUCAAAUGAAGGCUAGCUUGGCAAGUUUUGGAAAACAAUUAUUGAAAAACAUUUUUCAUGAAUAACAGUUUCUAUGAACAGAUUUUAAGAAAGUUUAUUUUGUGAUUUUUAGGAAUAUUUUUAAUUUAAAUUUUUAUAUUUUUAAUUUUUUAUUAAUUUAUUGAUUAUUUAAUAUUAGCUUAAUUAAUGGAUUUUUCUUGGUCCCAAAUUAUUAAUUUAUCAAGAUUUAAUCGCAUCCAUAAUUAGUCUAAUUUCUUUUGGAGUGAGUGUGACAAAGUGCAAAUUUCUAGAGUUUUAUUAAUGUUAUUCAAUGUCAUAAUUUAACUAAUUAUAUUAAUUAUUUAUUAAUCAAAAUAAAUCAUUCACUUGAAAUAUGAUAAUUUAAAUUAAAAGUUUCAAUUAUUUAUUAAUUAGCAAAGUAUGAACUUUUCUUCUUGUUUUAUUAUUGUUAUUCCAUGUAUAUAAUUUAAUUAACUGUUUCCAAUAUUAAUCAAUAAAAAUAGAAUAUAAGCAUGAGAAGAAUUAGUAAAAUUCAUUGAUUUGGAAUUAGAUAGCUAGAGGAAGAACUUCAUCAUCUUCCCAUUACUUAAAUUUGUAUAAAUUCUAAAUAUUUAAACCCCCCCCCCCCCCCCCCCCCCCAAAAAAAAAAAAAAUGGUAAAGAAAGACUCCCCAAGCUUUCUUGGUUGGUGUUACCCUAAAAUUUGUACAAUAAGAUGAACCAUUUGGCUUAAAGCUUGGUGCGAAACCCCUUAUCAAUUGAAAAUAUCAAUGAAGUUGUUGAAUGGUUUUAGAGGACUAUUCUUAUGCAGAGUGGCAUAAGAAGCGAGGAGAUGAAGAGCGGAGAGACGUUAACAUCGGAUGCUGCUACGAAGGUGGGAAUACGGUUAAUUAAUUAGAUUUUGUGAUGGCUUUGAGUUUGAAGGAGUUAGUUUAAUGGGUAUUAUUAGUGAACUGAUAAUUGGAUUUGAUGUAAAGAAGGUUGGUCCAUUGGAUUAGCAAUUGGUUUGGCCUUUUGGGGGCCCCAUUUCCAAAUGCAUUGCCUUUUACAAGCAUUCAACAUCGCUGGACGUAACCAGGCUUGGUUCACCUAAAAGUAUCGCAUGGAUUGAAUUGACUAAGUUUUCAUUGUAGACUAGCCUUGAUUUUCCCUUGACCUGCCCACCAAAUCCUGAUGCCCACGCGAGGGAAUACCUCAAUUUUCUAAUAAUUUAUGCAGUUUCUCUUCAAAGCUCGUGUGAUCACUUGGGUCGGUAAAAUAAUGCAUUCCUCUACUUUUUCUCCCUUCCUAGAUGCAUGUUAUACCAUUAAUUCAAAUGUGAACAUGGGCUUGGCUUUGAAACUUGGUUCAAGGCCCAACAUGUUGACCCACAAUUGAGGUGUAAUUGAAUUUGUACACUUUUCGACUUUGAUACCAUUUGUCAUUACCAUUGACAUUGGGUCAUUGUUGAUUUUGAGUCCACAACUUUUAAGGUUGUUAUUACAAUUUUAAAUUGCGCCCACCCAAUUUAUAUGCAUUAUCCCUUAUAAAUACCGAUAACCUCUCUUUCUUCGAUAAUAUAAAAUGUCACAUAUAUUAUAUAUCUCAAUGUUUUCUUUUACUUUUUUUUUUUUUAUCGAUCGACAUUCUCUCUCAGAUGAUAUGAGAUGUCACAUAUAUUAUAUGUUUCAAUGUUUCUUUUACUUUUUCUCUUUUUCCUCAUGAUUGACAUUGUCUUUCUCAAAUGAUAUGAGUUGUCACAUAUAUUUUAUGUCUCAAUGUUUUCUUUAACUUUUUUUCUCUCUUCUUUAAUGAUCGACGUUCCUUUUCUCAGAUGAUAUGAAAUGUCAUAUAUAUUAUAUGGCUUAAUGUUUUCUUUUACUUAUUCUUUCUUUAUUAAUAAUCGACAUUUUAAGCAAUAUGUGAAUAUAAAGCAUUAAAAUUAUCUCCAUCGUUUUUGGAUGUGGUAUAAAUACACAAUUCUUAUUUUUGUUUUAAAUAUUUCUAUUGCUAUCUAUUGAAAUUUUAUGCAUGAAGCUACCAAGUUAAUUAUACAUAUAUCUUAAGAUUUUUUUUUUUUUUUUUUAUAGGAUAUAUUGUCCAUGAAUAUUUUCUGCAAUGGUAUCUUGUUUGAUUACUAUAAGAAAUAAUAUAUAUAUAUAUAUAUAUAUAUAUAUAUAUAUAUAUAUAUAUAUAUAUAUAUAUUAUAUUUCAAUGUUUCAUAUUUGCUUAAAAUAAAAAUUAUAUUUUAUCACAAUAUUUGGUAUUAAAAAAAAUGAAAUCUCUCUCAUUUAUUAUUACAAAAAAAUUAUAAUUUAUAAUUUUCUAAAUAAGUUUUAUUUAUUUGCUAACUAUAUUCAUGAUUAAAAGAUUUAAAAUUUAUAAAUAAAAAAUAUUAUGUCAUGUCAUUAAAUAAAUAAAAAUAUAUGUAUAUAUUAAAAUUAUGUUUUAUUGUAGCUUUUAAUAUUUUUUUUUUUAUUCUUUUCUUUUUUGAACUACAAUUUUAAUUUUUUUUAAUCAAAAUUUUUUAAUUUACAAAACGAGUAACAUAAAACUUGCCUUUGAACUUUAUUGGAAUGUUAUAUACUACCAUUUGGCUUUCAAGACAUUAGAAAAGGCAUAAGUGUCCCUUUUAUUUUUCCGAAAGGCAUAUUAGACUAUAGUAGGAAGUGUUGUAUAGAGGCAACUAAAAGUUGCCUUUAACUUUAUGAAGUCAUAUACUCCUCUUUGGCUUUGAUGACAUCAACUAGCAAAUUGGAUUUUGUUUCCUUUGCAACAUUUUUCCAUCCAUUAGCCAGUUUUUUUAUACUGUUUGGUGCUUGCCAACAUGGCACACACUAUGGUUCUUAAAAAGUAUUUUUUUUUUUAAGAUACUACGAAAUAAAAUACACGAUUGAAAGAUGAGUCACAAUAAUUUUCAAAACUAAAUUUUUUAAUAUUGUUAAGAAAAUUUGACCACCAAAUGAUUGAUUUUAAAUUACAAAUACUUUUGUUAGCUAAGAAAUUUGUUGUUCUAUUUGUUUCCCUAUAAAUAUGACAACAAUCAUAAAUAUUUUCAUUUUAAGAUAAUUUUCAAAUAUCUUCCAUUAAUAAUAUAAUAGAAUUAGGAAUUUUUUUUUUAGUUAUAACAAUCUAUAAUUAUUUAAGAGUCUUCCUCAAUCUCUAGGUUUAAGAACUUAUUGUUCUUAACAACUAACAUGUCAUCUCUUAAAAUAAUACAUUCUGCAAUAAUUAUUGAAAUAUGAUAUAAUAUAUAUAUCUACUUACAACCAUUUUUGUAGUACCAUUAGAAUUUUUAAUUACCCAUUCUAAAGUAUUUUUAUUCUCUAUUCUUAAACCAUCAAAAUUUAAUUUAAAUCUUUCAUUAAUUGGAUAAAUCCAAUGAAUCUAACAAGUUAAAGGAUUAUGAAUCCGACAAAACAGUUGAUAAUAAAUUAAUAAUGCCAUUAAUAUGAUUUUAAUGUGAAACACAAUUAUCACAUUUAAUACAGUUAGUCCUUGUAUGAUUAAUGUUUUGGAAGCUAAAAUCAAUCUUUUGACUAUAAUAAGAGUUUCUACUAUUUCUAUUUUUGGAUGAUUUUAUAUUUUUCUUAUUGUUUUAGUUUAAUACAAAAAAUAAAAAUAAAAUUACAUUAGUAGAAUUUUUUUAACUUACUCAAAAACCUAUUUUAGUUGAAUGAUUUUUUUAAAAAAAAUAUAAAUAUUUUGUUAAAAGGGAUAAAAUAACCUUACCUUGUGAAAAAGACCUCUUCACCCAAGAUUACUUGUUCAUAAUCCUUUUAAGACGAAAAUGCCCCCUUCCUAAAAAAUAUUUCAUCUUAAACUUAUUUUUCUUUUUAUUGCCCUUUGUUCCAUCCUUCCGGCUUGGGAGAGAAAUUCAUUCUUCUUUUGCGAAGAAAAAUUCCUAUUGCGAUUUUUCAUUUCAAGUGGAAAAAAAAAUUCUUAUUUCAUUUUAAAGAAAUUGUACAUUUUCAAUCUUUCUCUUUGUUCCUAGUUGAGGGUUUUUUUUGUAAUUUUAUCUUAACACUACAAAUUUAAAGGUGAGAUUAAAUCUUAAUGGUUAUUAGUUAAAUCACAUAUCUAACUUUGUUUUUGUCAGGACCUAUAAUAUGAUUGGAACCACCAUCCAAACUUCAUUAGGUGGGAUACUCCCCACCCUCCCCCUCCCCCCGCGAAAUCCUUGGAUUUUAGUUUUGACUUGGAUUUCAAUUGCCCGUAUCAAUUUUUCUUUAUUUAUUAAUUUAUUAAUUUUCAACUUUAACAAAAGCCUUGAAUCAUAUUUAAAUUCAAAUAACUUAAUCCUAAUUAAGUUCUUUUUAAAUAAAAAUUAAUCAUUGAAAAGUUCAUGUGACUAUUAUAAUUGAGAAUUUAUCCCAAGUUGGGUUUUUUGCAAAUAAAAUUUUAUUAUAGGACAUCAUGAUGCAACAUAACAUAAGGUUGUUACUUAAGUUUGUUUUGACCUUGUAAUAUGUUAAAAUGAAAAUGAAGCCAUUGUAACAGGAGAGAAUGAUGAAGCUGUGGAGAGAGCUUAACAAAGCUUGGGUUGGAGAGACUUCACAGGAAGAGAGAGAGAGAAAUAAAGGGUAAAAUUAUCAAAAGAGAAAAGAAAAAAAAAAAAAAAAAAGAAGGUUAUGUCUUCAAAUAAUCAAUAAGAGAUGUCAUUUUUCUAAUUUUCAAAGUUCUUUUGGUCCUUCUCUACAAAUAUCCCUAUAAAAAUAUUAUAAUAUCAAGUUAAUUUGUCAAUACCAAAAUUUAUAUUUUAUAUUAGGGCGACUAAAUAACAUAUAGAAAGAAUUUUAAAUGAGUAAAUCAAAUCAAUUUUGAAACCAAAACUUAAUAAUUACCAAACUUGUAAUCUUAGUCAUUAAAAGUGUACGAUGAAAUCUAAAUUAUUAAGCAAUGAAACAAAAAAUUAAGAUUAAAAUACAAAACGUUAAAAUCAAGAUACAAACUAUUAAAAUGUAAGUGGGAUAUGAGAUGAUAUUAUAAAAAAUAGUGUGAUCCAACAAAAAGUCUAGUACAUCAUUAUCUUCACUUCCAACCAUGUUUAAAAGGUCACAAGUUCUAGCGGUUUCCAAGGACAAUGUUAAAAAUAAUAAAAAUAAAUCCAAUUAAAUAUUAAUUAAUUUAUUUGAAUUUGAGUCCGACAAAAUAGUUGGUAAUAAGUUAAUAAUGCCAUUAAUAUGAUUUUAAUGUGAAACACAAUUAUCACAUUUAAUACCCGUUAGUCCUUGUAUGAUUAACUUUUUAGAAAUUAAUAUCAAUCUUUUGAUUAUAAUAAGAGUUUCUACUAUUUAUAUUUUUGGAUGAUUUUAUAUUUUUCUUAUUGUUUUAGUUUAAUACAAAAAAAUAAAAAUAAAAUUACAUUAGUAGAAUUUUUUUUAACUUAUUCAAAAAACCUAUUGUAAGGUGAAUGGUUUUUUUAUUUUUUUUUUAAAUAUAAAUAUUUUCUUAAAAGGGAUAAAAUAACCUUACCUUGUGAAAAAAGGCCUCUUCACCCAAAUUUACUUGUGCAUAAUCCUUUUCAGACGAAAAUGCCCCCUUCCUAAAAAAUAUUUCAUCUUAAACUUAUUUUUCAUUUUUAUAACCCUUUGUUCCAUCCUUAUGAUUUGGGAGAGGAAGUCAUUCUUCUCUUGUGAAGAAAAAAUUCCUACUGCCAUUUUUCAUUUCAAGUGAAGAAAAAUAUUUAUAUUUCAUUUUAAACAAAUUGUACAUUUUCAAUCUCUCUUUGUUCCUAGUUGAGGUUUUUUUUUUUUUUUUUUUUUUUUGUAAUUUUAUCUUAAUUGUACAAAUUCGAAGAUGAGAUUAAAUCUAUAAUGGUUAUUGGUUAAAUCACUUAUCUAACUUUGUUCUUGACAGAUCGUAUAAUAUGAUUGGAACCACCAUCCUAACUUUAUUAGGUGGGAUCCCUUUUUUUUUUUCCCCAAACCCUUGGAUUUUAGUUUUGACUUAUAUUUCAAUUGUCUGUAUCACUUUUUCUUUAUUUAUUAAUUUUCAACAAGUUCUUUAACAAAAGCCUUGAAUCAUAUUUAAAUUCAAAUAACUUAAUCCCCAUUAAGUUCUUUUUAAAUGAAACUUAAUCAUGUGAAAGUUCAUGUGACUAUUAUAAUUGAGAAUUUAUUCUUAGUUGGGUUUUUUGUAAAUAAAAUUUAGUUAUAGGACUGUGAUGAUCCGUUCUCAACCGUAUAAAUAUUGUUCGUUUUGAAUUCAAAAUAACUUUUACGGCUUUAAAACAUGUUUACAAGAUUAAGAGGAGUCCAUAUUUAUAUAGCUUCACGAACUUUCCCCCCUAUUCGAUGUGGGAUGUCACAAGGACAUCAUGAUGCAACGUAUAACAUAAGAUUGUUUCUUAAGUUUGUCUAACCUUGUAAUGUGUUAAAAUGAAGAUGAAGCCAUUAUAACAGAAGAGAAUGAUGAAGUUGUAGAGAGAGCUUAACAAAGCUUGGGUUGGAGAGACUUCAUAGGAAGAGAGAGAGAGAGAGAGAGAGAAAUAAAGGGUAAAAUUAUCAAAAAAGAAAAAAGAAAAAAAAGAGGGUGAUGUCUCCAAAUAAUCAAUAAGAGAUGUCAUUUUUCUAAUUUCAAAGUUCUUCUGGCCCUUCUCUACAAAUAUCCCUAUAAAAACAUUAUAAUAUCAAGUUAAUUUGUUGAUACCAAAAUUUAUAUAUUAUAUUAGGAUGACUAAAUAACAUAUAGAAAGAAUUUUAAAUGAGUAAAUCAAAUCAAUUUUGAAAUCAAAACUUAAUACCUACCAAACUUGUAAUCUUAGUCAUUUAAAGUGUUCCAUGAAAUCUAAAUUAUUAAGCAGUGAAACAAAAAAUAUAAGAUUAAAAUACAAAACGUUGAAAUCAAGAUUCAAACUAUUAAAACGUAAGUGGAGACGUAAGAUGAUGUCAUAAAAAAUAGUGGGAUCCAACAAAAAGUCUAUUAAUCAUUAUCUUCACUUCCAAUCAUGUUUAAAAGGUCACAAGUUCUAGCGGCUUUCAAGGACGAUGUUAAAAAUAAUAAAAAUAAAUCCAAUUAAAUAUUAAUUAAUUUAUUUGAACAAUAGAUAGGACCAAAAUAAUAUUCUAAAAGGAAUCAUAGGGAAGUCCUUGGACAACCUACGACAUUGAACAAAGGUACAGUGAGACAAUGCACUUAGCCCUUCCUUGUCAUUGCGAUGAAUAUAAAAAGACACCCUGAUUGAGGGUGCCCCACUAAGCCAAGAGUGAUUCUUUUGUAUUGUAUAACGUGAAUAUUUUUGAACUUUGAAUGACCCUUCCUAUAGUCAUCAUUGUCAAAACUAGAAAAUCAGAAAGAUGCGAUGUACGAAGGCACCAUUGAAUAAGAGGCUUAAUUCUCUUUGGCAAUUAGGAUAAAGUUUCAAAAUAGAAAAAUUAAACAAAUGUACAGUGUACGGACACUUGGGCAUUGCCUAUUUGUUUUGUUCUUCUAGAGUUGUAUAUGGUAAAGGUCAUAUUGGGUUGGUUCUAUUUGGUUAUUGAAGUCGGCUAGAAUAUUAGAUUUGGUUUCAAUCUAAUCCCAUAUGAUAUUAGAAUACCAGCCCAUACAGAAUUUUUGACCAAAUAUAAUAUUUCUUUUAAAUAUAAAUAUAGUAAUUAAUUUUAGUCUAAGAUUAAUUAUGUAGUUUCCUAAAGAGACCACUUCCUAAACGGUAGCUAUGUGGAAGUUGGGCCAGGUCCUGCCGAGAAGGUUUCCACGAGCUGAGCCCAAAACUGAGUAGCUGUGAUGGGAUCAUUCUAGCAUUCAGCCUGAAACUUGUAACAUAACGGAUCGAGAGGCCUGAACUCCAAGACCAUGGUUCGUCAGCCCAUUAACUUCAACAGCACGCAUUUUAGAGGACUGGGCUUGCAAGGGGUGAGGUUUCCGGGCCGCGACCCCAAAUAUGAACAGCCUCAGAAGUGAUAUUGCUUACUGGCACGUGAAGAGCGCAAGCGUAACUAGAAGAUUUGUAAUGCCGCUUUAAUUGUUUGAUUAUAGAAUCCCACGCAUUACGCAUGGAAAGUGUAAAAGAUAAAAGAUGUAGAAUUUUUUCUUAGAGAAAAGUUCGUUUGGAUAUAGUUAUUGUUUUUUUUUUAAAUAAUAAUUGUUUUUUUUAUAAAUUAUAGAUAAUCUUAGAAAUUUAUCUUUAAAAAAAUAGUUUUUAAAAAUAUUUAAGGAGAAUAAAAGUGAUAAAAAAAAACUUUACAAUUUCAAAUUUUUAAAAAAUGAAAAUUAUUUUUAAGAAUAUAAGUUAAUCUCCUGCAUUUAAAUCUUAGGUGGUUUUUGUUUUUUUUACUUUUCGCUGAAAACAAUUUGUUUUCAAAAUUUAGGUCAUUUGUUUUUUCUAUUUUUUCAUGAUUUAUUAUAAAUUUUUUACUAAAUAAAAAAAAUCAAAAUAUGUAACUUUUUCUAAAUAAAAAAAAUAACGUAUUGAUUUUUCUUUACUUUUUAAUACUUAAUAGAUAUAAAAUACUACAAAAACAAAAAAUCUAAUAUUUAACACUAUUAAGCAUUAAAGUUCUAUUUAGAAUUAAGUAAAAAAACAAACACCACCUUAUAUUUUAUAUAAAAGUUACUUAUAUUUUGGUUUUUGGAAAUAAAAAAUAUAAAGCAUAUCCAAACAUGAGCUUAGCUAUUUUAAAUCAUAUCAAAAUAAUAAUCCCAAUAAGGUAAAUGGACUUUUAUACGGAGAAUAAUCUUUAAGGUUUUCAUUUUUAUUGGAUUUUUUUUUUGUGGUGUUUUUUCAAUCCAUCUUCUCAAUUAAUUCCUUAAAAUUAUUUUACUGUUUUUUUUUUUUUCAGUUUCUAAAUAUUUGAUUUUUCCAAAAUGCUUAAAUGGAAGACACUAAUUUUUCAAGAUAUUUGGUAUUACAAUUUUCCCUGUUCUCCCUAUUAUCUAUCAGAUUCAUGGCCCUUUUGUUUUUUCAUUGGUUUUCAAUUUAAUUUUCCAAAUAUUACAUUGUUGUGUUUUGAAUUUGUGAAACCAAUUUUAUAUAUAUAUAUAGUAUGUAAGUCUACUUUGGGUAACAUGUACAGAGAGGUUUUCAUGUGUUUGAAACCUUUUACCUCAAAAAUUAAUUAUUUUUAAUUUUAUAAUAAAUCUUUUUUUAUUUUUUAUUUUAUUUAGGAAAGCCUAUAUUUAAACUACAUGUUUGCAACGCAACACCAUACAUACUCCUAGUGGAACUUACCUUAGUGCUUGAGGGGGAUGCAGAUCUUCUUCUAAACCUAACUAAUAAGCAUAAAAUUGUUCACUAAUUAGCAUAUCUAGUAAAUCAUACAAAUUGGCAAUAUUUCAUGUUUUUCAUGUUUUGUCAAUAAAAGGCGUCUUGACCAUUUUGUGAGUUUUGUAAUAAAUAAAAAAAAAAAAAAAAAAAGGGCAAAAGGUGACUAAAAUGAGGCACUUUGGAAAGGUUAAUAACCUAAAAGGAAGAUGAAUUAAUACCCCCUUAUUCCUCUUCAAAAACCAUUGAGAAAAUGCAAGAAAUGCUCUUAGUUGUAUGCUAGGCUAACAGCCUAGCAACCAUAAUACCCUUCUUUGCAAUUGUAAGCAUUUUUUUUUUUUUUUUGAAGGCCAAACAACGUUGCAAACUUCCCAAAUCCCUUCUUUAUUUUUUAUUUUUUUAUUUUUGUUUUUAGAAGGAGAAUGAAUUUGAUGACAAACUCCUUGUCAAUCUUAUCCAAACCACGAUCGAACAGAACUCCUUGUCAAUCUUAUCCAAACCGUGUUCCACCUCAAAAACAUGUGUAGGACUUAAGGCAGCAACUGGCAAGCAUGACUGAUAGGGCCAAGUGCCCUUGUCUCUACAAUCCAUUAAGUUAACCAAGGGCAGUGAACCAUCAUUCUUUUCAAAAGCUUCAUUCCGUGUUGAAAAUGUGAGACUGAAGCAUGGUGCCCCCAAAAAUAACGAUCUAUUUACUAGCAGCAUGCCUGGACCCAUUAAAAAUACUCUACUUUAGGAAUAGAAAAAAUUACAUCUUUAUCCAAUAAUUUUAUAACAAUUCAGACGUUUCAGUCUAUAAAUAAUUGUACAUAGUUGCCAACGUUUAGCUAGUUUCAAAUGAAUAGCCUAGGUUCAUGCACCAGUUUGGCUGGUGGAGGAAAGGGAUUCGAGACAUUGAACCCUCUUUUUAGUGUGCCAAAUAUUCCACAAAAAUCACUACCUUCUCUUUGUGUUUGUUCACUUUUAGUUUAUAUUUAAUAAAUCUAUGUUUUCGAGUAGAGGUUGGGUUCAGGUGCGACCCACGUCACCUCUCGGACGGUCUUGAAAAAGGAGACCGGACCACGUAAUUUCAAAUGUAGUGACCAUCUCACUUUUACCUCCAUCCUUGAAGAUGGUUUCCCAAAUCAAUAUUAAUCUUUUGUUUACGACAAUAUCGAUCACUUUAUGUCUAUAUCGUUGUUAAUUUACCUUUUUUUUUUAGCCACAUUAUUUGAAAAUUGAUGCAAACUUUACCAACAUCUUGGUACCAUUUUAAAAUAUUAGAGUUAUUUGAUUAAAAAAAUAAAAUAAUCUCGAUAACUUGUUUAUAAAAUAAAUAUCUUUUAACAUUUAGACUAUUCUCACGCAUGCUUUAAAAUUGUAAAGAUAUUCAUAAAGUGGAACUUUAGACUUAAUCAAUAUCGAUCACUUUAUGUCUCUAUUGUUGUUAUAUUUUUUUUUUACAACAUUAUUUGAAAAUUGAUGCAAACUUUACCAACAUCCUAAUACCAUUUUAAAAUAUUAGAGUUAUUUGAUUAAAAAAAUAAAAUAAUCCCGACAACUUGUUUAUAAAAUAAAUAUCUUUUAAUAUUUAGACUAUUUUCACCAUGCUUUAAAAUCAUAAAGAUAUUUAUAUUCAUAAAGUGGAACUUUAGACUUAAACAUGAUAAUAGUUUUUUUACAAUAUUAUAAUUAUUUUAUCGUUUUAAUUAAGCCCUUUAUCAUACAUAUAAAUGUAAAUUAAUGCUAAAUUUUUAAAGCAACGUAUAACCUUUUACAUCUUUUUUUAAGAUGGUGCGAAAAUCCUAUGAAAAAUAAUAAAAGUCGAUGCAUAAGAAGAUUGUUUUGAUAAUUCAAUAGAAAAAUUCUUUUAAAAUGAUAUUAAAAAAUACCCAUAGAGCCUUUAUUAAAAAAAUCAAUUAUUUUCAUAAUAAAAAUUAUAAUUUUUUAUUAUGUAUUAUUAUUUUUAAGUAUCUUUAUUACAAAUACUUUUUUUGAGUUUAUGAGAGGAAUCAACAGGUUGGUACAAGCUUAGGCGUCCUCGUACAUGUUCCCGCUGUGCAAGGUUUUUGUCUUGUUUCGAGCUAGUCGGAAUUUACGUGUUUGAUAACGUUUUGUCCUAUUUUUGUAACGCUUUAAAGGGCGGCCCACCGUUGGAACAGUUCAAGCCAUCCAAAUCAGCCCGGAGGGUUAUGGCGACGUGGCAUGACGCCUACCACCUUAGUUCACAUGAACCCUAUGAUCGUACUACCCUCACAUGACAUCUGUGAUUCUUCACCUCCAAACCCUCUUUAACUUGGUAAUGUAUUCAAAGCUUCAUCAAAUCAUAGCGAUUAGCGACCCUCUUCCACCCUAAUUUUAUAAUAAAAAAUAAAUCUUAGUGGACAUUAAAGUAGUAUUUUGUGGGGGGAAAGAAAAACUCUAUGGGCGUAUCCACUAAAUACGAGCCAAGUAUAAGAGUUAUCACCAUGGAAUCAAAUUAUGAAGCAUUGACAUUUUAAUUGUAUUCAGAUUUGAGGAGGGCACCGCGGCACCAGCUGGCCCAGUGUAGUCUGCUAGCCUACCCGCCAUAAUGACCAAAUUAAUAAAGUAAAAAGGAUUACAGGGAUAUUCCCAACUUUAUUCUGGGUCUGAGCUGGAACUUGGGAGUUAUCACGAUCAACGGGAAAGAUGGUGGGUAGGGGACGAGGAUUGAGGGCUCCAUAUUCACAUCAGUGAAAAACGAAAUGUAUUGAGACAAGUCUUCUAAGGAUUUUCUAGCGUAUUAUAUGGUUUAAAUGAUUAUAAAUCUGUAGUUACUGGUAAAGAGUAGAGAGUGAAGACGAAAGACGUUGAGUGAAAAGGAAGGAGGAGAGGGGAUGGGGCCAUCUUACCGUGUCGGGGAGGAUCCAUAAAAGGACUACGUUCCCUGAAUCUGUAGGCAUCAUGCCUCGCCUAACGGGUUAGUCAAAAUACAGUGAUGUGUGUGAGUUGGGGGCCUCACUCCUCAUUUCUUUCCUUCUUUUCACCCCCACCCCCACUUUUUUUUUUUUUUUUUCGAAUUUUUCUUUGUCCUUUUCUCUCACUUGCGCACGCGGGAGAAGGACCACAAACUAGACAAUUCCUCUGCUCACGUGACCCCGAGUUUUUAAAUAUUUGCCUAUUUGGAAAAUAGUCAUGAAUCAUGAUCGUUAACAAACAAUCUUCACUUUAUUUAUUUAAGAUCUAUUUUUUGGAGCUCUAGUUUAGUUUAUUAUUAUUAUUAUUAUUAUUAUUAUUAUUAUUAUUAUUAUUUAGUAACUCCUCUUAUAUUAAUGAAAAAGAGAGGAGGAAUCCAAACUUGUUUAUUCUUCCUCUUUUAAGGUGUUUGUUUUUUUUAUUUUAUUUUUAUGCUUCAUAUGUCUUCAAUUUCUUAGCAUUUGUCUUAUAUUUCUUCUUAUCCGAUUCAUUAUUGCAUCCUUGGUCAAUCUUUCACGAGGAGUGCCUACUUUUUUCCUUUUUAUUAUUUAAUUCACUUUAUCUUUAUAUUUUCCUUUUACACUUUAUUUCCAAUUCAAAACGUGUCAAAAAAAAAAAUUGGUAACAAAAAAAAAAAAAAAAAUCAAUUGUAAUGAUUCUUAUAUAAUUUUAUUUAAUUUUUAUUAAACAAUAAAGAAAUUAAAAAUAUAUAAAUUUUUAAAUAAUUAUUAUAGUCUUUCAUUUUUGUGUAUAAUUUCUUUUGCAAGAAAUAGUGUAGGCUUUCCACGGUCUAAAGGAAAUGGAAUAUCAAAUGAGAAGGUAAUAAUAAUAAAGUGAGUUAUAGAUACUAAUCAAACUAAUCCACUAAUGAAUUAUUUAUUUUUAUUUCACAUGGACAAAUCCUAAAAGUUGGAGUUCUAAUUUACUUUUAUGUUAAGCUUUUUUAAGUAAAAAUCUUUUAUUAUUAUAAUUUAUAGACAAAAAGAAACCCAUUAAUGUGAUGGAUAAAAAAUUUCAAUUUAAAAAAAAAAAAAUUAAAGUUGCUAAAUUUUUGUAUUUAUUAUUUCAAACUCAUUUAAAUAAUUUAAAAAUAUGUCUUCAAUUAAUUUUAAUGAAACAAAGCAUGAUUUUUUUUUAAUUUUUUUUUCUUUACCAAAUAAAGCAUUAUUAUAAUACGUUGAUUAAAUUUUCAUCAUGUCUCUCAAGAUUUGGAUUAAAUAUACUUAGUUGUCAUAAAUUUGAAAUUUUAUUUAAUGUAUUUUUUAUUUUAAAUUAAAAAGAUGAAUGCAAAUAAAAAAAAUAUGUAUAUUUUAUAAAAUUUUAAAUUAAACGAAGGAUACGUGUAUUUAACCAAGGUGAAUGAAAUUAAUCCAAAUACUUUUUGGUAACUUGCAAAAUAUCUUGACGAAAUCAUUAUGGCAGGCAUCGUACAAGCUCAACCCUUGUCGCCUUGCUAGAAAUAGAGAAACAAAAAGACCCCCAAAUUGGGUUGCAUCCUAAAUAUGAAGAAGUGGUAACAAAGGAAGAAAAAAUGCUGUGUUAUUGAAUAGUUAAUACAUUGAACAUGAUAUGUUACAUAGAGAGCCAGAUUAAUCCUAGUGGAAUUCCACUGUCACGAUGGUAACCUAGGGUUAUGUUUGGUUAUUGAAAAUACCAAGAAAAGAAAAAAAAAUAUAAAGGAAAAUAAUUUUUUCAUUUUUGAUUGUCUUAUAAAAGAUAUAAAAAAAAAACAAAUAUAAUUAAAACUAAUUAAAAAUUUAGGUAUUUUUAAAUUAUUUAAUUUUUAUAUUAAUGAGCGAAAAUAAAUAAAAUAAGUUUAAAAUAACAAAAAAAAUAAUUUACCGAUUUUUAAUCUAUAUUUUAUUUUACUUUUUCUUUGUAUUUUUUUUUUCUUAUAUUUUCCCUCAAAUUUUCUGAAUCAAACAUAGCAAAAAAGGAGCUACCCCUUUCGAAAGAAACUCCCAAGAAUUUCAAAGAAACCUGCUGAGAUAAUGAAUGAGGGAUCACUGUCGGUAAACAGUAUCCAUUCUUUUGGGAGGACUUUCAAACUGAGAAGUUGUUUUCAUGACUUGGAAACAAAAUUUUGAGCUCUAAGGGGGUCUGUAUUUGGGCCCUAAAAUUCAAUCCAUCAAUCUGAAAAAUGCUUAGGAUAAUGAUUUGAUUUAGCCACAAUCACUAAACAAAUUCCAGAGGAAAAUUUCGCUACUCAUAGGUGGCUGAUUCUCAUAAAAAGACAUCGUGGUAGGGUGUCUCAAGUGCAGGCUCACCAUCAACUUGCUGCCCUUUUUAGAUUAUUGUAAAAUGAUUUCACAUGAAGCCCAAUGCAAAACUUUGAAAGAAAAGGUUGGUGGAGACGUGAAGAAUAUGUAACCCAUAGGCCAUAACUAGUACCGAAGAUUAUUGAACAAACAUUCAAGGUUUUUGUAUAGACGAAACUGAAAAGAAUGUGUACCAGACUCAGGCGUUCAGAUCAGAUGAUGCCGUAAUGUGGAUUGUGGAGGAGCAUUGUGCAGACAGAUAAUGAGAUUCUGAAAGCGAGGCCACUGAUGGGCCCUUGGAAGGGGGGCGUGCCUUCAAAAUUAUAUAUAUAUAUAUAUAUAUGUCAUUGAAAAUUGGAAGCAACUUUUCUUCUUAAGUUAUUUUAAUCGAAGAAGAAACAAAAAGUUAAAAACAUACAUUAUUCUUCCUUCUUACGAGGUUUCCGGGUCUAAAUUACUAUGGUCUCUGCAACUGGCGUCGUUUUCUCUCCCCUCUCUCUAUUUUCCCUUUAUUUUUUCACUUUUAGAAAGAAGCAUCCCAUCAAGAAUCUACUACAACCCUACGCUUCCAUUUUGAUUUAGAAAGUUAAAAAUAAGUUUAAGUUAAAAAAAAAUAUUUUCUUAUAUAAUUAUUUAAACUUAUUUCUUUUCCUUUUUAUAUAAAGAAACAAAUAUUUUGCAAAUAAAUAAAUUUCUAAUUAUUUUCAUUAACAUAAUAAUAAUAUUUUUCAUAUGACUUUAAUCACAAUUUUUUUUACCACUUGUCCAAGGCGGUGAGAGGUGAUAAAAUGUAUUAAAAAAACGAUUAAAUUGCAUUAGGUAUAGAAGUUUUGUGCUUCAAUUAUCACUUAUAAAAAUAAAAUAAAAAUAGUCAAAUUUGAGUGUGCAAGUUGGUAUUCGUAUGUAGAAGGAAUUGGGGGAUUUGGGGGUCCUAACAAAUUUGAUAUGAUUGAUGGAAGGAAAUGAUUAUUAUAGGAUAAAGUCCGAAUGAAACGCUGACGAGGGGGGAAAAACAACAGUGGCAAUGCACUAUCCACAGAUCCAUGAUUGAUUUAUGUUAGCAAUAAUGAAUUAUUUUGACUUUGAUAACCUUGGUUAAGAGAAUUUGGUCUUGUUAUUAUCAUUUUUUCAAAAAAAAAAAGUGUAGGUAACUAGGUAGUUGAUUUAUUAGAAUUUAGAAAUGAGGAUCCCCUCCUCCUGCAAGAGCCGUGACAGACAUGCCUGCUUUCUUGCCAGAUUAUACCAAUGUGCCCAAAUAAUCCCCCAUCUAUCAUCUCUGCACCCUGGAACACGUCACUCCCUCCUUUGAGCAAUAAAAUAUCUCUUUUAUUUUCUUUUGAACCACUCUUCUAUUUCUUUGUACCAGACUGGACCCAUUUAAAUUCUUCGCUACGCUGUUCCCAAGGACUACGAGAAUCAAAAUAGCAAAAUUCUUGAAUCAUUUUAAUGGGUUCAGAAACCACAUGUUUCUCUAGAUCAUAAGAGGAAAAUCUUUUUGGAUGGUGUUUGUGUUGUGUUGUGUUCAAUAUUAAAUACUCAAUUAAAUAAGCUAAAUCAAAUAUCACAUGAAAAAUAAUCAAAUUAAAAAUAGGGAGAAUUAUGUUUUGAGGGUAGAUGGACCCCAAAUUAACAAAAGGUUCAUGUAACUCUUCAAAUUGAGCCCAGACCCAAUGAAAAUAUGGAAAUUGAGUUGAAGUAUAUCAUCAUUCAGUAUUUCCAAAAAUGUCCUUUGUUGAUUUUGAGAAAAAAAUUAAUAUUUUUGAAAAAUAUUUUUAUGUAAUUUAAUAUUUUUUUAAAUACUUUUAUUUAAUUUAAUAUUUUUAAAAAAUAAAUUUAUUUAAUUUAAUAUUUUAAAAAAUAUUUAAUUUAAUAUAUUUUUUAAAUACUUUAAUUUAAUUUAAUAUUUUUGAAAAAAAUUUUAAUUUAAUAUUUUUGAAAAAAAAAUUAUUUAAUUUAAUAUUUUUUAAAACUAUUUUUAUUUAAUUUAGUAUUUUUGAAAAAAAAUUAUUUAACUUAAUUUUAUAAAAUAUUUUAUAUGUGUUCUUAAAGGGUAUAUUUGUCCGUUACUAUUUCAUAUCCUUCAACUCAAUUUAAAGAGUUAUAUGGACCUUUUGUUAAUUUGGGGACCCAUCUACCCUCAAAAGAUAAUUCUCCCUUAAAAAUAUAAAUUUAAAUAUGACAUAAUUAUUAAAUAUGUUAGAUCUUGUAUGAGUUUAUAAGAUUUAUGUUUCAAAAUAACAUGUUUAUAAUUCAUCUAUUGAUUUAUAAUCAAAUUUUAAAUAAAUUAAAGUUAUUCAAGUUAAUAAAUAUGAUUUAUGUUAUAAAGACUAACUAAAAAAUAAUUUAUUAAUUAAACGGAUCCUGGUCAAUAAAAAUUUGAUUUAAAUACGAUCAUACUUAAUCAAAACUUAGGUCAAAUUGUAUUGAUAAAUUACAUCAAAACCUUGUUGUGUUCAAUAUUUUAUAUUAAACUAUUUUUUAAUAAAAUUAUUUUUAUAAAUAUAAUAUUACAUCAUUUGGAGAAACAAAAUAGUAUUAUAUUGAUUUUACAUAUAAAGCAACCAGUUAACCCCUCAUUAUUUUGAUCCAUUUCACAUCCAUAUCAUUCUCAUAAUUUUUUUAUAAUAUAUUAACAUGAUGGACGGUAAUUGAGGGUAGAAAAAAAAGAUGAGAAGAAUAAAAUAAUGUGAAUCCUCUCUAAAUGUUACAUCUUCUGACAAAUGAAGUCUAUAGAAAUGUGUAAAAAAAAAAAAAACACUUAAUUGUGAGGUUCACUUGAUUUAGCAAAAAAUUAAUAUUUUAUUUGUUGUGUGAUUUAAAAAUAAUAUUUUAUUUUUAAAAAUAAAAAAUUAUUUUUAAAGUUUUUUAACACUAUUUUACUAUUGUUCUUUGAAAUAAUUUUUAAAAUUAAAAUGAAAUAACUAAUAAUUUUUAGAUAAUAAAUUAAAGUUGUUUUUAUUAGAUUUUAAAAAUAAAAGAAAAAUAUAAAACCAUUUGAUCAAAUUUUUUUAAACUUAUUUUUAAAAGGUUUUUUUUUUUUUUUUUUUUUUUCUAUCCUAAGUUAAAAGAUAAAAAAUAAUUUUUAAAGAUAGGUUACGAGCAAAUGCCACAAACUUUUUUCUUCUCUUUCCCUUGUUCGGAUAGAAGUGAAAAAUAUCCUCCCAUGGAUCGACAUUACGUGAGCCAUCACCAUUCCCCAACUGCAAUUCAACCGCCAAAGCUGAGGUGUCAUUAUUAGUUUGAACAAAAGUCAGCAUUGUCCACGUGGUGACAAGCGGAACUGACCCAACUUGCAAGGCAAAAAAAUAAAUAAAAUAAAAUGAAAAAAUCAGAUCACCAUUAUGACGUCAGUCCAAUUGCUGACCUGGCCGCCGUCCCCCAUUUGACCCACGUGUUCAUUUAACCCAUUCGCCGUAUGCCGUGGCUCCCCACCCAUAUGGCCAUAUCUGCCAUUUAUUUUAUCCGUUGCCUCCAUUCGGUUUUUGGAUUUUACCCAUUCGCCCUCGUCUAUUCCCAUUUCCGUAUUUGCCCACCAAGGAAAUUCAAUUCCCAUGCUUUUGUUUUACAUUCAAAUCCUCCCCCCUCUAUAUAAAGGAGGGAGUAGGGCUUGAAAGUUUCUCAAGCCAACAUGGACUGUUGAGAGUGAAAGACAGAGGAGCCACAAACAAAUAUCACUCACUCAAACCAAAGCCAAAACCAAUACCGAAUUCAAUUCAAAUGACUUCUUUCUCUCUCAUCAAUUCCCUGAAUUCCGAUUCCGAUUUCAAUUUGUUAUCGGAUUCUUUUUCCUGGGAAAACUCCCUACCUUUCAAUGAAAACGACUCCCAGGAGAUGCUCCUCCUGGGCAUGCUGGCCAGCUCCACUCAGGAAACCUCAGAAACAGUUUCUUUGAAUCGAGUGAAGGAGGAAGAAGUGACUUCCCAGGAAAAUCCCGAGAAGGAGAAGUCAUACAGAGGCGUUAGGAGGCGGCCAUGGGGGAAAUUCGCAGCAGAAAUAAGGGACUCGACCAGGCAUGGCAUAAGGGUGUGGCUGGGAACAUUUGACAGUGCAGAGGCAGCUGCUCUGGCCUAUGAUCAAGCUGCUUUUGCGAUGCGGGGCCCUGCGGCAGUCCUCAAUUUCCCGGUGGAAAGAGUGAAGGAAUCGAUGCAGGAGAUCAAGUGCAUCUUGGAGGAGGGGGGCUCACCAGUGGUGGCCCUCAAGAAGAGGCACUCUAUGCGGAGAAAAAGUCCUUGCAAGAAACAUAAAAGUGAAGAGGUGAGGUUAGAAAAUGUGGUAGUGCUGGAGGAUUUGGGUACUGAAUACUUGGAACAGCUCCUCACUUUCUCUGAGACCUCUAGUCCUUGAUCAUCAUCAUCCAUCACCUGGAUAGCUUCUUCUCUUUGCUCUGUUUCUUACUUUUCUCUCUCUCUCUCUCUCUCUCUCUCUUUUUUUUUUAUGUAAUUUUUCUUAAUGUAUUUUUGGAGAUGGCGGGGGUGUAGUGGUGGCAAUUAUCCAUCUAGAAUUUUUCAAAAGAUAUGUUCUUUUGUUUCUUUGUAUAAAGUUGAAAAGUGGGGAUCAAUUGUGAUGGUGCUCUAUGUUCAUCCACCCAAUUUAUAUAAUCAAGGUGAUUAAUGUUUUUUGAUAUCAACAAUUUGUGAAUGACAUAGAGAGAGAGAGAGAGAGAGACCUUAUUUUCUACACUCAUUACGGUGGUUUCCAUUUGGGGAAGGAAAAGGAAAUGGCUAAGAAUGUUACCAAAAGAAGUGGGGUGGCUUUCAUAUGCGUGGUGGCAUACUUGCAUACAAACUUUUCAAUUGUGUUCUGCAUGCCACUCGGGUCAAUUUCAUUUCUUUUACUCCUAGUAGCCUAAUUGGAUUUCCUUUUUCUCAUGAGACAUCAAAUAAAUUUCAUUUUUUUAUAUUUAAAUAGUUAGGUAAGUUUGAUAGUGAGUUAUAUUUUAUACAUUAAUUCAUCUUUUAGAAUGUUGUCUACAAUAUAAACAGUGUAAUUAAUUUCAUCAUUACAGAACAGUCAUCUUAUAAAAUAACAUAAAAAUUAUUGGAUCACUUGUAUGGCACCACUGAUUUGGACUUGGUAUGGCUCUGUUUGGCUUCAUAGAAAAAAUUUGGACCCAAUUUGAAUGUCUUGCAUAAAAAGAGAUACGUCCCACUUUGAAUGAUAUUGAAGAAAAAAAUUUCUGAUGAAGAAUAUAUUGUUGGCAGGGUCAUGCAGGCCAAUAGGGAAACGAUAAAUUCAGAAGAAUGAGUCCAAACCAGUGGGCUUGAAAAUUAAGAAGAGAAUUGCUGUAUAAAACAAUCAUUUCUUAAUCGAGUUCACUUUCUGAAUAAUCGUCACUUUGAGAAUGCAUACUUAGGAAGAUGAUGAUCCUUAAUGGGAAUAAUCAAAGGCAUCAAAAAAUUGUUCUGGAACAAUUCUUGAUUGUCUCCAGUAAAAUUCAAAGUCAAAAGUCAAAAGUCCAGUCGGUCAACACCAAACCAGGCCAGUCCAAAAGACAUUAAUUUGCAAUCUAGAAUCUAUGAUGAGGUGGCGAAAUCAAACCUUGGCUUUUCACCAGGGAAUGGUACUCUGAAUUUGGUCAGUUCACUGUUUCGAGUGAAUAGGGUGUAGUAAUUAGUAAAUCAUAUUUUAGAUUUGUGUCACAAGUUACAAGGGAUAUGGGCUGACGUUCAAUUUUGGCGACAAUUUGUGGGCCCGUAUAUUUGUUGAGAUGUGGAAAUUGGGUGUGUGCUUUUUUCUGCUACCACAUAAAUAUAUUUCUUUGAAUUGAAGAGUGUUUCAGACCAUUUUUUUUCAAGUCACAAAUGGACAACUGAUUGAGAUUGUAUUGGUGAGAGUAGGAGUUUAUUUUGGGCUGGUUGAGCGAAGUUGAAAGUCGAGUUGGACCUAACCCUUGAAUUCAGCAGACUACAGUCCGAUCCUGUAUUUUGGAUUUAGGGAACCUUCUUUCCCAGAAGCUUCGUCUGGGUUUUAAAGUCUAAAUGUGGCUACUCUUAAACAUUGGAGAAAGGAUGAGCGUUCACAAGCAAAUGGGUAAUUGUGGAUGGUUCAAGGACCUGGCCAGCUGGUCUUCAAGUUUGGAUGCCGGUUUGGGCCUGAGAGAGUCUUUGCAAAGUGACUUCACUUCAGCCUAUGAGAUCAAGAUAUCAUGGUGAUGUCCGAUCACUUAGGUUUCAUUUUCACCUCGGAUUACCGUUACCAUGUUCAUGAAUAAAAAUAAAUAAAUAAAUGAAGCCUUAUAGAGAAAUUAAUGAAGUGAGCUAUACAAGCAACUGGGCCAGGAGCCUACAAGGCAGAAAUUCCCUGCCCUAGACUAGGCCGAAUAAAUUAGAUGAAUGAAUUGGGGAAACCUGGGCCAGCCACACAUCCUCCUGAAGGCUGAUGUCGAACUCGCUUACGAGGAAUGGACAUGGGAGAUUGGGCUGGGACCAAAUAACCAAUUGACAGCCCUAUCCUUGUGGCAAGACGUCAGUAAAAUGGUUCAUUCUGAUUUUACGCUGCCAUUCAAUUUAAUUUUAAUUUUUGUUUAAAGCGAUGUACAAAUUGAAUGGUGUCUAGUCACUUAAAGAGUGGUUCAUAAUACACUUAAUUUAAACAAAAAAGAAAUUAUUAGAUAGGGGAUUCUCCAAUAAAAACCACCCCAUCUUGUCAGCAAGUCCGGAAACUUCCUUCACUUAGGGCGUAUUUGUUUUUUUAACUUUAAUAUUAAAGAAAGUUGGUUAAACCUUAUGACACUUUUAUAUUAUUUUAUGAAUUUUUUUUAAUUUUUAUUUUAAUGGAAUUUUAACUUUAAUACAAGUUGGAGUAAUUCUUAUCUUAAAAACAAAUCAAAAUUACUUUAAUUUUAUAUAGAAAUAAACUUACAGUAAAUUUACCAUGAAAAUUUCUAAGUCAAAUACACCAUAAGUGCUAGUAUUUUAUAAUAUUUAGAAACAUGUUAAAUUAUUAUUAUUAUUUUUUAAAAUUAUUAGUUUUCAUAUUAGUUUUAGGGAAACUUGUGCUUUAGGUCUUUUAUUUGCAAAUAAUAUGGUUUUCAAAUCCUAAGAAUAGAAAAUAUGAGAAUCAACUGUUAAUGUGGAAAAUAAUAUCAAUUUUGUGCAAUCUCUAUUGACUCAUUUUUUUGUGCCUAGAUUGCCUUCACCCACUUCCAUGUCAACAACCACAUUAAUAGAUUGUUUUUUUUUUAUAAAACAAAUAAUUAUUAUGUUUAAAAUUUUGGGGAAACUCUCUAUCUCUCUUACUUCUUCACUACAUCCGAGACCCAUCUUCCUUAAACGUUUGCCUCUCAUUUUGCCCUAACCCCAAAUCUCAUAAAUUUCUCAUUUUCUUGCCUCAUUUGAAAUAUGAAGAUGACCGAUUCUCAAACAUCUCUGUCUCUCUCUUCACGUUUUGACCAGUCUAAUUGGAAACCCAUUUUCCAAAAACCUUCUUUCUUUCAUUUUGCCCUAACCCCACUAUCUCCCUCUUCAAGACCUAAUCACCCAAACUCGAUAUCUAUCUUCCCAAAACCUUCAAGCAAACUGAACUAGACCCAUAUCUUCUUUUUUCAUCAUCAAAGGUGAAAUUUUUUUAAGGCUUUUGGAAACCGAAUUGGAGCUUUCCCUUCUUCUGGGAUUAAUCAUUCGCAAGUGAGUUUUCCAUUUAAGGCUUUGUUUGGCUGUUGAAAUCUUGGGAUCAAAGGUCUUUUAUUUUCAGGUUUCUUGUAUUUUGCUUUAUUUUCUUGUAUAUAACAAUAAUCAUUGUAACAUAUGCUAGUAGUUACCCUUGGUGCAACUUUACAUUUCCAAAUACCCUAAAGUCCAAAGCUUUUAAUUCCCUUUUCAAAGCUUUCAACUUUGAAAGCAGACUAAACCAUAAGAACUAUGAAACUUAUAUCUCUAUCACCACUAAUUAAGCAUGUCUAUGAAUCCUUCCACUUUAAGUCACUUAUUCUCAAACCAAGAAGGGCUCCUCUCAUUCUCACCCCACCUCAUCUAAAUGAGGGAAAUGAUCAAUUGCAGCCAUGCUUUGCACCAAAUUAGAGAAGUGAUCCUCCCAAUCAUCCAUUACCAAAAAUUGAUCAUGCUGAUGAGAUCAUAAGAGUCUAUUCGGAACUCCCAGUUUACUUGCCUCUUAUCUCAGGAUCCUCCAUUACCCCCUGUCUUUCCAACAUCAAAUCAACUUGCAAACAAUUCCUUUGUAGAUAAAAUGUUUUUAAUAUUGCAAAAGGGGACUUAUCAUAAUGGUUGAAUCGAUUUAUUUGAUAUAAUCACUCAAAUUCAAGCUUAAAAUUGAUCAUAAUAAAAUGUUUUUAAUAUUGUUAAAAGGAGAUUAUAAUGGUUUUAUUUGAUAUCAUUACUAAAAUUCAAGCUUUCAAACAUGCUCUACAAAGAAGUUCUAAAAGACUACAAGAAAGAGUUUCCACUAAAGAAAAACAAUGAAACCAUUUCUACUAAAGACAAACAAUGAAACCACAGAUGCUUUGUGAAAUAUGUACCCGCACAAUCCAACAAACUUUAGAAAUUCACAAACACUACCUAGAAUUUUUGCUGACCAGCAAAAAAUUUAUGCAAUUUAAUUCUUAUUGUUAUUAUUAUUUUCAAUGUGAACAAAUAUGAUUGAAUUAUGAAGUAUUUGGCCAGAAGAGGAUCUUGCCUAAUUAUAGUCAUUAAACAACCAUUUAUACCAUAGCCUCUAGACUUUAAAAAGUUUAUAAAACUCAAGGGCUUCCACCCAAUUUCUAGAUAUCUCCAUAACAUUCUUCUGACUAUUAGAAAGCAAUUACCACUUUAAUUUUUCAUUUCAUGAGUGUUCAAUUCAGAAAAAGACCAGGAUCGAACUUGCGAUCAUGCAGUCGAAAAUCCACCUGUGCAUGAAACUAUUGCCUCACGAUUGCAAACUCAAGUUGGAGUCCAGUAACAACUCUAGGUUUGCUGAUGUGCUCCAUUUGAAAUAAAGGAACUAAAGAAUACUUUAUAAAGAUUAAUUACCUUCAUAUUUUAGGUUGGGGUUAAGGCAAAAUGUGAUAGAUUGAGAGGAAGAAAAUAUAUCUUGUUCAGGAAGCCAAUAUUUUGGAGUUCACCUUUCCAUUCGAGUCCACUCUGCUAUAGCAAAAUCAGAGUCACAACUAUGCCUCUUUAAGCUAUCCUUUAAUUGGAUGAAUUGCAGAUUUGGUUGCUGAGAAAGUGGAUAAGAAAGAAAAAUGCAUACUGUAGCUUGAGAUUAAGAGUUUGUUUUCUAAAAUGAGAGAAAGGGAAAGAGAAAAAAUGCAUAUUGUAGCUUGAGAUUAAGGGUUUGUUUUCUAAAAUGAGAGAAAGGGGAAGAGAAAUGUUCGACAACUUUGAGAUGACAAAUUUUUAGAUUUGGAAAAUUUGAGAUGAGUCUCAGGUUUUUUUUUUUUUUUUUUUGUCUUUGUCUUUGUUUUUUUUUUUUUUUUUUGUUUUUUUCCCAAAAACAACCUGUUAAUGUGGUUGUUGACAUAGAAGUGGGUGAGGGCAAAAUGGGCAUAGAAAAAAGAGUCAACACAAAGUGCACAAAACCCAUAUUAUUUUCCACAUUAAUGACUGAUUCUCAUAUUUCUUGUUCUUGGGAUUUGAAAACCAUAUUAUUUGCAAAUGGACCUCCCAAAGCACAGGUUUCCCUUAGUUUUAUGUCUCCAUCUACAUUUUACAUAUAAAUAGAUUAUUUUAUAAAAUUUGUUUUGUAGAUAUAUUAGUUAAUAAUUAUAUAAUUAAUGAUAUAGAAAACAUAUAAAAAUCAUAUUUAAAAAAGAUAAUUACAUAUUCCUCAACAAUCCAUCCCAAGAAUUCGAGGUUGAGUUGAAAACAUGUAGAGUCUUUGAUGUUAUUAUAAUCAUAUCCAACACAUAUGAUUAUUGUUUAUGAGAUAUUAUUAGAAAGUUUGUCUUAAAAUAAUUGAUUUAUUACCCACCUUUAGCAAAUGCCCAUUUUUGCGUCUUUCAAAAUUUUCAUUUUUUUUUUGUUUAAAAGAAGUAUUGUAAAGAAUGAUGAAAUAAGAAAUUUGUUGAGAAAGUGUGAGUAAAUAAUUUUACAUAAAAAGAGAUUUAAUACUUGAUAAAUAAAAUAAUAAAAUCAUGAUUUCUAGUUGUAUAGGGCCGGGUGGAUGGAGUGGCUAAGAUGUAAUUCUUGAAAUAGAGGAGACAACAUCAAUGUAUAAAAGUUUAACAGAGAAGGAAAGUGUGUUUGAAUGACUUUAUUUUCUUCAUUUAAAGUUUUGACGAUGAGUGUUUAUACAAGAUAAAUUUUCAAAUGAUAGGACUCCUAUUUACAUGGAGUUUGUGAUAUACUAUGAUUAUACAAAUUUAAAAUUCAAACAGAUUCAUGAGUUGAUAGGAGUCUGCUCAAUACGCCCCUUCAAAAUGGUGGGAGAUAGCACACCAAUCUUGACUCGAAGGGCCUAAACUCGUGCAGAAGAUGAGGGCUUUGUUAGAGCAUCGACAAGUUGAUCCGUGGUUGACAUAUGGGACACCUUGAGCUCACCUGAUUAAACCUUGUUUCAAACAAAAUGAAAAUCAAUCGCCGAUGUGUUUCAUGGAGAGUGAAACAUGGGAUUUGCACAAAGAUAUGUUGCACCCACGUUAUCACAAGAGAUAGGAGGUGGUGAUAAAUUUGAAACACUAAGUUUUGAGAGAAGAGAAUUAACCCAAAGAACCUUUGAGGCUGUAGAGGCCACGACGUGAUAUUUCGCUUCAGUGGAAGAGCGUGCUAUGAACUUUUGUUUCCUCGAUGACCAAUACACAAGAUUGUGACCAAGAAAAACAAUGGGAGCAUUGGUGGAGGAUCUGACAUAAGGAUUCCUUGCCCAUUCAACAUUCGAAUAUGCAUGUAGAUUGAUGGGCGAUUUCUUAUGCAAGAACAGACCAUGCACCAUUGUGCCGACUAAGUAUCUAAGCAAUCUUUUAACACAAGACCAAUGUGUUGAUGUUGGAUGGUGCAUAAAUUGAGAUAAUUUAUUCAUCAAGAAGGUGAUGUCAGGGCUAGUAAGAGAGAAGUAUUGAAGGCUUCCAACAAUUGACAUAUAUUUAGUGGGACCAGGAAAAGAGGUGUCAUCACACAGAUUUGGAACAUUGUUGAGGAACAUCAAUGAUUGAACUGGUUUGGUAGCCACCAUUUGUGUUUUCUUAAGAAGCUCUCGAAUGUACUUGAGAUAAAAAUAAUCCUUUGGAAGUAUGUAUCAUUUCAACACCAAGAAUAAAAGAUGAAGUCCUGAGAUCCUUAAUGGAGAAUUUGACUGCUAAUUGAGAGAUCACGCGAGCACGAAAAACAUUAUUGUUACUUGUUAAAAUAAGAUCAUCAAUAUAAAUAAGUAGGUAAACAAUGAGACCACUCUUUUUAAAAAUGAAGAGGGAUGUCUCGGUUUAGGAGUUGACGAAGGCUAUUGAGAGGAGAAAUUGGCAAAGUUCAUGAUACCAUGAUCGUGGAGCUUGUUUAAAGCCAUAAAAAGCCUUACAAAGUUGGCAAAUGUGAUGAUGUGUGUAUUCGUGAACCCAGGAGGUUGAAUCAUGUAAACAUCUUCAUGAAGUGUCCUAUGCUAGAAUGCAUUAUUAAUGUCCAAUUCAUGAGUUGAUAGGAGUCUGCUCAAUACAAUGUGGGAGUGUGAUUUCAAAAUUAGGGUAAUUUCGAAAUGGAUUUUGUAUUCACAAGUUGAAUUUCAAAAUUAUUUUGAAAUGGUCUUUUAACUUUAAGCAGUUGUGUUCAAAAGGUCAUAACUUCUUCGUUUCAAUUUUGAUUUACACAUUGUUUAAAACAUUGGACUCUUUACUUCCCGAGCUUCAAAACGAUAUAUAGUAUGCUCAAAAAUGACAUCAGGAUUGGUUCAAAUUUCAUCUUGAUAUUAGAGUACAUGUUGUGAUUAGAUUUUGAGUUCCAAAUUUCCAUGUAAACUUGAUUGCAUUUGCUUCAAACCUCCUUCAUUAUGGUUGCUUGCCCUCUAUCUCACUUUGCAACAUUUGUUACUAGUAUUUUAUGUCCAUGACUUACUCAUUUCAACCUUUCUUGGAUUCUUCAUGGUUCACAAAUUAUGGAUUCUUCAUGGUUCACAAAUUGAGUCUUUCAAUUAUGCAUGUUUAACUCCUAUUUCCUUGGUUGAUAAUGACUUUUACACUUAUCAUUUUCUUUUAUUCUUUAAACCUGAAUUUAGACUUACAAAAAAAAGUUAGAUCCAUAACUAGGGUCUUAGCAUCAAUUUGAGUUAAGUUGGAUGAUUUGAAAAUUUUAUAUUACAUAAAUCAUAUCAUACAUGUGCCAUUGGAGUGCACAUUUUGGCUCUAAUCAUGUUCCAACCCAUUGUUUUACUCUUGCAUGAAGUAUGUGGCCAUUGAUUUUAAUUUUAUUUGCGAUUAGGUUCAAAAUGGUGCUUUUGUGUUGCUCAUGUGUCAUCAGAAGAUCAACUAAUGGAUUCUCUAACAAAACUACUACAUCAUAGUCAUUUUUUUUUUUCUUAAGACCAAGAUUGAGAUCUCCAAUCGGAGCCAACUCCAUCUUGGGGGCAUGUUAGUGAAAGAUAAAAUUUAUCUUUAAUUUAAAUAUUAAUAUUUAUCAGUUAUUAGUUUUAAUUAGAGUAAAAGAUAGAGUUUAAAUUGGAGUAGGAGAUAAACUUGUGUUUGAACUAGAAUAGAAGAUAAAGUAUAAAGAUUUAUGUUUGAAUUAGAAUAAAAUAUAAAGUUUGAAUUAGAGUAGAAGAUAAACUUGUUCUUUAUUUGUAUAUAAAUAUUCAUCAAUUCUUGAGAAGAAGAUUAUUUCAUAGUUUUUCUAUCUUCUUUUUUCUUCAUACAUAUCUGCAAGAAAUUGAAGAUUUCAAGUAAAAUAUUUUCUGUUUUAAAUAGUGAAAAAAGCUAGAAAUUCACUUUGUUAUCUCUUGGGGUAAAUUGACAAGGUUUAACGUUAAGAAGGUGAAUUAUUUUUUCAGAAAAACUGAAGUAGCUAGGAUAUCUGGCCAGUUGUGAUCGAUAAAAAAGUUGUAAAAUCUCUCAUAUACUAAACAGGUUUUGGAUGUUGGUAUGGUAAAUCCAUCUGCAGUCAUUCGUCAUCUCAUCUAGUGAGAUGUUUGGGAGGUGGUGACCGCCGGAUUGGGUUUCAUUUGGUUAAAUCUGUCAGUGGGUUGGCUACUACCCGAGCCUCUUGCUUUGGGGGAGGUGGGUUCUAGAUAUAAUGUUCAAACCAUUUUAGUUAUCAUAUGCAUGACAUGUAAGCAUAAUCUCUUUAUCACUUCUUCAAUGGGAGUUCAUGGUUAGGAAUUGACUUCUUUUCUUCUGGGAUGCUUGGCAUGUAAUGGACAAAGUUACUUUUAUAUCGAUCGAAUUUCUAGUAUUAUAGUGAAGACUUACCCUUUUGACAUUUUAUAUCGAAUUAUAGAAGAUGAAAGGGACAUACAUGCAAUCGACUGACGCUUUAGUGAAUAUGCUGAAAAUAUGCUGAUGCUGUGGAGAUCGUAUGAGGACAGAGGAAAAAGAUAGAAAUGGAUAUAUAAUUAGACCUAGGUUUUUAUUAAAUGAGAUGGGGAACAUAGAGUGAGGGAAAAUCAAAAUUUUUGGCUGCAGUUCACAUUGGUGAUAUUUUGGAUUGACAAAGACUAACGACUUUUCUAUUUUUCUUUUCGGCCUGACUGGAUAGUUGGACAUGGACAAUACAGAAUCCACAGAAGGAUUGUUGGGACCGCUGAAAAUUAGCUAGAAGAAGCUGAGGAAGUAGUCUACGUAGUCAAAUACCAAACACAAAGAAAGAAAGAAAUGGAUAUCAUGGAUGCCUAGAGUUAUACUCCUAAUACCGUCACAGGUAUUUUUCUUUCCUCCUUUUUUUUUCUACGAUAAUUAGAGCAUUUCUCCUCCUCCUCCUCCUCCUCCCCCCACCCCACCACCAAAAAAUAAAAAAAUAAAUUAUUGCAAGUAACACUUCAAAUAUUAAUUUAUACAUUCUAAAGUAUAUAUUCAUGAAAUAACUUGAGUAUCAUACAUUAGUUCUCAAAAAAAAAAAAAAAAAAAAAAAAAAAUUACUGGAAGAGAAAAGUUUAAGAAAACAUAAAAAUAUUCAACUACUAUUUUAAAGAGAAAAUUUAAUUUUUACACUAUAAAUUUGAAGAGAACUUUUACAUGCAUCUUAUAUAAACUACCAUUUUUUGCUAAAAGGCUUAAAUUUGUCAAAAAUACCCCUUAGGUGCUUAACGUUCUGGUCAUAAUAUAAUUGGCAUCUUUUCUCAAACAUAAGGCCUGUGUGUGGGAACAAGAUUUAAUGUUAAUGAGCUUCGCCACCGACAUUUAGUUCCAGAAAUCAUUAUUUUAAUAGAGUGGGCUCAAUUUACAACUUUAAUUAAACUCUAACCAACUGCAUUGUGAAAUGAAUAUGUUUCUUUCGUGGUGAAUCCAAUGAGUUGGGAGUCAAACUUUGCUUCAUUGUGUAUAGAUGAAAUGUUAAGACUCCAUGUAACCUCAAACAUUUCCGCAAUNNNNNNNNNNNNNNNNNNNNNNNNNNNNNNNNNNNNNNNNNNNNNNNNNNNNNNNNNNNNNNNNNNNNNNNNNNNNNNNNNNNNNNNNNNNNNNNNNNNNUUCUUUCGUGGUGAAUCCAAUGAGUUGGAGUCAAACUUGCUUCAUUGUGUAUAGAUGAAAUGUUAAGACUCCAUGUAACUCAAACAUUUCCGCAAUGAGCGGGAGUUCUAAAUUUAAUAAUUGAAAUUGUCAGUGGAACCAGUGGACAAGAGUUGGUUUGUGGUUGACAAACUUAUCCGUUUGAUCUUUACUUGAACAGUUCCAGUGUGUGGAUGGGUACUGAUGAAGUGUGCGCAUUUAUUUUGAGAAGCCUGCUUGUUCGCAUAGAUUUUAACGACAUGAACAUUGUGGUAAGGUUAGAGAGUAAUGCGAAUGUAGGAGCUUAUAUUAGAAAUGACACAAACACGUAAAUAGAAGUAAUCUAUAUAUGAUAUUACUCAUGGACUACAAGCAAAGAAGUACAAUACAUGGAGUAAGUGAUGAAAUGAGCAUUCCUCACUACUACUGCUUGACUGAUGGAACAUGAUGCACGAGAUAGCAUAAGUAGUAGUAGGAAGCAGCUCUUAUUUGUGGCGUCGGUAUACAUCAUACUAGGUAGAUGGUUCAAUUGGCAUGGAUGGGUGGUGGAGCCUUGAAGUGCUUGUGAUGGGGAGCCCACGGCUUCUUCUCAGGAGUUGGUGGCUUCUUGUAUGGAGUUGAUGGAGGUGUUUCUACUGGAGGGUGGCCAGGGUAGUGACCCUGGGGUGGUGAAGGUUCUUUUGUCGGUGGUGGCCUCACUAUUAUUGGCGGUAGAGUUGGUGGCUUGGGCGUUGGCGGUGGUCUCACUACUCUUGGGGGUAGAGUUGGUGUCUUGUGUUUUGGUGGUGGAGGUGGCUUAACAGGAGUUGGUGGCUUGUAUUCUGGGGGUGGUUUCUCCACCGGAGGUGGCUUAUAAACUGGAGUUGGUGGCUUGUAUUCUGGGGGUGGCUUCUCCACUGGUGGUGGCCUGUAAACAGGGGUUGGUGGCUUAUAUUCUGGGGGAGGCUUCUCCACUGGAGGCGACUUAUAAACAGGGGUUGGUGGCUUGUAUUCCGGGGGUGGCUUCUCUACGGGAGGUGGCCUGUAAACAGGGGUUGGUGGCUUCUCCACCGGAGGUGGCUUAUAAACGGGGGUUGGUGGCUUGUAUUCUGGGGGUGGUUUCCCCAGUGGUGGAGACUUGUAAACAGGAAGAGGUGGUUUGUGCUCAUAUGGGGGUGGCUUGUGGUCAUUAGCAAGUGAGGGAGUGGUGAGGACCACCAAUCCAAGGAACAACACGAGUGAGCAAGCAGAAGACAUGUUUGGGCUCUGGUGAUGCACAAGUAGAAGAAAUGGGAACCAUUUAUAAUGCUUCGAGACCUUGGUUAGCACCAAAAUAUGUCAAAAUCUUGAUUACUUCAUUUCAUACAUAGAUUUAAAAUUAUUUCAAUCAACCAUGAUCCUUAAUUUUCUGGGUGGUCCAUAAAUGUAAUGGGGUCAAUUUGGGACCUAACAAGCUGAGAAGUUUGACAAUGCUGCAAGGCUUCAUCCGAAAGUCCGGGGAAGAAUAUUAGGAGUUACACUCCGUUUCCUUUUUUGGGUGCAUUUUUCUCCUUUAACAUUCUAUUCCCUUUUACAUUAGCAUUUGAUCUUAGCUCAUUUCAAGUACAAGUUUCUUGAACCCUAUACCAUUGUCAAAGUUGAGUAACCAUCUCUACUUUGCUCAAGAAACAUAAAAGACAAUGACAAUAAAGAAAAAGGAGAGAGACCAUACGUGACUUGGUUUAUAGGUGGCUUUGUGUUGACAUUUGAGUAUGGAAGCCGACAUGCAUCUUAGCUUCGAUUUUAAUUAAAUUUGUACAUUAGUGUCUGUGUCAUUCAUUUUGGUAUAAAAGGUCUCUUGAUUUCGUAAGUUUGGUAAGAACCGUUGAAAAUAGCAGUAGCAGCACAUGGUCCACUUUCUUUCACAAAAUAAUUUUAAAAGUUUAGAAGCAUAGGAGGUAACAUUAGUGGCCUUGUGGCUCAGCCACGAGUACUAUGUGGUGCUCGAGAAAUUGAGUUUAAUUUCCUUCCGAUAGUUCAUGAUAAGGUCCGUCACUGUCCUGAGACAGAUUGCGUUUUUUCUUUUUUCCUUUUUUAGUGUUUUAUUGACUAGCUAGGUGUGACUUUUCCUACUUUAAGGCACGAGGCAGAAAAGAAACUGGGAUUUAGUGCUUAAGAAGGCAAAUUUAAUUCGAUUUGGAUCUAAAAUUUGCCAGCAACAUGAGAUUUUCCAGCCUAUCGUUGCUCCACAUAUAGACAAGGCACUUGUAGAAGUGGCUUGUUUGUAGCCAUUCCCGAUAUUUGGACUCACUUGAUUCACCGGACACUUUGAUAAAAUUUAAUAUUUAUUAUUUAAUAAUUUAAAUUGAUUUAAAAUUAAAUUAUACCGAAGUUGUGAUUUAAAAAUUAUUAUUUAAUUCUUACUUUUAAAUAUGAAGAUUAUUUGAUAAAAAUAAUUUAAAAUUUAUUAUAAAUUAUCAAAUUAACAUAUUUAUCCUUAUAAAUUAUAAUUAAAACAGAAAAGGUCAAAUGAUUUGAGUAUCCAUAGAUGUGGUAAAAUAAUAAAAAAGAUUAUAAAAACAAUUAUGAUAAAUAAAGAUAAAAAGUAAAAUGAAUAUGUGAAUUUAAAGAAUAAAUUAAUUAUUUUUAUUUAUUACUUAAAAUUAUUUUUGACUUUAAAUUAUAUUAUUAAAUUAUUUUACCAAACAUACUUAAUUUAGUUAAUAAUUUAAAUUUAAUUUAAGUUAUUAAAUUGAUUCACCAAAUACCCACUUAAUCAAAGACUGAAGUAUACAUUAUUUGGCCAAAUGCAGCUAUUGAAAUUUAACUUUUUCCAAACUUAUUCAUUUUGUGGAAAUAUUUUUAGAAAUGAUUUUAAAAAUGCACUAUUCUGUGUGUUGAUUUUAUAUUUUGGCAUUAAUCCAACAUAGAAAACGGUUCUUAUUUUCGCUGUUAAAUAGGUACCAGAUCCUUAAUUAGUGCCGUGAAUCCGGCAGCUUCCAAUGAGUAAUUUGGACUUGGGUAUUGACAAUGUGUGGCCAUGCUUCUACUAUUUUAUUAUUCUUGAAACAUAUAUGAUAUAUUGGACUUUAUACAGGGAAAAAAAAAAAAAAAAGUCUUCACCAAAAAUGAUUCCUCCUAAAAAAUAGACUCCACAAACUAGGUUUAACAGGAAAAUGAUUCUAAUCUAGUAGUUUCCAGCCACAUGAGCAUUUACGUAACAAUAGUAUAGUUGAUAACGACUUUUAUUUUAUUUAUUUUUAAAUAGUUAAAGGGAUAAUUUUUGAGCUUAAAUUUUAUUUUUUUAUUUAGAAACAUUUUACUUUAUUUUUUAAUCAUAAUUCUAUUAUAUUAAUGUUUUAUUUUCUAUUUUUUAAUAUAUAAGGAGAUACUAAAUUUAUGUGAUUAUUUUUUAAAAAUUUAGUAUAUGAAAUUAAAUAAUUGGAUAUAUAUACAUAUAUCAUAUAAUGUUUUUUAAGUGUGAUUUUUGAACUUUUUAGUCAUUUUAUAAGUUUAAGCUUUUGAUUUUUUUUUUUAAACUUUGGUAUUUUUUAUUUUAUAUAAAACUAUUUUGAUUUAAUUUUAUUAAAAAAUAUUGGUAUUAUAAAUUAUUGUAUUAAUUAUUUUUUUAUAUUAUAAUGUAACUGGUAUAUACUAAAAAAUGUAUGCAAGUUCAAUUUAAGUUUCAAAUUAAAAAAUUUCAUUUAAAUAUUUAAUAACUUGUUCAUAAUAAAAAAUUAAACAACAUAAUACAAAUGAAAAGAAACAUAAAAGAAAAAGGAAAAAAUGGUCCUCUCUGUGUGUCACAUUACUAGGUCAUCCUCUUUUUCUAUGACCCUUACAAUAGAAUGGCAUAUUUGUCAAAUCUACUUAUGAAAGUUGGAAUGUUUCUACAUGUGUAGGGUCCAUUGGAACUAAUGGAGGAAAGGCUUAACGUCUAUGUAAAUCACAACGUUGCCUAGGUGGGCAUAGAUCUAGUUGUGUAACAUGAGAUGGUGUGAGAGUACAAUAUAUGCAUUGUAGUCUCUAUGGGAAGAGAGAUAGGUAAUGGUAGGGUGGUAGACGGUAGGGUGAUCUCUAAUAUAAUGACAUUUGAUGUGGUGGCUUCUAAGAGAGGAGAUAUAAGAGAUGGUAGAAUGACAUUUGGUGUAAUGGUCUCUAGUGCAAUGACAUGUGAUAUGGUGACCUAUAAAGAAGAGAUAUAGGUGAUGGUGAAGUGGUAUGUGGUGUAGUGACCUUUGAGAUAGAAAAUAGAGGUAAUGGUAGGUUGGCAGGUGGAGUGGUCUUUGGUGUAGUGACAUCAAUUAUAAAUGUCUCCAAGGGAGGAAAUAAAGGUGAUGGUAGGUAGUAAAUGUUGAGGUGGUCUUUGAUAUGUUAUGCUCUAAGAGAGAAGGUAUAGGUAAUGAUAAUAGGGAAUUUGACAUAGUGGUGUUGGAAAUAAAAAGUGAAAGUGACCGUAGAGGUGAAAGGGCAAGUGUAAAAGCCUCAAGUACGAAUGGAGUAAUUAAUGUGGAUGGUGCUAACAUAGUCUUAGGUGGAUACACAAAUAGUCAUAGUCAUCAACUAGCUUGCCCACCAUCUGUCUUUCUGCUAGUGAUAGGUUACAUCUUAAUAGUAAUGGCCAACAUAAGUGGUGUGGAUCCGAUUUUUUUACGUGUGUCCCCACUCAAUCGACAAGACUUAUUUUUUAUUAGUGAAAAAUUAAUUUUGGAAAAGUUGGAGUCACCACUUAUUUUAUUUUAUUUUAAAAAGGAAAGUAAAACAAGAAAGAGAACUCUAAAGAAGUGACUUCAUAGUUUUGGAAAAGUUAGUCUUAAAAAAUCCAAGUCUUGGUCCGGAGAUCAGGUUACUUAUUGGGAAGAUACCUCUAAGAGGUAAUACCCCUCUAAACCCUAAAGAAGUCUCUAAUGACUAAGUUGAGGAGAAUGUGGUAAUUAAUUAAUUGAUUGAGGGUACCUAGGUAGACUAAGGUGAUUUCAGAAUUAACAUACCAAGCUAGAAAGUCCAAUCAUGAUCAUAAAAGAGAGUCAAAGUAUGUACCUGAACUGCUUCUCAAACGCUAUCAUAAAACAUCAAAGUUAGUAUAGAAAUAUAACACAUAAUAUUUGUUUUAUCCAAGCAAAUAAAGCAUACAUCUAAGCACCCAAGAAUCACAUCAAGUAUGGAUAUAGUCAUCAAUAGCAUACGUGUCCAUAGAACUAUCGAAAGUAAAUGUGGAGGAGCGUAUCUGGACAACAUAGAUAACUUAUAAUGUGCUUCCACAAGACAUGGGGGUUAGAUAAAAGUUAUAAUAAUAAUUAGUAAAUGAAAGAAUUCUAGCAUGUUUGGUAUCUAAAUAACAUAGCAAAAAUGAACAAGAGUACACGAAAACAUCAAUUAUCACACGAGUCAUAUUGGCUAGUAUUUAAUCAAUAAACCAACAAUAAAUGACUAUAAACAUAUAAAAUGACAUAUUCAAAGAGACCCAAACAUAAAGAGCCUAGAACACAAGCUUACACUAAAUUUAGAAAACUAAAACAUGGAAUUUUAAAAGCAUAAAUUAGCAAACAAAUUGAUGGAAACUAAAUUUAGAUAACUUAAGAAUAUUUUUCUUAUCCUUCAAUUUAAAUCAGUAAGCCAACAAUAAAAAAUUAUAGAAACAUGGAAUAUCAAGAUCAAUGGGAUACCUAAACUAUAAUUUUUAAAAGAAAAUAAACUAAGCAUAAUAUCUACAAAGCAACUAAACUAACAUUUUUUUAAAAAUAAAUUAAACAUGACAUUAAUGGAGUAACCAAACUAAAUUAAAGUAAACUAAAAACAUUUAUGAAUUUUCAAACAUGGAAUCAGCUUUCUUAGUAAAUUAAAAUUAUUAAAAUAAAAUCUAAGCUUAAAAAUGAAUUAAAUACUAACUAAAGCAAAUCUAAAACCAAAUAUUUAACACAUAGGAUCAAUUAUAUUAACAAACUAAAAUUUUAUAAGAACACUUAAACCUAAAGUUGAAUUAAAAACUAACCAAUUUUUAAAACUAGAUCUUUAACCCAUAGGAUCAAUUAUAUUAACAAAUAAAUAAUAAAUAAUAAAUAAAUAAAACUCAAACCUAAAGAUGAACUAGAAAUGUACCAAAGUAAAUUCAAAACAAGAUCUUUAACACAUUAGAUCAAUUAUAUUGACUAACUAAAAAAAAAAAAAAAAAACACUCAAACCUGAAACGAUGUAUUAGAAACUAACCAAAGCAAAUUUAAAAUAGAGUCUUUAACACAUAGGAUCAAUUAUAAUCACUAACUUAAAUUACAAUUUUUGAAACAUGAACUAAUUAGUGUUGGAUUAAUUAAACUAAUUAACUAAAAAAAACUAUAAACUAGAAUACGGUGAAUCAAGAAUUCAAAUCAACAAACAUAAAAUAUGGGUACAAUGAAAUGAAAAUCUAUUAAACUAAUAAGACGGAAAUAUGACAAACUCAUGAACCCACAUUUUGAUCAACUAGGAAAUAGAAAUUAAUAGACCUGUAGCAUGGAUACAAUGAAAUGAGAUCAGUUAAAUUUAUUUGCCGAAAUUCUAAAAAACACAUACACUCAAAUAAGAUCUAAAUCUAAGACCAAGCAAAACUCAAACUUUCUCAAUCUAAUGCAAUGAAUCAAAACUAAAAUUAAAUAGAAAUCAAACCAUUUUUUUUUUAUCUAAUAUAAUAAAUCAAAGCUAAAACUAAACAAAAUCGAAUUUUCUUAAUUUAAUAUGAUGAGUCAAAGCUAAAAUUGAACAAAGUUCAAACCUUUAUAUAAUGGAUCAAAGUUAAAUCUAAAUGAAAUCCAUACUUCCACAAUUUGAUAUAACAAAUCAAAAAUAAAACUAGAUAAAAAAAAAGUCAAAGCCUUUCAACUUGACAUAGUGAAUCCAAACUGAAACGAAACAAAAUUUUAACUUUUCCAAUGAAACCCAAUAUAGAAAAAAUUAGCUUACCUUCUUUAGAAUAUAUGUAUGGGCCAUAAAGAAGUCACCUUGGUGCAUGUGUUCCUCACUUUGACGCCAAUGGACGACUUUCUAUGGUAGCAAAUGGAGAUCCUUUUUGGUGGUAACUUGCGUGUGGAAACCUAUGGUACAACCAAUGUCAUCUUUUAUUGUGCGUGUGGACCAAUUUCUUCUCGAGAACUCAUGUGUGUUGUGCUCAAAAUAUGUUGCCUGUGAGAAUCUAUUGGUAUACCCCACAUAUGGUUUCCUUGAGAGAAUCUGUGGUUGUGUGUGGGCGUUUUCUUCAUGACAGCAUGUGGAUGUUCCCAUCUAUGGUAGAUUGGUUGUGAUGCUUUAGUGCAUGGUCUCCAUAGGAAUAGUGUGUUAUGGAAAUUUGGUUUUUUUAUUGGUGCAUGUUGUCUAGACUUUCCCAUAUGCGUGGACUGUGUGUUCAUGCUUUUCUUUUCGGAUGGUCGCCUGUGUUAAUGUGUGGCGGUGUCUACAAUGAAAGAUACAACCCUUUCUCUCCUUCUGCGUGAUAGAAAAGUCAAUCCCCCAUGGUGCGACUAUGUUCCCUCGUCCUUUUUGAAAAAUUUUGGUGUUUUCCCCCCAAAAAAUCCCCUCCAAAAAUCUAAUUAUAAAUGUCUGCUUUGGCCUAAUGUGUGUGCUACUUUUUUUUUCCUUCUUUUUAUGGUUGUGCGUGCUUUUCUUGAUACGUGGCUUAUUUCUUAAGGAUAUGAUUCGCUCCCAAUUGGUGUCUCAGCUGAUUCAUGUCCUUUCAAUGGUCCCUGACAGUGGUGCCAUUUGAUUCGUGUCCAGCUGGUGUCCCUUGAUUGUGGUCCUCAGAAGGGAGUAAUCAAUAAAAUUUAUAACCUAUUACACCAUGUAUUAGGAUAGCCUUAGCUAGCAUAGCAUAGUGGCUCUAGGGUCGUUUAUUGGGAUGAGUUUUCACUUCACAAUUGAUAUUAAUUCAAGAGCUGAAUUGGUGCCUUUUCAUUUCAAGGUUAGCUUUAAAAGAAAACAUAAUCUUUGGUGGAAAAAGGUUUGGUUUUAAACUAACCAAAAAUAGUAACUGAUUUUACUUACAAAGAAAAGUGUUCUUUGGAGUUUAGAUCACUAGGCUCAGGUUCCUCAUACAAAAAGGAGAGUUCCGAUCAUUUGUUUCUUUUCCUCGCAUUAGAGAAUUAACAUAUAGUUAAUUCUCUAACCGGUGCGGUACAUAUGCUUCCCAUUAAUGGGUUCAAACACUAAAUACCUCUCACUGAUGCACCUUGCAAUGGCUCGUGCCUCUCACCUAGCAUUUAUCAUUCAAGGUGAUCUUUAACCUUGGAUUACCCAUCAAAAGCUCGCAAGAGAUAACUAAAGGAUGUCUCCUUAGAGUCCAAAAGCUUACCAAGUGUUGGUUAUUCUAGAAAAUCCUACCUUCAAACCACCUCCCAAAGGCUCGCAAGAGAUAAACAAGUGCAUCUCAAUGGAUGAAGAUCACUUGCCUUACCAAGUUUUGGCCCAGAUGAUUUAAUGACAUUUUAAGUUAACUAAAAAGAUAAAAACCAUUAACGGGUCACACUUUCUCUUCAUUAAAAACUAAAACAACAAAACUUCCAAUUUAUGCAUGAGGAAACUUACCUGGCUUUCUUCACUUCAAGAGAUGAAGAGCCUAGCCACUCAUCAUUUGAGGAAAAAUCCUCAGAGUUUGAUUUGCUAGAAAUAAAAAUAAUGAGAAAACAAAAAUAUAUAUAUGAAAAACAGAGCAAGUUCUCUGUAAUAUAUUUUUCUUCCUUAUACAAAAGGUUGUCUCUAAGAACAAGUUCCCGAGAUCUAUCUGAUUGUAAAUAAAAUUACAACUAUAUAUAAGAGGUUAUUCACCCCUUUGUUCUUUCUUAAAGACUAAGGAAUCCUAUGAUAGGUGGGUUACAAGGAGAGUUUGGGGAUUUAGACAUCAAAUAUCUAAAGCAAAAUAUCUCAAGAUGUUAGUCGGAAAUAUCAGGAAGCUUCAGGAGAACACCGCGACACUGUAUACUGAGAGAAAAACUCUCCGGGUAAGCUCUAUCAAAGGAUCCAGACAUGUCUGACUGGGAAAGUUGAAACGUCCUUCUCUCCCAUCCGGAUGUGAGAUAUCCGGAGAAAGUGAAAUGUCGGUCGGACAGAAUUCUUUCCCCGGGUGGAAUGAGUUGUGUUGCGCGUCGCAAGGGGGACCGUCUGCGUGUACAAGUUGUAGGGACCCCUCUCCCGGAUGACACCGAGCGCGUAAGGCUAUCCGGAUCAACUCCAUUCGGAUUCCCCAAGAGGACAUGUGGCGUGCUCCCCUAUCAGGACUCCCUUAGGGAGAAGCACACGACACUCGUGAACAUCAUACCCGGACGAUAGCAUGUCCUAUCCGGAUGUGUUGUCCGGAUCAUUGACUAAAGUGAGCAAGCCUUGCUACGUCAUUCGGACAGCUUGCCACAUACCAUGUUCCGUCGCCAUCUGAUGGUGUGUCCGAACGCCUUGUCCGGACAUCUUUUGCUCCUUGCAUUCCGGAUUUGCUUAUGACAAAGGACUUCAAAGCUUCGGUUCUUCAUGUUUCUGAGCUUUCCAUUGCUUUGCCAUGGAUUCCAAAGAACUCUCCUUAAUCACGGAUUGCUUUGGUGAUCAAAAAGUUAUCAAAACACAAAAACUUAACAUAGUUUGAUUAGAAUUGAUUGCAAGGGUUCUUAAUAUGUUAAUUGGGUUAAAAGGUGAUAACUACUACUCAAAAGUGUUUAUAAGAAUUAAUUACAAGCUAUGAAAUAACACUUUUUGAGUAGUAAUCAGGAUACAUCCUAGUUUUUCAUGGAAUUGAUAGUGGGUUGUUGUGCAUGAAUGCCACCAUUUCAACUAUGCUGUUGUUAUUUUUAAAAAAAAUAUGGAUUAUGCGCGAGUGGCAAUUCUCCACUAUGGAAAGUGGAUUGCUCCUUCAACCCAUGCAUGGCUACGUAUUCCUAUGUCUUUCUACUUGUGUUUGAUCCUCCAAAAAAAAUUUCGGUUUAGUGCUAGUAGAUUUUAAGUGGUGGAUCCCCAUUUUUUGAAAAUGAAGUGGCAGCCUCCCAUUUCAAGACAAAAUGGUAGCCUGCCUUUAAUCUUUGGAGAAAAAUCUGUGCAUGACCUUUUUUUUUCCCAAAAAAUCCGUGCAUGGUGUCCUUUAAUAUUUGGAGAAAAAUCUAUGUUGGAUCUUUUCUUUUCUAGAAACAUUUGUGUGGUCUUUUUUGUUAGCCCAAGGGUUCUUCUAAUCAAGUUUUGAUGAUAACAAACCAUGGUUAAGUGACUAAUUGGUUUAAUGAUUAAGAAUCUCAAACAUAAAAUCGAAAAUUCAUCAAAGGACCAAAUGGAUACAAGAUCGAGACGCUUGGAAGACUUGUAAUCAUAGGAAACUAAUGUAAGAUGAAUGCAUGAGUGCACUUAGGAUUUUCACACGUUUCAUGCAACUUAGAAAACCCAGUUUAUUCUUUAAAACUUCAUCCCAGUUUAUUCUUUUUAUGGUUGUGUGUGCUUUCCUUGAUACGUGGCUUAUUUAUUAAGGAUACAUCCCAGUUUUUCAUGGAAUUGACAGUGGGUUGUUGUGUGUGAAUGCCACCAUUUCAACUGUGCUGUUGUUAUUUAAAAAAAAAAAAAAUGGAUUGUGCGCGAGUGGCAAUUCUCCACUAUGGAAAGUGGAUUGCUCCUUCAACCCAUGCAUGGCUACGUAUUCCUAUGUCUUUCUGCUUGUGUGUGAUCCUCCAAAAAAAAUUUUGGUUUAGUGCUAGUAGAUUUUAAGUGGUGGAUCCCCUUUUUUUGAAAACUAAGUGGCAGCCUCCCAUUUCAAAACGAAGUGGUAGCCUGCCUUUAGUCUUUGGAGAAAAAUCUGUGCAUGACUUUUUUUUUCCCAAAAAAUCCAUGCAUGGUGUCCUUUAAUAUUUGGAGAAAAAUCUAUGUGGGAUCUUUUAUUUUCUAGAAAAAUUUGUGUGGUCUUUUUUGUUAGCCCAAGGGUUCUCCUAAUCAGGUUUUGAUGAUAACAAAUCAUGGUUAAGUGACUAAUUGGUUUAAUGAUUAAGAAUCUCAAACAUAAACUCGAAAAUUCAUCAAAUGACCAAAUGGAUACAAGAUCGAGACGCUUGGAAGACUUGUGAUCAUAGGAAACUAAUGUAAGAUGAAUGCAUGAGUGCACUUAGGAUUUUCACACGUUUCAUGCAAUUUAGAAAACCCAGUUUAUUCUUUAAAACUUCAAUUUCAUUAAAACCCGAGUUUUUAACUAAUGUACCUUAGGCAAAAUGUUUUAUAAUUGGCUUAAUAAUUCACCUAAAUACAUUUUCUAAGUGUUAGAAAAGAAAGGAAUUAAAAAAAGGUUUUCGGGGCAAAAAAGGCUCAACCGGUCGAGGCUAUGGUCAACCGGCUCAACCGGUUGAGGAACCAAUCGAUCGGUUGUGCUUGUCCGAUCGAAGACCAAUCGAGGGAUGCCAAAAAAUUUCUCUCUCUCCUAGUGGCCUUCUCUUCCCGGUCGAGGUUCGGUCUAGGCAACGGUAACAUGUCAAGCAUUAAAUGCUCCGACGACUAGUGAAUCGGUCGACCCCUAGCCCGAUCGGACGAGGUUGCCUUUUGCUGUUUUUGACUCCCGAGCUUAGAAACCUAUAAAUUGAGAGCUCCACUUCAUUUAUUGAUAAAAGAGAACACUUGCAUUCAAUAGUCUACCUACCUUUUCUUGAUCAAAAAGCUCUCAUUUCCUUCAUAGUGCAUUAAAUCAUCACUUGCAUAUCCUUUAGUGCACUAUUGUGUGUCAUCCUAGCUUUGUUUUGUAUUUGAGCUAUCCUUAAGCUAGGUUGAGGGAUUAUUUCUUAUAAAAAUCUGAGUGUUAAAGCCUUCAAGAGAUUUGAAUCUUGAAGAGAUUGUGUAAGAGCCCAUUGGAGCCGGAGUCCAAGUGUAAGAAGAUUGGAAGCUUGGUUGAAGCUUCAAGUUAGUGGAACCCUCACUCGGUUAGGAGGUUGAGGAGAGUGGACGUAGGUAAGGAAGUGUCGAACCAUUAUAAACCCGAGUUUGAAUUCUCUAACUCUAUCUCUUUAUUUUGCUUAUAUUGUGUUUGAAUUUGUUGUGAUUGAAAAGAUUUUAAAAACCUAAUUCACCCUCCCCCCUUUUGGGUUUUUUUUUCUUAAUUAAGCAUAACCUUUGUUUUCUAAUUUUCUUUUUAGGAAAAUCCAUGCGUGGUAUGUCCAAACUCUCCAAGUGGCAGUCUGCCUUCUUCUAAAAAAUUUGUUUCUAUUUCUUUAUUCGACUACCUUCCAUGUCUUCCUAAUGAGUGCUUGUGCUCAAUGGUCAAUCCCUGGUGGUUGCCUCCUUUUCCCAUAUAUACGUGUUGCAAAAUCAACAUCCCACUAUAUGUGGGUUGCCUCUAUGGCAAGUUCACAUUUCCCACAUGAAACCUAUGAGUUUCCACCAAAAAUUGCCAUGAAAAAGUCUUUAUAUGCAUCUCAUGCAAUAAAAAGUCAAGCCAAUACUCAUCUUAUCUCGAAAAAUAAGUAACCAAAAUCAAGAUCAUGCCUAAGUGAACUAUGCCAAAAGAAGUGUCCAAGUGACCUAUUAUGAAAAAAGUGCCUAAGUGACCUAAGGUGAAUGUGUGUAAGCUGGAAGGUGUCUAGGAUGUUUAGGACAAUGCCUAAGCCUAAAAUAGGGUUGCCAAGGGUCACAAUGGGGUUAGAUAAAUCUCUCAAUCAGAGUCUCCAAGGUGGCUCAUAAAAGAUAAGCUACACGAGUAAUGAUGGGCCACCAGGGAAUUAUUGUAAAGCACCAAACGAACACAUAAUAGGACAUGUGUUAGAAUGAAAAAAUGGAGGGUUUACAAGUGGUCUCAUGGAUGAGCUUGAUAAUUUAAAUGACUCACAUAAUGAACGUAUGUGAUGUUUCUCUCCAAUAACAAGCAAAACAUCACUAGCAAUAUGAUGAAUGUCUCCUAAAUCACUUGAAGUAGUCCUAGCAAAUCAAUUAGAAAAAUCACACAUAUUGCUCUAAUGUAAUAUUAUAUACAUCUGUCAAUGAAUGGGAGAACUAAUGACACAACCAUCAUGUUGAUAUCUCGAACCCUCUAAUCUCAUAUGUAGGUGGGAUCACACUUAGAAACUCAUAACACAGUAAUGACCAAUCUAAGUCAAAAUGUGUUGGUGAUCGGAGGCCCAUGAAUAUGAAGUUCUAGGAUGAUAAUGACAUCUUAUAAAGUAAUGAUCAUCUCCUUAAUAGAUAGGUGAAAUGUGUGUGUCUUAGGACACCAUCUCUCAACAAGACUUGUGAUCAAUCCCCAGUCUAGUGUAACAUGCCUAUUAUGACAUCCAUCGUAAAAUCUAGACUAGAUAAUAUAAGGACAAAUGUGAGGGUUCAUCUCCCUUUCCCACAUAAAUUUAAAAAAUUAUUAUUGACAAGUUAAGACCAAACUAAGUUGCAAAAUAUAAAUAAGUCCAUUAGAUAACAAAUUUAUGUUUUCUCAUUUUCUCAUUUUUAAAGAGAUAUUAUGUGCUUCCAUGUACAUACAUGCUAAAGUCAAUUAUACGAGACUUAUAUCCAUCUUGUAGAACCAAAUCGAACCUAUCUAAUAGAUCCAGAUUAGAAGUAUGUCCUCUAUACUCCAUAUUUAUAACACAUUUAUAAAGAUAAAUGCUAAAAAAAUGUUAAAGAUAUAAAUUUAAUGAACCAUACUUUAUGAUUUUAAUUCUCAAUUAUUGUUCAUAUUUAUAAGAGAAAAGUUAAAAAAAUUGAUAGAGUUUUCCCUCUAUCAUGGACAUUAUCCCAAAUAAAAAUAAAUUGAUUAUGCAAAUUACAUUAAUAUUUGUAACCAAAUGAUCAAUAACUAUCUUGUAUCAAUUUAGUAAAUAAAUUUAAGUAUAUCUUUUCAUUUAUGACUAACAAAUAACUCAUACUUGUCCAAUAAAAGCCACACCUAAUUUCUAAAAUUUUGUCUUCACCUCAAGUGAGUGUUACAUUGAGAAAGAAAAAAUAUGAAAGAAAAAAUGAACACCUUUUUCUUUUAAUAAAAAAAGGCCAUAACGAAACAUUAAAUCUCACUGUUACACCUAUCUUCAAUGGAAACAUGAGGAUGUGAAUGGUGGCGGUGAUAUUCUUUGCUUGAAGCUCAUAAACAAAUAUUCCUUACUAAGCCUAUGCCAUUUAGUAUUUCAAUAGUGGACCCCCCCCCCCCCCCCCCCCCCCUCCUUGCAUUUCAGAUUUAGCAAACUUAGAACCAAAUAACAAAGUGCAUUUGAACCCAUAAAGAAGUAAUGAGACUCUCCUAUAUUGGCAAUAGAAGAAAUUUUUGGAGGUAUAGGAGAUUCACGGAUGAAGAAGUUGGGCCCCAAUUGAGAUAAGACCCAAGAAAAGAUGGGGUAGAGAGGGAUGGUUGGAAAUUGUAAAGUAAGAUUUUCAAAAUGUAGUUGAUGACUAAGAUUUUGACAAUUUAAAAAAGGUUUAAAAAUGUAGUUAGCAAUCGGGGUUUUGUAACAUUUAAAAAAUAAAAUAAAAUCUCAGGCCACAUGGUAGCCCAUGUGAUUCAGAAGCUUGAGAAUUAUUUUAUAAGAAGACUUAAUUUGUGAUUUUUUUAUAACUAUAUUAUUUUUUUUCUUAACACACGAAAAAAAUUAUGAAAUAAGACAAUUUUCCUAAGAAAGCAUGUAAGUGACUCUUGGUUAUUUUAUUUAACUUCUUCUAGUUUGGAGAGGAUUAAUACCUUUGCUUUUACUCACUUGCUUGGAUAUGUACACGUUGUUCAUGUCACUUUUCAUUUAAUUUUCUGAUUAAGGGAAUUGGAACCGUACGUAACUGUCUUUAUUCCCUCUGAAACUUGGACUUGGAGUUGGACUUUCAAUCUCAUCAGUCGUGUUUCCAUAAAAAAGAAGAUGGAUUAACCAAUUUUCCUAUGCCUACUAAUCAUACACAAAACUCCACUUCCAAAUAAAAAGGAAUGGGAUAUCACUUGUUAAUAGUGGCUAAAGACUAUUAAUAACCAUGCAAAGAAAUGUCACAUUUUUUGUUCUACGCAAAUUUUAUUCAUCAACUACUAGAACCAUUUCAUACAAUAGUAGCUUUUCGAUCCUUUGAUAAAUGGACACUUGAUGUGAUAACACCAACUACACCUAUAUAUUCAAGCAAUCAUGCGUAUAUAAUAGUGGAUAUGGAUUACUUCUCUAAAUGGGCAAAAGUUUUGUCAUUCAAGGAAAGUGAACGAGGAAACACAAGUUUACUUUCAUCGGAACUAAUAUUAUAUAUUGAUAUGACUUCCCAUUAUUACUUACGAUGGAAUAUGCUUCCAUAAAAUGGCCUAGAUGAACAAACUAUCCAAGAAGUUUGGGAUCAAAUAAUAUAUAUAUAGUUCAUGUGUGAUUCUUUGGUUGACAACCUUGUUAAGGGGUGAGUGAAGCACUUUGGGCAUACCACAUACUACAUGCUAGACUUCCACCCAAGCUACCCUAUAUUCCUUAUGAACAAAGUAGAAGUUGUCAUCUCUCUUGAAUACCAAAUCCUUUCACCUAAUAAUGCUAUCUAAAAAGGUCUUAAAAAGGAUAAAAAUGCGCAUAUUUGAAUUUUUGAAUUAGGAGUGCUACUUAAAAAGAAGCUAGAUAUACAAUAAUAGAAUGUUAUCAAGCAUAUCUCUUCAAAGUUUUUGACCAAAAAAUAUAUGAUUUCUCAUUUUAGGUAGGAGACUUAGUACUCACUAUUCAAAAACCAAUUAUCAUUACUCAUAAAAACUAAUAGAAAGUUUGGGCCAAAGUAGGAUGGACCUUAUAUUAUGCAACAAUUAUGCCUAUAAAAUUGUUGCAAAAGAGGUUUUAGAAUCAAAUCAAUGAAUGAAAAAUUAUUAAAGCAUUACUAUGCUUGAAGGCUAGUCAUUUUCCCUUAAAGUGCAAUAUUAAGUUGCAUAGUACUAUGUGGAUCCGCAUUUUUCACAUGCGUUCCCACUCAUUGUCGAGACUCACUUUUUAGAAGUGAAAAAUUAGUUUUAUUAAAGUCGAAGUUGCCACUGGGGAUUUGAACCCUAACAAAAGGUUCAAUUUAAGGAUAAAAAUAUCGAUAAUCACAUAUAUAUAUAUUGGUACUUUGAUUUUAUGAAUAUAUUGAAGAAAUAUGGACAAAUAUUUUGACACAAAAUAUGUACAAAAUAAAAAUUAUAUAAAAAGUAAAAAUAAAUAUUUUAAAAUUAUUUUUUUAAAUAUAUAUAUAUAUAAUUUGACAUAUUUGAUAAUAAUAUAUAAGGGUCUCCAAAAAGCCCGUGGCCCGCUUUAGGCCCGGUCCGACCCGACAGGCUAAAGCCCGGCCCAAGCCCGCCGGGCCCAAGCUCGGCCCGAGCCCGUUUAUGGGUGGGCCGGGCCGCGAGCCCGUAGGCCUGCUCCUUUAAAAAAAAACUACAAAAAUAAAAAGUAUUAAAAAAAAUAUUCAUUUCAAAAUUUUAUUCAUUGAAUGUAUAAUUACAUUUGAAAAUGUGGGAAAAGUUUACAUCACUACAAAAUAAAUACAUCCCAACUAGGUUGGCACCUAUUUAUUUGUCAAUCAUCUGUAUUUUUCAACCACAAAAAAUAAAAAUAAAAAUAUAAUAUACAUUUAGUCAUUAUUUUCUGGCGGUGAUGGCGAACUAUCAUGCAUCCAUGAAGAUCUUGAUAAUUUUAAAGAUUCCAUAUCGGUAAGCAUCUUUGUUUCUCGAAUGGAAUCAUACAUCCUUUUAUCUGCUAUUUCCCAAUCUUUCACACAUAUCCCUGCUUUAAUAACAUCUGACGCUAAGUUGCAUCGUUUUUUACUAACUACUCUUCCACCUGCACUAAAAGCAGCUUCUGAUGCAACUGUACUCACAGGAACUGUUAGUACAUCACGAGCAAUUAUAGAAAGCACAGGAUAUUUGUGUUGAUGUGAUUUCCACCAUAUUAAAAUAUUAAAAUCUUCUUGAUCUUCAAAUGAAAUUAUAUCAGUAUUAAGAUAUUUAUCUAAAUCAGAUGUAUUAUUUGGAGAAUUAUUUGUUGUCUUUUUUCGACUUUUCAACAUUUCUAGAGCUCCUUUAUAAAAAGAUGAGGAGUUUGUAGAUGUAGGUGGUAAUUUAAUAGUAUUAAUAUCAUUACCAUAUUUUUCUUUAUAAUAGUUAUAUAAAUUAUAUAAUAAUGAAUUUAUUUCAUUUUUAAUUUCUUCAAUUUUUAUUUGGUCAUUAAAAUAAAUAAUUGUUAACCAUUCAUCCAAAGCUUCAAAUUUCAAUCUAGGGUCCACAAUUAAAGCAAUAUAAAAAAUUAAAGGUAUUUCUCCCCAAUAUUUUCUAAAUUUUUAUAUCAUUACAAAUAUUGUAUCAUUAAAUAUUUCAAAACUUAAAUAUUUUUGAAGUACAAUAAAAAUAUUAGUUAUUUGCGUAAUAACUCGAUUUGAAGUUGGAUAAUAUACACCACAAAAAAUGUUUGUUGAAGUAUCAAAAAUUUCAAAAAGAUCUCUUAAAACAUCCGCAAUAUGCCAAUCAUAAUCAUUUAAUGCAUAAAUAUCUGCUUCAUAAUCAUUGUUAAUUAAUUGUAUUUCAUAUAAUUCGACUACUUUUCUAUAUUUUGUAAUAUUUUCUAAAAGUUUAUAUGUGGAAUUCCAUCUAAUAGCCAUAUCCAAAUUUAUAUUUUUUCUUUUCAUAUUUAACAUUUUGCAACAAUCAAAAAAUAAUUCAUGUUUUGCUUGAAAACUAUUAAUACUAUAUGCAAUGCCUCUAAUUUUUUUCCAAUGUACUAUCAACAUUUUUUAAUCCAUCCUUUACAAUUAAAUUUAAAAUAUGUGCACAACAACGCACAUGAAAUAUUUUAGCAUGAUCUUCUUUUACUUGCCAAUAUCGUUUUAGUCUAUGUAUUGCUGCAUCAUUAUUAGCAGCAUUAUCUAAUGUUAUUGUCAAUAUUUUAUCACGAAUGCCUAAAUCUAUAAUUUCAUCAUUUAUUAAAGAUGCUAUAUUUUUACCACUAUGUGGAGUAUUUAUUAAUUUAAAUAAAAUUAUUCUUUUAUUUAAUUUCCAUUCAUUAUCAAUGUAGUGAACAAUUAUAUAUAAAAAACCAGUAUGAGUUAAAGAUGUCCAAAUGUCAGAUGUUAAACGAAUAUUUCCUUCAAAAUUUGCAAAAUUUUUUUUUAAAAUUUCUUUUUGUGUAUAAAUUUUUUUCAUAAUAUCUCUUUUAACUGUAUUUCCAGAUCAACCUUUAAAUUGAGGAUUAAUACCUCGUUGAAUUGUUCUUGCAAAAUCAUGAGUUUCCAUCAUGUUGAAAGGUUGUUCUGCUCUUAUUAUAUAAUCAAUCAUUUCUUCACAACAGUUAGAUUCAUCAUAAGAAAAUGUUUUUAAAUUUCCACUUUCAUUUUUACUUAAUUGCAUAUAAUUUCUAAUAUCUACAUUAUUUUUAGUUUUACAAUUUUCAUGAUGUCUUUUUAAAUGACUUGUAUCUGCAUUUGAGCCACCAGUAAGAAAUUUAUUACAAAUUUUACAUUUUGCUUUUAUUUUUUUUUUAUUAUUUUCUAAAAUUAUUUCUAUUCUAUCAAAAAAAUUCCAUAUAUUUAAAGUAAAUUUUUUGUUUGAUGAUAUUUCAUCACAUGGACUAGACGAAGAAGCACUUGUCAUAUUAUAAUUAUUGAUAAAAUAUUAUGCCAAAAAUAAUAAAGUAAUAAAUAUAAAAAAAAAUGUAACAAAAAAAAUAAAGUAGUAGGGGUGAAGUAUGUUACUCAAUUAGAGAACCUAUGCAGAAAUUCCUAGCAAAUUUGAACUCUUGGAGCCACCAAUGCUUGUUUUGCACCAUCAACAAUAUUGUAUAAUUUGAGGGAAAAAUAAAAGAAUUUAAAAUAUUGUAGAAUGUGAGAGAAAUAGAGAGAAUUUGAUGAAAAAAUGAAAAGGAAGAAAAUGUAUUUAUAGGAAGGUUAAAAAUAAUAAUAAUAAUAAUAAUAAUAAUAAUAAUAAUAAUAAUAAUAAUAAUAAUAAUAAUAAUUGGCCAUGUGACCGUUGGAGGCUUAGCUCCAACGGUCACAUGGGCUGGAGCUAGGCUCCAACAGUCACAUGACCGUUGGAGCCUUUAAUUUUUUUUUUUAAAAUAAUAUACUUUAUUUUUAUAUAUAUAUAACUAACUCAAUUAAUAAACAUAAAAAGAAUAUAGUUCAGUUGGUUAGAACCUUGAAGUUUAAACAUGAGGGGAGGGGUUUGAAUCCCUCCCUCUCCCUUAGGGGCUUUUUUAAAAGCCAUUUUGGCUUAUUUCAAAAAGCCUGUCGGCCCGACCCGCCCUGCAGCCCGCGGGCCUAGCAUUUUAGCAUGGCCUGGUCUGUUGACUAGUCAAAUGGCUCAUAGGCUCGGCCCGAACUGGGCCGCGGGCCUCUUAUUUACGGACCGGCCCGACCCGGCCCGCCCGUUGGAGACCCUUGAUAAUAUCUUCUAUAUUAAGUUACAUUAUAGUUUAUUUUACAAUAUUAUUAUGAUAAUAUGUCUAAUUUUAAAAUAUAUUUAAUAUUAAAAUUAUGAUCUAUUUUAAUUUAAAUGUAUUCAAUGAUAUCAAAUAAAUAAUAAUAUAUGUAUAAUUCUUUUAUUAUUUAUAUUUAUUAUUUUUAAUAAAUAUAUAGAUUAUAUAAAAAAGACCGGAUAUAUCUUUUCAAAUUUUGUAUCGCUCUCCAAGGAUAUUAGAUGUAUGGGAAUUUGUAUUGCUAUCUACGGAUACGUUGAUAUAUGGGUGAUUUAUCAGGAUAAUUAGAAAUUCUAAUUAUGUAAGCAGGUACGGAGUUCUGUGUCGGUGCGAUCUUGUCGACAACAGCUCCAAAUUGUGCAUCUUGCUCAUAGAGAGUAGCGGAAUGCACCAAUCGUAGGCUCAGAGUACCACUGAGUCGUCUGGCAGAGACCCAACUGAAGGUGCCUGUGUUGUUCCUGAUCUGAUCAGGCUUCAAACUACAAGGUGGAAUACUGGUUCCCCUAUAUCAGAAGCUGGAGAUACCCACCCCAUAUGCUCGUCUGGAUGUGCUCCUACCCUUUGAAGCCUUCUUCCGAGUCAAGUCCGAAUUGAUAAGGCUAGUGAGUUCCCAACCAACUGUACUCAGCAUGCUGCCAGGUGGAGACCCUCCAUAUUUGAUGGCUUCCUAAUAUUAAAAUGCUGACCACUGGUCUUCAUGUUCCACAGGCUUAAUUGUGUCCUUUGCUGAAAGAAUGGAUAGUGAUCCAUUUUAACACAUGAUUCACGCCGUCUUUGCCAUUCUUCAUGGUCUAGCCCUUUUAUAUAUAUGCUUCCUGAACUGUUGCUAUUAAUAAAAUGUGGUAUCUAUCCCGUACACCUUCCUGAUGGCCAGCGAAUGCAGAAGCUACAGAAACGGUUCCAUCUUUUGCUUCCGCCACUUUGGCAUCCUCCAUGAUGAGAUCGAAGGUGAAUAAUCAUAUUCUGGGGAUUUAUGUCCUGGAUAUUCUCAGUAAUGCCCAAUUUCCUGGUGCCGGCCUCAUUUCCAUGGGAACUGAUGGAUAACUUAAGGCUUCUACCAUCUGCGUGGUUCGCUUCUAACACAGGAAACUUCACGGCUAAAAGCAAGAUACCAAGAACAUCAAGGCUGUGACAAAAAUUAGUAUUUUUAACUUGUAGGAAUUUGAAAGGCAACCAACCAUCUAGCUCUGUUCUUAAAGCUCCCAUAGGAGGAUCAGAGGCUGGAUUGCUCAAGAUGAACUCAUCCAUUGUUGCACUUAAAAAGAAUUGGCAUGAAUUGUGGCCGCUCUAAUAGGUUCCCUAAACCAUCAUCCAAGUGGGCUUGCGGAAGGUAGCGAGUUUAAAACACCUAGGGCGAUGAACAGUGGACUGUGAUGCUCACAAAAGAGAAAAGGAAGAAUUCAAUAAUUCCUAAGAAUCCAUUUGCCUGUCAUCCAAAUUUUUAUAUUCUCUUCAGUCUGACGCGUUAUGCCAUAUAUUAAAAAUAGCGGCUUCUUCCAAGCCGAGACAGACUGUGCAAAGUUCGCAAGGCCAAUCAUCACCAUAAUCUGAAGUUGGCCUCCUCAAUCGCAGCUUGUAUCCGAAUGCUCACUUCACGGGAUGGAUUGUAAUGAAAACUAAUCUCAGUCCCAGCUAUGGCAGCAUCCUCACUUGACAGCAUUUUCUGCAUAUUCUAGAACAAAGCAAUAAACCCUCAAAGGCUCCUUCGGAUCAGAGUUAGAAGACUGUCCCUCAGGAACGUGAACACUAUGGUGGUUCUGAUAAGCAGUGAUAUUGCAUUAGAGCCUUUUGGAACAAGAGGAUCUUUUCAGGUGGAAACUGUAAACUGCUUCAUGUUGGGCUGCAACCUUUUCUUCAAGCAAUACUUUCUUUCUGUAUCACGACUUAUGUUGCUUCCGGAGCCAUCCCGUGUGGACUGCCCUUCAGUGAAAGAAUAUGUGUGUUGACAUGUUGGAUUGUAAUCUUUGUUCCACUCUAAUGGCUUUUGGUCCUCCUCUUUCUCUUUAUGACAGAGAACCAUUUAGUGAUCCAUCUCUAUAUUGUAGCAUUGCUGGUGCUUUGCAAUACUACACUCUCACCAAGCAUAACAUCUAUUUUUCCGUGACCAAAGUAUGUCGGUUUAUGCAUGCGCAAACUCUUAUUCAUUGGCAAGUUGUCAAGCGUAUCUCAUGAUUUCCCAAAGCCACAAGUUCUUAUGGUCUUUCUGUUCAAGCUUACAAUGAUCUAUCUUUUCUUGGUUAUACUGAUGUCGAUUGGGCUAGUUGCCCUGAUAACAAGCACAAUACUAGUGGGUACAACACUUUUCCUGGUCCUAAUCUCAUUUCAUGGGCAUUUUCAAAGCAGAAGGUUGUGUCUCACUCCAAUAACGAAUCUGAAUAUAGGGGACUCACUAAUUAAUGUUGUUGCCAAGGUCACUUGGAUUGAAUCUGUCUUACGUGAGUUGCGUGUUUCUCUACCCCAACCACCAAUUUUGUUGUGUGACAACAUUAGUGCUACACACUUGGACAAACCAUGUUGAAAUACACUAUCAUUUUAUCCAUGAAAGGCUUAUGCAUCACACACUCAAAAUUCAAUACACCUCUUCUAUAGACCAACUAGUCAAUGCUAUGACCAAAGCUCUUCCUUCAUCUCACUUGUACAAUCUUCAGUGCAAGCUGAUUGUUCUUCCCAAACCACUCAACUUGAGGGGAGAUGUUAAGCCAAUUUAAUAAAUUGAUUUCUUUUGGUUAAUUUGUUAGAAUCAUUUUUAUUAGAGGUUUGUUUGUACAAUUACAUCCAUUUAUCAGGAGAGUACACGUGUACAACUCCUCUUUUAAUCUCACCAUUGUAUAUAUAUGAUACACGACCUUACUCAGAAUUGCAUAACAUUUCCUCUGCUCAUUCCUUUUCUUCUUUGAAUUUUCCCUUACCUCACUGAUUUUGAUUUAUACCUGGUGUUUUCACCUUUGGUCUCUACCUUUCUAGCCAGUUUUCUAAUUAAUCCGUAUAUGGUAUACCUGUCAACUAAUGAGGAGAAAGAGAAAAGGGGAUUGCUGUUCCACCAGCUACAUAUAAUAAUUAAUUACAAUCAUGGUAAUGGAUCCUGAAAUCCAUCCUUUGUGGAUUUUGUACGGAAUAUUGUUGUUAUGUAUGUGGGCUCACUUAGAUGUAUAUUGCUAGCCUGUCUGGGAAAUGUGAUUGCAGGUCCAGAUUAUGAUGUUGAUAUUAGUGGGAUAAGCAAGAGAUGCAGUUAACACGUAUGUGAUGGACUUGAGUAACUUUUCCAUUUCAGUCCAUUUUUUAAGAUUAUGCUUAGUCUUAUUACAAGGAAAGACCAUAAGAAUCAUGAGUCAUUGGCAAGGUAAUAUCAUUCCCUCUUUACAGGCUUCUUCACCUUUUGGUUUUUUUAAUAUCCAUCAAGAUCUUUUAAUUGGAGGACAAUUACAAGUAUAUAUAUAUGUAUUAAAAGGGGAAAAUAUUAAAACAGGAAAUUUUAGGGAAAAUAUAAUAAUUAUUUCUUCCUUCUUUCCCAUAUAGAACUACACAAAAUAAAACUUUAAUAAUUUUUUCUUAUCUUUUUUAUUAUUAUUUUUUCUUAGAAACAUCCGUGGUCUCACAAGCUUGUAAUCCUAGAUUGUUAGGCUCCUUUAACAGUGCCCCAACAUCGUGGUCCAAUGACAAGCUUCCACGCCUUAAAAUCAGAAAAUGCCAUUAAACUUUAUCAGACAUUACAGUUCAAGACAAAGCUUUCAUUUGCUUAAUGUGAUAAUGAAAUUGUUAAUUUCAUUUCGUGGGCAUCUAAAUUUGGACGAGCAAGACCUCUGAAUUCCCUGUUUUUAUCACCAGCAGAGGAGAUAAAAUCUUAAUGGUGAGAAUCUCCACGUGAAAUUUAUGUGUACUGUCAACAUAUUUUUGUUUAUAUAGUCCAGUAGCUGCAGGAAGUCUAGAUUAUAUAGGUAGCAGUAGCACUAUUUAUAGCACUCGAUAUUCGCUGUAUGAAUACAUUAAACCUUGUUUUCAAUACGCAUCACAAGCAAGUACUAGAUACUACAAGGAGUGACAGUCGCAUCAACAUUUCUUGAUAAUAGCAGUGACUGAUUUAUACACAGAACAGUACUGUACACGUACCAGUCACCAGAGAUAGGAUCUUAUUCCUACAUACGACUCUUAUUGAUCGAAGUCACUCAGUUGGGGUAGCCUGGAGUUGGAGGUUUGUGUGGUGGCUUCUUCUUUGGAGGAGGCUUUAUCUUUGGAGGCAUCAUCUUUGGAGGCAUCUUGUGUGAGUCUUCUUCAGCAUUCUCUACAGGAGGAUGGCCAGGCUUAUGACCCUUAGGUGGUUUGCCAACUGGGAUUGGUGGCUUGUGUCCUGAGAGUGGCUCCUCUUCUUCGGGAGGUUUGCCAACUGACGUUGGUGGCCCGUGUCCUGGGGGUGGCUUGUGUUUUGGGGGUGGUUUCACUCCACCGGGAGGUUUACCAAUUGGUGUUGGUGGUUUGUGCUCAAUCGGUGGCCUCUCAACUGGGGGGCGCUUGGGGUAAUCAGCGAGUGAAGAAGUGGUGAGAACCACCACUCCAAGCAACAACACUAGCAAGUAUGUGGAAGACAUCUUUGAGUUUGGCUCAGAUGGUGUAGAACUAGAAUCCUGGGUGGCCUUUUAUAUUAGUUGGGCCCUAUGCCCGAACGACAAGUGUCAUGGUGACACAUAAAGUGAUGGGGUCGAUUUGGGCCUACCGGAUUUGAAAACUUGGACAAUUCGAGAAGCGUCUCCUGACUCCGGGUUGUAAAGUGAAAGAUUAGGUAUCGACCAUUGAAGUAUGAUCACAACUUUUGGCCUUUGGCUCUCUCUACUGCCGUAUAGCUUUUUUCCUUUGGAUAUUUUUCUUAGCUAGACACAAUUAUUGAGCAGUCUAAUCUCGAAAUGGGAUUAGUAUAGCUUUAAGCAAAUUUAUUAUAGUUAGUGGAGGACUUUUAAGAGUGCAGACGACAUUUAACACAUGCAUGCAGUAGUAUAGGGGACAUAACACUAUUCUUUUUCCAAAGAUUCACAUGAUUUUUAUAUUAUAGUAUUGGCACAUUGUAUGUAGCUGGUUUUGUGGUUAAAAUUCCAUAUGUAGACACUGGCGUUUCUCCAUUUCUCACAAUUGAUGUUUACCUCCACGAUUACUAGAUUAGAUAUACCAAACAAUAACACAUUGUAUAAUCUAUCCGCCCUUCAAAAUCUACUGUAUGAUGAAAUGUUUCAUGUGUGUGUGAAGUGUUAGAAAUGCACUAUAGGCAACAUCAUCUUCUUUUGUCUAGGCUUGGGCCUCAAAUUAUACUCCCAUGCCAUGAUAAAUUUUCAUGUGCAUUCUCUAAAGAAGAGUGUCUUGAAUGUGCCAAAUCAUUUUGAUUGAUUUUAUGAUGUUAAUUGCUCCGCAUAUGGAUGGGUAUGUGCUUUAUUUGCUUAUUCAAUCCACAAUUACCUUGAACUGAAGUCCUAUUGGAGCUCUAUUAUUUUAGCAACGUCCUGUCAAAUAGGCUGCUAACUUGGGGUGGUAUGGACCCAAUGAUCCAUCUUAAUCUUGGGUUGAUUUUGUCUGACUCUAUCUAUCUCAGAGAGAACCAGGAUCACCAGUGCUGGUCUGCUUAAAGAAGACUCAGUACUGGAUUAAUAUUGGUUUGGGUCAAUAGCUUAUAAUGCAUUGAAUGCAGAAUAAACAAGAUCAAUGAAACCCAAAACACACUGCCCACACAACUUCACUCUGGUGUCUGUUAUUCAUCAAUUCUAUUCCCACAUGAACUGGUUCAAGUUUAAGAAAAUGACAACGGAUCCACUGUAUUAACUUGGUUUUGCUUGGUUUUGAGCUAGUUGCCAAACCAGCCAUGAGUUUUACCUCUAAUGUCAAUGAACAAACCCCAAAUGAACAACUGCAACAGCUUAAAGAGAAGGAAUGGAGAUGAAAAUCCCUGUUUCUUCUCAUUCUGGGGACAAAUUAGAACAUAACUACAAAGGUUCUAUUAAUUGACUUACUCUACCAUGAAUUAUGGUUCUUUGGUUUUCCAAAUUUAAAUUGUACAUGAGAUUAUUUUUUUCCUUUAUAUAUAAACAUAUUAAGGUUUUCUUAUUUCGUGGGCAAAUGCGCUAAGGAUGAAAGUCAUUUCAUUUGGCUGCAACAGCAUCUUAUAAUCAACAUGCAUAAGCAGCAGUUUUAAUUGAUCGAUUGAACACCGACUCACAAGAAUAGAUAGAAUGGUACAAGACAGCUCUUAUUAAUUUAUACUCGUUACUCAUUUUAUGUAGCCCCAUUAAGAUGGCUGGCUGGACCACCGAGGUCUGGGGGUGGUGUUGCUUGUGUGAUGCAGCGGGCCGGGCAGACACUUCUCUAGUUGCUUCUAUUUGGAGUUAGAGGAUCAGUCUCUGCCAACCUUGAGGACUCUCUACCUCAGAGGGUCCAGGUGGUGGACUCUGGUGUCGGUAGCUUUGAACUCUCAGUAGACUAGUGUGUCUUAAUCAGUCACUGCCAGAGGCUGGCGUAGGCAGUGACGAUAAGGUGAGACAAAUUACCGAAUAGUCAAUAUCGACUGCACUUGACCAUUAUAGAUUUGUUCUGACAAAAGUGAGAAAAGGGAGAAAAUCGGAUGUUGACCUUUAUAGAAAAAGAUAAGAUUUACUGCAACACAGAGCACUGAUUUGUUACUUGGAAACCAAGUUAUGCUAUUAGCUAGCCUCCAUUAGCAGCAGGGUACCUUGCUGCCUGAUCCUAAUCUGAGUUCCCAAGGUUUCAAUCUUCGUUUGUUAACGCUUCAGGAUUUGGAUAUUUCAGCUUCGUUUCUCCAUUUAGCCAACGCUGCCUGGUUUGGAUUUCAAUCCUCAUCUGGAACAUUCUUUUUUCGGUCUGAUUCAGGAAGUGUUUGGUGAUAGUUGAUUAAAAUUAAACAGUACUAUCAUACAAAUAAAGCUGAUCUAAUUUUGGUGGGCAAUAUACCAACUCAUUUAUUCUUGAAAACACCAUGGGGAAUUGGAGGUCCAUCCGAAGUACUAUUUGAUGGGACUCACAAAAAGAACAGGUGCACAUUUAUGAGAUCCGUGGAAGAGAUAACUAUGACAGCUAUGCAUGUACAACAGAUUUAUGUCGAGUUCACCUCGUAGAUAUUUUGUUUUCAGUGUCGGUGGACCCCAAAAUGGAAAUCGGAAAUUAAGGUUAUAUUUAUUUUUUUAUUUAAUUUUAAAUAGAAUUUUAAUUUUUAAUAAUAUUAAGUAUUAAAUUAUUUUUUUAAGGGUAUUUUAUUUUUAUUAAGUAUUAAAAAGUAAAAAAAAUUAAUAUGUUGCUUUUUUAUUUUAAAAAAAUUAUAUAUUUUAAUUUUUUCUAUUUACUAAAAAGUUUAUAAUAAAUUAUAAAAAAAUAAAAAAAUAAAAAACUUAAAUUCUGAAAAUAAAUUAUUUUUAAUAAAAAAAUCCAAAAAAGCAAACACCACCUAAAUUUGAGAUGACUCAAAAUUUUAUAUUUUUUUUCACCUAAAUUAUAUUCAUAAAUUUAAAAUUAAAAAAUUAGGAAGUUGAAUUUUAUUUUGGAUAAUUGGAAACUACAAGAAAUCAAUAAAAAUAUUUGGAAAAAAAAGAAAAAGAAAAACUAUCUAUAUAUUCACCCCCUUCUAAGAAACAUAACUUUAGUUUUUAACUAUUUUUUAAAAUAAUUUUUGAAAAAUGUUAUAUAAUAUUUUAUAAAACAAAAAAUCUGUUUGACAAUUUGAUAUGUCUUUAACUUAUUUUUAAUAUUUAUAUAUAUAUAUUUUAAAAAUAAUUUUAUAUUUAGAACUUUAUCUUUAAUUAUUAUAUAUAUUUAUAUAAUUAUUUUUUUUAAAACAACUCUUAAAAAAUAAGUGAAAGUAAUUGAAAACAACUCAAAGAUAUUUGAUGAAAACACUCUAAUUUGUAUUUUUGAGAAUAAAAAAAUAAAUAAAUAAAUUUCUAGUUAUCAAAUGUAUUUUUUAAUUCUUUUAUUCUAAAAAAUAGAAAAUCGUUUUUGAAAAUAAUUAUUAAACAACAUUCUUAAAAAUUCACUCGUUACAAUCUAGAUUUAAUGCAAGAAUGAUUGAAGGAGUCCUCCAAUAGAACCCAAAGUUAUAAACAUGAACAAGAAGCCCUAGAAACACCAAAGAUCUCAUAUGGUAUAUAUAUGAGCUUGAUUGAGAACUGUUUUAAAUUCAGUUUUUUUUUUUUUUUUUUUUUUUUGUUUUCAAAGUCAAAACAAGUUUACUUUUAAUUUUUACUUCUUUUUUUUAAUUUUAUAAAUAACAGUUUUUUAAUAAUUUAUUUUGAAAACAUGAUUAUUUUUAAAACUUAUAAUGAAAAUAGGAAUUUUUUUUUUAAUAUCAUGGUUAUUUUCCCUUCUUUUAAGGAGGGCUAUUUUAAAAAUAAAUUUACAAAUAUGAAAAAUGAUUCAAACUAAAGCAGUACAAAUAAAAAACAUUUUUAAGAAAUAUUUAAAAAUAGAGAAAAUUAUUUGAGAACAUUUGAAGUCCUUAAAUAGACUUUUGUUUUAGAAAAGGCAAGAUAAUUAUUUUUGAAAAUUGUUUUCAUAAUGAUAUGCAAAAACCUACGUAAAAACCAUAAUUAUAAUCGGCCACAUAUCAAAUCUACUAAAUAUGAAAAGUAAGUACAUAAUUAUAUUUGACUUAGAUGCAAGGAGGAAAAUGUCGCGAUAUUAUCGCCGAAAUAUCGUGUGUCGAAGGGUAUCGACACGAUUUUUCUUGCAGAAAUAUCGGCCAGUCGAUUUUUCGGGAUAAAUCUCGAGAAAUCGGCAAUUUAUCGCGAUAUAUCGGCGAUUUUUCCUCGAUAUAUCUUCUGGUCAACGCGGGUCAACGGAGUCAACACGCUACAGUGAAAGUCAAAUGUGCUACAAUGUCCCCGCUACAAUCACCUCCCCAAACAAAUUGCCAAAUUGCUUCCGAGGGGAUUUGAACCAGCCUUCUUGCCAUUUGGGCUAACUCGCCCUUAUGAUAUAUAUUGCAUUAAACAUAUAUAUACUUAAAGUCCUUAUAUAAAGAAAAUGUUAAAAAAAUAUUUUAAAGAGCAAAUUAAUUAUAAUUAUUUUAUAAUUAAAAGCAAAAUUUUCUUUUAAUUAAUUACCAAAAAUAUAAAAAUUAUAUAAUUUUCUUCAUAAUGUUUUUAAUAUCAUUAAUAAUUAAUUAAAUAUUAAAAAAUUAUAUAUAUAUAUAUAUAUAUAUAUAUAUAUAUUAUAAUUUAUUUUAUAUUGUUUAAUACAAUUGAAUUAAAUGGAUCAUAUUUUAAUAUUAAUAUAUAUUUUAAAAUUAGACAUAUUGUAAUCAAAUAUCAUAAUAUUAUAUGUAAUUUAAUAAUAAAUGUACACUUAUAAAAUUCAUAUUUUUAUCGAUGCAUACAAUAUUAUUAUCAAAUAUGAUAAAUCAUGUUAUACAUAUAUCAAAAUUUUCAAUAAAAUAACUUUAAAAUGUCUAUUAUACUUCUAAUUAUAUUAUUAUGAGGUUUUCUUUACAUUUUCAUGAGUUUUAAACAAUUUUAAGCACCAAUAUUUUUUUCCAAAAUAUCCACCGAUAUAUCUCCGAUAUAUCCAAUAUAUCUCCGAUAUCUCCGAUAUAUCCGUAAAAUCGAAGUACCGAUAUAUCCGUGAUUACCGAUAUUUUCAUCAUUGCUUAGAUGCAACCUUCUUCCAAAUGACAUACUUUAGUCAAUACUUAUAUUUUUUCGUUUCACUUCUUUGAUACAACACCUCAUGGAUUUAUUGUUUAAUUUAUUUGUAAUUAUAAAACUAUUUUUCAUUUUUAAUAAGACUUGAAUUAAUUUAAUAAAUAUUAUAUAAUUUGAAUUUAUAAUUCUUUUUAUAAAAUCAAAGUAUAUUAAAAAAAAAACAAUUUAUCCGAAGAAAGUUUUUUAUUUUUUAUUUUUUAAAACCGAUUUUAAAAAUAACUAGCUAGACACCCUUAUUUUGAUAAAAUACGAAAUAAAAGUGUAAAAACAACAUGGCCAAAUAGGGGCUUAAAUUUUAUUUUUAAAACAUUUUUUUACACUAAAGUGCAUUUUAAAAACACCAUCAAAACCAACUACAAGUUAUGCUUCUUCCCGUAAUAGAAAUAUUUUAGGCCAAAAUAGAACCUCCCCAAAUAAAGACCCUAUACUAAACUCCUUUUCAUUUUAUUAAUACAAAAGUGGGGAAAAAAGGUCUAUGCUCACCUAAAAAACAUGAAUAUUGUGAAUUCACCAUUUCUAUAAGGAAGUUGAAAACUUCAAAAUUUUAUCAACAAAUUCUCUAAAAUCCUCAAAAUAUAUAGGGCCUGUUUCACAAAGUUUUUUAAAAUUUGUUUUUAUAAAUUGCUUUUAAAAUAUAGAAUAAAUAACAGUUUUUUAGAUUUUUUGAAAAAUAAGAGUGUUUGGUAAGAUGUUUUUUUUUUUUUUUUUUUUUUUAAGAAUUAAAUAAAAAAUAAAAAAAUUGUUUAGAUAAAAGAAUUUGUAUUGUUUUUAAAAACAAUGUCUUACUUUUAUGUUAUAAAAAUUUUAUUAAUUUAAUUUAUAAUAAUAUGAAAUGAAAUUCAAGUUAAGUCUUAUUAAAAAAUACAAAUUAAAUCUAUAAUUAUGCAUGAGUUAAAGAUAAAUAUAUAUUUUUUAAAACUAUAAAAUAAAUUUUCUAUUAUAGUGAAACAAAAAUUACUAUAAAAUAAAAAUAAUUUUAAUAUUCAUUUUUAAUACAAGUCAAAUAAGUACUUUAAUUAAUUUUUUUUAUCAUGAUUUCUUAUGUUUUUUUUUUUUUCUAGAAAUUAUUUUAAGUAAUAUAACUAAUUUUUUUUUUAAUGUUUUAUAAAAAUAAGGAUAUUUGGCAAGUUGUUUUUAUAAAAGGAUUUUAAAAAUAAAUGGAUUUUUUUUUUUUUUAAAAAAAGAACAAAAUGAUUUGUUUGAAUAAAUUGUUUUGAUUUUGUAAAAACAUUUUAAAUUCAAUUUAUAUAAUAUUAAUUAAUUAAAUUAAAUUGAAGUUUUAUUGAAAAUAAAAAUAAUUUUGUAAUUAAAAUUAGAUUAAAAAAUAUAUAGGUUUUAAUAAAUCGUAAAUAGUAAUAUUAUAAUAAAAUUAUAAAUUAUAUUUUUAACAUAAAAUAUACUAUUUAUUACAUAUUAAAAAAAAUAUUUUAUUAUAUUAAUAAUUUUAUGGUAUUAAUGAGUUUAUUAUUUAAGUUUUAAAUUAUUUUUAAAAAUUAAUAAAUUUGUUAACAAAUGCAAUGUACUAAAUGUGGUUUAAUUUGGAGUUAAUUUGUUUAGGGAAAAAAAUAAAAAAUAAAAAUCUUAUGUAAAAGAGAAAUAAUAGAGUGUGUGUGUUUUUUUUUAUUAUUUUUAAAAAUCAGUAAAAAGAACUUUUACUUAUUGCCUAAAAAUUAUUCUCUAUUUUAUUUUAUUUUUUAAAUCUAGAAAUAGAUAACAAUAAUAAAAAAAAUUAAAAAAGAAAAAUGUUUUUUAAAACUCAGACUUAUAAUUGCUUUUGUUUCUCAUUCGCACCCCUGGAUUCCUGGAUUCUAAACACAAAAUUAAGUUGAAUCGUCCAUCUAUCUUGUAAGCCAAGAAUUCACAUAGAAGAAAUAAUCGGAAUUUGAUUUGAUAUCAGAUUUAGAGUGGCUCACUACUCAUGCAUUGUCCCACAAUAGUAAUGCUUUGGGCCGAGAUAAACCCAUUUGUGGGCCCAAAUAAAACCCCUGGUUUGAAAACAUCGAUUUUACAGUGGCCCAAAAGAUUAUCUAUGAGGGGAAGAUAACUUGGAAGUCAAGCAAACACAUUUAUCGCUAACUUUUCUCUAAUUAUAAAAUUAUAACUUGGUCUUCUACACGUCUCACUUAAGAGGCGGAGCCACUUGGCACUACCUUUCCAUAUUGUAAAAGGAGAAGAAGCAGAAGGAGAAGAUUCUUAUGCCAUUCCACACACCAUGGCUAGUACUGCUAUGCUGCUUGGCCCGCCGGCUCUCCGCCAUCCUAAUUCUCCCGCCGGCACUGUCUUUGAAGAUGGGGUCAUUCUAACGGAUUCCCUGAUCGUCCGCACCAGUAAUCUGGAGCUUUCUGAAAAACCGCCACUGGAAUCCCUGGCGUAGUGCUCUGUCAGUGGGGAUAUUGCUAUGGAUUGUUUGGAUUCCCAAGCCCACAAUCUUCAUCUUCCCGGGAAACCGCCGAUGGGCUUAACGGAAAACAAGUCUCCGACCUUUUUGUCUUCCGGGAACCCGUGCUUGGACUUCUUCUUCCAUGUGGUUCCCGAUACGUCGUCUGAUGAUCUGAUCCGACGGUUUGAGUUGGCUUGGGAAUUCAAUCCGCUGACGACGUUAAAACUGAUAUGCAACUUGAGAGAGGUGAGAGGCACCGGAAAAUCUGACAAAGAGGGUUUCUACACGGCGGUUCUCUGGCUCCACGACCACCAUCCCAAAACCCUAGCCUGCAAUGCUAGGGUGUUGGCCAGCUUCGGUUAUUUCAAGGAUUUUCUCGAGAUUCUCUACCGGCUUCUGGAGGGCCCUAAAAUUCGAAGAAUCGAAAAGAAAGACUGGCUGGAUCGAAAAGGAAGGAAGAAAAAUUCCCGGAAAAGGAACUCAAUAUUCAAGCGAGAAAAUAGGCCUGGAGUUGAAUUUCCUGUAGAAGAGAAGGAUGUGGAGUAUAUGGUGGAAGAAUUUGUGGAUAAAGAAAAGGCUAGGGUACUGAGAAAGGAGAGAGAACUUGCUCUUGCCAAAAGAGCCCUGCACAAGUAUUCUACUGAUUCUAAUUAUCAGUUCUUACAUGAUCAGAUUUCAGAUUUAUUUGCUGAACUUCUGAAAUCUGAUAUUCAGUAUUUAAACUCCGGUGAGCUUUACAAGAUUAGUCUCGCAUCCAAAUGGUGUCCCACAAUUGAUUCUUCUUAUGAUAAAUCCACCUUGAUAUGUGAAAAUAUUGCUCGAAAGGUUUAUUCUCGCGAGGAAUAUAUAUCCAGAAUACCAAGGAAUUGAGGAGGCUCACUAUGUUAAUAGAGUCAGGGAUAGGUUGAGAAAACAAGUACUUGUUCCAUUACGUAAGGCCCUGGAGUUGCCAGAGGUUUUCAUGUGUUCGAACCAGUGGGGAUCACUUCCCUACAACCGUGUGGCUUCAGUGGCCAUGAAAUCAUACAAGAGCCUCUUCUCAAAACAUGAUACAGAGCGGUUUGGUGUGUAUCUUGAGAAAGUGCAAACUGGGAAGGCUAAGAUUGCAGCUGGUGCAUUACUUCCCCAUGAGAUUAUAGCUUCAUUGAAUGAGGAGGAUGGCGAGAAAGUUGCAGAGCUUCAGUGGGCGAGAAUGGUGGAAGAUUUAUCAAAGAAUGGGAGGCUCACAAAUUGCAGUGCGGUAUGUGACGUAUCAGGAAGUAUGAGUGGAACUCCAAUGAAGGUGUGUGUGGCUCUGGGGCUGUUAGUUUCAGAGCUCAGUGAAGAUCCAUGGAAAGGUAAUGUAAUUACUUUCAGUGCAAGUCCUGAGCUUCACAAGAUCCAAGGAGACAGCCUUGUAUCCAAGACUGAAUUUGUGAGGAUGAUGGAAUGGGGUGCGAACACUGAUUUUCAGAAAGUUUUUGACAGAAUCUUACAAGUAGCAGUGGAGGGAAAUCUGAGUGAAGAUCAAAUGAUAAAGAGGGUUUUCGUUUUCACUGAUAUGGAGUUUGAUGAAGCUUGUGGGAGGUAUAACUAUUGUGAAUAUGACUAUGAUAUGGAGGAAAUUGAUGAGAGUCAGAAGGCAUCUCAGAAGUGGGAGACAGAUUAUGAAGUGAUACAGCGGAAAUUCCAGGACAAAGGAUAUGGAAAAGUUCCGGAGAUAGUGUUUUGGAACCUUAGAAACUCAUCAGAGACUCCAGUGAUGGCCACAGAGAACGGGGUGGCCUUAGUAAGCGGGUUUUCGAAGAAUCUGUUAGACCUUGUUUUUGGAAGGAGGUGGAAUUCUGACCCCUCAGGAUGUGAUGGAAUUAGCCAUCUCUGGUGAAGAUUACAAGAAACUUGUUCUAUUUGAUUAAGAUAUCAAGAGAUUUAUCAAUAAUAAUAUGUUUUUUUUUUUCUAUGUGAAAUACAUGUAAUAUUAACUAUGGAGUUAUCAAAGUUCUGGAAAUUUAAUUAUUUCUUCUUUUCAAGUUUUGUUUGUCUUUGUUAGGAAUUCCCCUUGGGCGGACCCAGCUGGGGACUUGGAUUGAGGAAGUAAGGAGGCGAAAUUGUGUUCUUCUAUGGACAGAGAAAAAAGAUAAAAAUAAAAAAUAAAAAAGGAGGUUAUUUGCAUUUGGAUGUCAUGUGGUUUCAGGGUACAACUACAAGUUCGAAAUUGUACAUAAUGUGAAAAUUCCUGUGUGGAGAACAGCAUAAAUAUGUAUCUCAGUGUGUUUUGUUUGAGCUAAUUGGCAAAUUCGCUUUAAACAUGGUCACAUGGAUGCAUAUUUAUUUGUGAAAUGAUAGUAGUCGAUUACUUGGUCAGUAAGGUUUGUAUCUCUAACUCCAACAUCUUAUUGUAGUCUUUUAAAAUGUCAAAAGUUUAAUGCUAGCUUGAGAAAUUUUGGAAUGGAGACAUUCUAAACAAAGUUAAUAAUCCAUGAGACUUGGUAAAACCGAUCAGAUGAUGCUUACGUACAUGAAUGCCUUCUUUAAGCCGUAUCCUAUUUUCAUUGAAUGAGACGUGCCAUCUAGUUUUGUUCUUGUCUUGAUUGGAUCAUGAUCCCGGGAAUUGAUUACUGUUCUGAAUUUGCGAAUGUUCAAGGUAUUAGAGAAAGUUAAUAUUAUCGUUAAUUUACAUAUUAGUAUUUAUCUAGUUAUUAUAUAUUAGUUUGAAUUAUAAUAUAAUAUAGAAUUUGAAUCAAGUUUACUAUUAGUUUGAAUUACAAUAGGAAAUAAAGUUUGAAUUAUAGUAUAACUCAAAUAUAUUUGUAUAUAAAUAUCCAUCUUUAUCAAUGAGAAUAGUAAACCAUAUUUUUCUCUAUCUUCUUCUUUCUCUAUAUAUAUGGUAUCAAAGCCUCCAAAUCCUAAACCUAGUCUCAACUUAGAGCAAAUUUAGGGUGCAGGGUUUAGGCCCCGCCUCCCCCAACCCUUACCACAAAUGGUAGUGACCUUGUUAUGCCUAUGUAUUGUCAAUGCCUCAUUUUCUAUGGUCUUCAAUACAAUAUCUAGUUUCAAUGUCUCUUUCCUUACUAUCUCCAAUGCAAUAUAUUGAUUUCAAUAUCUCUUUACAACCAAGAGCUCCAAAUUUUCCUGGUUCAAAUCUACCAUAAUUUUUAUUCUCCUUUGCUUUUUACCAAUAUUAGUUCCCCUAAUUUAAUAUAUAUCUCUUUAUUACCUUCAACUCUACCUCUCUCUUUCUUUAAAAGCUUCCUCAAAGAUUUGAUUGCUUUCUUGCAUGUUUUGGGAAAACAAACAUGCUCAUAUUCUAUUACCUCUACUUGAGAUCUGCCUUAUACUCUACCUUCUUCUUUACCUCCUAUAUCAUCUACUACAUUAGCUUCAAAAACAUUAUUUAGUUUGAUGCUAAAUAAGGCUCCUAAUCCUACCCUUCCUUCAACUAACUUUCUUUUACAAGUCCCUCAAAGUUUUUUUUUUUUUUUUUUUGGAAAUUUGGCUUAGAAAGAUUUCAUUACUCUUACCUAAUCUUUCAACCAUCAAGUCGAAUCCACUUAUCUCUUGAAUCCAAGGAGACUACCCUCCACAAAAACAAGGAGAUUGACCCCCACAAUAACAAAGAGAUUGUCCUCCAUAGAAACAAAGAGAGCUUCCUUCAUGGAAGCCGAAUACAUCGCAAUCUAUUUUCUUUCUCUCAAGAUCAAAUCUCCAAUCGGAGCUCCAUCUUGUGGGGAUAUAUUAGAAAAAGUUAAUAUUAUCCUUAAUUUACAUAUUAGUAUUUAUCUAUAUUAUAUAUUGAAUUAGAAUAGAAUAUAGAAUUUGAAUUAAGUUUACUAUUAGUUUAAAUUACAAUAGGAAAUAGAGUUUGAAUUAUAGUAGAACUCAAAUAUAUUUAUAUAUAAAUAUCCAUCAUUAUCAAUGAGAAUAGUAUUCCAUAUUUUUCUCUUUCCCUGAGGCUUCAGAAUGUGAUCUUGAACAUUUGAUCUUUUGGAUUCUUCUUGUUUCGGUGGUUUAAUAUAAUGGAAUGUUUAAUUAUAGCCUACUUUAUCACCAUGGAUGUGCUCCUGCAGAUUUCUUGAGGGUGAUGGUUAUUUUGUCAUGUUUCUUGAAUGGUUUGCAUCAGCUGCCUGAGCUGUUGUUGCUGGUCACUUUUGCAACCAGGGAAAGAAUCAUGGCUUUGGAGAAGCCAGCUUCUGUUUUUGUUGCCCAGCUGUUAGUUCACUAAGAUUGGGGGUCCUAACAUGUAUGUAUAAUCAUAAGCAAGGAAAUUUUAUGUCUUACGCUAGAUAGGUACCAUGAUAUGAUGUUUGAUUGAUUUAUUAACUCUACCUGUUUCAAAAGGCAUCAACAUUAAUUUUACCCUUUUAACACAUUGGAUUGUUUGACCUUACGAGAUUUUCUAUUUCUGUACUAUUUGAACUGCAAUCGUUAUGGUCCUUAGGUCUCUAAACCUUCGUUUAAAAUAAAAGUAAGGAGCACACAUAGUAAAAGUUAAUUUUGGGUAACUUUUAAAACAAAGAGAAAAGUAAAAGUUGUUUUUGAGAAAAACAUAUAGAAAUUGAAAGAUUUUUUAUUUUGAGAAAAAAAAGUCAUAGAAAAGAAAUAAUAUCCCCAUAUAAGUAGAUAUGAUCUAUCCGAAGUGUAGCUACUCUCCUGGAUUUAUUCUAACAUUUUAAAAUUUUUCUCAAUGGGCAAAGGAAUAUCAAAUCAAGCUUGAGUAGGAUUAAUUUCUUAAUUUUUAAAAUAACUUAUAAUUAAAAUUUUUUGGUGUUUUCUUUUUUGGACAAUUUUUUAUGAAGACUCUGAAUCAUGCAAGAGAUAUGGUUAUUUUAAAAAAAAAAAUAAUUUAAAACUCAAAUACAUAAUCAAUGUCACAAAUUUAUAAACAAAAGGUUUUUAAAAAAUACUAUUAUUUCCCCUCUACACAUAAUUUUACUUUUCCGAUUUAUUUAUUUUUGUUGGAAAACAGUCUUCAAAUCAAGUAAAAUUAAUAUGUUAAAUUUGUUAAACAAAUAAAUUUUAAAAUACAAUUUGGAACUCAAAAAUCAAUUCAAGUAAUGCUAAAAUUCAAAAAAUCAAAUUUGGAAUAAAAUGACUUUGUAAAUUUUUUUACUAAACAAAUGAAUUUUAAAUCAAGUGAGAUUUAAUACAUUGGAUUUUUAUGAGAAUAGUAAUUUUAAAAAUUAAUUUGGAACUCAAAAAUAGACACAAUAAAUACCAAAAAUCAAUGAACCAAAAUUGGUUUGGAAUAACUCCAUAAUUUUUUAUUUAUUUAUAUAUUUAUUUUUUUGUGCACACGAAUUUCUUACUAAGCAUAUUGCUUCCAAAUUGAGAAAAAUUUACUAUUUAGAUUUUUUUAAUGAGUUUAAUGGUAUUUAAAAAUAAUUCAAAAAUUCGAAAAUUGACUAAUUUAAUAUUAUAAAUUCAUAAACCAAGACUAAUUCAAAAUGCAUUGGGGGCUAAGGGGGUUGAAAUUAAUGCUCCAUUUGGUUGUGGCCACCAAUUGGCAAUGGCCACCAAUCAACCAAUCAAGGUGGCUAAGGGGGUUGAAAAUAGGGACAAUGGGGUGGGUUUGGGACAGGACACUCAUAUCCCAUUCCCAUCCCAAUUACACAGUUAUUUCCCAUCCUUAUUCCAAACUUGUGUUGGGGCAAGUUGAUUUGUUCCCAUCUUUGUUAACGAAAUGACUAAUAACCUCAUCCUCUCCUUGUCUUAGAUGUACAUUUUCUCAAAUUUGGUCAGGUAUGAUUGAUUCAAGCCCUAACCUUAAUUGGUAAUGAGUGGAUACCACACCUAAUUGCAUUCUUCUUUCGUUGCAAAAUAAUGAGAUUAUAAUAAUCUAGCAAAUAAGAAAAAAUAGUAUGGAAGUUCAAAUUAACACCAUAACUAUCAAUAAUUUUAAGCUUAUAGAUGACUUAAAUGAUUGAAAACUAAUGCAAAAUACUAAAAAAAAAAAAAAUCAUCUAAAGAAUUCACAAGAGAAUAGAACGAACAAAACCAAAUAGGAACAUGGGUCAACAUUAGUUACAGAUUUUGAUCCCUUUCAAGGCCAAUCUUUGAACCAAGACUUCAUCAAAUCUACUACUUCAAAGGCUUUUGUGUUCUUCUUGAGUUGUACUCUGGAACAAAGACUUCGAGGUGAUGCUUUAGAUGAUUGCAUUACACAUAUUUAGGGUAGGGAGAUUGGAGAAGCUUGAAGAUGCCAACGAUGGGUACAAUUGAGUGGUCAAUAAGAACAAUGUGGCCUAUGACUAGUUUGAUGUCAUGGUAUAGGAGUUUUGGGCAUUGAGGUGAAAGCAAGAGCAACAUGGAAUUGAUUUCAAAGUCUUUCAAUUAGUGUAAAGGAGGAAGAAGAAGUGGUAUUGAUCCUAGAAAUAGUGUUUUAGGUGUUGCAUUAGAGGAAAAGAAAAAGAAAAAGAAGGAACCAUUGGAAUUAGUACGAGUGUGAAGAGAGAAGUGUAUACAUAAGGGGAAGUAAAAGCAAAGUUCUAAAAAUUUAUUUUUUUAUUGGUGGUGUAUGGUUGCAUGAUUAUCCCUAUAAAUAAUAGGAGUUUUUUGGUGUUCUACUAGUAGUUGAAGGAUAAUUUCAUAAGAUAAUAUUUAGAGCGGGGUGGGGUGAGUUGUGACAAAAUCCAUACCCGUCCCAAACAUUGGUUCAGGUUUUUAAAAUAUUUUCAAACUUAUCAUAUACCCAAUUUUAUAUUUCAUACUUGUCCUAAUAGAGACAGGUUAGUCAGGGUUACUUGAGUAGCCUACAAAACUAUCAUCCCUAGUUGAAAUGCUCUUUUUGGCAGUGGCAGCUAGAAGCUCGAUCGAUUGACCUACAAGACUAGUUGUCAUCAUUUUAAAAAGAGUUUUGGCUUUGGUUGUGAGUGCAAUUGAAUCUAAACUAACAUUUCCUUAAUGCAUCUACUUCAAUCCUAAACUUCUUACUUAAGCCUCAAUUGUUGUUAAGAUUUUGGAAAACCCAUUUCCUUAAAUUGUAAAUUUAAGAAAAAAAAAAUUAAAAGUGAGACAUUUCUUGAUUGAAUGUUGUUAAAGGUCCCUUGGAAUUAAGACUUGGUUGAAGCCUUGGAAGAUUAGCAGAACUCUCAACUUAUGUUUGAACCUUGAGGAGAGUGGACGUAGGCCAAAAUUUUGUCAAACCAUUAUACAAAUUGAGUUUGAAUUCUCAUUUCUUGAUUUCUUAUUUAUUUGCUUUUUCUUAUUAUUACUUGAAUUGUCAUUUGCAUUCAUUAAUGUUAAAAUUGGUUAUAAUUAGCCAACACUAAUUCUCUUUCCCCUUCCCUUAAUUUCUUGGGUGUAAACCUAGGUUGGAUUAACUAGAUUUUAUCAAAUCUAUUAAGAUGGUAAAAGAAUAAUUAUUCUUAACAUACAUAAGAUCAUCUUCAAUCAAAUGACUCAUUGGCUGAUAUGUUGAAUUUGCUUAUUACUUGCAACUCAAAAUUGUGUUCUAGUUGAUAUGUCAAGUCCUGAGUGUAUGGACAUUAAAUUUGUAGUACGUGAUGAGUAUUUAGAUGGUCCAAUUCCAAGAAAGUGAUUGAAAACUAGUUCAAGAAAGGUGCAAAAGGGAAUUGUUUUGGUAUUUUCGUUUUUAUUCUUGAAGGUGGCAGAGCUAAAAUUUGAGAAAUCAAGCAAAACAUACUGAAAUUACAUUGAAAGAAAGAAAAUGGGAGUUAAUGUCUUGCAGUACAUGAUAAGGACUUCAUGCAUGUAGUGUGACCCAUGUCUUGGACUGAUGCCACACUCACGGUUACACUUAUACCCUUAGUUCUCUCUUUACUACCUUAGCUAACCUAGAUCAGGUUAUGAGAUAGGCACCUCACCACACCAUUACUUGCCCAUUAAUUAGUGACAUUUUCAAGCAAUGAGGUAACAUGGUGACACCAAGAGGGUAUAUUCCUCACCCCCAACAAGCCUAGACCUGGUCUAAAAAAAAUGGAGAAAAAUGACGUGUUGUUAUGCAGAAAUAUAGCAACCAUGCCUUCCUCAUUACUUAGAUUCAGAAUGUGAAGGUGAAAUUGAGAAACAGAAACUCUUGAAACCAAAAUGAAAAUUGAUACUUUUACGAAGAAUUACAACAACAUUAGAGGAAGACUACAUUCUUCCUCUUUAUUCCUACAUUUCUACACUACUUCUACUCCACUCCAUAUUUCUACAUACAUCUUUAAUCAGUCUUCCCUCCUUUAUAUAGAGCCAUCUUCACACAAAUUCCGCAAGGUAGAAAAGAGGAAUGAAACUUGGAGCAAGGUUCGACUACUGGCUGUAGCUUGUCAAGGCUGAAAGUGAACUUUUUUUCUUGGCUUUUCUGGGCAUAGGUAGUAACUUGUAGGUUCCUUUUUGGAAUGAAAAUGGUACGGCUAGAACAUGUGGCACUCUCUUGUUGGAUGAUGUGUCAAGCAUGUGGCAGCCAUCUAGUGGAGAUUAUGUCAAUUUUGGGAUGGAGAGUUGGCAUCCAAUUGCAAAGAAAUAUGACAUCUACCAACAUGCAAUGUCAACCUAUGUAGAUCAUAUGAAGAUAGAGAGGAAAAAUAUAGAAAUGGAUAUAUAACUAGAACUAGCUUUUUAUUAAAUGAGACGGAGAGCCAACAAUGAAGGAAAAUCAAAAUUUUUGGCUCAUAUCAAAGAAUUCACAUUGUGUUACCCUAGGUUUUCUUAAAACUUACUUUUAUGAUAAUAAAAAAUCAUUAUUGUUUAAUCCUUUGUUUUAAACGCAUGUUUAGCAGGUUGUAAAAUGUAAAUAUCUUUCGAAAUUCAAAUAUGAAGAUAUGACAUCAUUUCAAGCAAUAUAGUCUCUAGGAAUUAAUGUAAAGCUAAAUUAAGGUGCAAUUAAGUUAGUUCAAUGCAUUAUUUUAAGAAACUUGACCUAUCAAAACCUUGUCUUACUUCAAAGCCUCUUUUUCUUUUCUUCCAACUAACAUUUUAAUAAGUGAUCGCAAAAGUACAAAAUUAGAUGAAAUCCAUUUCAAUGGUUAAAAUGAUCAAAUUCAAACUUUUUCUAAGUAUCUUUUAAAAGCAUCAAUAUUGAAAGACAAUUUUAUAUUUAGUCAAAGCUUGGACAGAGCCAAAAAGCACACAAAAAUUUAUAUUUUCUAGCUCUCUACCUUGGAUGGUCUCUUGAUCCUACUUGGAGAUGUGCAUAAAUAAAAGGAUUUGAAAAUGACAAUUGACUAAGUAUGUAGUCAAUCAAUUACUCAUUGAUUGACUAGUUGAUCAAUUAACUUUGCAACAUCAUAUGCAAUCCUAAUAGCUAGUCAUCUAAUCAACUAGGUAGUAAAUCAAUAGGCCAAAAAUAUGUUUAUAAUGACUAUUUUGUACAAAAACCACUUAUAUAGUUAAAUAUAAUGCAUUUCAUUUAUAAAUCUUCUAAUUCUUGAAUAACAAUCCUAUCAUCCUUUGAAAGUUUUUAUUACACCUUUUCUACAUUUGUUCUAAAACUUAUACAUCACCCUUAAUUGUACCAUGAGAACCUAGCAUUUUUUUUUUUUUUUUUGUAUUUCAUCAAAGUUAGCUCUUGUACUCAUUGUUGUAUUAUUUUUAUUGUAACUUAGAGAGCGAGUGUUUUCAAGUGAGUGAAAUUGACUUGUAAAUAUUGUAAAGAUUCAUUGAUAUGUAUCUCAAACUAGGUGUACAAGUUGAAACAUUUGCUAGUAGAUUUUCUCAAGAUUUAGAAUGAGCUUAAGGCUAUCGAAUUAGGUGGGGUUGCGCCAAACCAUAUCACAUCGUUGUUUGCACCUUUUUUUUCACUCUCUUUUACUUAGUUGCUCUAUAUAUAUUGUCUAGCAAUAUCCUAAAGGCUUGAUGGGCUAGGGAGCAUCCCUCUGAAUGAAAAAUUUUCAUUCAAUUCUUAGUUGUAUUACGCAUAUAUAAAAUGCCUCAUUGUUUUAAUGGUAUUCAGUCGUGGCACCACAGAUAUGGACAUCUAAAUUUUAAAAGUUUGAAACUUUUAGCUAAAGAAAAUAUGGUGCUUUGCCUUUUUGGAAAGCAUGUUGAUGAAAUCCAUGAGAAUUGUAUACUUGGAGAGCAACAUCGAGAUAACUUUUUUUUUUUCUUUUUUUAUAAUGCAUUGUUUGUCCAAAUUCCGUACAAAUUAGGCCACCACAUGUUCAUAAUUCUCCCUUCUUGAAUUUGAAAACUCGGACAAUUUGACAAUGCGACACCUAAGUCCGGUUUUUAAAUGCUAAAGUGAAAGGGCAGGUAUGGACCAUUGAAAUGUGAUAACAACUUUUGGCCUUUUCCUUUUCUCUGUAGCCAUGUUGUCUCUUUUUAAUUUCUUUUGCAUGAUUUUCUUACCUAAACAGAAUCAUAGACUUGUUUAAUCUCUAAGUGGGAUUUCAUCCACCUUAAGCUACUGUAUUAUAUCUCGGUGGAGGACAACCGACAUAGAGCACAUGCAAGUGGGUAUAUGGGACAUGAAAUAUCUUCUUAUAAAGCUUGUUUUGCAGUUAAAUUAAUUGGAUAAGUAGACACUGGCGUUUCUAAAUUUCCCACCUAAGAUAAUGACCUUAUCCUUGACUGCUAGAUACACAAACAAUUAUACCUUCAAAAUCUACUGUGAAGUGCUUCAUGUAUGUGUGAAGUAUUAGAAAUUUCUUUCUUGGCAACUUGUUUUUUUCUUUGCGGUCUACUGAUAGGUUUGACUAAAAUUAUAUUCCCUGUCCUGCUAAUUAAUUUUCACGUGCAUGCUCAAAAGAAGAGUAUGACCUUAGUGCACCAAAAUCACUUUCAAUAAUUUGUGAUAAGUUUUUUUGCAUGACAUUAACCUUAUUCAUUUAGAUAAUGUUUAGUUCUCAUAAAUAUUAAGAAAAUGAAAAUAAAUAUUAAGAAAAAUAUUCUUAUAUUUGAUUGUAUUAUGAAAAAUAUCAUAAAAAAUCAAAUAUAAUUAAAAUUAAUUAAUAAUUUAUAUAUUUUAAAAUUAUUUAAUUUUUAUAUUAAAGAUAUAAUAUAAAUGAAAUGAGUUUUAAGUAUUAUAUAAAAAUGAUUUAUUUAUUUAUUUAUAUAUAUAUAUAUAUAUAUAUUUAGUUUUUCUCUUUAUUUUAUUUUCCUUAUGUUUUCCUCACAUUUUCCGGAAUCAAAGAUAGGGAAAUCCACAAUUACCUUCAACUGAGUAGAUUCUAUUGUUUUAGCAAUGUUAGGCUGCUAACUUGUGGUGGUACGAACCAAAUGAUCCAUGUUAAUCUUGGCUUGAUUUAAUUUGGCUCUAUCUCAGAGAACUCAAGGAUCACGUCAACUCUGGUUUCUACUAUUCAGGUCCAUUCCCAGAUGAACUGGUUCAAAUUUGAGAAAAUGGUAACAGACCUUUAGUGAUAUUGGUUUGGAGCCAGUUGCCAAACCUGCCCUGAGCUUUACCACUAAUGUCAAGGGACAAAGCCAUUUGAACAAAAACAAUAGCUUCAAGAGACUGAAUCGUGGAUGAAAUCUGAUCCACAUUUCUUCUCAUUUUGGGAAAAAAUGAGGACUUAACCACAAAGAUUCUACUGCCUCAUAGUGCUUUUCCUGAUCUAAGGUUGGCUCGUUUCCCAAAUUGUGAGGUGCACGUGCCACUCUCACGCUCAGGAGUGUAUCCACGUGGUGGACAUAAGAUGGUGGCUUAAUAUCUGGUGUCGGUGGCUUUACUUUACUAGGAGAGUAGUGUGUCUUCAUCUCAUUCACUGCCAGAGGGUGGCGUAAGCAGUGACGCUAAGGUGGGGCACAGUCAAUAUCAUUUGCAUUUGACCAUUAUAAUUUUCUCCCGGCUUUAAAGUAACCUUAUCGUGAUAAUGGAUUACUAGCACUAGUUCAGAUGACAGUCAUGUUAAAUUCGGACCAUGUUUGUGUCACAUUAUCAGCAACCAUGUGCUUGUGGUUCAUGCUAUCUGCAACUAAACUUGAUAUAUAACCAGGUGAACUUCAAUCUAAAUUCUGGAAGUACUCAUGUGAUAGAUGGUGCCUGUCUGCAGUGAGUGUAUCUAUAAGAGGGAAGGCUUGGCAAAUGUUCAGUUUUCUGGGAAUUCAACAGGGAUCUAAAAUAGAUUGUUUUCUUUGCUGAUUUCAAUGGUUGAAAUUUGAGAAGAUUGUGUCCACAUAACACAACUAUUACUGGUCCUUCUGUUGCAAUUUAUCCUCUAAGGCUCUAACAUGUCUUCCAAUUCCCACUUCCCACUUCCCUGUUACUCCAGGAAAGCUGUUUCUGUCAUUGUGAAGAAGAAAAGAGACUGUACAUAUCGAUGCUUUUAAGUGGACUGGAGAAUUCAUAUCAGGUGGUCUGCAGCCAUACAUGCCACUUUGUGAAGGUUGGAACAGUCAAUCACUAGGCUAUAUUAGUGGGGCCCAGCCACUUCAAUCAAGGACAAGUCUUCAUACUUAAAGUCAAAUUCUGCCUUUAGUCUCAUUAUAAAUUGCUGUUUAAAUAUCAAGCAAACAUUUGUUUAAUGCGAUUAAGACAGCACUAACUCAAUACUUGUUCUAUUUUUGGAUGCAAAUGCUUGAUAGUUUCAUCAUUGGAGGGGAUAAAGGUGCAUUCAUGAUUAUGAAUACUUGUAGUUAUAUUUUCAUUCUCUUUUUUCUCAAUGGGACUUGUUGGCACAAUUUUGCUGUUCAGAAACCUACCUCUCCAUGGAAAAUCAGUUGUGAUUGAUAUUACUGGAUAUAUUCAAGAAAGCUAAAUGUAGAUAGCACAAAAUAUUAUCGACAUAAAUAGCAUUAACAGCGUACGUAUGUCUCAAUGCUCAUCAGCUAUAAGCAAGGGGCAAACACUUACUAUGAGCAACUUACGUCAAAAUUCCGGAAUAGGACAUAGAAGUGACAGGUCAGUAAAUAUAGAACACUGCAUAUGAGUCACAAGAAAGGAAAUUACGGGUACAUAGCAGCUCUUAUUUUACAUCCUACUCAUACUGAUCAAAGUCACUCAGUUGGGAUGGGUGGGAGUGGGAGGUUUGUGGGGUGGCUUGUGCGGAGGAGUUGGCAGCUUCUUUCCAGGACCUGGUUGCUUCUCUGCUGGAGUUGAAGGAGGCUUAAUCUUCCGAGGUGGCUUGUAUGAGUCUUCAGCAUUCUCAGCAGGAGGGUGACCAGGGUUGUGACCACAAUGUGGUGGCUUCUCUCCCUUAGGUGGUUUGCCAACUGGGGUUGGUGGCUUGUGUUCCGGAAGUGGCUUCUCUUUGUGUUCAGGAGGUGGCUUCUCCACUGGAGGCUUGUGUUCAGGAGGUGGCUUCUCCACCGGAGGCUUGUGUUCAGGAGGUGGCUUCUCCACCGGAGGCUUGUGUUCAGGAGGUGGCUUCUCCACCGGAGGCUUAUGCUCUGGUGGUGGCUUCUCCACCGGAGGCUUAUGCUCUGGUGGUGGCUUCUCCACCGGAGGCUUAUGCAAUGGUGGUGGCUUCUCCACCGGAGGCUUGUGUUCAGGAGGUGGCUUCUCUACCGGAGGCUUAUGCUCUGGUGGUGGCUUCUCCACCGGAGGCUUAUGCUCUGGUGGUGGCUUCUCCACCGGAGGCUUGUGUUCAGGAGGUGGCUUCUCCACCGGAGGCUUGUGUUCAGGAGGUGGCUUCUCCACCGGAGGCUUGUGCUCUGGUGGUGGCUUCUCCACCGGAGGCUUAUGCUCUGGUGGUGGCUUCUCCACCGGAGGCUUGUGUUCAGGAGGUGGCUUCUCCACCGGAGGCUUAUGCUCUGGUGGUGGCUUCUCCACCGGAGGCUUGUGUUCAGGAGGUGGCUUCUCCACCGGAGGCUUAUGCUCUGGUGGUGGCUUCUCCACAGGAGGCUUGUGUUCAGGAGGUGGCUUCUCCACCGGAGGCUUAUGCUCUGGUGGUGGCUUCUCGAAUGGGGGAUGCGUAGGGUAAUCAGCUAGUGAGGGGGCGGUGAGAACCACCAGGCCAAGCAACACUACUAGCAAGUAUGUAGGAGACAUCUUUGGGUUUGGGCUCAGAUGGUGCAAAACUAGGAGAAUUGGCUAGCCUUUUAUAGCGGAUCGUACCCAAUAAUGAAAUGACACGUGUCAUUAUGACCCAUGUGUCAUGUGGUCGAUUUGGGUCCUACAGUGUUGAAAACUUCGACAUCCACUUUUUUGGCCUUUUGCUUUCUCUACAGUCGCCUUGCUUUUUCCCUCUUUUCUUUUGUUUUCCUCCUGCCCCAUUCUAUCAACUAAUCACAAUUAUGUAGUUGUUUAAUUCUUAAAUGAGAUAUUAUCCGUCAAUCAUAUUAUCUUUUAUCAAGAGAGAACGGAGUGAAAAGUGGCAAUCCAAAGAAAGAAGAUCCAUAAUGCAGCUGUAAUUUUAUCGUUUACUUUUAUCUCUAGGACCACUGCAUUUUUGUUGAGAGGUGCAAUAAUACACGUCUUUAUCUGCCAUUCAAUGUUUACAGUAAAGAGAGGGCACAAAACUCUUCACUGCUCUGCAUGUGCCCCAAAAAUGCAAUUGGACAAAUUAUGAUUUGCAUGCUAAAAAGAGGCAAAUGAGGUUAAUUAGCACCAAAAUUAUUUUGUUUUCUGGACACCCCGGGGCCCUUUGGUUGGUUUGGGGGUCAGAAAAUGAACAUCAUAGGGGGUUUUUCCCUAAUGUGCAUUUGCAUUUGUAUCUGAUGGCUUUAACUCGCCUUGUUACUACAAAGAAAUUGUCACAGAUAGGAACUUAUUCCAGGCUGAGUAUCUCCGCAUGGACCCUAUAAAAGAAGACAAGUCAUAAUGAACAUCUAACCUUUGUUCAAUUUGAUUCAAUGCCCCUAUUGUGUCCAUCUCACAAAUCUGAAUUAUUAUAUCCAUUGAAUACAUAAAUUAAUGAAGAAAAUAUGAAACCCAAGAUACAUCUCUGCACAACCUCAACCCUGGUUGCUAUGUUUCACUUCUAUUCACAUGAGGAUAUUGAUUACGGAAUAAGGAAACCUAGCAAGGGUUUACUCGGCUCUGGUUUGAUGCUAAUUGCCAAACUUGCAACAAGCCCUGAGUUUGACACCUAAUCGAUGGGCGAAUUAAAAGUCUCCUCCAAACAUAUAUUCCACAGCUUGAAGCUCACAGAAGAUGCUAUACAGGCAGGGAAAAACCUUCAGAGUUAGCUACCAAAGAUAAUUAUCAAGGAGAUAUCACCAAGAGAAUUCCAUGGAGUCUGAAUCAAAGACAAAUUGCUCGCUCGUGGGGGUUCUUACUUAAUUUCUUUUGGGUAUAACUCACUGAGGGCACUGGCUUUGUUAUUUGCAUUUCGCAUUUAGAGUUCUGUUCUGGAAGGUUUGUUCUGGAAACAUAUAAAAGGAGCAUCAUUUUGUUCUAGGGUAACCCAUAGUUGUGAGUGGGUCCAUUUGCAUGCUACUUAGUUGAAAAGUUGGACAAUUUGCUCCGACGCCUACCUCCUGGAUUCCAUGCUCGGAUAAAGCAAGAAUAAUAAAAUAUUUAUAAUUUACAAAUGGGGGAAAGAAAAAAAUGUCAACAACAAACUAGGAAAAAAGAGUAGUAAAAUUUAUGCCACAUGCUAUUGAUAGAAGGGGCAUGUAUUAGAUCCAUCACCAUUUGGUAAGAUUUUAGUAUUAUAUUUUUCAAGGUUCAUUAUUUGAGGGUGUGUUCUUCAUCUCUGUUGCAUUGCUUCUUACUAGGCCCACUGAGGUGGGUUCUUCACCUUUUGUAUAUUCUCUGCACUAGAUCAAUGAGAAAGGGGGAAUUUUGGUGAAUUUGCAGCCGUUGGAUGAUUGAUUCUAGGCUCAGUCCACCAAUGAUGCUCUCUUCACUCUUUCUCAUCUAGUGUCAUUCACAACUAUGUUUUGAUUCAUAUUUGUACUAUCAAAGAUAUCUCAUUAUUCUAGCUCAUUAGGUAGAGUUCCUAAUCUUCCUCCUUUUUGGUCUAUGGACAGUAUUGGCUUCAUAUUAAGAUCAUGUUUCAAUAAUUGCACAUUAAUGAAUGGAUCAUGACCCACAUAAACAGAGUCAGGGUUGAGUCAGUGAACCCUAAAAUUUCACAAUUCUAAAUUUGGGUUCUUUAACAAUGCAGGGUCAAGGACGCGUGGUGAUGAAGGAAAGCUGGUAAGCUCAGUGUUACUUCAAUUCCUGCCAUGUAGGAUGGUGAGGAGAUAUUCACUAUGCAAUUAAUAAUAGACAAUAUUCACUAUGCAAUAAUAAAGCAUAAAUUAAGUUGAAUGAAAAGCAUUUUCUUUGCAAGGAGUUGAUUUUGGUUUCAUAGUUUGUUCAACUGCUAUUUUGGAUAGGAAAGUGUGAGGAGAAGAAAAUAAAAAAUAAAAAUAAAACAAAAAAUAAAAAAUAGAUUUUAUAAAUUCAUUUAAUUUAUUUUUUUUUUAUAAAAAUUAACUAAUUUAAAAUAUAUGUAAAUUUCUAAUUAAUUUAAUUACAUUUUUUUUUUCAGUUUUUCAUAAUAAACCAAAUAUUAGAAAAUUAUUUUUAUUAAGACACCCAAGAUGAGGUAAUAUGCAAUGAAAACAUGAAUUAUAUUAAAAUUCAAAACAAAUUAAGAGAAAUCGGAAAAUAUACAUAGAUAUCUAAACAAAGAAAUUUAAAGAGAAGGAACCACAAACUUUAUUUACAUAAUUUGAAAAUAAAAAACAUAAAACAUACUUAUAGUAAGGAGAAAUUGAAUAUCUUACAAUGGAAGAAGGGAGAAAAGCUUUGAAGAAAGCUUUUGCUUGGAAGCUUACAUGGUGAGAGGUAGAGAAAGGAGAGAGAGAGAAGAAAAUGAAAAAUGAGAAGUGGAGAAAAUUGGAAGUUUUGUGUGCUUACAACUGAGGAUAGAGCCUCCUUAAAUAGCAAAAAAUGGAAUAUUAAAUAGUACCAAUCAGGAGACAAAAUAUUGUUUGCUUUUGAAACCCGUGCAUGAAUAGUAAUCCCGUGAGUGAAUAGUGAAUAAUAAAAGUGAAUAGUAAAAGUCACUUUCUACUAUAGCACUUUAGACUUUUUCAUCGAGAAUCUUACUUUCGGCUGAGUGAUGAUAGCUGAUAGGUUGCUUUGGAUUGUGGAGUCAUAUGUUUGAUGUUUUCGGUGCUGAAACCGCUUAGUUGGAGAAUAAUCUCGUCAGUAGAGCAUCAUGAGAAGCUUGAAUGGAGAGAGCUUAAUGAUGCCAUAUGAUUGGAAGGAAUCCUAUUUUAAUUUCCUUAUUGGAGGGAGAAUACCCUCACAAUCAUCUUCAUUAUCUUGAAGGUAGUUUGAUAUAGAGUCAUCUGACUCAGCAUAAGAGUCCUCUUGGGAGAAGCUUGAACUGCUUUUGUCAAGGAUUUUCUGAAAUUCUUGAGGGGUUUUUGCUAUUGCUAACAUGGUUUGGAGUUGCUGUUUCUUAAGAAGAAACUGUGCAAUAUCAUAAGAUGAUGAAGCUUGUGUAGGAUGCUUUAGGAAAUAUUGCUUUAUUGCUUGUAGUGAGGUAUCAUUUUUCAAGGCAUCCCACCACUUAGACUUGAAAGUCCUUCCAAGGGUUGGAAAGGCUGCUGAUUCAUCUGCUAUAAUGAUAUAAUCCCACUGGACUAUCCAGGCAAGGCCAAAUUCACUAAAAAAGAAUAAUAAUUGGGGAAAACUGAAAGUUCUCUAGGGAUAACAAAAGAACUUUGGAAUAGCUCAAAGCCAUCCAAAAUGGGUUUUGGGAGAAUUUUAAUAGUUGGACCAAAAUAUGUCCACCAAUUGUGGAACCAAAAUGGAAAAGAGGGGAGUUGAUGCUUAGAUGGGAAAUAGAACAUCCCUGAAUGAUGGAAGUCCUUGUUCUGGAUCAGAAAAGCAUUGAACCAUACUCUUUGGUAGUCUCAAUAAUUGAAAAUUUUAGGUUUUGAAGGCUUAGAAAAUUCUCUUGAAAAAUUAGGAUUCCCACCCCACUGCUUAACUGUAAGGAUUUUAUAAAUAUGGUAAGUGGAGAAUGCCAAAUCCAAAUUGCUGAAUUUAUCAGCAUUGUGCUUGAUUUUAACAGAGCCGGUUUCCAUAAGGAUUGCUUCAUAAAAUUCUCUUGUUUUUAAAAGAUCACCAAAGGGAUAAUGAAAAUUUUCAUGAAAAGCUUUUGCUGCAAUAUCUCUAGGGUUUUUAGAGAAAAACUCUUUUUCAAUAACCAAAAGAGGUUGAUUUAAAUCUUUUUGCCAAUAUCUUGCUUUUGCUGAAAGAGGUGUGGGGUUGGCUACCACCACAAUUUGCUUAUUUGAAAAAGAAGAGCUUGAUGCUAAUUCAUUUUGAGAGGGAUUAGCUUUAGUAACCUGCUUAAAGGUCUGAGACACAGUAAUAGUUGGAUACUGAGUAGCCUUGACUGGUUUAGAAGGAUUCGAAGGAUCAUAGUACAAGGACAAAAUCUUAUUAGGCAUAUGGUCAGAAGAAUGAAGCCUUGCUUCUUCUUCUAGCUCAACUUGUUGGCUCCAAAGUAUUUUAUGGGGAGAAGGUUCUUUGCUGGUUUUAGAAGACUAGGAUUCUGGAAGUUUAGGAGCUUGGGUAUUCUUUUUAGGGGCCAUGGUUUCGUGAAUCCUGUAAAAUUCACAAGUUAAGAAAUCAGGGCUCGAAGAAUGUUCUCCUUUAAUAUACUCAAUUUGUAAAUUAAAAUUGCUUAAAAUAGCUUGAUAUAUAGCAAAAAUAUGCUUAGAAGUUAUAUUCUUAACAUCCUUUUGUAAAACUAAUUUUGCAAAUUUACAAUCAACUCUUAAUAAAAACUUUUGAUUCAAAAGAUCAUCUUGAAAUUUUGAAAUGCAUAAAACAACGCUUAAAGUCUCUUUUUUAAUGAUGUUAUGAAUGAGUUGGGUAGUAUUCCAGGUUCUUGAAGUAUACCUAACUAACAUCUCAAGGUUACCAACACUUUGCUUAAGAAUCCCACCAUAACCUAUGUCUGAGGUAUCGAUCCCAACAAACUCAAAGGUUUCUGGAUUGAUAGAGCCUAAACAUGGUAGGGUCUUGACUUUGGACUUAACAUCAAUAAUGAAAACAAUGGUGAAAACAGAAAACUGGUUAAAGUUUUCAUCCAUUAUAUUCUGGAAUUCUGAGGUGCAUUCUUAAGAUCAAAGGGCAUUAUGAACCAUUCAUAAUGUCCAAGAGAUACCACAAAGGUGGUCUUAUUUGGAAUAGGACACCUAAUCCAACUUAAUGUAUCAUUAAGAGGCAUGUAGUUGACGACUAGUCUAGGUGUUCCUUUUUCUGAUUCAACUUGUUCCUGAACAUAGAAGGUUGAACAACUCCAAAGGGACUUAGACUUCCUUAUCAACUUUUUAUCAAGAAGAUCCCAAAUCUCCUUAUCACAAUAGCUUAACAAACCCUUGUUCAUCUGGAUAGGUCUUGAUUUAGUGGGAAUAUUCUUGUCACUAAAGUCUAGUUCAUAAGGUAAUUCUACCUCAUGUUGUUUCCUAUGCCAAAAUGCAUUAGGAAUGUUAGAGCAAACUUCUUCAACAAUCAGAUUAAUUUCUUGCUCAUGACUUUCCUUAGCUUGAAUCACCUGAUCCCUUAAGGUGUUUAUAUUUUUCUUAUUAGGUGGUUGGCAAAUUCAAAAAUAAUUUCCUUAUCUAAGAGCUUUGUUCUUAUACUUUGGUCAUCUACCCACAUGGGAUAGAUGGAGCUUAAAAAGGGGAUUCCAAGGAGAGCUUUCUCCUUAAGAUCCUUAACUAGAAUGAAGGUUUGCUUGAUGCAAAUGCCUUGGUUAUUUAUGUGAGCAUCUGACAGCUUAUACUCAAUGUCAAGCCUUUUACCAUUAGCUCCAAAGAGAGAUUCUUUGGUUUUCUUACAAAACUUAAUAGGACCUAGACCUUCUUGUAGGCAAUUCAAAGCUGUUCCUGAAUCAAUCAAAGCAACAAUAUCAAUGACAAAUUUACUCUUAAUUACUAUAGUAAGGGAGACUUUCCACCUCUGGAAAAUAACCCUACUAACAGUAUUUAAGUAUCCAUCCGUCUUUUCAUCAUUAGCAUGUGAAGAUUCUAGAACCUCUUCAAGGUUUUCCUAGUUAUCAACAAGAUUUUCUAUAACAAUCCUAUUUAUUUGUUCUUGGAGAUCUGAAAAACCUAAGCUUGUGUAUUGUCUUAAAUCUUUAAUUUCCUUCUUAUACUGUCUUACUUCUUCUUGAAGAUCCUUAAUGGUUACGUCUUUGGUAGACUACUGGUUAAAUCUUCCUAAGAUUUCAUUUAAGUUAUAAGAAUUUACUGUCUUCUUAAUCUCUUGCUUAUCGACAAAUUUCUUAAAAACUUCAUAAAGAUCUUGUUUAGUUUUUUCAUCUUCAACUUUCCUUAAAACAUCUAGGACAAGUUCUUGAUCUUGGCUUAUGACAUUUAUAGUCUUAGGUUGGCAAUCACAAUUAUCCUUAAUGUAUUCUUCUUGGUCACUAGAAGUUUGGCUUGAGAUUUCCUCACCACUACUAUCUAGUUGGUUAAUACCAUUUUCAUUAUCUGAAUCAAUCCUUGAUUCAGACUCUGUGGAAUUUAACAUUACUUUACAAAGCAUAUCUUUUAAGUCUUCUGUGACAUUUAAGUUAUUAAUUUUCUGCUUAACCCUACAAUCUUUCUUAUAGUGGCCUAUCUUACCACACUUAAAACAAACUGGCUUAGAUUGUGAAGGAGCUUCUAGCUUUUUAUGGGCUUCUUUGUUCAUCAUUCUUUGGAUGUGCCUUUGUUUCUUAGUUUCAUUCAUCCUAUAGUUGCCAUGAGUUCCUCUCUUGUUGUGAUAGGACUUUUCCUUACUAGGCUUUGUACUUACUUGUUUCUUACGUUGCUUAGAGGGGGGCUUAGUUUCUUUUUGGUUGAAUCCAAACUAGCUACAAAAUGAACCAAACUCAUUCUUGUAGAUCCUUUGUUCAUUUUUCAUCUGUUGCUUAAGCUUAAAGUCAUUGCACAGUUUAAUUGCUUCUGAUGUGACAAUGCUUAUAAUUUCUCCAUAAGAAAGCUUAUCAUAAGGGAUUUGUCCAUUAAACUGUUCCCUUAUCUUAAUCCUAAUCCUCUCAGAGAAAAGUCUAGGUAGUCCUAAGAUGAAUUUUUCUUUCCAAAAAGACUGGUUAUAGUUUGAUCUUAGUAUGACUUUGGUUAGGAAAACUUCUCUAUACCAUCUAAAGUCAUGAAGCUUGGGACACUUAAGGUUGGUUAAGAGAUCUACAAUCUUAUCCUUAAUCUUUGCAGGAUCUCCAAUGAAGUGCUUUGAAAUUGAAUAGAUUAGAGUAGCCACUACAUCCUCUAUAUCUUGUCCAUCUUCAUCCUUAACCACUUCAUUUUCCUCAUUAAUCCUAUAGGCUUUUAGGAUACCAUUUCUAUCCUCAAAGGUGAGAUAAUUAUCCCACCAACCCUAAAGUUGACCUGUAAACCCAACAACAAUUGUUUGAGCUACAGCAUGGCCUGACAAUCUAUUGUUUAACUUAUAGGUUGUACUAACCAUGGUCAUUUCUUGAAGCUUAGUGAGUAUGUUGUACUCAAUCAUACCAUCUAUGUUCCAUUCAUAGAUAGUGUCACUAGUGUAGGAAGCUUGAGUAUGCUGGUUUCUUUCCUCAUACUACAUAUCAGGAAAAGUUGGUCUAGGGUAGUAAUUCCUAGUUCUUGGUUGUUGAUAAUCCUCAUAACUGUUUGGUUAGGAGGUUCCUUAAAAAUCUUAAUUAGUUCAUCAGCCUCUGCUUCAGAACUAAUUUCUCCUUUAACCAUAUUGAUUCUCUUGUGAGAUGGUUGAGGUGUCUCAGAGACAACAAGGCUAUCCUUAACCUUUUGGCUUAUCCUAUCAAUGAGGGCUUGAUCAAUAUGGAGAUUCUCUAGGAAUUUCUUAGAGAAUUCAAAAGGCUUAAAUAAAGACUUAUUAUCUUUCUUAACAAACGUAGUCUUAAUGUAGUCUUGUGUUUCAAUGAUAUCCUCAAACUUGUUGAGUUGAUCGCCUGUAGUCUUAAGAAACAUGUUAGUGUAGUUGUUUUGUUCCAUGAUUCUUCUAACGUCAACAACACUAUCAAUUCCUUUAUUCUUUGGCCUAGUCUUAAAAGGUGAAGCUUUGACUAUGGUUCAAUUAAUGUUCUUUUAUAUCUUAGCUUCUAGAGGGUGGAUGGAUUCUAUGAUAGUAUCGUCACUAGUUUUCCAUAUCUUAGUUUUUUUGGAUGUGUCAUUGACACGCUUACUAGGGUAAUCUAGAUAUUCCUCUUGUUUGAAGAGUUCAAACCAGAUCCAAUACUUAAUGUUCUUCUUUUCUUGUCUUAAGUAUGUGUAGAAUUCUUCUUGGUAGAGGGUUCUAAUGUCUUUAAGGACCUUGCUAAAGAACCAAACUCUCCUUUUCUUAUUGACUUCAGAAUAGAAGUCUUUCCUUAAGAGGUCCUUGUUGAUUCAAAGUCUUCGUUAAUUAGGCUUACAGUGUUAAUCAACUGAGAAUAAGUAGGAGACAUAUCAGGAGAUUCGUCCUGAUGUGAUUCUUGAGUAAACUCAUUUUCCUCCAUGUAAAAGGGUUUGGCCACGUUGGUGUGACUUCUAACACCUGUUAGCUUAAUAUUCUUAGGAUUUGCUGAACUAGAUCCUUCCUCUAUCCUAGUGGUUCUUAUUGGGAUAGAUGAACUUGAAGCUCUAGAGGGCUCAUAAUAUGAAAUUCUAAGGCUGCUAGAAUGAUGAAAAGAGUUGGAGAAAAUUAGAUCUCGUUCUCCAUCAGGAUAUUGAACAAUCUGUUCAAUUCUUUCAGAUCUUUGCUCUAUGGCUGGGACAACAUUAGCAAAAUGCCAAUUUUCUGGAAACUCAACCUCAUUCCACUUGAUUUUCAUGGGGACUAUGAAAUUAGACUUGUUUAUCAUAUCUAAGUGGAAGAUAGUGGUUUCACCCUUGGGACUGGUGCACAAUGCUCCAAAUCCAACGCUUAUGGUCAUGCUCUUAUAGGCAAAUCUGGUGAUGAUGGAAACAUGAUUGUUUCCUUGCUUGAACUUAAAGUCAUGGGUCUUAACAUGAAGGACAACUGAAUCUAAGAUGUUGACAUCUCUUAGUCUAACUGUGAAGUUAGGGAAACACUGGAAAUAAACAGGACCAUCAUUUAAUCCUGCUUGGGUAGCUCCAAUAAUAGAAUCUCGGUAAUCAAGAUGUCUAUUAUCUCUUAAACACAUGACAAUAAAGGUGUUUAGACCUAGUCUUGUCAAGGGCUUAGCUGCAACUUGAAUCAUGCCAAAGUGUAUGAAGUUGUAGUCUCGCUUAUGCUUAUCAAUGGACUUACUAUCCAAGAGUCUUAUGACUUGAUCGUCGUGUUCUAAACUUACUGACAUUUCAGGGGUUUUAAUGGUGUAAUCUGUAAAGAACUUAAAGGUUCCUUUCUUAUAAAUUUCUUGAUUAGGUACCUUGGGUAACUUCCAAUCAUCUAAAUCAUCUUGGAUCUUAGGAUAAUUGAUCUCUUCAUUGUUUACUCUUGAGAAUUUGUGGAUUUCCUAGACAUGGUUCUGAAAAUCAAACUCAUUUUAAGGUUUUAAUCUAGAGCCUAAUAGCAGAUUAACAGACCUAGUGAGUAAUCACCCCAACCCUUUUCCAACCUUAACAAACGCCUAUCUCCAGCUAACAAUGGGCUCAACUCGGCAAGGAUCGCACUCAGGCACACUACUAUCUUUCCUAGGAUAGAUCAAAACACCCAAAACAAACCCGACUUCCUUUUCCUAGGAUAUAUAUAGUAUUUUGGGUUUGAGUAGGAGUUCAUGUUUUGUAUGUAAUUGUAGUCUACGUUGGACUAGGUUGUUUGCUCCUAAUUGAAAUAGGAAUGGUUGGUGUCACAUCUCAUUCAUUUUCUCAUCUAUUUCCAUGUUUAGAUAACUCAAGUAAUCAUAGGAAUGAAAUUAAGAAUGAUUUGAGGGAAAUGAAAUCUCACUUGUAAGUGGGAUCUCAAUUCAUCAUUAAUAGAAGGUAUUUUGAUUACAUAGUGCAAGUUAUUUUUAAAAACACUUUUCAAAAAUUGAAAAACCAAAAACUCUCUUGGAUAAGUUGUUUUUAAAAAGAAUUUUUGUAUUUUUAUUUUGUAAAAAAAAAAAAUAGUAAUUCAAUUUAUAUAAUAUAAAUAGACUUUAAUUUUAUUAAAAAUAAAAAUAAUUUUUUAAUUACAAAUAAAUUAAAAAAUAAAUAUUUGUAAUAAAAUAUGAAUAGUAAUAUUAUAAUAAAAUCAUAAAUAAAUUAAAAAUAUUUUUAAAAACAAAUAAGUUUAAUUUUUUUGAGGUACAAAUGAGCCAAAUUUUUCAUUAGGUACACAACCAACAAUUUUUAUUGGAAACAUUCCUCAAAAAAGAAUUCGUUUCCCAUAUAGCAAAGAUAUUUAUUAUUUAGUAUCUAACCAUCCGUAGUAAUCAUAUCAAUUCUACUAAGUUAUUUAAUAAUUCAUUUAUAUAUAGUACUCAAUUAUGAAUUUUUUUAUUUGAUGUAUAAUUAAUUAAUCAAUGUUUUGAAUUUUGAAUUAUUCUUAAAAUUUAAAACAUUAAUUAUGUCUAUUACUUUUUAUAGUCAUUAUAUAUAUAUAUAUAUAUAUAUAUAGAGAGAGAGAGAGAGAGAGAGAGAGAGAGCUUAAAUUUAUCUUUAAAAAUUAUUAAAUUUAUUAAUAAAUUCAAUACAAAGACUCAUUUGAUUUGAAAUUCAUUUCUUUAGUGAAAAUUUUGAAACUAAAUAGUACUUUGUUUUACUUUGUUUUUAAAUCAUACUCACAAAUAAGUUUUUAUCAUUUAGCCAAAAAAUCUCAAAGAUGUUUCUAAUUUUAUUUAUUUAUUUAUUUGUAAAUGAAAAUAAAAAAUUAGUUUAAACUAAAUAUGCGGAUAUUAUUGUUAAUUUAUUUCAUUUUUUAUUUCCAUUGUUAUUUAACAUUGAAACGGAAACAAAUAAUCAUUCCAAUCUUACAUUCUUAUAUGCAUCUAAACACAAGAAUUGAAAUCACCAAAUUCAUAUUCAAGGCAAAAUAGAAAUGGAAAAAAAAUAUUCAUUUUCAUUCCUCAUUCUCAUGUGCUAAACAUGACAUUAGUUCUACUACCUAUUUCACCAUUCUUCUUGAUAAAUUUGGUAUAUGCAAUAUUGAUCUAAGUGUGAGGUGAAUAAGAAUGAUGAUGGGAUGGGCUUGGAAAUAAGGGCAAAGUUUCUAGGUGCUAUCUAGAGGGGCAACGCGACUUUUUCAAAUUUCGAAUAUUUGUUCUCAACAUAAAGCAAAACUUUACUCACACAAUAGAUAAGACUCUGUUUGUUUUCUUCAUCCACGACUAUAUAAUGUAUAGCUCUUACUCAAGGGAUGAGCUACUUACUAUUAAGGAUUGGGUAAGAUAUUGCCUAAUGGCCAAGAAGGCAUGUCAAAAAAUAAAUCUAAUCACCAUAAAAAAUAAUAGGGGAAAAUUAAUAUAUUAUGAAUGAUGACUUUACUAUUUCUCUAUAUACAUAAUUAUAUAUUUUGAAUUUUCUCACUAGGUAAUGAGAUUCUAAAUCAACUGAAACAUAAUUAAUAAUUUAUAUUUUUAAUGAAUCUUUUAAUUUUUAAAAAUAAUUUAAAAUUUUAAAAAACAAUUCAAUUAAUUACAUAUUAAAUCAAAACAUUUCAAAAUAUUGUGUUUGUAGAUGAGUACUAAAUGCUUGCAUAUAAUAAUAAUAAUAAAAAAAUUGACUCAUUUAGAUGUUAAAAAAGUUAAAUGUUUUUCAUUAUUCAUUUUAAGUAAAAUAUUAUUGACAUUAUUAUUAUAAAAUUAUUAUUAUUCAUUUUUAACAAAAAACAAAAUAAGUUAUUCUUUUACCAAGAUGUCAAUAUCUAUAUUUUUCUAACAUAUAUUAAAAUAGUAUACUUUUCUUUUAUUAAAAAUAAUAAUUAUUAUUAUAUUAUUAUUCAAGUUUUAUUAAAAAAAUUUAUCUUUUAAUUCAUUUGUAAUUACAAAAUAAUUUUAUUUUAUUAAGAAUUUAAUUUAAUUACGCUUUUUUUUUUUAUAAAAAAAACAGUUAUGCUUUUACCAAGAUGUUAAUAUUCAUAUUUUUCUAGCUAACAUAAAUAGAAUAGUACACUUUUUCAUAUAAAAAAAUAAUUUAUGAUUUUAUUAUAAUGUUACUAUUCACAUUUUACUAAAAAUAUUUAUUUAUUUUAUUUAUUUUUAAUUAUAAAAUAAUUUUAUUUUCAAGAAUUUAAUUUUAAAAAAAUAGAAAUCAUUUAUUCUUUUACCAAGAUGUUAAUAAACAUAUUUUUCUAACAUAUACUAAAAUAAAAAAGUUUACUUGUUCAUUAAAAAAUAUAAUUUAUGUUUUUAUUAUAAUACUACUAUCUAUGUUCUACUAAAAAUAUUUAUUUAUAAUUAAAAAAUAAUUUCAUUUUUAAUAAGACUUGAACUAAAUUAAAUUUAUAAUUUUUUUUUAAAAUAAAAUAGAAAAUUAUUUUUUAAAAACAACUUAUUGAAAGAAAUUUUUUAUUCUUUACUUUUAAGAACUGUUUUUAAAAGCAACCUAUAAACCCCUUUGGGUCUGUUUGGCUAUGUUUCAUGCAACUUGUUUUUAAAAAUUGUUUUUUAUUCUUUAAUUUAAUUUUUUUUAAGUUAAAGAAUAAAAAACAACUUUCUAGUGUUUUAUAAAAAUGAGAGCUUUUGACAAGUUGUUUUUAAAAACCAUUUUUAAAAAUAAAAAAUAAAAAACUUAUUUAGAUAAAUUGUUAUAUAUAUAUAUAUAUAUAUAUUUGUAAAAACAUUUUAAAUUCAAUUUAUAUAAUAUAAAUUUAAUUUAAUUUAAGUCUUAUUAAAAAAAAAUUGUUUGGAUAAGUUUUUUUUUUUAAAUAGUUUAUUAUUUUUGUUUUGUAAAAACAUUGCAAAUUCAAUUUAUAUAAUAUAAAUUAAUUUAAUUCAAGUCUUAUUAAAACCAAAAUAAUUUUAUAAUUACAAAUAAAUUUAAAAAUAAUUUUUUUAGUAAAACAUGAAUAAUAAAAUUAUAAAUUAUAUUAUUGUGGACCCUGCAUUUAUGCUCAUGCGCUUCCACUUGUUGGCGAACUCAUUUUUUAUUUGAAAAUGAUUUAUUUUUUUAGAAAAUGACUUAGAGUCGCCACUUAUUUUUGUUUUAUUUUUAAAGGGCAAGCAAAAUAAGAAAGAAAACCCUAAGUGUGACUCCUUAUUCGAAAAAGGUAGUCUGUGUAAAACCGGAUCAGGGUUCAGGGAUCAGGUUACUUAUUGGGAAGGUAUGACAAUGACCGUAGCACUCCUCUAAGUCCUUAAAAACGGGCCUCUACUAAAAAAAAUAAAGUAAUCAUGGCAAUCAGUAAGGAAAUCACUGGAUACCCAGAACAAUUAUGCACAUGUGAGAAUUAAAACAUGCAUAAGAAUGGACAAAGUGAGAGUGGGUGCGUACCUUGACAACGAACCACAAUGCGUUAUCAAGAAAUGGGGUUAGUGCACGAUCAAUGAACAUAAAACACGUCACACAUGUCACUAAGCAGAGUGAGAAAUCAUCAGAUAUUACAAUUCAAUCAAAUUUAUUUUUAGAAGAAACAUCUGUUGAUGUAGAGCCCCUACCAAAGCCUAAUUUAUUUUUGCAUGAAUCAAUUUCAUAAAUUCAAUCGCUUGGAAUUACAGAAUUAAAUUCAUGCUUAUUUUAAAACAUCUUUUUAAAAUCAUGGAAGAUGUGAAAAUGGUUUUCCAAAGAGAAAAUGACAACUGAUUUUAUUGAAAAUGGGAUUUUGGGGACCUAAACGUUAAAGAGGGAUUAGGAAUUGAAAAUUAAAUCAUUUGAAAAUUGAAUUUUUCAAAAAUCAGUUUUGAAAGCAUGCAUGCAAGUAUGGACUGUGAAAGUGGGCCUAGGGAGGGUGGCCAUGCAAAAUGAGGUCAUACACGUGGGCCUUGGGUACAAUUGGGACUACUUUGCUGGUGCCAGUGGUGCUUGCAGCUGUCAUCCAUGAUUUCUUCAUUGGGAUCAAUUUCCAUUCUUACUGCCAAACAUUCCAUAACAAUUGACCAAACUAGUAACCCUGACCUUGCAUGAAAAUGAACGUUACCUAGAAACUCACUGCCAGUGAGAUUCAUUGCUCUUUCAAAAGGUCUCAUUUUCUUUCUCAUCCAAUUGCUUUAAGGAGCAUUCUAGCGUCACGAUUGGUGACUGCGCAUCAUCUAGAGCCUUCUUUCUUCUCAGAAUCAGGUUUGCGUGCAGAGGCCUGUGCUUGUUCAAGGUUGACCUAAAUUCAUCUAGGUUUAGAACCGACCAGUUGAGCUUGGGGAGCAACGACAAGAAUAUCAGUCACUUGCGAAGAGAAAACUCGAGAUCUUUCAAGUAAUGCCUGACAUAGAUUCCUCCAACCUGUGGCCAAUAUCUCAUUCCUUGUUGGCCAGACGCCUAUUAGGGCGUAUCUCAAUCAAUAAUAUGAUUUUUCGUUUGUUCACAAUAAAGACCGGAAGCCAUGGUUGUGAUUUAUGCAGUACAGAAGAAGUUGCCAUGGCUGGUAUCCUUACAAAUUCUGGUGUUUCUGCUAUCUGUUCAAGUGCAAAACACAACAGCUUUAUCAAGUUUGUCCCUAACAACUGAUAUUGAGCCCUCUGGAGGAAACCUUGAUAAAUUCAUAAUCACUUUUGACUCAUGCAUGGGCUGCCCAUCAAAUUUUCCUAGCAACGAGACGACUGCUGUCAUCUACUGCAAAGAGAAUUUCUUCUCGCAAAGACAAGAGGAGUUUAAGAAUACACACUAUUCUGCCAUUUCAUUUCCUCUUUCUCCACAACCAACAUAAACCAUAGUGUCUACAUUAGAGUACUUAGAAAGAGCUUAACUGAUGACCGUUUUUCCACAACCAAAUGCCCCAGGUAUGGCACAAAUUUCACCGAAAACAGAAGGGAAAAGGGCAUCAAGAACACGCUGUCCUGUAAGUAGUGGGGUAUCAGGACUACUCUAGGGAAGUUAUUUCUGUCAUUUUGAAAAAGAAAAAUUAAAGAAUGUACACAUGCUUUCAAGUGGACUGGAGCAUUCUACAUAUCAGGUGGUCUGUAGCCACAUGUGCCACUUUGUGGAAGUUGGAACAGUCGAUCACUAGGCUAUUUAGUGUGGCCAAGCCACGUUAAUCAAGGACAAGUCUUCAUACUUAAAAGUCAAAUGGUGCCUUUAGUCUCAUUACACAUGGCUAUUUAAAGAUGAACUAAUCUUUAGUGUAAUGUGAUUAAGACAGUACUAACUGAUCAAUAUUUUUUCUAAUUUUGGAUGCAAAUGCUUGCUGGCUUCAUCAUUGGAUGGGAUAAAGGUGCAUUCAUGACUCUGAAUACUUGCAGUAAUACUUGCAGUAAUACUUCAUUCUCUUUUUUCUCGAUGAGACUUCUUGGCACAAUUUUGCUUCUCAGCAACCUACCUCUCCAUGGAAAAUGAGUUGCGAUUGAUGGUACUGGAUAUUUUCUAGGAAGCUAAAUAUAGAUAUAUAGCACUCAAUGUCAACGAUAUAUAUAGCAUUAACAGUAUAUGUCUCAAUGCUCAUCAGCUACAAGCAAGGGACAAACACUUACAAUGAAUAACUCACGUCAACAUUCCUAAACAGGACAUAGAAGUGACAGAUCUAUAUAUAGAACACUGCAUAUGAGUCACAAGAAAAGAUAAUACGGGUGCAUAGCAGCUCUUAUAUUACAUAUUACUCAUACCGUUCAAAUUCACUCAGUUGGGAUGGGUGGGAGAAGGAGGCCUCUGGGGUGGCUUGUGCGUGUGAGAAGUGGAAGAAAGUUGAAUGGAAUGAAACUGAAAAACAGGGUAGAAUAGAGGUUUCUUGAAUCUUCUGAAAUCUUUAUUUUUCUGAGAUUUAUUCUCUGUUUUUGUGAGUCGUGACUCUACAUAUAUACAUGUAUUUAAAGUUAGUUAUGCCUUAUAACUAAUUAUCUAACAGUACCAAAACUAAUCAUCUAGUUGCAUGUUUCUAAUUAAUGCUAUUUAGUUACAACUAUAUAUGGCUUAACAUCCUCUCUCAAACUCAAAAGUCUAGCUAGAACAGUGAGUUUGCUUCAUAGAUUGAGAAAUUGUUGAAUAGGUAAGGCUUUGGUAAGAGCAUUAGCAAUCUGGUCAUAAGAAGGAAUGUGUUGAACCACCAAAGUCUUAUUGAGCACCUUUUCCUGAACAAAAUGGCAAUCUAGUUCCACAUGCUUAACUCGAGAAUGAAAAUAGGAUUGGCAGCAAGAAAGGUGGCUGAAAGAUUGUCAUAGAACAAAACAAAAUAGGAGAAUAAGAAGAUGAGAUAGAAAACUCCUGAAGAAGAUGUUGAAUCCAUUGAAGUUCAAAAGCAACAUUUGCUAAGGCCCUAUACUCAGCUUCAUUGCUGGAACGAGACACAACUUUCUGCUUACUGGAGUUCCAGGAGACUAGAUUAGAGCUAAAAAAGAUGCAAUGACCACUUGUACUUCGACGAUCAUCAGGGCAACCAACCCAAUCAACAUCAGCAUAAGCAGUAAGUUGAAAAUCAGGAGAAGAAUAAAAGGAAAGACCAAAGGAAGUAGUGCCCUUAAGAUAAUGCAACAAUCGUUUAACAACUUGCCAAUGAAGAUCAGUUGGUUAUUGCAUGAAUUGGCAAAGUUUAUUGAUAGAGAAAGAGAUGUCAGGCCUUGUAAUGGUACAAUAUUGCAGGGCUUCAACAAUGUUGCGAUAUUGAGAAGGGUCAGCCAAGAGGGAACCUUUAGAGGCAGAUAAAGUGUGAGAGGUAGUCAUUGGUGUAUCAAUAGGUUUAAAAUAUGGAAGACCAGCACGAGUUAACAAGUCCUGAAUAUAUUUGGUUUGGGAAAGAUGAAGAGAAGAUCCUUGCCAACAUACUUCUACACCCAAGAAGUAAUUCAGAAUACCAAGGUCCUUGAGAGCAAACUGAAAGUGUAAAGACGAAACCAUUUGGUGGACUAGCACGGUAUUAAGACCACUAACAAUAAUGUCAUCAACAUAGAUGAGAAUAAUGAUCAUGUCAGUCCCUUUCCGAAGAGGAGCUUGCUUCAGACCCUACAAGGCUUUGCGAAGUUUACAGAAAAAACCGGGUUUAGAAUGAUCAACAAAGCCUGGAGGUUGAACCAUGUAAACCUCUUCUUCUAACUCACCAUUGAGAAAGGCAUUAUUAACAUCUAAUUGUUCCACUAACCAACCAUGAGAAAUAGCAAGAGAAAGAACAAUUCAUAUAGUAGUUGGUUUAACAACAAGGCAAAAGGUUUCAAAAUAAUCAAUACCAUAUGUUUGAUUAAAACCCUUUGCAACUAAGUAGGCUUUAAAACGAUCAAUUGAGCCAUUAGCUUUGAGUUUCAGCUUGUAUAUCCAUUUACAACUAAUAAUGCGUGUAUUAACAGGUUUAGGAACCAAUGUCCAUGUGGAAUUGGUGAGAAGAGCAUCAUACUCAGUCUUCAUAGCAGCUUGCCAAUUAGGAUGCAAUAUUGCUUCUUUGAAAGAGGAGGGUUCGACAACAGUAGUUUGGAUAGCAAGGCUAAAUAUUUUUUUGGGUUUAAAAAUACCAUUUUGGCUACGAGUAACAAUAGUUCGGUUUGGAAGUGAAAGAGGAUCAGUGGAGGAGGCUGGAACAAGGGAUUGUGGUAAAGUAGGAAAGGAAGGUGGAUGAGAUGGAACAAAAUCAGUAGGGACAAUAAUGGGAGAAGAAAAAUUAGGUGGAGAAUGAUGAGGAUUCCUUGAAGAUGGUGUAGGAAUAGAGAGAAUACCAGAAUCAAGAAGUGUUAAAGAAGAGUUGGAUGAUGAUACUGGUUGACAGGAUAAAGACUUUGUUAAAAAUGGAAAUCGAGUUUCAUCAAAUACAACAUGACGAGAAGCAUAUAUCCGAGAGGAAGCCAUAUCCAAACAGAGGAAUCCCUUGUGUUUAGCACUAUAACCCAAAAAACAGCAAACAACAAAUAUAUUUGCUAGCUUGUGAGAAGCAUAAGGGCGAAGAUAAGGAAAACACAAGCAUCCAAAACUUCAAAGAGAUGUAUAAUAAGGUAAACGAUUAUAAAGAACUCCAUAAGGAGAAUUUUGUGAAAGAACAGCAGAGGGAAGGCAAUUUAUGAGAAAAAUGGCAGUUUGAAAUGCAAAUGACCAAUAUUUGAGAGGGUAUACCAGCUUGUAUUAACAAAGAAAGACCAACUUCCACAACAUGACGAUUCUUUCUUUCAACUCUUCAAUUUUGCUAAGGAGUAUAAUGACAAGAGACUUGAUGAAGAAGACCAUUUGUAGCCAAAUAAUUCUGAAAAGCUGAAACUGAAACUCAUCAAAUUGAUUUUUAGUAUCAAAUUUUCUUCAGACUGAACACAUUGAUUUUUAGUAUCAAAUUUUCUUUCAACCAUGGCUUGAAAAUGUUGGAACAUAAGUAAAGCUUCAUCUUUAGUUUCCAAAAGGUACAACCAUGAGAAUAUGCUAAAAUCAUCAAUUAGCAAGAGGAAAUAUUGAGCAUUACCAUUGACAGAAACUAUAGGAGUUGCACCCCAAAGAUCAACAUGGAUGAGACCGAAUGGUUUUAUUGCUCUAGAAGUGGAUAUUUCAAAUGGAAAACGAUGGCUUUUAGCCAACUGACAAGACUCACAUACAGAGUUAUUAUUGUCAUGUUUCAAAGGUAUUUUAUAAAGAGAUAAGAUUUUGGAAACUACAUUAAUAGAGGGAUGACCAAGUCUAUUAUGCCAAAGCCUCAAAGAACCAACGGCUAAAGUACUACUAGUAGAGUAAAAUACUAGUGGAUGACCAACAACUCUUGGUGUAGCAAGAAGUUUAUAGAGACCCUUCUCAAUUUUUCCUUGAAGAAGAGCAAGUCUCGUUUCCUGAUCCUUUACCACAAAAUGAGAAGAACGAAAUUCAAUAAAGGUGCCAUUGUUUGAGUAAAAUCGUUGCACGCUAACUAAGUUGGUGGUAAUAGAAGGAACAUGUAAGACAUCAUUGAAAAACAAAGAACCACUUGAAGAGGCAAGAGAAAAUUUACCAAUAUUUGCAAUGGAUAAACCCUUACCAUCUCCAACAAUUACUUUGUCACCACUGGUAAAUGGAUUAUGGAUUGUUAAAUUGUUAAGAUCAGAUGUGAGAUGAUGGGUAGCCUUUGUAUCAAGAAACCAAUAAGUGUCUCCCAUUGUUGCAGAAGUUGUAGUCAUAGCCUCAGGAUUGUUAGAGGUGGAAUGUUUAGAAUCUUUUGGCUGAUAAUCAGAGUUAAACCGAUACCAGCAUUGUAAAGCGGUGUGUCCGAACUUACAACCGAGAGAAAUAAUCUUUACUUAUUCUCUAAAAACUGUUCUUUAUUCCACACAUUAUUUCUAAAAACUGUUUCUAGAUAACAAUGACAAAAUAGUAUUAGGAAUUUUUAAAAAUAAAAAUUGUUUUUAAAUUACAUGAUCUAUAUCAUUCACAUUUGACCAUUAUAGCUUUGUUCAGGAAAACACUUGAAAGUAACCUUAUCGUGAUAAGAGAUAUAAGUUGGCUGUAGUUUCAAACUGAAAACAGAGGAUGGCAAUAGAAAGCAAAGCAUUAGUUAUCUGCAAUCAGUGGUGAUCAUGCCCCAUGUCAAUUUCGGACCCAUAUCUUAAAACCGUAUAAUUUGCAUUUCAACAUUUCUGAUUUCUCAGAUGUUUCAUACUCCACAGAAGAACAUUGUUUGUGAAAGCAUGCAUUUAUGCUGGAUUUUGGAUGAUGUGGGAACUGGGGCAAGGAUCAUAUGGAAGAGUGGUCGAUUUUUUCUGUACUUUAACAUUUGAAAUAGGAGCAGCACGGGCAUUUGUGGGGCUUAAUUGAUUUUGAAGCCUGAAAUUGCGUUUCUGUCAUUUUGUAAAAAAUAUGGCAGAUUCCAUGCUCUCAUAUGUUUGGUCUGUGGCCAUGUAUAGAUGCCACUUAGUGACCAGUUUGUAACUGUCAAUCAUAGUGUUUUGACUCUGGCUCAACAACAUCAGCCAUUGACGGAUUUUCAUACAUGCAAAUCAAAUAGUCUUCUUCCUCCCUUAGGAAUUUCGGUUUAAAUGUUAUUAAGCAUACAUUUGGCUGACAAUUAUUAACCACUUCAUGAUAUGGUUUCUUACCCUUAAUCAAUGGUUUCUAAGUGAAUAUAUGCAGAAGGAAAUCUGAACUGUAGACAGCAGUAUUGAUAAUUAUCAAUAUUCUUUAUAUAAGAGAAUAAACAACGUCAUAGUGAUCGUCGCCUACAAGAAAGGUACAUUUCCCAACAAGAUGUAGUUGUGACUGGUACAUGGACGUAAUUAACUCGUAGAAAAGGAUAAGACCAGUGCACGGCAGCUCUUAUUUUACAUGCUAAUUAUGCUAACCAAAGUCACUCAGUUGGGAUGGGAGGGAGAUGGAGGUUUGUGCGGUGGCUUGUGGGGCGGAGUUGGUGGCUUCUUUUCAGGAGCUUGUGGCUUUUUCGGAGCUGAAGGAGGCUCAAUCUUAUGAGGCGGCUUGUACGAGUCUUCUUUACUCUCGACAGGAGGGUGGCCAGGGUUGUGACCAUAAUGUGGUGGCUUCUCUCCCUUAGGUGGCUUGCCAACUGGGGUUGGUGGCUUGUGUUCAGGAAGUGGUUUCUCUCCCUUGGGAGGUUUACCAAUUGGGGUUGGUGGCUUGUGUUCUGGGAGUGGUUUCUCUCCCUUGGGAGGUUUAGUGGGUGACUUGUGUUCUGGAGGUGGCUUCUCCACCGGAGGCUUGUGCUCCGGUGGUGGCUUCUUGGUUGGAGGGGGCUUGGGGUAAUCAGCAAGAGAUGGGGGGGUGAGAACCACCACUCCAAGGAACAACACUAGCAAGUAUGUGGGAGACAUUUCUGAGUUUGAGCUGAUCAGAUGAUGCAAAACUAGAAGAAUUACGUGACCUUUUAUAGCAAGUAGCUCCCAAUACCCACAUGACACGUGUUACUGUGACCAUAAAUAUUAUAGGGUCCAUUUGUGCCCUACCGGGUUGAAAACUUGGACGCUUGGCCGAGGACACACCGAACUAUGGAGGACUAUUGACGUGUGAUCACAGCUUUUGGAUUUUUCUUCCUGUGCAGCUGUCUAGCGGUUGGCAUUAUUUUUUUAAUCUUAAAUAAAGGCAUAGUUAUAGAGUACAUUUAUAUAUCUUCAGAUAGCCAUUAAUAUAUUUGAUGAAGAAAGACAAGUGCAUACAACAUGUAUACGGCUUGCUUCAAUCGAGUACAUUUAUGAUCAGUUUUCCAGUGCAAGUAAACCAGUUUUUUGUUCCACAACUAUUUUGGAAUCUUGUUUAUCAGUUUCUAUCAUUAUAAUGUCACAUAGGCUGCAAACUUGGGCACCCAAAGAUCUAGUUGGGCAAAUUUGUUUCAGAAUUUCAAUGGUGGAUUCAGUAAUUGUUAAAAGGUGUUUCUUCAUUAAGGAAAGAGUCCUGUAAAAAUAUUGUUAAAAGGUGUCAUAGAAACUAUAAUAAUUAAAUAACUUCUUUUCCCCGUGGGUGGUGUUUCUUCUGGGGAUACCCAAAAUGAGUUCAGAUUAAAAUUGGUUCGAGUCAAAGCUGUCUCUUUUGUCCAGAAAUCAACUAUUUUGCGCAUUGCAUGAAUCGAUAAAGAAAAAAUGAAAGCCAAAUCACACCUCCCCUGCAAAACCUAAACCCCGGUUGCUAACUUUCUAUGUUUCAGUCCUAUUCAUACAGGAAUAUUGGUUCAAGUUUGAGAAAAAUGGCAACUUACCUAGGGAUUACUUGGUUGUGGUUUGCGACGACUAUUUACGCAACCAACCAUGAGUUUGACUUUAACGUCAUGGGUUGAAGCCUCCUACAAUCGUGUAUGAUAGUUCAAAGCUCGUAGUAGAAAUUAUACAGGAAGGAAGAAACCUCCAAAGCUAGCUCCAAAAGAGAAUUAUCACAUCGAUAGCUCCAGAGAUUCCCAAGGGGACUGAAUCAAAGACAAGUUCCUCACUUUUUCUUCUUUUGAGGCCAAAUAUGAACCAAGGAUCACACGACCUCAUUCAACUUCAUAAGUUUGAUUUCAUGCAGUUGAACACUGGGUGAAGGCCAUGACAAGAAUUGAUUAAAAAAUUCUACCACUGUUUUAAGUAAUGGAAGAUUAUUAUCUCUGAUUGGCACCACAACAGCACAUGCUGCUAGAUCUUUCUAGACACUCCAUGCAAUGAAAGUACAAUGGAUCUUGUAACGAUAGAAACUAAGCCAUGCUACAGUACUAGAUGACGAGGUAAAACUAUUAGACAUGGGUGGCAGCCUAUAUGGGAGGGACACAAGUCUAAUUGAUUUGCAUUUCAGCGUUCUAGAUGGGUAUGUUUUGGAAGAUUUGUUCUGGAAAUACCGCACCAAGUAGGAUUCUUUUUUCUCUUGAGUGGGUCCACUUGCAUGCCAAUUAUCGAGUUGAAAAGUAGAGCACCUACCUCGUGCUCGUGGAACCGAAGGUCAGUGAAGUGGGGCUCCUUUUGGCCUCUUGUGUUUCUGUUCCAACCAAGGCGGCGGAGGGAAAAACAGCAAUAUGUCUCCGCUAAAUAUCAACGCAUGAUAGCGAAUGAGGGAGAAAAAAAGUAAUUGGCAUCUCAAUCUCACAAACUUGGUACAGUAGUGACAUUAAUAGUCUUCCACAUGGUUUUUAUUUUAUUUUAUUUUAUAUUUUAUAUUUUCCAUUUUUUUAUUUUUUUGUAUGUCAAGGCUAAUGAAUAAAAUGCGUUAGCUUGUUUUGUGAUUGGAACUGCAAAUGUCCAAAUUGGAGUUUCUCCAUUUCUCAGUUCGGAUGGUUAACUUUAUAAACAAGAUAUAGGAAACAUGUGAACGUCUUGAGGAACAAUUCGAAUUAUUGAUUAGAACUCCUAGGUUGAGUUCCAAGAUUUAAAUCAGACCCCUCUAGCAGCUUCAGGGGUACCUAGCAAUUAGAACAUAUUAAUGAAGAUUUAGGAUUUAGACUCCGGAAUACAAAUUAAUAUGUAUCUUAUGCUCUGACUAGCUUCCCUGCAUAUGCACAAAAUGGAGAUGACCCAAAAAAUAGCAGAAUCGCCUUAGUUUAUGUGGUUAAGGUGAUUCUCCGGUUAAUAUCCACAUUGGCUCAUUAUGCAAAUCAACUGAGCUAUUUUUUUUUUAAUGUCAAAUAGGAACUCCUAAUUAACCUAACCAUUGGCCUGUGUAAAUUGAUUUCACAUGCACAAUGUUGUAGUAGAAGUCCACAUUUUGAAUUUUAUUUUUGGAAAGGUAAGGAAAAUGAAGCAUUGUGUAAUUAUAAAAAUAACUUCAUUGGAAUUCACAAGGUUCACCCAAAAUGGAGCUACAUCCGUAUUCUAUCUUACAGUAGACUAUAUAGAUUGUACAAUAGUAAAUUGCAAAUACAAUUAAUAAGUCUUGUGUUUCCUUACUAAUAAUCCUUUGACAUAAACAUUGCAGCACUAAGGUCCUCUUGGGCAGACACCUUGCACCCAUGAGAGCACUAAGAGGAAGCAAGGCGGAGUCAUGGGUGCAAUGUCAUGACUUGUUGCACUAAGAGAGGCUUGGUGAUGGCAUAGUGCUGCAGUAGCAAGAAUGUUGCCUUGGCAGGGACACGAUCUAGGGACAGAUGCCAAGAAAGGCUUAGCACUCACAUGAGUUGCACAAAGAUGAAUGAAAUAGAACAUCAAAGAGACAUCUUGGCAAGCUCAAGAAAGACAUGUGGGUUGGUAAAUGAAUGGAUGCAAGAGGCAACAACAUGAGGAGUUUCAAAUGGAUAGGGAAUGAGUCAAAGACAUUUGAAAGCUACAAGUUGGAUUCUAAUUACGAUUGCAAUUUGAGUUUGAGUAGGAGUUUAUAUUAUGAUUGUAAUUGUAGUAUGAGUUGGACUAGGAUUGCUUAUCCCUAGUCAAAAUAGGAGUUGUUCAUGCCACACCCUAUGAAAAGAGUUUGAGUAGGGACUAGGAUUGCUUGCUCCUAGUCAAAUAUGGAGUAGGUGGUGCCACACCUAUAAAAAAAAAAGGGACAACAUGAGAGAGAGAGAGAAUGAAUUCACCAAAGAUAUUGUGGGAGUUUUGCUUUGUUACAUCUUGUAUUAUUAUUUAGAAUAGUAAUAAAAUACAAGUUGGGGCUAGAGCCCCAUAAUCUCGUGUGCCUUUGUGGGUUAUUCUUUAUUUGCCAUCUCGUGUGGAUUGGAUUAGAUUGAUGAGGCGAAAUAUUAUGUGGGAAAUUUAUGUUGGGACACUUACCAUAACCAGGUAAAAUCUACCAAGUCUUUUGUAAUAUCUUCUACAAAUAUUUUAGACCAGUUCUUCACAAAACAUCAUAAUAUGUUUUGUGUUUCUCUUGGAUUUUGAGUUGAAUUGUCUUAGAUCAAUUGAAUGCAUCUCAAUAUUAUUAUCUUGUUUGAAGGCUUGAUGAUUUUCCAUUUAACUUUACUUUCUUUAGGUUAUGCUUGAUUCCUUAAAAGUACUAAGGAAAACAAAAAAUAAAAAAAAAUAAAAAAUGCAGAGGGUUAGGACAUGUGUUAUCUAAUUGUCCUAUCCAAAGAUAUUAAGAAAGUCAUGUAGGAAAGUAAUUGAAAACUAGGUCAAGAAAGGAGCAAAAGGGAAUUGUUUUGGUAUUUUCUUUUUUAUUCUUGAAGGUGGCAGAGCUAAAAUUUGAGAAAUCAAGCAAAACAUACUGAAAUUACAUUGAAAGAAAGAAAAUGGUAGUUAAUGUCUUGCAGUACAUGAUAAGGACUUCAUGCAUGUAGUGUGACGACCCAUGUCUUGGACUGAUGCCACACUCACGGUUACACUUAUACCCUUGGUUCUCUCUUUACUACCUUGGCUAACCUAGAUCAGGCUAUGAGAUAGGCUCCUCACCACACCAUCACUUGCCCAGUAAUUAGUGACAUUUUCAAGCAAUGAGGUAACAUGGUGACACCAAGAGGGUUUAUCCCUCGCCCCAACAAGUCUAGACUCGGUCUCAAAAAAAUGGAGAAAAAUGAGGUGUCGUUAUGCAGAAAUACAACAACCAUGCCUUCCUUAUUACUUAGAUUCAGAAUGUGAAGGUGAAAUUGAGAAACAGAAACUCUUGAAACCAGAAUGAAAAUUGAUACUUUUACGAAGAAUUACAACAUUAGAGGAAGACUACAUUCUUCCUCUAUAUUCCUACGUUUCUACACUACUUCUACUCCACUCCAUAUUUCUACAUACAUCUUUAAUCAGUUUUCCCUCCUUUAUAUAGAGCCAUCUUCACACAAAUUCCGCAAGGUAGAAAAGAGGAAUGAAACUUGGAGCAAGGUUCGACUACUGGUUGUCGCUUGUCAAGGCUGGAAUUGAACUUUUUUUCUUGGCUUUUCUGGGCAUAGGUAGUAACUUGUGGUUCCUUUUUGGAAUGAAAAUGGUACAGCUAGAACAUGUGGCACUCUCUUGUUGGAUUAUGUGUCAAACAUGUGGCAGCCAUCUAGUGGAGAUUAUUUCAAUUUUGGGAUGGAGAGUUGGCAUCCAAUUGCAAAGAAAUAUGACAUCUACCAACAUGCAAUGUAAACCUAUAUAGAUCAUAUGGAGAUAGAGAGGAAACAUAUAGAAAUGGAUAUAUACCUAGAACUAGCUUUUUAUUAAAUGAGACGGAGAGCCAACAAUGAAGGAAAAUCAAAAUUUUUGGCUCAUAUCAAAGAAUUCACAUUGUGUUACCCUAGGUUUUCUUAAAGCUUGCACAAAGCCAAAAAGCACACAAAAAAUUAUAUUUUCUAGCUCUCUACCUUGGAUGGUCUCUUGAUCCUACUUGGAGAUGUGCAUAAAUAAAAGGAUUUGAAAAUGACAAUUGACUAAGUAUGUAGUCAAUCAAUUACUCAUUAAUUGACUAGUUGAUCAAUUAACUUUGCAACAUCAUAUGCAAUCCUAAUAGCUAGUCAUCUAAUCAACUAGGUAGUAAAUCAAUAGGCCAAAAAUAUGUUUAUAAUGACUAUUUUGUACAAAAACCACCUAUAUGGUUAAAUAUAAUGCAUUUCAUUUAUAAAUCUUCUAAUUCUUGAAUAACGAUCCUAUCAUCCUUUGAAAGUUUUUAUUACACCUUUUAUACUUUUGUUCUAAAACUUACACAUGUACAUCACCCUUAAUUGUACCAUGAGAACCUAGCUUUUUUUUUUUUUUUUUUUGUAAUUCAUCAAAGUUAGCUUUUGUAUUCAUUACUGUACUAUUUUUAUUGUAACUUAGAAAGCGAGUGUUUUCAAGUGAGUGAAAUUGACUUAUAAAUAUUGUAAAGAUUCAUUGAUGUGUAUCUUAAACUAAGUGUACAAGUUGAAACAUUUGCUAGUAGAUUUUCUCAAGAUUUAGAAUAGAGCUUGAGGCUAUUGAAAUAGGUGGGGUUGCACCAAACCACAUCACAUUGUUGUUUGCACCUUUUUUUCACUCUCUUUUACUUAGUUGCUCUAUAUUUGUUGUCUAGUAAUAUCCUAUAGGCUUGAUGGGUUAGGGAGCAUCCCUUUGUGAAAAAUUUUCAUUCAAUCCUUAGUUGUAUCACGCAUAUAUAAAAUGCCUCAUUGUUUUAAUGGUAUUCAGUCGUGGCAUCACAGAUAUGGGCAUCUAAAUUUUAAAAGUUUGAAACUUUUAUCUAAAGAAAAUAUGGUGCUUUGCCUUUUUGUAAAGCAUGUUGAUGAAAUCCAUGAGAAUUGUGUACUUGGGAAGCAACAUCGAGAUGACUUUUUUUUUUUUCAUUUUUUAUAAUGCGACACCUAAGUCCGGUUUCUAAAUGCUGAAGUGAAAGGGUAGGUAUGGACCAUUGAAAUCUGAUCACAACUUUUGGCCUUUUCCUUUCUCUGCAGCCAUGUUGUCUCUUUUUUCUUUUGCAUGAUUUUCUUACCUAAACAGAAUCAUAGACUUGUUUAAUCUCUAAAUGGUAUUUCAUCCAGCUUUAAGCUACUGUAUUAUAUCUUGGUGGAGGACUUUUAAGAGUGAAACCGACAUAGAGCACAUGCAAGUGGGUAUAUGGGACAUGAAAUUUCUUCUUAUAAAGACUGCAUGGUUUUUAUAUUAGAGUUGUUGAGGCGCAAUGUAUUUAGCUUGUUUUGCAGUUAAAUUAAUUGGAUAAGUAGACAUUGUCGUUUCUAAAUUUCCCACCUAAGAUAGUGACCUUAUCCUUGACUGCUUGAUGAGAUACACAAACAAUUAUACCUUCAAAAUCUACUGUGAAGUGCUUCAUGUAUGUGUGAAGUAUUAGAAAUUUCUUUCUUGGCAACUUGUUUUUUCUUUGCCCUCUACUGAUAGGUUUGACUCAAAUUAAAUUCCCUGUCAUGCUAAUUAAUUUUCACGUGCAUGCUCAAAAGGAUCACGUCAACUCUGGUUUCUACUAUUCAGGUCCAUUCCCAGAUAAACUGGUUCAAAUUUGAGAAAAUGGCAACAGCCCUUUAGUGAUGUUGGUUUGGAGCCAGUAGCCAAACCCGCCCUGAGCUUUACCACUAAUGUCAAGGGACAAAGCCAUUUGAACAAAAACAAUAGCUUCAAGAGACUGAAUCGUGGAUGAAAUCUGAUCCACAUUUCUUCUCAUUUUGGGAACAAAUGAGAACUUAACUACAAAGAUUCUACUGCCUCAUAGUGCUUUUCCUGAUCUAAGGUUGGUUCGUUUCCCAAAUUGUGAGGUACGUGCCAUUCUCACGCUCAGGAGUGUAUCCACGUGGUGGACAUAAGAUGGUGGCUUAAUAUCUGGUGUCGGUGGCUUUACUUUACUAGGAGAGUAGUGUGUCUUCAUCUCAUUCACUGCCGGAGGGUGGCGUAAGCAGUGACGCUAAGGUGGGGCACAGUCAAUAUCAUUUGCAUUUGACCAUUAUAGUUUUCUCCCGGCUUGAAAGUAACCUUAUCGUGAUAAAGGAUUACUAGCACUAGUUCAGAUGACAGUCAUGUUAAAUUCGGACCAUGUUUGUGUCACAUUAUCAGCAACCAUGUGUUUAUGGUUCAUGCUAUCUGCAACUAAACUUGAUAUAUAACCACGUGAACUUCAAUCUAAAUUCUGGAAGUACUCUUGUGAUAGAUGGUGCCUGUCUGCAGAGUCCAUCAAUUGAAAAAUGGAGUGAGUGUAUCUAUAAGAGGGAAGGCUUGGCAAAUGUUCAGUUUUCUGGGAACUCAACAAGGAUCUAAAAUAGAUUGUUUUCUUUGCUGAUUUCAAUGGUUGAAAUUUGAGAAGAUUGUGUCCACAUAACACAACUAUUACUGGUCCUUCUGUUGCAAUUUAUCCUCUAAGGCUCUAACAUGUCUUCCAAUUCCCACUUCCCUGUUACUCCAGGAAAGCUAUUUCUGUCAUUGUGAAGAAGAAAAGAGAAUGUACAUAUCGAUGGUUUUAAGUGACUGGGGCAUUCAUAUCAGGUGGUCUGCAGCCAUAUAUGCCACUUUGUGAAGGUUGGAACAGUCAAUCACCAGGCUAUAUUAGUGUGGCCCAGCCACUUCAAUCAAGGACAAGUCUUCAUACUUAAAGUCAAAUUCUGCCUUUAGUCUCAUUAUAAAUUGCUGUUUAAAUAUUAAGCAAACAUUUGUUUAAUGCGAUUAAGACAGUACUAACUCAAUACUUGUUCUAUUUUUGGAUGCAAAUGCUUGAUGGUUUCAUCAUUGGAUGGGAUAAAGGUGCAUUCAUGAUUAUGAAUACUUGUAGUUAUAUUUUCAUUCUCUUUUUUCUCAAUGAGACUUGUUGGCACAAUUUUGCUGUUCAGAAACCUACCUCUCCAUCGAAAAUCAGUUGUGAUUGAUAGUACUGGAUAUAUUCAAGAAAGCUAAAUAUAGAUAGCACCAAAUAUUAUCGAUAUAAAUAGCAUUAACAGCGUACGUAUGUCUCAAUGCUCAUCAGCUAUAAGCAACGGGCAAACACUUACUAUGAGCAACUUGCGUCAAAAUUCCAGAAUAGGACAUAGAAGUGACAGAUCUAUAUAUAUAUAGAACACUGCAUAUGAGUCACAAGAAAGGAAAUUACGGGUGCAUAGCAGCUCUUAUUUUACAUCCUACUCAUACUGAUCAAAGUCACUCAGUUGGGAUGGGUGGGAGUAGGAGGUUUGUGGGGUGGCUUGUGCGGAGGAGUUGGCAGCUUCUUUCCAGGACCUGGUUGCUUCUCUGCUGGAGUUGAAGGAGGCUUAAUCUUCCGAGGUGGCUUGUAUGAGUCUUCAGCAUUCUCAGCAGGAGGGUGACCAGGGUUGUGACCAUAAUGUGGUGGCUUCUCUCCCUUAGGUGGUUUGCCAACUGGGGUUGGUGGCUUGUAUGAGUCUUCAGCAUUCUCAGCAGGAGGGUGACCAGGGUUGCGACCAUAAUGUGGUGGCUUCUCUCCCUUAGGUGGUUUGCCAACUGGGGUUGGUGGCUUGUGUUCUGGGAGUGGCUUCUCCCCCUUGGGAGGUUUUUCCAAUGGGGUUGGUUUGUGUUCAGGAGGUGGCUUCUCCACUGGAGGCUUGUGUUCAGGAGGUGGCUUCUCCACCGGAGGCUUGUGUUCAGGAGGUGGCUUCUCCACCGGAGGCUUGUGUUCAGGAGGUGGCUUCUCGAAUGGGGGAUGCUCAGGGUAAUCAGCAAGUGAGGGGUUGGUGAGAACCACCAUGCCAAGCAACAGGACUAGCAAGUAUGUAGGAGACAUCUUUGGGUUUGGACUUAAGACAGUGGAAAACUGCGAGAAUUCUCUAGCCUUUUAUAGCGGGUCGACCCAGUACUCACAUGACACGUGUCAUUAUGACACAUGUGCCAUGGGGUCGAUUUGGGUCCUACAGUGUUGAAAAGUUGGGCAUUUGAGGUGUGAGCACAACUUUUGGCCUUUGCUUUCUCUACAGCCGCCAUGCUUUUCCCUUUUUUCCUUUUCCUUUUGUUUUCCUCCUGCCUCGUGUUCUCAACUAAACACAAUUAGGUUGUUUAAUUGUUAAAUGAGAUUUUUGUCUGUCAAUCAUAUUAUAUCCUAUCAAGAGAGAACAGAGUGUAAUGUAGUACACAUAACACGAGGCAGUAGUAAUUUUAUCAUUUAUUUUUAUAGCUUGGACCACCGCAUUUUUUCUUCUAAAAUAUUCUGUCUUGUUAAGAGACGCAAUAAUACACAAUUUUAUCUGCCAUUCAACAUUUACUGUAAAGUUCUUUUAUCUCUUUGUAGUUCUAGAAAAGUACAAAAUGGAACAUCAUGUAUAUGGUGCCUUCUGUCCUAAAAAAGAAACUGGACAAAUUAUGAACUGCAUGCUAAAAAGAGGCAAAGGAGCUUAAUUCGCAGCAUAAUUAUUUUGGUUUCUAGAGAGCCCGGGGCCUUUUGGUUGGUUUGGGGUCAGAAAAUGAACAUCAUAGGGAUUGUGCCCUUAACUGGCCUUGUUACUACAAAGAAAUUGCCAUAGAAAUUUAUUCCAGGCUGAGUAUCUCCGGAUAGACCCCAGAAAAGAAGAGUCAUAAUGAGAAUCAACCUUUGUUGAGUUUGAUUCCAUGCCUCCAUUGUGUUCAUUUCAUGAAUCUGAUUUGCAUUUAACAUUACAGUUUUGUUCUGGAAACAAUCAAAGGAGCAUCGUUUGCUUCUUGGGUGACCCAUAGUGGUGGGUGGGUCGAUUUGCUUAGUUGAAAAUUGGACAAUUGGCUCCAUCGCCUACCUCUUGGAUUCCAUGCUCGGAUAAAACGACAACAAAUAAAUAUUUAUAACUUACAACUGGGGAAAGGAAAAAAUAGUACUAAAUUCAUGGUACAUGAUAGUGAGAGAAGGGGGUGUUACACUCAGCUAAAGUUCUUUUCUAAAUAUUGCAUGGUGUUUAAUUUUAUGUGUCGGCGCGCGUGUGAAUGGAACCUGCAAAAGUCCAAAUUGGCGUUUCUCCAUUUUCCACAUAGGAUGGUGACGUUAAUAGACAAAGAUACAAUAUCUGUAGACAUUGCUUAAAAAUCGAUGUGAAGUAUUAGAAAUUACAGGCCACUGUACUGGGGGAGCGGCUGCCCCGCCAAAGGAAGAAUGUAGCAAUUUCUUCUGUUAGCCAGGCCUUAGGAUUUAUGCAUGGGAUGCCUAAUAACAAACAGAGAAAAUAUGCUUUUGGGGAAGGUAUCCAACAACAGACACCAUCAUUCAGAUGGUGGGAAGGUAUCCAACAGAUGCCAUCAUUCAGAUGGUAACAUAUAUAUACAUUUAUUAGUGAGUUUUUUUAAUACCUAUAAAAAAAAUAUACACUUUGAUAUUGUGGCUGAAUCCAUUACAUACUCAACUAACCUUGCUCAUUAGGGAUUUGACGUAACAAGGGCAACGUUGCAGUAAAAGCUCGAAACUUUAUGCAGGUGACAUUACAUUUGGUAAAGAAGAGGAAAAUAAGGAAAGCCAUCCAUAAAAGCAAAAUUCCUCAUGGGAUGAAAUUCACAAACUUCAUUUACGUUAGAGUCGCAUCCAGGCAAUUAAUUCCACAUUAGACCGCCUUUUGACAUGUGUACGGAUCUUUUUUCAAAAAUUAUUUAUAAAUAAUUGAUACUUACAAAAAUAAUUUAAGAUUUAUAAAGGAUAAAAAAAUAUUUUCAAAUCUAUGACAAUUUAUAAAAUAUUAAUAAAAAAUUAUCUCUUAAACUUAGUAUAGUUUUAUCGUAUUAAACUUUUAUUUUGAACAAAUAAUUUUAAUCUAAGUUUUAAAUUCUAAAAUUAUUUCCUUAAAAUAAAAUUUUAAAAUUCAACACUUCAAUUGAAAUUGUCUUUUAAAAAAAAUAUCUUCUUAUUUUAAUCCUUAUAAACUAUAGUUGAUUGAAAAUACUAUUGAAGUUCUCUCUUCAAAAAAAGUCUUAUUUUAAUCUUCAUAAAUUGCCCUUGAUUUGAAAAUAAACUUUGGGUUAUCAUAUUUUAAAUAAUAUAUAUAUAUAUAUAUAUAUAUAUAUAUAUAUAUAACAAAUACUCUAUUUUUUUUUUAAAUGAACUAAUUUUAAUUAUAUUUUAUUUUAUUUUUUUAUAUAUUUUUAAUGAUAAACCAAACAUAGAAAAUCAUUUUUCUAAAUAUUUUAAAAUUUCUAAGCAACCAAACAUAAUCUUCAAAAUAAAAGGAGAAUAAGGAGGGACAAGUGAGAAAUGGCGAUUAAAAAAAAGUGUACAAAAGCUCAAUUAAUUUUCUUCUAGUCUUUUAUAUAAAAAAGUAUUGGUAUGUAAAUUAAUAUUUGGAUUUUAAUAGUAUUUUAUUUGUCUUUCUCUAUCUCAUGUAAAAGAGAAUUUAAGAUAUUUCCUAAAGCAAAGCAUUAGUUAUCUGCAAUCAGUGGUGAUCAUGGUCCAUGUCAAUUUCGGACCCAUAUCUUAAAACCGUAUAAUUUGCGUUUCAACAUUACUGAUUUCUCAGAUGUUUCAUACUCCACAGAAGAGUAUUGUUAGUGAAAGCAUUUUGUAACUGUUACUCAUAGUGUUUUGACUCUGGCUCAACAACAUCAGCCAUUGACGGAUUUUCAUACAUGCAAAUCAAAUAGUCUUCUUCCUCCCUUAGGAAUUUCGGUUUAAAUGUUAUUAAGCAUACAUUUGGCUGACAAUUAUUAACCACUUCAUGAUAUGGUUUCUUACCCUUAAUCAAUGGUUUCUAAGUGAAUAUAUGCAGAAGGAAAUCUGAACUGUAGACAGCAGUAUUGAUAACUCUCAAUAUUCUUUAUAUAAGAGAAUAAACAACGUCAUAGUGAUCGUCGCCUACAAGAAAGGUACAUUUCCCAACAAGAUGUAGUGGUGACUGCUACAUGGACGCAAUUAACUCGUAGAAAAGGAUAAGACCAGUGCACGGCAGCUCUUAUUUUACAUGCUAAUUAUGCUAACCAAAGUCACUCAGUUGGGAUGGGAGGGAGAUGGAGGUUUGUGCGGUGGCUUGUGGGGCGGAGUUGGUGGCUUCUUUUCAGGAGCUUGUGGCUUUUUCGGAGCUGAAGGAGGCUCAAUCUUAUGAGGCGGCUUGUACGAGUCUUCUUUACUCUCGACAGGAGGGUGACCAGGGUUGUGACCAUAAUGUGGUGGCUUCUCUCCCUUAGGUGGCUUGCCAACUGGGGUUGGUGGCUUGUGUUCAGGAAGUUGUUUCUCUCCCUUGGGAGGUUUACCAAUUGGGGUUGGUGGCUUGUGUUCUAGGAGUGGUUUCUCUCCCUUGGGAGGUUUAGUGGGUGACUUGUGUUCUGGAGGUGGCUUCUCCACCGGAGACUUGUGUUCUGGAAUUGAUUAAAAAAAUUCUACCACUCUUUUAAGUAAUGGAAGAUUAUUAUCUCUGAUUGGCACCACAACAGCACAUGCUGCUAGAUCUUUCUAGACACUCCAUGCAAUGAAAGCACAAUGGAUCUUGUAACGAUAGAAACUAAGCCAUGCUACAGUACUAGAUGACGAGGUAAAACUAGUAGACAUGGGUGGUAGUUGAUUACUACUCAAAAAGUACUCUUUUAUAGUUUGAAACUAACUGUUUUAAACACUUUUGAGUAGUAGUUAAUAAAUUUUAACUCAAUUGGCACAUUAAGGAACCUAGCAAGGGUUACUAAUAAACUUUUGGCAAGUUUUGGUGUUUUUGGUAGUUAUUCGAUCAUUGAAACAAGCCAAGAAUGAGGGAGAAUUUUGUGAAGUCCAUGGCAAUGCAAGUUAAAGCUCAAAUACACGAAGAAUCCAAGCUUUGGAGCACUACAUAGCCCUUUGCCAAGCCAAUUAGAGAUGCAAGGAACAAAACCAAAGGAAGAAAUCCAACAACCAACAUUUUCGCAUGGUUGUGUGAAAUUUCGCACACCAUGCGAAACCACAAGAGGUAGCCAAAGAAUUUCACAUGGUAUGCGAAAUCUUCUCAUGCACCGACUCCGUUAGAUUUUUAUCUUCAGAUAUUUUGUGUAAUUUCCUAGUUUCUCCUUGUAACCAACCUAGAUAUUUUCUUUUAUAUCUUUUUUUAUAUUUUUUAGGUAACAUCAUAUAUAAGGGGAGAGACAUAAGGAGGAUAUGGAUGUUUUUCAUAGAACACUUGUAAAUUUUCAGUAGUAAGAAAUAUACAAAGCUUUUUGCUAUGCCUUACCUUCUCAUUUUGUUUUCACCUGUCUUUCUAGCCAAACAACCUCUAAGGAUGAUUUCUCAGGGGAUGAGUGGCUAGGUUUUACGUUUCUUGGAGUGAGGGAAGCUAGGUGAAGGACCUGAAUGCAAAGAUGAGAGUUUUCCUUGCUUUAAAUGAAAGUAGUUGUUAAACAUUAAUGGUUUUUAUUUUAAGGUUUAGCUUUAAAUCCCUUAAAAACACCUUGAAUGACCAAUACUUGGUAAGCUUUUCGGAUUCUAUGGAUGCUUAUUGCUAGAUCCAUGGAUGUCUAUUAGUUAUCAUUUACGAGCCUUUGGAAGGUGAUUCAAGGUGAGGGUCUUUAGUGUUUGAAGCCAUUAAUGGGAAGCAAUUACCAUUUUUUCAUGAAUCCUUUGGAUCAAAUCUUAAUUGCUAAAUAUAAAACCGAUUUGGGAAAUAACCAUCCUUUAUGUUAUUAUCCCCAACGCAAGGAGAAGAUCCGGAAUCUUCCCUUUUGUCUAAGGAACCCGAUCCUAGUGACCUAAAGCUCCAAGAGACCUUUUCUUUGUAGUUAACUUCAUUUAUUGUUUUUGCUUAACUUAAAAUCAAUCUUUGCAACCACAAUUCCAUUUUCUUUAAAAGCUAAUUUUUAUAAGGAAAAACACCAUUUUAUUUCCUUCACUAAGUCAACUGUACGAUGAAAACCCAUCCCUGUGGACGAUCCUAGAGCCAUUAUACUAUGUUAGCUAUGCUACCCUAGUGUGAGGUGAUUUAGGUUUUAUAAAUUUUGUUGAUAACACCCAUCUGAGCCAGAAUCAAAUGGCACAACUGAACCAGGGACGAAUCAAAUGGCGCCGCUAUCGAGGAUGGUGCCAAAGUACAUUGACAUGACUUUUGGUGAACACUUGUGAUCUUCAUCACAAGUUUGGUGAUUUUUCUAUUACUAAUUUUUUUCUUUGUUUUUAUUUUAGCUUAUCUUUUAUUUAGUUUUUAGCUAACCUUAACUUUUUCUUAGAAUUGUAUUUCUUCUAUUUUCUUUGUUUUUGUUUCAGUGAUCUUUAGUUGUGCAUGCCCUAUUGGAUAAGAAAUAUUGAGGGAAUACUUGUGAAGAUUGAAAAUCCUCGAGAAACUGAGUUGGAAGUGUGAUUGAACAUCAUGGAUGUUCCACCUGAAGACCAGAAUAGCCAACAUGGUUAAGAGGAUAAUUUCAAAGCAUACCGAUCCAUGAGGGACUGCAUGCAUCCACCUCGUAUGAGUGCACCGUCAUGCAUAGUGCCUCCCACUGAGCAACUAGUAAUCUGACCUCACAUUGUGCCACUCCUACCUACUUUCCAUGGGAUGGAGAGUGAGAAUCUCUACUCGCAUAUUAAGAAAUUCGAGGAGGUUUGUAAUACAUUCCAAGAAGGAGGAGCUUCAAUUGACUUGAUGAGGCUCAAGCUAUUUCCUUUCACUUUGAAGGAUAAGGCUAAGAUUUGGCUUAAUUCUUUAAGGCCAAGGAGUAUCCGAACUUGGACUAAUUUGCAAGCCGAUUUUCUUAAGAAGUUCUUCCUUACCCAUAGGACCAAUGGUUUGAAAAGGCAAAUUUCGAACUUCUCAGCUAAAGAGAAUGAGAAAUUCUAUGAGUGAUGGGAGAGGUACAUGGAAGCUAUUAAUGCUUGUCCUCACCAUGGCUUUGACACAUGGCUCUUAGUGAGUUAUUUUUACGAUGGUAUGUCUUCUUCAAUGAAGCAACUCCUAGAAACUAUGUGUGGAGGAUACUUCAUGAGUAAGAAUCCGAAGGAAGCCAUGGACUUUUUGAGUUAUGUGGCUGAAGUUUUAAGAGGAUGGGAUGAACCAAAUGCUAGAGAGGUGGAAAGAAUGAAGUCUCAACCUAAUGCUAAGGGUGGGAUGUAUGUUUUGAAUGAAGACAUUGACAUGAAAGCAAAGGUUGUAGCUAUGGCAAGGAGAUUGGAAGAGCUAGAAAUGAAGAAGGCACAAAAAGUGGAAGCCAUUUCUGAGACAUCAGUGCAAGCUAUGCCUUGUUCCAUUUGUCAACCUAAUGCUAAGGGUGGGAUGUAUGUUUUGAAUGAAGACAUUGACAUGAAAGCAAAGGUUGUAGCUAUGGCAAGGAGAUUGGAAGAGCUAGAAAUGAAGAAGGCACAAAAAGUGGAAGCCAUUUCUGAGACAUCAGUGCAAGCUAUGCCUUGUUCCAUUUGUCAAUCUUAUGAGUACCUAGUGGAGGAGUGUCCUACAAUUCCAGUAGUGAGAGAGAUGUCUGGUGAUCAAGCAAAUGUUAUUGAUCAAUUCAAGCCUAAUAAAAAUGCUUCAUAUGGCAACACCUACAAUUCAAAUUGGAUGAACCAUCCAAAUUUCUCUUGGAAACCAAAGCUACCUCAAUACACACAACCUGCUCAAGCACCUUAGCAAUCCUCGAAUCUUGAACAAGCUAUUGUGAACCUUAGUAAGGUUGUGGGAGAUUAAAAGUCCAUCAAUGCUCAACUGAAUCAGAGAAUUGACAGUGUAGAGAGUACAUUGAACAAAAGGAUGGAUGAGAUGCAAAAUGAUCUGUCUCAAAAGAUAGACAAUGUCCAAUAUGCAAUCUCAAGGCUUACCAACCUCAACACAGUGCAAGAGAAAGGAAAGUUUAUUUCUCAACCUCAUCAAAAUCCCAAGGGUAUCCAUGAAGUGGAGGCUCAAGAGAGAGAAUCUUCAAAGGUGAGGGAAGUCAAAGCAGUUAUCACCUUGAGGAGUGGUAAAGAGGUUGAUCAACCCACAUCCAAGCCAAAGCAUAAUGAAGAGAGUUUUGUAGAAAAAGAAAAGAGAGGAAAAUAAAGGAAAGAGAAUAGAGAAAAGUACAAAGAAAGAUGACCAUGAGUCUAGUGUGGAUGAAGAGCCCAAGAGGAUAGUGAUCAAGGAAAAUAUGAUGAAGAAACACAUGCCUCCACCUUUCCCCUAAGCUUUGCAUGACAAAAAAGGAACCAAUAAUACAUCGGAAAUUUUUGAAGUAUUGAGGCAAGUGAAGGUCAAUAUCCCUUUGCUAGAGAUGAUCAAACAAGUGCCGACAUAUGCAAAAUUCUUGAAGGACUUGUGCACUGUAAAGAGAGGGUUGAAUGUGAACAAGAAAGCUUUCUUGACCGAGCAAGUGAGUUCCAUCAUACAGUGCAAGUCUCCAGUGAAGUACAAAUAUCCGGGCUACCCUACCAUCUCAGUGAGUAUUGGAGGUACUUGUGUGGAAAAAGCUUUGUUGGACUUGGGAGCAAGUGUGAAUUUGCUACCCUACUCUGUCUAUAAGUAGUUGGGACUUGGAGAGUUGAAGUCAACAUCCAUCACCCUAUCUCUGGCAGAUAGAUCAGUGAAGAUUCCAAGAGAGAUGAUAGAAGAUGUCUUGGUUCAAGUUGACAAAUUCUACUAUCCAGUGGAUUUUGUUGUUCUUGAUACGGAUCCGAUUGUCAAAGGAACUAAUUAUGUUCCUAUCAUACGAAGACCCUUCCUAGCUACAUCAAAUGCAAUCAUCAAUUGUAGGAAUGGAGUCAUGAAACUCACGUUUGUCAACAUGACAUUAGAGCUCAACAUCUUCCAUUUGUACAAGAAGCAUAUCCAUUCAGAAGAAAAAGAAGGUCUAGAGGAAGUGUGCAUGAUUGACACUUUAGUGGAGGAGCAUUGUGAUCGACAAUGCAAGAAGAUUUAGUUGAGAGUUUUGGGGAUCUUGAUGAAGGGUUACUUGAACCCUCAGAUUUGCUUGCUACCCUACUCCAUUGGAGGAAGAGAGAAGAAAUUCUACCCUUAUUCAAUGAGGAGGAGACACAAAGAGCUGCUAAAGAUAAGCCCCCAAAGCUUAUUCUUAAGCCACUACCCACAGAGUUGAAGUAUGCAUACUUGGAAGAAGACAAGAAGUGCACUGUUGUUAUAUCUUUAGCUCUUACCAUUCAUCAGGAGGAUUGUCUACUUGAAGUCCUUAGAAGAAGUAAGAAGGUAAUAGGGUGGCAAAUUUCUGAUUUGAAAGGGAUCAGCCCUUUUGUCUGCACCCAUCAUAUUUACAUGGAGGAUGAAGCUAAGCCAAUUCAUCAACCUCAGAGAAGGUUGAACCCUCACAUGCAAGAAGUGGUGAGAGUUGAAGUUCUUAAGCUACUUUAGGCUGGUAUUAUUUACCCCAUAUCAGAUAGCCCAUGGGUGAGUCCUACUCAAGUUGUGCCAAAGAAGUCGGGGAUCACGGUGGUGCAAAAUGAUAAGGGAAAAGAUGUCUCUACAUGUCUCACUAUAGGUUGGAGGGUGCGUAUCAAUUACAGGAGGUUGAAUGUAGUGACAAGGAAUGACCAUUUCUCGUUGCCCUUUAUUGAUCAAGUGCUUGAGAGGGUCUCUGGGCAUCCUUUUUAUUGUUUCUUGGAUGGCUACUCGAGGUAAUUUAAGAUAGAAAUUGAUGUUGAAGACCAGGAGAAGACCAUUUUCACAUGCCCAUUUAGAACCUAUGCAUAUAGGAGAAUGUCUUUCGGCUUAUGCAAUGCACCCACAACUUUCCAAAGAUGCAUGUUAAGCAUUUUCAAUGAUAUGGUGGAGCAUAUUAUGGAAGUCUUUAUGGAUGAUAUCACCAUAUAUGGAAGUGCAUUUGAUGAAUGCUUGGUCAACUUAGAAGUUGUUCUGAACCGAUGCAUUGAGAAAGACUUAGUGCUUAAUUGGGAGAAGUGCCAUUUCAUGGUACACCAAGGGAUUGUCCUUGGGCACAUCAUCUCCAAGCAAAGCAUUGAAGUUGACAAAGCAAAGGUUGAACUCAUUGUUAAGUUGCCAUUCCCAACAAAUGUCAAAGGAGUAAGGCAAUUCCUUGGCCAUGCCGGGUUCUAUAGGAGGUUUAUCAAGGAUUUCUCUAAGCUUGCAAGGCCUCUUUGUGAAAUAUUGGUGAAGGAUGUUAAAUUCAUAUGGGAUGAUAGAUGCCAAAGGAGUUUUGAAGAAUUGAAGCUAUUUUUGACAACCUCACCAAUAGUGAGGGCUCCCAACUAGCAACUGCCCUUUGAGGUAAAGUGUGAUGUCAAUGACUUUGCUAUAGGAGCUGUUCUUGGGCAAAGAGAAGAUGGAAAACCUUAUGUGAUCUACUAUGCGAGCAAGACAUUGAAUGAGGUGCAAAGAAACUACAUAACCACCGAGAAAGAAUUGUUAGCUGUAGUUUUUGCCUUGGAUAAGUUUCGUGCUUACUUGGUGGGAUCCUUCAUCGUGGUUUUUAUUGAUCACUUUGCUUUGAAGUAUCUAUUGACUAAGCAAGAUGCUAAAGCAAAACUGAUUAGAUGGAUUUUCUUGCUUCAAGAGUUCAAUCUCCAGAUCAAAGACAAGAAAAAAAUGGAGAAUGUGGUAGUAGACCACAUUUCAAGGCUAGCUAUCGCACAUAAUUCCCAUGCUUUGCCCAUUAAUGACGAUUUUCUAGAGGGGUCUCUCAUGUUGGUGGAAGUUGUCCCUUGGUACGCUCACAUUGCUAACUACCUGGUCACAAGAGAAGUUCCAAGUGAGUGGAAAGCACAAGAUAAGAAGCACUUCUUUGCAAAAAUUCAUGCCUACUAUUGGGAAAAGCCAUUUCUAUUCAAGUAUUGUGCGGAUCAGAUAAUAAGGAAGUGAGUUCCUGAAGAAGAGCAACAGGGGAUCCUCAGUCAUUGCCAUAAAAAUGCAUGUGGAUGCCACUUUGCUUAUCAGAAGACAACCAUGAGGGUGCUGCAAUCGGGUUUCUGUUGGCCAUCACUUUUCAAAGAUGCCCACACCAUGUGCAAGAGUUGUGAUCGAUGCCAGAGGCUUGGGAAGUUAUCAUGUAGGAACAUGAUGCCUUUGAACCCCAUUUUAAUAGUUGAUCUUUUUUAUGUUUGGGGCAUUGACUUCAUGGGACUUUUCCCUAUAUCUUUUGGCUACUCUUACAUCUUGGUGGGAAUAGAUUAUGUUUCUAAGUGGGUUGAGGCAGUCCCAUGCAAACACAAUGACCAUAGAGUGGUUCUCAAGUUUCUUAAGGAGAACAUCUUCUCAAGAUUUGGGGUGCCCAAAGCCAUAAUUAGUGAUGGGGGUACUCAUUUUUGCAACAAGCCUUUUGAAACUCUCCUAGCCAAGUAUGGGGUGAAGCAUAAGGUAGCUACACCUUACCACCCUCAAACUAAUGGGCAAGUUGAGUUAGCAAACAAGGAGAUUAAAAACAUAUUGAUGAAGGUGGUGAACACAAACAGAAAAGAUUGGUCAGUCAAGCUCUUCGAUUCACUAUGGUCAUGUAGAACAGCUUACAAGACCAUUAUCGGGAUGUCUCUUUAUCACCUAGUCUAUGGAAAAAAUGCCAUCUCCUUGUGAAAUUGGAAUACAAAGCUUGGUGGUCAAUCAAGAAGCUCAACAUGGAUUUGAGCAGAGCUGGGUUGAAGAGGUUCUUAGACCACAAUGAGAUGGAGGAAUUGAGAAAUGAUGCCUACAUCAAUUCAAAAAUUGUAAAAGAAAAAUUGAAGAGGUGGCAUGAUCAGUUGAUUUCCCGCAAGAAUUUUCAAAAUGGAUAAAGAGUCUUGCUCUAUGACUCUAAACUCCACAUCUUUCCGAGCAAGCUGAAAUCAAGGUGGAUAGGUCCUUUUACCAUUCACCAAGUGCAUUCAAAUAGAGUAGUGGAACUACUCAACUCCAACAACAUCGGGAGCUUCAAAGUGAAUGACCAUUGUCUCAAGCCCUUUGUAGAGUCUUUUUUCUCGCGACAAGGAGGAAUUCAUCCUCCUUGAUCCACAUCAAGCUUGACAAGACCAGUUUUUUUUUAUGGACUUAGUCUUUCUAAAGACUAUCGAGUCCAUAACUUUUUAUUUUAUUUUUUAUUUGAGAGUUUUUCGGUAUUAUUACUUGUUUUGUUUUUUAUUUUUCGUUUUACUUUUAUUUGGUUUGAUUUAACUUAGAUUUUUUAUGAUCAAUUGCAGGGGGGAUUUCAAAUAGAGGAAAAACCAAGAUAAUUCGCACACCCUGCGAAAAUUUCGCAAGGCAUGCGAAAUUUAUGGCUCAUUUCGCAUGGGAUGCGAAAUUUCGCACACCCUACGAACCAAUUUCGCACACUUUGUGAAAAUAAACCAACCCUACGAAAUCAUUUCAAAUACUCUACGAAAUUUUCGCAGAGCAUGUAAAAAAUUUCGCAGACCAAACACCAUUUCGCAUACUAUGCGAAAAUGUAAGGGGUCUACAAAACCAUUUCGCACCUCCAAAGCCAUUUCGCACAUUGUGCAAAAAUGAAAAGUCGCCCUAUCAUCCAUUUUUAAACCCCUUGAGCCCUGAAAUCCCCAUUUCGCAAGCACCCCUGUCCUUGCGAAUCCCUCAUUUUCCUCUGCCACCUUGCGACCUUGUCCCUCUCCAUUUGAUAUCGUGCCCUGCGCACAUCUCAUUUCAAAGACUCGCACUCUGCGCCCUCUCAAAGCACGAACCCAAGGCUCACAUUCCAUUUCCGACAUGGCACAGACCCGAGGAGCCCUUCCCGCCCCUUCAUCGAGACGCACACCAAGGUAGAGAGCCUCUUUUGCUCAGAUGCCAAGUGAUUCUCCAUUUCAGGCCACGGAGGCCCUGCGGAUUCCACAUUCCAAGGGUAGAACAGCCACUGGUCCUUCCUCUUCUAUUCCUCAGCGUAGAUAUGAGACGAGGAGACCACCUACUACACAAAGGGCGACUACUUCGCGCCAUGAGAAUUCGGUACGACACCCUCCUGCCAAGAGGGCCAGGACUUCAGGCCCAGGCGAGUCAUCCAAAGCUUCACAGCCUGAGCCUCCUGCAGAUUCCGAGGUUCCUACUGACAUAUCAUCGGAGUCUAUUAUCAAACGCCCGAUGCUCACAGCACCGCCCAUUGAGGGCAACUCUGAUUGUAGAGCGAGACCUUUCCACUUGGAGCUAUAUUUUAAUUAAGAGGCCAUGCCACAGCAGCCUGAGCUCCAAGACUCUUAUGGCUUACUACAGAGGUACCAUCUUGAGGACCUUAUGACUCCUCGUGAGUUCUUUUAUCCCAGAGUAGCACUAGACUUUUACCAGUCCAUGACUACUCGUGGCGUCCCGAGUCCUACCGCGAUGCACUUCACCAUUAAUGGACGUCAUGGUAUCCUCGAGGCCAGACAUAUUGGAGAGGCUCUACAGAUUCCUUUCGAGCUAGAGGACCCAUCUGUUUUCUGCCAAUGGUCCCCAAUAUCUCAGAGGGACAUGGUCCAUAUUUUAUCCAGGGGGACAUCUACAUAUUCGAUCCUUCUACGGAAGGAGCUUCGACCUGGGAUACUCCUCGUAGAUGUGGUGCUACUUUCCAACCUCUUUCCCUUUUAGCAUUCGAUACAUAGGCGAGGAGCUAUUUUGGACGCUUUAUUCUGUAUAUCAGAGGGCUUCUACUUUGGCCCGCACCACUUGAUCAUGGUUUCCCUCAUCCAUUUUGAGGAGAAGGUCCAUAGAAAGAAGCUUCAGAGGGCGAACACCAUUCCAUUACUAUUCCCGAGGUUGCUCUACUAGAUCUUGGAGUACAUGGGCUUUCCUACUGAGCCUCGGCUUGUGUGCCGCCGCCUUUGUCAAGAGCGAUCCACUCUCGACAAAUGGAAUCAGUUGGCGGGCUAUUCUACACCUCCAGGAGCCCCUCCCAUGGUAGCACCUCUAGUGUCCCCACAGGCAGAGUAGGGCAAGCUCCCGGUAGAGACUGCACCCCUAGUGCCCACACCUGAGGCUACUUCUGCUGUUCCGCCUACGACUCCUACUGUUCCACCAGUUGGUCCUUUUACAUCUGAGUCUUCCAUCAACAUCUCGACUUCGGAGUUUCGCGCCCUUGUGCAUACCUUUCAGACACUCACCACCACACAUACUGCUCUCUUCUAGAAAAUGGCUGAGAUGCGUGCCCAUCAGGACCAGCAGACUACUAUACUCCGCCAAAUUCAACAGCACCUGGGACUUCUGCCUCUGCCUCAGCUUGACCUUCCCACAUCAUCAGAGCCUCUAGCUCCAGUUGAGGAUACUAUUCCACCUGAGGACACUACCACAGUAGAGGUUCAGAUUCCACCACCUCAGGAGGCCACCACAGCUACAUUAGAGGAUGCAUCAUCUCCACCUGAGGCUCCCACUACUUGAUCAUAGGACAUCUCUUUAUCUUAUUGUAUUUACAUAUUAUAUUACUGGAGAUUUGUCUUUGUUUUGAUACUUUAUAUUCUGGCAUUGAAUGUAUUGCCUAAUGAUAUCUCAAUUGUACUUUCUCAUAUUAAUAUAUAGACAUCAAUUUUUUUUAGUAUACUUAGGAUUUUUCUAUUUACUCUACUCAUUACUCUUUUGUUUUUUUUUUUUUACUCAUGUGGUUUCUCCUAUACGACUCAGACUCCAUUUCACUCAGGAGGUACCACUUCUUCCCUUUAUUUUCAAUUGCUCUUGAAACAUUGAGGGCAAUGUUGAUCUUGGUUGGAGGGAGAGUUGAGGAAGGAAGUGAUUACUACUCAAAAAGUGCUAUUUCAUAGCUUGUAAUUAACUCUUUUAAAACACUUUUGAGUAGUAGUUAUCACCUUUUAACCCAAUUAACAUAUUAAGGACCCUUGCAAUCAAUUCUAAUCAAAUUGUGUUAAGUUUUGGUAUUUUGAUAGCUUUUUUAUCACCAAAGCAAUCCGAGAUUGAGGAUAUUUAUUUGGAAUCCAUGGCAAAAGAUGUUUGGACAGGACGUCCGGACACACCAUCGGAGGGCGGCGGAACGUGGGCUGUGGCAGGCUGUCGGAAUGACGUAGCAAGGCUUGUGCACUUUAGCCAAUGAUCGGGAUAACAUAUCCGAAAUUCUGCUCCGCCGACAUUCCACCCGGAUGUCUCACAUCCGGAAUUCUGCUCCGCCGACAUUACACCCAGAUGUCUCACAUCCAAAAUUCUUCUCCGUCGACAUUCCAUCCGAAUAUUUCACAUCCGACGCUUGACGCCGGAUGGGAGAGGAGGGCGUUUCAACUUCCCCGGUCAGACAUAUCCGAAUCCUUUGAUAACGCUUACCCGGAGAGUUUCGCAGCCAUUUUGCACAGUGCCGCGGUGUUCUCUUGAAGCUUCCCGAUAUGUGCGACCGACAUUUUGAGAUAUUUUGCUUUAGAUAUUUGAUGUCUAAAUCCCCAAACUCUCCUUGUAACCCACCAAUUAUAGGAUUCCUUAGUUAUUAAGUUUGGAAAAAUGGUGAAUAACCCCUUAUAUAUAGUUUGCAAUUUUCAUAAAAAAGAUAUGUAGAAUCUCGGGAGCUUGUUCCCAGAGAGACGCAUCCUUUGUACAGUUUUGGAAGGAAGUAAAAUACAGAGCACUUGCUCUGCUUUUCAUAUAUAUUUUUGUUUUCUCGUUCUUUUUAUUUCUAGCCAAUCAAAGUCUGAGGAUUUUUCCUCAGAGGAUGAGAGGCUAGGCUCUUCGUCUCUUGGAGUGAAGAAAACUAGGUAAGUUUCCACAUGCAUAAAUUGAAAGUUUUGUUGUUUUAGUUUUUAAUGAAGAGAAAGUGUGACCCGUUAAUGGUUUUUAUCUUUUUAGUUAACUUAAAACGCCUUUAAAUCACCCGGGCCAACACUUGAUAAGGCAAGUGGUCUCCAUCCAUUGAGAUGCACUAGUUUAUCUCUUGCGAGCCUUUGGGAGGUGGUUUGAAGGUAGGAUUUUCUAGAAUAACCAACACUUGAUAAGCUUUUGGACUCUAAGGAGACAUCCAUUAGUUAUCUCUUGCGAGCUUUUGACGGGUAAUCCAAGGUUAAAGAUCACCUUGAAUGGCAAGUACUAGGUGAGAGGUAUGAGCCAUUGCAAGAUGCAUUAGUGAGAGGGAUUUAGUGUUUGAACCCAUUAAAGGGAAGCAUCUGUACCACACCGGUUCGGGAAAUAACUAUAUGUUAAAUCCCCAAUGAGAGGAAAAGAAACAAGUGACCGGAACUCCCUUUUUGUAUAAGGAACCUGAGCCUAGUGAUCUAAACUCCAAGAAACACUUUUCUUUGUAAGUAAAAUCAGUUACUAUUUUUGGUUAGUUUAAAACCAAACCUUUUUCAUUCAAACAUCUUUAUGUUUUCUUUUAAAGCUAACCUUGAAAUGAAAAGGCACCAAUUCAUAUUUGAAUUAAUAUCAAUUGUGAAGUGAAAACCCAUCCCAGUGAACGAUCCUAGAGCCACUAUGCUAUAGUAGCUUUGUCUUUGCUACCCUAGUUCAUGGUUUAAUAGGUUAUAAAUUUUGUUGAUUACUCCCACAAUCAAAGGAGCACCAGUUGGACAUGAAUCAACUGAGACACUAAUUGGGCACAAAUCAGGAAGUUUUGUUAAUAAUGCUAGGUUAAUUUGUUAAUUUAGUUACUUUCUGCUUAAUUUUAAAAGUUUUCACUUUACUUUCCAUAGUUAUUAAGGAAAAAUUCUCAAAAUGAAAUGGGAGAAAUUGAAUUCUUACAUUUUUACUUGAAUUUUAGAAUUUGUAUUAUGCUUAUUGAAGCUGAUGAAUUAUUGAAACUCCUAUUGAAUUCAACCUUAUUUCUUCCACUUUAAUCUUACCACACACGGUGCACAUUAGGUUCCGAUUAUAAGAGGUGCGUUCUUAGCCUAUUGGAGGUUGGUCAAUUUGUUAAAGUUUGAGAAAGAUCUAGGUUAGGGGAGAGAGAAUAGUCUGACAUACUAUAAUCGAAAACUAAUAAACUUAACACUUAGAUCUUUGUGGAAGAGUAAGGAUUGGACCUUUGGGAGUGGAAAUUCGUUUGAUGCUUAAAUUUGCAUAAUGCUUACACUUUAUAAAUUGUGAUUAGGCAAGAGAUUUGAUGACUCUUGUUCAAGGUUGGGUUUUGCCUCUUUGAUGUUCCAUGAGAGAGUAUAAUCCUCAUCAUGCCACUUGAAAUUUUUUUUGGAGUGAUUAACAUGAUUUUGUAAAUUACUUUACUGUCUAUUUUUUUUUUAUCUCUCCUUCAUUGCUAAUGGACUAGCAAUAUGUCAGUUGAGGGGAGUGAUUACUACUCAAAAAGUACUCUUUUAUAGCUUGAAACUAACUGUUUUGAACACUUUUGAGUAGUAGUUAAUACCUUUUAACUCAAUUGGCACAUUAAAGAACCUAGCAAGGGUUACUAAUUAGUUUUUGGCAAGUUUUGGUGUUUUUGGUAGCUAUUUGAUCAUUGAAACAAGCCAAGAAUGAGGGAGAAUUUUGUGAAGUCCAUGGCAAUGCAAGUUAAAGCUCAAAUACAUGAAGAAUCCAAGCUUUGGAGCACUUCAUAGCCCUUUCCAAAGCCAAUCAGAGAUGCAAGGAAGAAAACCAGAGGAAGAAAUCCAACAAUUAGCAUUUUCGCAUGGCUGUGCGAAAUUUCGCACACCAUGCGAAACCACAAGAGGCAGCCAAAGAAUUUUGCACACUAUGCGAAAUUUCGCAUGGUAUGCAAAAUCUUCUUGUGCACCAACUCCGUUAUAUUUUUAUCUCAAAUAUUUUGUGUAAUUUCCUAGUUUCUCCUUGUAACCAACCUAGAUAUUUUCUUUUAUAUAUUUUUUAGGUAACAUCAUCUAUAGGGGGAGAGACAUAAGGAGGAUAUGGAUGUUUUUCAUAGAACACUUGUAAAUUUCCGGUAGUAAGAAAUAUACAGAGCUUUUUGCUCUACCUUACCUUCUCAUUUUGUUUUCACUUGUCUUUCUAGCCAAACAACCUCUGAGGAUGAUUUCUUAGGGAAUGAGUGGCUAGGUUUUACGUUUCUUGGAGUGAGGGAAGCUAGGUGAAAGACCCGAAUGCUAAGGUGGGAGUUGUCCUUGCUUUAAAUGAAAGUAGUUGUUAAACAUUAAUGGUUUUUAUUUUAAGGUUUAGCUUUAAAUCCCUUAAAAACAUCUUGAAUGGUCAAUACUUGGUAGGCUUUUUGGAUUCUAUGGAUGCUUAUUGCUAGAUCCCUGGAUGUCUAUUAGUUAUCAUUUAUGAGCCAUUGGAAGGUGGUUCAAGAUGAGGGUCUUUAAUGUUUGAAGCCAUUAAUAGGAAACAAUUACCAUUCUUUCAUGAAUCCUUUGGAUCAAAUCUUAAUUGCUAAAUAUAAAACUAGUUCGGGAGAUAACCAUCCUUUAUGUUAUUAUGCCCAACGCGAGGAGAAGAUUCGGAAUCUUCCCCUUUGUCUAAGGAACCCGAUCCUAGUGACCUAAAGCUCUAAGAGACCUUUUCUUUAUAGUUAACUUCACUUAUUGUUUUUUCUUAACUUAAAAUCAAUCUUUGCAACCACAAUUCCAUUUUCUUUGAAAGCUAAUUUUCAUAAGGAAAAUCACCAUUUUAUUUUCUUCCCUAAGUCAACUGUACGAUGAAAACCCAUUCCCAUGGACGAUCCUAGAGCCACUAUACUAUGUUAGCUAUGCUACCCUAAUGUGAGGUGAUUUAGGUUUUAUAAAUUUUGUUGAUAACACCUGUUUGAGCCAGAAUCAAAUGGCGCAACUGAACCAGGGACGAAUCAACAACUUAUAUGGGAGGGACACAAGUUUAAUUGAUUUGCAUUUCAACGUUAUAUAUAGGUAUGUUUUGGAAGAUUUGUUCUGGAAAUACUGCACCAAGUACGAUUCUUUUUGUCUUGAGUGGGUCUACUUGCAUGCCAAUUAACGAGUGGAAAAGUAGGAGCACCUACCUCAUGCUCGCGGAACCGAAGGUCAGUGAAGUGGGGCUCCUUUUGGCCUCUUGUGUUUCUAUUCCAACCAAGGCGGCGUAAGGAAAAACAACAAUAUGUUUGUGCUAAAUAUCAACGCAUGAUAGAUGUUUUUGUUUUUUGGUAUGUCAAGGCUAAUGAAUGAAAUGCUUUAGCUUGUUUUGUGACUGGAACUGCAAAUGUCCAAAUUGGAGUAUCUCCAUUUCUCACUUCGGAUGGUUAACUUAUAAACAAGAUAUAGGAAACAUGUGAACAUCUUGAGGAACAAUUUGAAUUAUUCAUUAGAAGUCCUGGGUUGAGUUCCAAGAUUUAAAUUAGACCCCUCUAGCAGCUUCAGGGGUACCUAGCAACCUAUAGCAUAUUAAUGAAGAUUUAGGAUUUAGACUCUAGAAUACAAAUUAAUAUGUAUCUCAUGCUUUGACUAGCUUCCCUACAUAUGCACAAAAUGGAGAUGACCUAAAAAAAUAGCAGAAUCUAGCUUCCCUACAUAUGCACAAAAUGGAGAUGACCCAAAAAAUAGCAGAAUUUCCUUAGUUUCUGUGGUUAAGGUGAUUCUCCGCUUAAUAUCACAUUGACUCAUUAUGCAAAAUCAACUGAGCUAAUUUUGUUUAUUUAUUUAAUGUCAAAUAGGAACUCCUAAUUAACCUAACCCUUGGCCUGUGUAAAUUGAUUUCACAUGCCCAAUGUUGAAGUAGAAGUCCAUAUUUUGAAUUUUAUUUUUGUAAAGGUAAGGAAAAUGAAGCAUUGUGUAAUUAUAAAAAUAACUUCAUUGGAAUUCACAAGGUUCACCCAAAAUGGAGCUACAUCCGUAUUCUAUCCUGCAGUAGACUAUAUAGAUUGUACAAUAGUAAAUUGCAAAUACAAUUAAUAAGUCUUGUGCUUCCUUACUAAUAAUCCUUUGACAUGAACAUUGCAGCACUAAGGUCCUCUUGGGAAGACACCUUGCACCCAUGAGAGCACGAAGAGGAAGCAAGGCAGAGUCAUGGGUGCAAUGUCAUGACUUGUUGUUGCACCAAGAGAGGCUUGGUGAUGGCAUGGUGUUGCAGUAGCAAGAAUGUUGCCUUGGUAGGGACAUAAUCUAGGGAUAGAUGCCAAGAAAGGCUUAGCACUCACAUGAGUUGCACAAAGAUGAAUGUAAUAGAGCAUCAGAGAGACGUCUUGGCAAGUAAAUGAAUGGAUCCAAGAGGCAACAACAUGAGGAGUUUCAAAUGGAUAAGGAAUGAGUCAAAGACAUUUGAAAGCUACAAGUUGGAUUCUAAUUACGAUUGCAAUUUGAGUUUGAGUAGGAGUUUAGAUUCUGAUUGUAAUUGUAGUAUGAGUUGGACUAGGAUUGCUUAUCCCUAGUCAAAAUAGGAGUGGUUCGUGUCACACCCUAUGAAAAGAGUUUGAGUAGGGACUAGGAUUGCUUACUCCUAGUCAAAUAUGGAGUAGGUGGUGCCACACCUAUAAAAAAAAAGGGACAACAUGAGAGAGAGAGAGAGAGAGAGAGAGAGAGAGAGAGAGAGAGAGAGAGAGAGAAAGAGAUAAUGAAUUCACUAAAGAUAUUGUGGGAGUUUUUCUUUGUUACGUCUUGUAUUAUUACUUAGAAUAGGAAUAAAAUACAAGUUUGGGCUAGAGCCCCAUAAUUAAUCUCGUGUGCCUUUGUGGUUAUUCUUUAUUUGUCAUCUCGUGUGGAUUGGAUUACAUUGACUUAGAGGGCUUCUAAGCACCACCUUUGUGGGUUAUUAUUUAUUUUCCAUUUCUUGUGGAUUAGAUUAGGUUGACUUUGAGGGCUUUUAAGCACCACCUUUGUGGGUUAUUCUUUAUUUUCCAUAUCGUGGGGAUUGGAUUAGGUUGACGAUGAGAAAAAUUAUGUGGGAAAUUUGUGUUGGGACACUUAUCAUAACCAGGUAAAAUCUGCCAAGUCCUUUGUAAUAUCUUCAACAAAUAUUUCAGACUAGUUCUUCACCAUAAACAUCAUAUUGUGUUUUGUUUUUCUCCUGGAUUCUGAGUUGAAUUGUUUCAAGUCAAUUGAAUGCAUCUGAAUAUUAUUAGCUUGUUUGAAGGCCUGGUGAUUUUCCAUUUAACUUUACUUUCUUUAGGUUAUGCUCACUAUAAGAAAAAUGAGAAAUAAUGACGCUUUUUACGCGUUAAGAAAGGCAACAGAUGAUGCUUCUCUAAAGCGUCCUCUUCGGCUCUGUCAUUAUAUGUGUUAGCCAAUAAUGACGCUUCUAGGAAGUGCCAUCUUUGAAUAAUGUUAAUAACGACACUCGUAAAAAGUGUCAUCUUUAAACAUAUUCUGGUCAAAUAAUUUUUACAAAAUUAGUAAUCUUCAAGCCGUUUCUGAAUCAUAUCUGAGCCUAUUUCUGGGGACCAGAAAACCAUCUUUUUUCCAUUCGCCUGAGAGGUCUGAUUAGCAUUUCUGGAAUCAAUCUCUAAACCCAAGCUUCCCUCAUCUACCCAUUUAACCCUCAUGCCCUCCUGUUUGAACAACUUUCCCACUAUAUACACAAAUUUUUUACCUUCUGUUGUUGGUAUUCGACCUCUUCCCAUUCCCAGCACAGAAUCCACCAUUAGUGCCACUUUGUGAAUAAAAUCAUCGAACCAGAUCUUUCGGGCGGAAGAUGAGCUCCAGAGAAAUAAAAUUUUUGGGGUCUUCCCAGCAUGAAAGUCAUAGGUAGCAUUAAUGACAUCAAGAAAUGGGGCACUGUUGAGAAAAAACAUGUUCCCAUCAACCACCCAAGAAUUGUACCAGACUCCAAACACUUCUGGAUUACAUAUGCCUUUACUAAGAUAUAUUUCUUGAUCUCCAUAUCAGAAUCUUGGAGACUCUUCAUUUUAUGAGCUCUGACACUACUGUGAAAUUGGUCCACAUCAAUCACAGGAUGACCCCUUCUAGCAAGAUCAAGCAGGAAGUCUGAAUUCGGGCCCAUAAAAAUGUAGUUCUGAAUAUUGAAACUCUCAAAGUGGCACAACAAAUUCCUUAUGACUCUUUCAGAUGCUCCAAACAGGCUCACAAGUAUAAUGGUAUCCUGUUUUUGCACAGAGUAAAGAAAAUAUCCGAGUUCUUCAAAACUCCUUACAACUAUUCCAGGAUGUACUUCUUUGAAACAGAAAUCGUACCACUUUAGCUUAGUCAGAGGUUGAAUCUAAAAUAACAAAACCCAAACUGAAAUCAAAAUCGAAAUCAACCCUAAUAGAUUUCAGAAACAACAAAUUAAAAGAGUAAAGCACAAAAGGGGGAAAACACAUAUGAAGCAAUCUCCAUACAAGCCCUAACCUUAGAUAAACCCAAAAAAAAAAAUCAAAGCAGAGAGUUACCAUAGAGCAUCUCUGUUUCAAGCUUAGAAAAUGUUUAAUGCCAUUGAUAACUAGUUGGCUAGUGGUGGACUUCAAGCUUCUCUAUUUCGGUGUUAGUAGCUCUCAAUGGCUAUGGUGAGAACAAAGAAAUGAGAGGCUUAGGGUUUGGGAUGUGAGGUUAUUGAUGAUGAUGAGGAUAAAGUUAUGGGCUCUUGGAGGGGUUAGGGAAAUUGAAGAUGGCUGAGAGUAAAGGCUAGGGUUUUUGAGAUAGUUAAUAGCUUUUUAGGGUGUGACUGUCCAUAGAUAGAAGAUAAAUGAGGGUGUGAGAAUUUAUAGAUCUCUAGGUGAUAUGGCGGGUGUGAGAAUGAAAUUUUAGAGGGAAUUGUGUGUUUGGUAGAAAUUUCACACAUGCAUAUAUAAUGUUUCAGAACAUGGCACUUUAAAAAUACGACAAGGAAGAAAUUAUUUAUUGACGCUUAAAUAAAGCGCCAAGGUCUCCAACAUUUUUGCAAUCAAUGACGUUUGUAAAAGGUGCCAUUGAAUAGGAGUGCCAUUGCUUUCCCACAAAGCAUCAUUGUUAAUCAAGCCUUUAAAAAACGCCAAGAUAUGUUGCCACUUAGGUUAAAUAUUGACGCUUUUAAAAAACGCCAAGGAAAAAAACGUCAUUAUUCAUGUUUUUUGUAGUAGUGGCUUGAUUCCUAAAAAGUAAAGGAAAGCAAAAAGUAAAAAAAUAAAAAUGUGGAGAGUUAGGACAUGCGUUAUCUAAUUGUCCUAGUCCCAAAUAUAUUAAGAAAGUCAUGUAGGUUACUUGGAGUAACGAGUCAAGUAAAGCAAGCCUUCUAGUGUUUAAGACAUUAGAUAUUACCGAACUGAUUAUGUCAUUAAUGUAUUGCAUUUGUUGUUUCUAAUAUAUAGAAGAAGAUGAAAUUAUUGGAAUAAGUGGGAAAUAGGAAUAAAUCCAAGGUACCAAAAAGUCACUUUAUCUUAGAUGUUGUUGGAAACAUAAGUGAUUUCACAAUAACGACUAUGAGACAAUCAAGGAUUAAUAAGAUAGACUUUAUAUGAUAUACCUCCCAAUUAGAGCCUAAAAAUAUGGAUGAAGCACUUAGAGAUGAAUCUUCAAUUUUUGUACUAUAGGAAGAAUUAAAUCAAUUUGUUAGCUAUUCUUUGGAUAUUUGAUUCAUCACAAGCUACAAAUCACUUUUGAUGACCAAACACGAAACUAAGAGGAUUGGGCCCAAUUCGAUGCCUAUCAACAAUGAUUUGUAUUCCACCUCAUUAAUUAUUCAAAGUUGGGAAGCUAGGUCUAACCACUUUCUCUACCUGUUCACCCUUAGAGGAGCAGAAGAAAAUUCUAACUUUGGUGCCUAAUGCCUUUGACAAUCUUUCGACAAAGAGAGUUCACUAAUUACUUUGAUUAUUUCUCUGUUGGUCACUGGGGGACAAGACUUUUGUAAUGAAGUCAACUAGAACUUGCCCUUUGAGGGCCAUUCAUGGACGAUAUUACACCAUGAAUUCCCUUAGGUCAUGUUUGGUAUGUGAGAAUGAGGAGUGGAAUGGACAUCUUAUUCAUUUUUUCAUCUAUUCAAAUGUUGGGAUAACUCAAGUGACCAUGAGAAUGAAAUCAAGAAUGAUUCAAGGGAAAUGAAAUCUUACUUAUAAGUGUGAUUUCAAUUAAUCUCUAAUAGAAAUUAUUUUGAAUCAAUAGUGCAAGUUAUUUUUAAAAACAUUUUUCCAAAAUUAAAAAAAUCAAUUUUUUUUUUUUCGAUAAGUUGUUUUUAAAAGGAUUUUUUUUAUUUUGUAAAAAGAAAAUUGUAAUUCAAUUUAUAUAAUAUAAACUAAAUUUUAUUUUAUUCAAAAAGAAAUAAUUUUUUAAUUAUAAAUAAAUUAAAAAUAAAUACUUUUAAUAAAAUAUAAAUAGUAUUAUUAUAAUAAAAUCAUAAAUAAAUUUAAUUUUUUUUAUAAAUAUUAUAAAAAUAUGGAUAUUAACAUUGGAUAAUUGAUUUAUUUUGUUAAAAUAAAAAAUAAUAAUUUUUAAUAUUAUUUUAUGUUAAAUGAAUUUUAAAAUAAAGAAAGUUUAAUUAUUUUAAGGUAUAGAAGAGCCAAAUUUUGCAUUACAUACAUAACAAACAAUAUUUAUUAGAAACAUUUCUCAAGGAGAAUCUUAUUCCAUCUCACAAAGAUACUCGUUUAUUCGAUGUUUGACCAUCCGUAACAAUCAUGUCAAUUCUACUGAUUUAAUAAUUCCUUUACAUUUAUUACUCACUUAUGAACAUGGUAUUGUGAUUUAUUUAUUUAUUUGAUGUAUAAUUAAUUAAUCAAUUUUUUAAAUUUCAAAUUAUUUUUAAAAACUAUUCAUUAAGGAAUUUAAAGCAUUAAUUAUGUCUAUUAUUUUUUAUAGUCAUUAUAUAUAUAUUGAGUUUUAAUUUAUUUUUAAAAAUUAUUAAACUUAUUAAUAAAUUCAAUAUAAAGUCUCGUUUCAUUUGAAAUUCAUUUCUUUAGUGAAAAUUUUGAAAAAAAAAUUGUUAUUUAUUUUACUUUGUUUUAAAAAAAUUGUUUCUAGAGAACAAUAAUCAAAUAAUGGUAUGAAUUUUUAAAAACAAUUUUGUUUUUAAAUCAUAUGCCCAAAUAAUUUUUUUUUAUUUAGCAAAAAACUUUGUUGUAGUAUGUGGCUCAUAUUGAGGGAAAGACAUAUAUGGAGAAAAAUGUGCAAAUGUUGGAGUGGAGCGGAGUGGAAUGACGACAUUUGUCAUUCAAACUUGUAUUUUUAUUGUUAAGGGUGACCGAUAGGUUGGUACGGUUUAGGGGUAUUUUUGGAAUUUCAUUACCUGAGGGUUAGUAUAAAUACCAUUUUAUGUAACCCUAAUUUUACAUAUAAUGUAAGUUUUCUUCCUUGUUCUUGUGGACAUAGGCAAUCCGUCGAACCACGUUAAAUCUGUGUGUUUUUUUUUCUUUUUUCUUUUUCUCUAAUUUCUUCACCAGGAAUCGUUACACUAAGAUCAACAAACUCUCAAAGAUGAUUUUUAAAAUGAAAAAAAUAAUGUAUAGUGUGAGAAUUUUUUAUUUUUUAUUUUUUUAAAAUGAAAAUAAAAAAUUGCUUUAAGGUAAAAGUGUGGAUAUUAUUGUUAAUUUAUUUCAUUUUUCAUUUUCAUUUCCAUUGUUACCUACAAUUGAAAUGGAAACAACUAAUCAUUACAACCUUACAUUCUUAUAUGCAUCCAAAUACAAAAAUUGAAAUCACCAAAUUCAUAUUCAAGGCAAAAUAGGAAUGAAAACAAAUAUUCAUUCUCAUUCUUUAUUCCCACGUGUCAAACAUGACCUCAAAGUUAUAAACAUGAACAAGAAGUCCUUGAAACACCAAUGAUCUCUUCUGGUAUAUAUAUGAGCUUGAUUGACAACUGUUUUAAAUACAGUUUUUUUUUUUUUUGUUUUCAAAAUCAAAACAAAUUUAUUUUUAUUUUUUAUAAAUAGUAGUUUUUUAAUAUUUUUUUUAAACCUUAUUAUGAAAAUAGGAUGUUUUCUAAUAUCAUAUUUUAAUUAUUUUCAAUUAUUUUCCCUUCUUUUAAGGAGGGCUAUUUUAAAAAUAUGAAAAAUGAUACAAAAUAAAGCAUUACAAAUAAAAAUCAUUUUUAAGAAAUAUAUGAAAAUAAUUUGAGAACAUUUGAAGUUCCUUAAUUAAACUUUUGUUCUAGAAAAUGCAAGAAAACUGUUUUUGAAAAUUGUUUUCAUAAUGAUAUGCAUUGAUCGUUUAAAAUUUAAUUACAUGAUAAAAAGACCUAUGUAAAAACCAGAGUUAUAUAAUCAGUCAUAGAUCAAAUCUACUAAAUAUGAAAAGUAAGUACAUAGUUGUAUAUGACUUAGAUGGAGCCUUCUCCGAAUGACAUUCUUUAGUCGGUACUCAUAUUUUUUUGUUUCGUGUCUUCAACAUAACACCUCAUGAUCCUUAAUAAAUCACCUGAAAACUAUAUUAGCACCUUAUUGUUUAAUAUUUCUCUAAAUUUUUUUAUUAAGCAAAUAAAUUCCAAAUUUAAAAUGACAAAUAAAAUUUAUUAAUUUUUAAAAAUAAUUUAAAACUCAAAAACCAAUUUAAUUGAUAUUAAAAGUCAUGAAACUUAAUAAUAUUAGAAAGUCAUGUAUCCAAAUUUAUUUUAAAUGACUUGUUUAAUUUCUUGUUUAUAUAUAUUAUAUUUUUAUAAUUUUUUUUACUAUACAAAUAAAUUUUAAAUUAAACAAAACUUAAUGCGUUGAAUUCAUUAACGAGUCUAAUAAUUUUUAAAAGUUACUUAAAAUUUAAAUACUAAAUCAAUUAGUACCACAAAUUCAUGGAAAAAAAUUGAUUUAUUACUACUAUAUUGUUUCUCUAUUGCAUAGAACCAUUAUUUUUCAAUUUUUUCAUUUGGCAAAUGAACAUCAAAUUAAACAAGACUAAGUGUAUUAAAUUCAUUAAUGGGUCUAGUAAUUUUUUAAAAUAAUUUAAAAUUCAAAUAUUGAUACUCCAAAUUAAACAAGACUUAGGUGGUGUUUGUUUUUUGGUUGAAUAGAAAAAGGUAAAAUAUUUGACUUUUUCUAUUUAGUUAAAAGUAACUUGUUGACAUCGUCCAAUAUAAUUAAAGUAAACCUAUUGAGGGCAAGUUCACUUUAAUUAUGUUGGACGAUGUCAACAGGUUACUUUUAACUCAAUAGAAAAAAUCAAAUAUUUUGACUUUUUUUUUAACUCAAAUAAUAAAUCCAUUAAUACAAAAAAAUUAUGGAUAAUUUGAAACUUUCUUUCUUUUUUUUUUUUUUUUUGCUACACAUAGCUAUAUUUUUAUAAAUUUUAUCAUUAGAGAAAUGGAUUUCAAAUCAAGUGAAACUUUGUAUUGAAUUAAUGGAUUUAACAUUUUUUAAAAAUAAUUUGGAACUAAAAAAAAAAGAUUUAAUUACUAAGAAAAUCAUAGAUCAAAACUAAUAUAUUCUGAUCCAUGAUUUUAUUAUUUUUCCUAUACAUACAAUUAUAUUUUUAUAAUUUUCUCACUAGGUAAAGAUAUUAUAAAUUAAGUGACACAUAAUUAAUAAUUUAAAUUUUUGAAUGAAUCUUUUAAUUUUAGGAAUAAUUUGAAAUUUAAAAAGUUGAUCCAAUUAAUUGUAAAUUAACUUAAAAUAUUAUAAAAUAUUAUGUUCAUAAUUAAGUACUAAAUGUAUAUAUGUAAUGAAAACUUAACUAGUUACAUGUUACAAAAGCCAAAAUUUAUUCAUUCUUUAUUUUAAAUAAAAUAUUAUUAAUAAUUAUUUUUUUUAAAAUAAUAUUUAGUAAUUAUUGUUUUUAAAUUAUUAUUAUUAAUUUUUAAUAAAAAAAUUGCAAAGUUAUUAAUAUCAUUAUAUUUCUAACAUAAAUUUAAAUAGUAUAUUUUUUAAUAUAUAUAUAUAUAUAUAUAUAUAUAUAUAUAUAUAUAUAUAUAUAUAUAUAUAAUUUAUGAUUUCAUUAUAAUAUUUUUAUUCAUGAUUGACGAAAAAUUAUUUAUUGUUUAAUUUAUUUGAAUUGCAAAACUAUUUUUCAAAAUUCAAGCGAGAAAAUAGGCCUGGAUUUGAAUUUCCUGUAGAAGAGAAGGAUGUGGAGAAUAUGUUGGGAGUAUUUGUGGAUAAAGAAAAGGCCAGGGUACUGAGAAAGGAGAGAGAACUUGCUCUUGCCAAAAGAGCCCUGCACAGGUAUUCUACUGAUUCUAAUUAUCGGUUCUUACAUGAUCAGAUUUCAGAUUUAUUUGCUGAGCUUCUGAAAUCUGAUACAGUAUUUAAACUCCGGUGAGCUUUACAAGAUUAGUCUCGCAUCCAAUUCCAAAUGGUGUCCCACAAUUGAUUCUUCUUAUGAUAAAUCCACCUUGAUAUGUGAAAAUAUUGCUCGAAAGGUUUAUCCUCGCGAGGAAUAUCCAGAAUACUAAGGAAUUGAGGAGGCUCACUAUGUUUAUAGAGUCAGGGAUAGGUUGAGAAAACAAGUAGUUGUUCCAUUACAUAAGGCCCUGGAGUUGCCAGAGGUUUUCAUGUGUUCGAACAAGUGGGGAUCACUUCCCUACAACCCUGUGGCUUCAGUGGCCAUGAAAUCAUACAAGAGCCUCUUCUCAAACCAUGAUACAGAGCGGUUUGGUGAGUAUCUUGAGAAAGUGCAAACUGGGAAGGCUAAGAUUGCAGCUGGUGCAUUACUUCCCCAUGAGAUUAUAGCUUCAUUGAAUGAGGAGGAUGCCGAGAGAGUUGCCGAGCUUCAGUGGGCAAGAAUGCUGGAAGAUUGAUCAAAGAAAGGGAGGCUCACAAAUUGCAUUGCAGUAUGUGACGUAUCAGGAAGUAUGAGUGGAACUCCAAUUGAGGUGUGUGUGGCUCUGGGGCAGUUAGUUUCAGAGCUCAGUGAAGAUCCAUGGAAAUUAAGGUAAUGUAAUUACUUUCAGUGCAAAUCCUGAGCUUCACAAGAUCCAAGGAGACAGCCUUGUAUCCAAGACUGAAUUUGUGAGGAUGAUGGAAUGGGGUGCCAACACUGACUUUCAGAAAGUUUUGACAGAAUCUUACAAGUAGCAGUGGAGGGAAAUAUGAGUGAAGAUCAAAUGAUAAAGAGGGUUUUCGUUUUCAGUGAUAUGGAGUUCGAUGAAGCUUGUGGGAGGUAUAACUAUUGUGACUAUGACUAUGAUAUGGAGGAAAUUGACGAGAGUCAGAAGGCAUCUCAGAAGUGGGAGACAGAUUAUGAAGUGAUACAGAGGAAAUUCCAGGAGAAAGGAUACAGAAAAGUUCCAGAGAUAGUGUUUUGGAACCUUAGAAACUCAUCAGCGACUCCAGUGACGGCCACAGAGAACGGGGUGGCCUUAGUAAGCGGGUUUUCAAAGAAUCUGUUGACCUUGUUUUUGGAAGGAGGUGGAAUUCUGAUCCCUCAGGAUGUGAUGGAAUUCGCCAUCUCUGAUGAAGAUUACAAGAAACUUGUUCUAUUUGAUUAAGAUAUCAAGAGAUUUAUCAAUAAUAAUAUAUUUUUUUUCUAUGUGAAAUACAUAUAAUAUUAACUGUGGAGUUAUCAAAGUUCUGGAGGUUUAAUUAUUUCUUCUUUUCAAGUUUUGUUUAUUUAAGGUUUUCUUUGUCUUUGUUAGGAAUUCCCCUUGGGUGGACCCAGCUGGGGAGUUGGAUUGAGGAAGUAAGCAGGCGAACUUGUGUUCUUCUAUGGACAGAGAAAAAAAAUAAAAUAAAAAAAUAAAAAAGGAGGUUAUUUGCAUUUGGAUGUCGUGGUUUGAGGGUACAACUACAAGCUCGAAAUUGUACAUAAUGUGAAAACUCCUGUGUCCAUUGCUGAGAACAGCAUAAAUGAUGGUGAUUUUCAAGUUGUGCCUGGUAUUCUACAGGAUGAAACAAGAAAGGAUCCAGGUGGUAUAUUGAACAAUAUCCCAAUCAUGUUGGUGGCAUCUUUAUUUAGUUAAUGGUAUUCAUUUGGUGGAAGCUGGUUGUUUAUGAUGUUUUUAAUUUUUUUUAACAUGAAGUUCGAUCAAAUACGUAUCUUAGUAUGUUUUGUUUGAGCUAAUUGGCAAAUGCGCUUUAAACAUGGUCACAUGGAUGCAGUUUUAUUUGUGAAAUGAUAAUAGUCGAUUACUUGGUCAGUAAGGUUUAUAUCUCUAACUUCAACAUCUUAUUGUAGUCUUUUAAAAUGUCAAAAGUUUAAUGCUUGAGAAAUUUUGGAAUGGAGACAUUCUAAACAAAGUUAAUAAUCCACAAGACUUGGUAAAACCGAUCAGAUGAUGCUUACGUACAUCAAUGCCUUCUUUAAGCCAUAUCCUAUUUUCAUUGAACGGGAUGUGCCAUCUAGUUUGGUUCUUUAAGCCUCCAAAUCCUAAACCUAGUCUCAAUUUAGAGCAAAUUUAGGGUGCAGGGCCUGCAUGCCUCCCCCUCCCCCUUCCACAAAUAGUAGUGACCUUGCUAUGCCUAUGCAUUGUCAAUGCCUCAUUUUCUAUGGUCUCCAAUGUAAUAUCUUAGUUUCAAUGUCUCUUUCCUUACUAUCUCCAAUGCAAUAGAUUGAUUUCAAUACCUCUUUACAACUAAGACCUCCAAAUUUUCUUGGUUCAAACCUACCAGAAUUUUUCUUCUCCUUUGCUUUCUAUCAAUAUUAGUUCCCCUAAUUUAAUAUAUACUUCUUUAUUACCUUCAACUCUACCUCUCUUUCUUUCUCUAAAAGCUUCCUCAAAGAUUUAAUUGCUUUCUUGCAUGUUUUAAGAAAACAAACAUGCUCAUAUUACAUUACCUCUACUUGAGAUCUACCUUAUACUCUACCUUCUUUCUUUACCUCCUAUAUCAUCUACUACAUUAGCUUCAAAAAUAUUAUUUAGUUUGAUACUAAAUAAGGCUCCUAAUCCUACUCUUCCUUCAACAAACUUUCUUUUUACAAGUUCCUUAAACUUUAUUUUUUAUUUUUUAUUUUUUGGAAAUUCGGGUUAGAAAGAUUCCAUUACUCUUACCUAAUAUUUCAACCAUCAAGUUGAAUCCACUUAUUGCCUAAAUCCAAGGAGUCUGCCCUCCACAAAAACAAGGAAAUUGAUCCCACAAUAACAAGGAGAUUGCCUUCCACAGAAACAAAGAGAUCUCCCUUCACAGAAGCCGAAUACAUUGCAAUCUAUUUUCUUUCUUGUAAGAUCAAAUCUUCAAUCGAGCUCCAUCUUAUGGGGGCAUAUUAGAGAAAUUUAAUAUUAUCCUUAAUUUACAUAUUAAUAUUUAUCUAUUUAUUAUAUAUUGAAUUAAAAUAGAAUAUAGAAUUUGAAUCAUAGUAGAAGUUUACUAUAAGAUUGAAUUACAAUAGUUAAUAGAGUUUAAAUUAUAAUAACUCAAAUACAUUUAUAUAUAUUUGACCUUACGAGAUUUUCUAUUUAUGUAUUUGAACUACAAUCCUUAUGAUCCUUAGGUCUCUAUACCUUCGUGAUGGGCUCCUUGACAUUUCAUAGGUUGUGCUACACAUGCAUUUGAAAUUUAGAGUGCAUUUGACAGUGAUUCUGGGAAGUGUUUUUGGCAUUUCUAACACUUAAAAUUUUUUAUUUUUCAAGUAUUAGAAAUGCUACAAACACUUUUGAAAAUUACUGUCAAACACACUCUUAGGAGCGCAUAUAGUAGAAAACUAGAAAUUGUGGUUUUUUUAGGAUUUACUGUAAUGUCAUUAGGAGGGUAGUAAGUUGAAACUGAGUAUGAAUAAAUAUUUCUUUCUUUGGGAUGUUCUUCUGGUAGGUGCUGAUGAAACUGUUCUUUUUACUGCCAAUGUCACAUAUCAGCCAGAAAUUGAAAAUUUCAGUCAAGGUGUCCUCGGUUUUAGUGGUGAGGAAAGCUAGAAAUUUUAAGGUGAAGUUCUGUUAAAAACCUUAAGUAGCUGGGAUAUCAGGCCUGUUUUGCUUGAAAAAAAAAGUUGCAAGAUAACUCAUAUGCCAAACAGGUUCUGAUAUUGUGAAUCUAUCGGCAGACAUCAGUAAUCUCAUCUUCUGAGAUGGAUGUUGGGGGUGCAUGUGGUGGUGGAGGGGCAAGGUUUCAUUUGGUUUAUUUUGUUGAUGGAUAUUGUCUAGCCCCCUGCGCCAAGUUUGAGGGGUGGUGGGUUGUGAUGGCCCUACAAUUACUAUUAAUUUCUUCCUCUUUUACCGAUUAAAGUGUCCGAACAGUCGAAGUUACCCUUAUGCAUGUCAACUUGAUCACUUACCUCUUCAAUGGAGUUUAUGCUGGUUCAUUUAGGAACUGAUUUUUAUUGUUAUGCAUUCUAUGCUGAUGUUUAGGCCUCUCCAUCAUCACUAUAUACAAAAAUUCUAGGUUGAUACUAUAGGUUGAGAUUUAUUUUUUAAAUAAAAAAUAAUAAAAAUAAAAAUUAUGGUGAUGUUUAGUUGUUUUAUGGAAAAUUUUAACAAGUUAUUUUUGGGCAAGUUUUCAAACAAAAAGAAAAGUAAAAGUUGUUUUGACAAAAACAUAUAGAAAAAAAAAAUCAUAGAAAAGAAAUAAUUUCCCCAUAUUCUAACUUUUUUUAAUUUUUCUCAAUGGGCAAAGGAAUAUCAAAUCAAGUUUGAGUAGGAUUUCUUAAUUUUUAAAAUAACUUACAAUUAAAAAAUUUUGGUGUUUUCAUUUUUGGACAAUUUUUUAUUAAGCAAAUGGACUCUGAGUCAUGCAAGAGAUAUGGUUGAUUAAUGGGUCAAACAAUUUUUUUAAAAUAAUUUAAAACUCAAAUACAUAAUCAAUGUCACAAAAUUUAUAAACAAAAAUAGGUUUAGAGAAGAUCUACACAUAAUUUUACUUUUCUAAUUUUAUUUUAUUUUAUUUUUUUGUUGGAAAAUAGUCUUCAAAUCAUGUAAGAUUUAAUAGGUUAAAUUUGUUAACAAUAAAUUUUAAAUUAUAAAAUAUAAUCUGGAACUUAAAAAUCAAUUCAAGUAAUGCUAAAAAAAAUCAAAUUUGGUAUAGAAUGACUACGUAAAAUUUUUUACAAAACAAAUGAAUUUUAAAUCAAGUGAGAUUUAAUGCAUUAGAUUUUUAUCAAAUAUAGUAAUUUUAAAAUUUAAUUUGGAACUCAACAAUAGACACAAUAAAUACCAAAAAAUAAUGAACCAAAAUUGGUUUGGAAUAACUCCACAACCUCUUUUUUUUUUUUUUGGUGCACACGAAUUUUCUUACUAGGUAUAUUGCUUUCAAAUUGAGAAAGAUUUACUAUUUAGAUUUUUUUUUUUAAUGAGUUUAAUGGUAUUUUAAAAUAAUUCAAAAUUUCAAAAAUUGACUAAUUACUAUUAUAAAUUCAUAAACCAAGACUAAUUCAAAAUGCAUUGGGGGCUAAGGGGGUUGAAAAUAGGGACAAUGGGAUGGGUUUGGGACAUGACACUCAUAUCUCAUUUCCAUUCCAAUUACAUAGUUAUCUCCCAUCCUUAUCCCAAACUUGUGUUGGAGCAAGUUGAUUUGUUCCCAUCUUUGUUGAUGAAAUGACUAAUAACCUCAUCCCCUCCUUAUCUUAGAUGUACAUUUUGUCAAAUUUGAUCAGGUAUGAUUGAUCCAAGCCCUAACCCUAAUUGGUAAUGACUGGAUACUACACCUAAUUGCAUUCUUCUUUCGUCGCAAAAUAAUGAGAUUAUAAUAAUCUAGCAAAUAAGAAAAAAUAGUAUGGAAGUUCAAUUUAACACCAUAACUAUCAAUAAUUUUAAGCUUAUAGAUGACUUAAAUGAUUAAAAACUAAUGCAAAAUACCAAAAAAAAAAGUUCAUAUAAAGAAUUCACAAGAGAACAAAAUGAACAAAAACCAAAUAUGAACAUGGGUCAACAUUAGUUAUGGAUUUGGAUUCCUUUCAAGGCCAAUCUUUGAACCAAGACUUCAUCAAAUCUACUACUUCAAAGGCUUUUGUGUUCUUCUUGGGUUGUGCUCUCAAACAAAGACUUCAAGGUGAUGCUCUAGAUGAUUGCAUUACACAUAUUUAGGGUGGAGAGAUUGGAGAAGCUUGAAGAUGCCAACGAUGGGUACAAUUGAGUGGUCAAUAAGAACAAUGUAGCCUAUGACUAGUUUGAUGUCGUGGUACAAGAGUUUUAGGCAUUGAGGUUAAAGCAAGAGCAACAUGGAAUUGAUUUUGGAGUCUUUCAAUUAGUGUAAAGGAGGAAGAAGUGGUAUUGAUUCUAGAAAUAGGGUUUUAGGUGGUGCGUUAGAGGAUGAAGAAGAAGAAAAAGAAGGAUCUGUUGGAAUUAGUGUGAGUGUGAAGAGAGAAGUAUAUAAAUAAGGGGAAGUAAAAGCAAAGUUCUAAAAGCUAUAUUUUUUUUUAUUGUUGGUGUAUGGUUGCAUGAUUAUCCCUAUAAAUAAUAGGAGUUUUUUUGGUAUUCUACUAGUAGUUGAAGGAUAAUUUCAUAAAUUUAUAUUUAGAGUGGGGUGGGGUGAGUUGUGACAAAAUUCAUACCCGUCCUAAACCUUGGUUCAGAUUUUUAAAAUAUCCUCAAACUUAUCAUAUACCCAACUUUUAUAUUUCAUACUUGUCUUGAUAGAGGCAGGUUAGGCCGGGUUACUUGAGUAACCUACAUAAUUGUCAUCCCUAGUUGAAAUACACUUUUUUGGCAGUGGCCACCAACUGAGCUAGAAGCUUGAUCGAUUGACCUACAAGAUUAGUUCUCAUCAUUUUAAAAAAAGUUUUGGCCUUGGUUGUGAGUGCAAUUGAAUCUAAACUGGCAUUUCCUUAAUGCAUCUACUUCAAUCCUAAAUUUCUUACUUCCUAAGCCUCAAUUGUUGUUAGGAUUUUGGAAAGCCCAUUUCCUUAAAUUGUAAAUUUAAGAAAAAAUAAAAUAAAAGUGAGACAUUUCUUGAUUGAAUAUUGUUAAAGGUCCCUUGGCAUUAAGACUUGGUUGAAGCCUUGGAAGAUUAGUGGAACUCUCAACUUGUGUUUGAAUCUUGAGGAGAGUGGACGUAAGCCAAAAUUUUGUCAAACCAUUAAACAAAUUGAGUUUGAAUCCUCAUUUCUUGAUUUCUUAUUUAUUUGCUUUUUCUUAUUAUUACUUGAAUUGUCAUUUGCAUUCAUUAAUGUUAAAAUUGGUUAUAAUUAACCAACACUAAUUCUCUUUCCCCUUCCCUUUCUUGGGUGUAAACCUAGGUUGGAUUAACUAGAUUAAUUUAUAAAAUCUAUUAAGAUGGUAAAAGAAUAAUUAUUCUUAACACACAUAAGAUCAUCUUCAAUCAAAUGACUCAUUGGCUAAUAUGUUGAAUUUGCUUAUUACUUGCAACUCAAAAUUGUGUUCUAGUUGAUAUGUCAAGUCCCCAGUGUAUGGACAUUAAAUUUGUAGUACGUGAUGGUAAUUAGAUGGUCCAACUCCAAGAAAGUGAUUGAAAACUAGUUCAAGAAAGGUGCAAAAGGGAAUUGUUUUGGUAUUUUCGUUUUUAUUCUUGAAGGUGGCAGAGCUAAAAUUUGUGAAAUCAAGCAAAACAUACUGAAAUUACAUUGAAAGAAAGAAAAUGGGAGUUAAUGUCUUGCAGUAGAUGAUAAGGACUUCAUGCAUGUAGUAUGACCCAUGUCUUGGACUGAUGCCAACUCACGGUUACACUUAUACCCUUGGUUCUCUCUUUACUACCUUGGCUAACCUAGAUCAGGCUAUGAGAUAGGCUCCUCACCACACCAUUACUUGCCCAUUAAUUAGAGACAUUUUCAAGCACUGAGGUAACAUGGUGACACCAAGAGGGUUUAUUCCUCGCCCUCCUCGCCCUCAACAAGUCUAGACUUGGUCUCAAAAAAAUGGAGAAAAAUGAGGUGUCGUUAUGUAGAAAUACAACAACCAUGCCUUCCUCAUUACUUUGAUUCAGAAUGUGAAGGUGAAAUUGAGAAACAGAAACUCUUGAAACCAAAAUGAAAAUUGAUACUUUUACGAAGAAUUACAACAACAUUGGAGGAAGACUACAUUCUUCCUCUUUAUUCCUACAUUUCUACACUACUUCUACUCCACUCCAUAUUUCUACAUACAUCUUUAAUCAGUCUUCCCUCCUUUAUAUAGAGCCAUCUUCACACAAAUUCCGCAAGGUAGAAAAGAGGAAUGAAACUUGGAGCAAGGUUCGACUACUGGCUGUAGCUUGUCAAGGCUGGAAGUGAACCUUUUUUCUUGGCUUUUCUGGGCAUGGGUAGUAACUUGUGGGUUCCUUUUUGGGAUACAAAUGGCUAGAACAUGUGGCACUAUCUUGUUGGAUGAUGUGUCAAGCAUGUGGCAGCCAUCUAGUGGCGAUUAUGUCAAUUUUGGGAUGGAGAGUUGGCAUCCAAUUGCAAAGAAAUAUGACGUCUACCAACAGGCAAUGUAAACCUAUGUAGAUCAUAUGAAGAUAGAGAGGAAAAAUAUAGAAAUGGAUAUAUACCUAGAACUAGCUUUUUAUUAAAUGAAACGGAGAGCCAACAAUGAAGGAAAAUAAAUUUUUUUGGCUUAUAUCAAAGAGUUCACAUUGUGCUACCCUAGGUUUUCUUAAAACUUACUUUUAUGAUAACAAAAAAAAAAAAAAACAUUAUUGUUUAAUCCUUUGUUUUAAACGCAUGUUUAGCAAGUUAUAAAAUGUAAAAAUCUUUCUAAGUUCAAAUAUGAAGAUAUGACAUCAUUUCAAGCAAGAUAGUCUCUAGGAAUUAAUGUAAAGCUAAAUUAAGGUGAAAUUAAAUUAGUUCAAUGCAUUAAUUUAAGAAACUUGACCUAUCAAAAGUACAAAAUUAGAUGAAAUCCAUUUCAAUGGUUAAAAUGAUCAAAAUCAAACUUUUUCUAAGUAUUUUUUAAAAGUAUCAAUAUUGAAAGACAAUUUUAUAUUUAGUCAGAGUUUGGACAAAACCAAAAAGCACACAAAAUCCAAGCGACCAUCUCUAGCUUGGAUGGUCGCUUGAUCUCUAGCUUGUGUACUUGGAAAGCAACAUCGAGAUGAUAUAUAUAUAUAUAUAUAUUUUAUAUAAUAUUGUUUGUCCAAAUUCCCUAAAAAUUAGGCCACCACAUGUUCAUAAUUCUCCCUUCUUGAAUUUGAAAACUCGGACAAUUGGACAAUGCGACACCUAAGUCCGGUUUCUAAAUGCUAAAGUGAAAGGGUAGGUAUGGACCAUUGAAAUGUGAUCACAACUUUUCUCUGUAGCCAUGUUGUCUCUUUUUUCUUUUGCAUGAUUUUCUCACCUUAACAGAAUCAUAGACUUGUUUAAUCUCUAAAUGGGAUUAAUUUCAUCCAGCUUUAAGCUACUAUAUUAUAUCUAGGUGGAGGACUUUUAAGAGUGCAACCGACAUAGAGCACAUGCAAGUGGGUAUAUGGGACAUGAAAUUUCUUCUUAUAAAGAUUGCAUGAUUUUUAUAUUAGAGUUGUUGGGGCGCAAUGUAUGUAGCUUGUUUUGCAGUUAAAUUAAUUGGAUAAGUAGACAUUGGCGUUUCUAAAUCUACUGUGAAGUGCUUCAUGUACGUGUGAAGUAUUAGAAAUUUCUUUCUUGGCAACUUGUUUUUUCUUUGCGGUCUACUGAUAGGUUUGACUAAAAUUAUAUUCCCUGUCAUGCUAAUUAAUUUUCACGUGCAUGCUCAAAAGAAGAGUAUGACCUUAGUGCACCAAAAUCACUUUGAUUAAUUUGUGAUAGGUUUUUGUGCAUCAUGACAUUAGCCUUAUUCAUUUAGAUAAUGUUUAGUUUUUAGAAAGUAUUAAGAAAAGGAAAAUAAAUAUUAAGAAAAAUAUUCUUAUAUUUGAUUGUAUUAUGAAAAAUGUCAUAAAAAAAUCAAAUAUAAUUUAAAUUAAUUAAUAAUUUAUACAUUUUCAAAUUAUUUAAUCUUUAUAUUGAAGAUAUAAUAUAAAUGAAAUGAGUUUUAAGUAUUAUAUAAAAGUGAUUUAUUGAUCUUGCAUAUAUGUAUUUCUUUUUUUUUUCUUCUAUUUUUUUUCUUUAUUUUAUUUUCCUUAUGUUUUCCUCAACAUUUUCCGGAACCAAACAUAGCCUUAGGAAAUCCACAAUUACCUUCAACUGAGUAUAUUCGGUUGUUUUAGCAAUGUUAGGCUGCUAACUUGUGUUGGUACGAACCUGUUAAGCCUAAAGAUGUAAUUAGUUAGGAUAUUCUUUUCCCUCUAGUCUUGUAGCUCCACGUGUAUAGUUGGUUAGGACCUCAUUGUAUAUAAUGCCUGCCCUGUUAUUGUUGAAGACAACAGAGAUAAAUAAUAUUAACAUUUUUCCUCUCAUCUCUCUUUGUUUCCCUCUGUUUUCAUCUCCUCUCUCAUCUUGGUAUCAGAGCCUCCAUGGAUUCUUUCAAAGAAACCUCCGAAUCACCUUCUGCUAGCAUUGUUAAUGUGCAAAACCCAUUAUCUCAGUCAAACAACCUUCCUUCACCAGCAGCCACACCCUCUUUUUCUUUCUUGUCUAUGAAUCAACCUCUCACAGUGAAGCUGGAUAAUGGAAACUACCUCAUCUGGAAGAAUUAGCUUCUGAAUGUCAUCAUUGCGAACAGACUCGAUGAUUUCAUUUAUGGAACUCGACCCUGCCCUCCUUGAUUUCUCAAUCUGCAACAACAAACCCUCACUCCAGAGUACUCGGUCUAGCAGAGAUACAAUCGACUUCUAAUGAGUUGGCUGUACGCAUCCUUGUCCGAAGAUAUAAUGACUCAGAUUGUUGGGUAUUCAACAACUGUGGAGAUUUGGAACGUCCUUAAUCAGAUUUACUCUGCCUCUUCAAUGGCGUGGGUUACCGAGCUUCACACCAAGCUUCAAACGCUCAAGAAAGAUGGACUCUCAGUUGGUGAAUAUAUUCAAAGGCUCAAAUCCAUUUGCAAUAGUCUUGCAGCAAUAGGAGAACUAGUUUCUGAGAAAGACCAGCUUAUCUAUUUGUUCAAUGGAUUAUAUUGUGAGUAUAAUUCUUUUGUUACCUCCAUUCAAAAUCGAUCUGACCAACCAACUAUUGAGCAAAUCCAUAGCCUAUUGCUUAGCUAUGACUUUCGGCUUGAACAACAAAACUCUGUUUCUCUCCAUUAUGCCCAAGUCCGUAUGGCUCAUCUGAACAAGAAACCUUAUAAAUCAACUCCUCAACCUACAUUCAAUCAUAUUCACAUUCAACCUAGAUACUCUUCUCCACCUUUUAAGCCAACCACUAGUCAAUAUCAACCCAGGAUUUUGGGCAAACCACAACCACAACCAUGACAGCCUCAACCUCAAUGGAAACCACAUUUUUCAAUCCAGAAUCAAAAGCCUCAGUGCCAAAUUUGUGGUAAAUUUGGACACACUGCUCUUAUUUGCUUCCAUUGCACAAAUUUGAACUAUUCACCCCAACCUUCUCCUAAAUCUUUCAAUACUGUUCUCACCACAAAUUCCCAGCUCCCUAAUCCUCCAAAAUUUUCUUACCCUACAAUGGCUCAUCCUGCUGCUACGCAUAACACGAUUCCUGAUACAAAUUGGUACAUGGACUCAGGUGCUACACAUCACUUUACUCCGGACAUCAACAUGCUUGACACUGUGACACCAUUUAGUGGUUUAGAACAGGUGACAGUUGGGAAUGGUAAGCAACUCUGUAUCUCACAUCUUGGUACUGCAAAACUACCAUCCUCGUAUUCUCCUCUUGUUCUACAUCAGGUAUAUCACACUCCAAAAAUUUCAAAUAAUCUUAUUAGUGUUAGAAAAUUGUGUUCUGAUAAUAAAGUUUUUGUUGAAUUUUAUGCCACUCAUUUUCUUAUCAAAGAUCAAGUUUCGAAGAGAGUUCUCUUUCAAGGUCAACUUGAUAAUGGCUUAUACAAAGUUCAGUCGUCAUGCUCUCCUUCUACUAUUUCCUUUCAUCCUCAAGUUUUCAUAGCCAACAUCAAGGAUCAAAAUUUGUGGCACAAGAGACUAGGCCACCCAGCUUUAUCUGUUAUUAAUCAAAUCUUGGAUUCUUGUAACAUUGCUCGAACACAGAAAAUUGGUUUUAAUUUUUGUAGUUCUUGUCAAUUAGCAAAAAGCCACAGGCUUCCUUUUUCUCUGUCUCCAUCCAUUGCAGAAAAACCUUUUGAGUUAAUUCAUACAGACCUAUGGGGUCUUUCUCCUGUUCGCUCUAUUUCUGGUGCUCGUUAUUUUUUACUUUUCAUUGAUGAUCAUACUCGUUUUACUUGGUUUUAUUUGCUCAAAACAAAAGAUGAAGCAUAUCCUACUUUUCUCAAGUUUCAAGCUCUCAUUGAAAAUCAAUUUAAUACCAAGAUUAAGGUUGUCCAAUCUGAUUGGGGAGGUGAGUUUCGAUCUCUCUCCAUACUGUUUUCAAAUAUGGGCAUUGUCUAUCGUUUAUCAUGUCCAUACACCUCACAACAGAAUGAGUGGGUUGAGCGAAAAAAUCACCAUGCGGUUGAAAUGGGAUUGUCCUUUCUUGCUCGCUCGGGUAUGCCCUUAUCUUAUUGGCCUUAUGCCUUUCAAACUGCCACUUACCUUAUUAAUCGUCUCUCUACCCCUGUGCUGCACCAUCAAUCCCCUUACUUCGCACUCUAUCACAAAUUCCCAGCUUAUACUCAUCUUAAGGUCUUUGUUCCUCUUGUUUUCCAUAUUUACGCCCUUAUAAUACCCAUAAACUCCAAUACAGGUCACUGGAGUGUGCUUUUCUUGGUUGCAGUUCACACCACAAAGGUUAUCUAUGUCUUGACAUUCAUUCUAGCAGGGUGUAUAUUUCUCGCCAUGUGAUUUUUAAUGAAGAUUCUUUUACAUUCAAGAAUUUGAAAUCUUCUCUCUCUUAGUCUAUUUCUUCUUCCUCUUCUUUAUUAGUUCCUCUGUUCAUUUCCUUGCCUCCCCUCUCCCCAUAUCCUCCUAUUUCUCCAUCUAUAUCUCAUUCUUUUCUCUCUUCUUCUUCUACCUCUAGUACUUGUUCCCCUCUCGUUGCUCCUACCUCUCUUCCUCCCUCUUCACACUUUGUGUCCCAUCUAUUCCACCUCCUUCUCCACCUUCUUCGAGUGUGGACCUGCUUGUACCUUGUGUGAAUACAAAUUUACUUACUUUUUCUCGCACUCACAAUAUUCAUCCUAUGGUGACCAGAUCUAAGGGUUUGUAUCUAUAAACCUAAGUUGCUAUUGAGUGUCUCCAUAGGUUCUCUCACUAAGCCUACUUCCUUUCUUCAAGCUAUUAAAGAUCCUUCAUGGAAGCAAGCCAUGGAAUUGGAGUUUGCUGCCCUUCAACACAACAAGACCUGGCAUCUAGUUCAUUCACCUUCCUCAGGCAAAGUAAUUGGUUGUAAAUGGGUCUAUAAGAUAAAGCUUUAGCCUGAUGGCUAAUUGAGAGAUACAAGGCCCGCUUAGUAGCUUAGGGUUAUCAUCAAACUGAAGGUAUUGACUACUUCGAAACAUUCAGCCUGGUUGUCAAGCCUUCUACUACCGUAUUGUGCUCAGUCUUACUUUUUCCCAGAAUUGGUGUAUUAGACAGCUGGAUGUUCAUAAUGCCUUCUUACAUGGUGACUUAGCUGAAGACGUUUUCAUGGAACAACCACCUGGAUUUGUUGAUCCUCUCUAUCCUACUCAUGUCUGCAAGUUGGAUAAGUCUCUCUACGGUCUUAAUAGUCACCUCGGGCUUGGUAUACUAAGCUGAGUACUUCUCUACUACACUUGGGAUUUGUUACUUCUAAGAAUGACUCUUCCUUAUUUAUUUGUCAUUCGUCUCAUGGGUUACUUCUUGUUCUUGUCUAUGUGGAUGAUAUAAUCGUCACUGGGAGCCACUCUCCUCAAGUUACUCACCUUAUCCAAUAGUUGCAUCAUCAGUUUUCUUUAAAGGAUCUUGGUCAUUUACACUAUUUUCUGGGCUUGGAGGUUCAUCACACCCCUACUGGUAUUCACCUCAGCCAAGCAAAGUAUAUCACUGAUCUCCUUACCCGGGCGGCUAUGUUGGAUGCCAAGCCAUGUCCCACUCCUAUGUCCUCCAACACAUAUCUUUCUCUUCAUGAUGGAGUGGCUCUUGAAAAUGGUUCAGAUUAUUGAAGUUUUGUUGGUGCCCUUUAGUAUUGUACCAUGACACGCCCAGAUAUAGCUUUUGCAGUAAAUAAAGUGUGUCAAUUCAUGCACCAUCCCUCUGAUGUUCACUGGCAGGCUAUAAAACGUAUUCUCCAGUACUUAAAGGGCACAUCUCAUUUUGGUCUCUUCCUACAGCCUUCCUAUGACUUCAACAUCACUUGCUAUACAGAUGCCGACUGGGCUUCCUGCCUUGAUGACAAGUGUAGCACCAGUGGCUACUGCCUCUUUCUUGCCUCUAAUCUGGUUUCUUGGUCAUCUUCCAAACAAAAAGUGGUCUCCCGCUCCAGCGCCAAAUCAGAGUACCGAGGGGUAGCAAAUGGGGCUGCUGAAAUUGCUUGGACUGAAUCUCUUCUUUGUGAACUUUCCACCCACUCGACCUCCCCUCAUUGUCUGUGACAAUAUCAGUGCCACAUACUUAGCUGUCAAUCCUAUUUUGCAUGCCCGCACCAAAACAUGUGGAAAUCGACUAUCACUUUGUCUCGGAACGUGUUCUUCAACGCUCUCUCUCUCUCCAGUUUACACCUUCGGAUGAUCAACUUGCUGAUUGCAUGACCAAGCCUCUCUCCACCCAACGUUUCAUCACUCUACGCUCCAAGCUCACUGUUCUCACUAGACCAAUGAGCUUGAGGGGGGAUGUUAAGCCUAAAGAUGUAAUUAGUUAGGAUAUUCUUUUCCCUCUAGUCUUGUAGCUCCACGUGUACAGUUGGUUAGGACCUCAUUGUAUAUAAUGCCUGCCCUGUUAUUGUAGAAGACAACAGAGAUAAAUAAUAUUAACAUUUUUCCUCUCAUCUCUCUCUCUGUUUCCCUCUGUUUUCAUCUCCUCUCUCAUCUGAACCAAAUGAUCCAUGUUAACCUUGGCUUGGUUUGAUUUGGCUCUAUCUUAGAGAGCUCAAGGAUCACGUCAACUCUGGUUUCUACUAUUCAGGUCCAUUCCCAUAUGAACUGGUUCAAAUUUGAGAAAAUGGUAACAGACCUUUAGUGAUGUUGGUUUGGAGCCAGUUGCCAAACCCGCCCUGAGCUUUACCACUAAUGUCAAGGGAGAAAGCCUUUUGAACAAAAACAAUAGCUUCAAGAGACUGAAUCGUGGAUGAAAUCUGAUCCACAUUUCUUCUCAUUUUGGAAACAAAUGAGAACUUAACUAAGAAGAUUCUACGGCCUCAUAGUGCUUUUCCUGAUCUAAGGUUGGUUCGUUUCCCAAAUUGUGAGAUGCACGGGCCAGACUUCAGAACUCUCACGCUCAGGAGUGUAUCCACGUGGUGGACAUAAGAUGGUGGCUUAAGAUCUGGUGUCGGUGGCUUUACUUUACUAGGAGAGUAGUGUGUCUUCAUCUCAUUCACUGCCGGAGGGUGGCGUAAGCAGUGACGCUAAGGUGGGGCAUAGUCAAUAUCAUUUGCAUUUGACCAUUAUAGUUUUCUCCCGGCUUGAAAGUAACCUUAUCGUGAUAAAGGAUUACUAGCACUAGUUCAGAUGACAGUCAUGUUAAAUUCGGACCAUGUUUGUGUCACAUUAUCAGCAACCAUGUGUUUAUGGUUCAUGCUUUCUGCAACUGAAAUUGAAAUUGAUAUAUAACCAGGUGAACUUCAAUCUAAAUUCUGGAAGUACUCAUGUGAGCGAUGGUGCCCAUCUGCAGAGUCCAUCAAUUGAAAAAUGGAGUGAGUGUAUCUAUAAGAGGGAAGGCUUGGCAAAUGUCCAGUUUUCUGGGAAUUCAACAAGGAUCUAAAAUAGAUUGUUUUCUUUGCUGAUUUCAAUGGUUGAAAUUUGAGAAGAUUGUGUCCCACAUAACACAACUAUUACUGGUCCUUCUGUUGCAAUUUAUCCUCUAAGGCUCUAGCAUGUCUUCCAAUUCCCACUUCCCUGUUACUCCAGGAAAGCUAUUUCUGUCAUUGUGAAGAAGAAAAGAGAAUGUAGAUAUCGAUGCUUUUAAGUGACUGGAGCAUUCAUAUCAGGUGGUCUGCAGCCAUAUAUGCCACUUUGUGAAGAUUGGAACAGUCAAUCACUAGGCUAUAUAUUAGUGUGGCCCAGCCACUUUAAUCAAGGACAAUUCUUCAUACUUAAAAGUCAAAUUCUGCCUUUAGUCUCAUUAUAAAUUGCUGUUUAAAUAUUAAGCAAACAUUUGUUUAAUGCGAUUAAGACAGUACUAACUCAAUACUUGUUCUAUUUUUGGAUGGAAAUGCUUGAUGGUUUCAUCAUUGGAUGGGAUAAAGGUGCAUUCAUGAUUAUGAAUACUUGUAGUUAUAUUUUCAUUCUCUUUUUUCUCAAUGAGACUUGUUGGCACAAUUUUUCUGUUCAGAAACCUACCUCUCCAUGGAAAAUAAGUUGUGAUUGAUAGUACUGGAUAUAUUCAAGAAAGCUAAAUAUAGAUAGCACAAAAUAUUAUCGACAUAAAUAGCAUUAACAGCGUACGUAUGUCUCAGUGCUCAUCAGCCAUAAGCAUGGGGCAAACACUUACGAUGAGCAACUUACGUCAAAAUUCCAGAAUAGGACAUAGAAGUGACAGAUCUAUAUAUAUAGAACACUGCAUAAGAGUCACAAGAAAGGAAAUUACGGGUGCAUAGCAGCUCUUAUUUCACAUACUACUCAUACUGAUCAAAGUCACUCAGUUGGGAUGGGUGGGAGUAGGAGGUUUGUGGGGUGGCUUGUGCGGAGGAGUUGGCAGCUUCUUUCCAGGACCUGGUGGCUUCUCUCCCUUAGGUGGUUUGCCAACUGGGGUUGGUGGCUUGUAUGAGUCUUCAGCAUUCUCUGCAGGAGGGUGACCAGGGUUGUGACCAUAAUGUGGUGGCUUCUCUCCCUUAGGUGGUUUGCCAACUGGGGUUGGUGGCUUGUGUUCUGGGAGUGGCUUCUCCCCCUUGGGAGGUUUUUCCAAUGGGGUUGGUUUGUGUUCAGGAGGUGGCUUCUCCACUGGAGGCUUGUGUUCAGGAGGUGGCUUCUCCACCGGAGGCUUGUGUUCAGGAGGUGGCUUCUCCACCGGAGGCUUAUGCUCUGGUGGUGGCUUCUCCACCGGAGGCUUAUGCUCUGGUGGUGGCUUCUCGAAUGGGGGAUGCUUAGGGUAAUCAGCAAGUGAGGGGGCGGUGAGAACCACCAGGCCAAGCAAGACCACUAGCAAGUAUGUAGGAGACAUCUUUGGGUUUAGACUCAGAUGGUGCAAAACUAGGAGAAUUGUCUUUUAUAGCGGAUCGCACCCAAUAAUGAAAUGACACGUGUCUUUAUGACCCAUGUGUAAUGGGGUCGAUUUGGGUCCUACAGUGUUGAAAACUUCGACAUCCACUUUUGGCCUUUUGCUUUCUCUACAGCCGCCUUGCUUUUUCCCUCUUUCCUUUUGUUUUCCUCCUGCCCCAUUCUAUCAACUAAACACAAUUAUGUAGUUGUUUAAUUCUUAAAUGAGAUAUUAUCCGUCAAUCGUAUCAUAUUUUAUCAACAGAGAACGGAGUGCAAUGUGGCAAUCCAAAGAAAGAAGAUCCAUAAUGCAGCUGUAAUUUUAUCGUUUACUUUUAUCUCUUGGACCACUGCAUUUUUGUUAAGAGGUGCAAUAAUACACGUCUUUAUCUGCCAUUCAAUGUUUACAGUAAAGAGAGGGCACAAAACUCUUCACUGCUCUGCAUGUGUCCCAAAAAUGCAAUUGGACAAAUUAUGAUUUGCAUGCUAAAAAGAGGCAAAUGAGGUUAAUUCGCACCAUAAUUAUUUUGUUUUCUGGACCCCGGGGCCCUUUGGUUGGUUUGGGGGUCAGAAAAUGAACAUCAUAGGGGGUUUUUCCCUUAUGUGCAUUUGUAUCUGAUGGCUUUAACUCGCCUUGUUACUACAAAGAAAUUGUCACAUAUAGGAACUUAUUCCAGGCUGAGUAUCUCCGCAUAGACCCUAUAAAAGAAGACAAGUCAUAAUGAACAUCUAACCUUUGUUCAAUUUGAUUCAAUGCCCCAUUGUGUCCACCUCACAAAUCUGAAUUAUUAUAUCCAUUGAAUACAUAAAUUAAUGAAGAAAAUAUGAAACCCAAGAUACAUCUCUGCACAACCUCAACCCUGGUUGCUAUGUUUCCCUUCUAUUCACAUGAGGAUAUUGAUUACGGAAUAGGGAAACCUAGCAAGGGUUUACUCGGCUCUGGUUUGAUGCUAAUUGCCAAACUUGCAACAAGCCCUGAGUUUGAAGCUCACAGAAGAUGUUAUACAGGCAGGGAAAAACCUUCAGAGUUCGCUGCCAAAGAUAAUUAUUAAGGAGAUAUCACCAAGAGAAUUCCAAGGAGUCUGAAUCAAAGACAAAUUGGUCGUUCGUGGAGGUUCUUACUUUCUUUUGGGUAUAACUCACUGAGGGCACUGUCUUUUUUAUUUUCAUUUCACAUUUAGAGUUCUGUUCUGGAAACAUAUAAAAGGAGCAUCAGUUUGUUCUUGGGUAACCCAUAGUCGUGAGUGGGUCCAUUUGCAUGCUACUUAGUUGAAAAGUUGGACCAUUUGCUCCGACGCCUACCUCCUGGAUUCCAUGCUCGGAUAAAACAAGAAUAAAAAAAUAUUUAUAAUUUACAAAUGGGGGAAAGAAAAAAAUGUCAACAACAAACUAGGAAAAAAGAGUAGUAAAAUUCAUGUCACAUGCUAGUGAGAGAAGGGGUUGUUACACUCACUCGAAGUUCUUUUCAAAAUAUCGCAUGGUAUUUUAUUUUAUGUGUGAGCGCAGUUGUGAAUGGAACGUGCAAAAGUCCAAAUUGGUGACCUUUAAUAAAUAUUUAAAACAAAAAACGAAAAAAAGGAGGGAAAAGGGAUCAGAAAAGAUAAAACAAUGUGUACAAAAGCUCAAUUAGUUUGCAAAUUACUGUUUGGAUUUUGAUAGUAUUUUAUUUGAUGUAAAAGAGAAUUUAAGAUAUUUCCGAAACAAAAGCAUUAGUUUGCUCCAUGUCAAUUUCGGCAUUUCUCAUAUGUUUCACACAUACACAGAAGAGCAUCGUUUUUUAAAGCAUGCAUUUAUGUUGGAUUAAUUUGGAUUUUGUGGGAACUGGGGCAAGGAUCACAUGGAAGAGAGGUUGACUUUUUUCAGUACUUCAAUGGUUGAGACAGGUGAAGGCCUGAUUGAUACUGAAGCCUGAAAUUGCGACUCCGUCAUUUGUCAAAACAUAUGACAGCUUCCAUGCUCUCGUUUGGUUGCAUUGUUCUGUGGUCAUGCAUACAUGCCACUUAGUGAUCAGUCUGUAACUGUCAAUCAUUGGGCUUUGACUGAACAACAUCAGCCAUGUAUAAAUACUUGCAAAUCAAACGGUCUUCUUCCUCCCAUAAGGAAUUUCGGUUUAAUUAUGAAGCAUGCAUUUGGCUGACCAUCAUAAACCACUUCUUUAAAUUGAUGAAUGAUAGUUUUUCAUUCAUUCUUUCAUUCGUUCAUAUACAGAGUAUAUAUAGAGGGUAAUCAUCAUUCUAAGAAUGGGAAAGAAUGAUACAAGGAAAUAAUGAUAUAAAGAAAUAACAACUAAUAUUCUAAUAUCUCAACUUUCCUAAUAUCUAAACAUUCCUAAUAUCUCAACACUAAAUGAUAUAAAGAAAGAAUGAUAUAAGGAAAGCAUUCCUAAUAUCUCAACACUCCUCCUCAAGUUGGUGCAUAGAUGUCAAACAUGUCCAACUUGUCUAAAAAUUUUGAGAACAGUUGACUUGAGACAUCUUUGGUGAGGAUAUCGGUCAAUUGAUCUUCUGAUCGAAUCUUAGGCAAUUCCACAAUCUUAUCAUCCAACUUUUCCUUAAUGAAAAAUCUAUCCAUCUCGACAUGCUUUGUACGAUCAUGUUGUACUAGAUUAUGAGCAAUGUCACAUGCUGCUUUAUUGUCACAAAACAAUCGGAUUGGUUGCCUAGAUAGGUAACCUAAAUCCUAUAAGAGGAGUCUUAGCCAUAAUGCCUCACAAAGUCCUAAAGUCAUACCUCUAAAUUCCGCUUCUGCACUUGAACGAGCGACGACAUUUUGCUUCUUACUUUUCCAUGUCACAAGAUUACCACCUACAAAGGUAAAGUAACCAGAUGUAGAUCGCCUAUCAUCCACUGCACCGACCCAAACAGCAUUAUACUUCUAUACUCUGAUGAUCAACAUUUUUAGCGAACAAAAUUCCCUUCCUAGGAGCAUUCUUCAAAUACCUCAAAAUACGCAUGACUACAUUCAUAUGUUGCUCUCCAGGAUUAUGCAUGUAUUGACUCACUACACUCAAUGUAUAAGCAAGAUCUAGUCUUGUAUGAGCUAAGUACAUUAAUCUCCCCACAAGUCUCUGGUAUCUUCCCUUAUCGAUUGAUACUUGAUUAGGCUCAACACACAAUUUCAGACCUUCUUCUAUUGGUGUAUUAAUAGGUUGACAUCCCGACAUUCCAGUUUCCUGUAGAAGAUCUAAGGCAUACUUUCUUUGAGACAGAAAAAUUCCUUCACUUGAUCGAGAAACUUCAAUCCCAAGAAAGUAUUUCAGACGACCAAGAUCUUUCAUUUCAAAUUCUCUAGAUAGAUACUUUUGCAAAGCUUUUCUUUCUUCAGGAUCAUUUCCUGUAACUACAUGUCAUCCACAUAUAUCAUAAGUGUCGUAAUCUUACCAUGUUGCUUUUUCAAGAACAAAGUGUGAUUUGAAUUACUUUGAUGAUAGCCAAAAGCUCUCAUUGAUUUUGUGAACCUUCCAAACCAUGCUCUCGGGGAUUGCUUCAACCCAUACAAUGACUUCUUCAAUUCGCACACCUUCUGACAUUGCUUUUCUGACACCAUGCAUCCUGGUGGAAGAUCCAUAUAUACUUCUUCAGAUAAAUCGCCAUGCAGAAAGACAUUUUUUACAUCGAACUAUUGUAAUGGCCAAUCUAGGUUUGCAGCUAAAGACAAUAAUACUCGAACUGUGUUGAUCUUAGCUACAGGUGCAAAUGUCUCUGUGUAGUCAAUUCCAUAAGUUUGAAUGUACCCACUAGUCUUGCUUUAAAUCGUUCAAUACUACCAUCUGCCUUGUACUUCACAGUAUAGAUCCAACGACACCCAACUAGCUUCUUUCCUGGUGGACAUUCUACGAGUUCCCAUGUUUCAUUUUUCUGCAAUGAUUUCAUCUCUUCAUUCAUGGUUGCUUUCCACUUUGGAUCAGCUAAAGCUUCCUGCACACUAUUAGGAAUAGCUACAGUAGAUAAUUGAUUUACAAAUGACUUAUUUGAUUCAGACAAACCAUGGUGUGGACCCGCAUUUUUCACGUGCGCCUCUACUCGAUCGGCGAGACUCGCUUUCUAUUUGUGAAAAAUUAAUUUUAGAAAAGUUGGAGUCGCCACCUAUUUUAUUUUUAUUUUGAAGGGAAAAUAAAACAAGAAAGAAAAACCCUAAAAAGUGACUCCAUAGUUUUGGAAAAAGCAUGUCUUUGGGAAACCUGAGUCUAGGUCCGGGGAUCAUGUUACUUAUUGGGAAGGUACCUCUAGGAGGUAGCACCCCUCUAAGCCUUAUGAAGGUCUCUACUAACUAAAUUAAGGGAAGUGUGGCAAUAAAUCGAUUGAUCAUAGAUACCUAAGUAGACUAGGUGAUUUUAAAGUGUGGCAUGUCAAACACAAUCAAAUUGCAAUAAAGGAGAGUUAGGGCGCGUACCUGAACCGCUUCUCAAGCGCUAUCAUAAAACAUCAAUGGUUAAUUUAAAUAAUAUAUCAUCCAGCAUGUAUUUUAUUAGAAAUAAUCAAACAAUGAAACAUGUAUAUCAGAACACUCAAGCAUUAUUAGACAUAAGCAUUAUUUCACUAUUCACAGAAUUCAGAAAGUAGGUGAUAGAGGACAUACCUGGAUAGCAUAGAUAAUUUGUAAUGUGCUUCCUCAAGUUGUAAGGGGUUAGAUAACAAAUAAUAAAAUAUAGAAAUCCUAGCAUGCUCGUUAUCUAAUUAGCAUAGCAAAAGUGAUCACAGUAUACAGAAUCAUCAAUUAUCACAUACAUCUUGUAUAUAAUUCCUAAAAAAAAUAGAUAGACAUGAUUUCAACAAGUGUCAAAUGUGGCAACAAAAAUAAAUUUUGAAAAGAUUUUCUUAUGUAGGGGUUUCACCAAUUCCCCAAAUUAAUAUACACGAAUUUAGCUUAGAAUUAUCCCAUUUAUUUGGGACUACAAGCUUUGAUUCGUGUUUUUGUUCAAAACCAAAAAUUUUUGUUGAAAAUCAAGAAGGAUGCGAACCGAACAAGAUAUGGUUGCAUAUUAUUUUUAAAUAAAUAAAUAAAUAAAUAAAGGAGAUUUUGAUCCUGAGGACUUUAAUGAGUUUUUUUUUUUAAAAUAGAUUUUUAAAAUGAUUUUUUUGAGAAAAGUAUUUUAUUUUAAAAUAAAAGGGAUUAAUUUGGGAAAAAAAUAAAAUAUAAGAAAUAAAAUACCAAACAAAACAAAAAUGAAACCUCAAAGUAAAAUUUUUUUAGUAAUUAACAAAAAUGAUAAUGGUGAUGGUAGAGGGCAAUCUUCAUGAUUUUCCAAUGGCCUCAGAAAGAAAAUCAAAUUAAAUGAAGGAUCACUAACAGGCAAGACAUUCUAAAUUAGACAAACUAACAAAGUAUCAAUUCAUGAACUAACCGCUAGGAUUUUGAAAGCAUAUAAGCUAAGAUAAGGGUGAUCAGGAACUAAUAUUAAUGAUUUUGAAAUAAAAACUAAAAAAAAGGAUCAAUUCGGGUAAGGAACUAAAAUUAUAAAAGUACCUAAACUAAUUAUGACGAGUUUGACUAAAUUAAACUAAAAACAUGAACUUUCAAACAUAGAAUUAAUUUUACUAAUGAACCAAAGCAAACUAAAAAUAUGUACUUUCAAGCAUAGAAUUAAUUUUAUUGAUGAACUAAACUAUAACAAAUAUCUAAACUAAAUAUAAUGAAUCAAAUUAAAUUAAAGCAACUUAAAAACGCAAACUUUCAAACAUAGAAUCAAUUUUAUCAAUGAAUUAAAACUAUAAAUGUAUUUGAACUAAAUAGAUGAAUCAAACUAAAUCAGAGCAAAAUUAAAAAAAAAAAAGAACUUUCUAACAUGAAAUCAAUUUUAUCAACAAAUAAAUGAAUGAAUAACAAGUAAUUAAAAGAAUAGCUACUACAUGAAUAACUGAAUGAAUAAAAUUCAAAUGUUUUCAAUCUGAAGCAAUCAAUCAAAAUUAAAUAGGGAUCAAAUCAAAAUAAUCGAAAUCGGAAAAACAAUAUGCAAUCUUUCUAAAGGUUUAACCAGACAAUUGAAUUAAAAUUAUGAAUAGAAUAAAUUAAUAAACCAAAUCGAAACCUAAAUUGUACCUAAAAAGAUUAAUUAAUUAAACUAAGAAAUCAAAAUCAAUAACAAAACUAAACUAAGGAGUAAAUUAAGACAAGACUAAUUAAAUUAAACUCACAAACACGUUUUAACUAUCAUAUGGAUUAAAACAAAAUUAGCAUGGACUUAUGAAUUACGAACAAAAAUAAUCAAAACUAUUUUAAAAAACUCACCUCUAUUAUAAGAAAAAAUCUGCCUUUGAUGCGUUGAGGUGGCUCCCCUCUCUGUGUGGAUCUCUCUGCUCCCCAGAAAAAAAAUGUCUCUUCCUCCGUUCUCUUUUGUUUCAGCAAAAUAAUAUAUCCCCUGCUGUGGAUCUCUCUACUCCCAGAAAAUAAUAUAUUCUCUCCGUGUCCUAAAGUGGACCUAGGGUGCCUAAGUGGACCUAGGGUGCCUAAAUGGGCCUAGGGUGCCUAAAUGGGCCAAGUGUAUCUAAAUAGGCUUAGGGUGCCUAAGUGGGCCUAAGUCUAAGUGAGCCUAAGUCUAAAUCAAGACUACCAAGGAUCAUAAUAAGGGGUUAGGCAAUCCCUUAACCAAAGUCUCCAAGGUGGCUAAAAAAAAGUAAGUAGUAUGAGUAGCUAUGGGUCACCAAGGAACUACUGUGGAGCAUUGAAAACGAAUUUAAAGACAUGUGCCAAAGGGACAAAAUUGAGGGUCUACAGAUGGUUAGACACAUAGUUGCUCAUGGGAUAUUUGACUUUGGUAAACAAUUCAGAUUCAUAUGUGGGUUUAGGAAUACCUUUAUUAUGACGGUGUGGUAAUCGUUUCAUGAAUGGAUCAGGUUGCAAAUUAAGAACACCCUCAGCAAACAACGAUUGGUUUGGUAUUUCAGUGAAGACAUCUUCGAACCCAAAUUGUUGACCACUCAUAUCCAACUCACCCGCUUCCUGGUUCACUAGUUCAGAUUGUCCAAAUUCAUCAUUCUCAUAGAUAUGAUAAUCAUAAUCGAGAGUCUGAAUUUCCUUAUGGUACUCCCCCUGAAGUUCAGACUUAGAUGAAAAAUACAUCGAAUAUUCAUGAAACAGCNNNNNNNNNNNNNNNNNNNNNNNNNNNNNNNNNNNNNNNNNNNNNNNNNNNNNNNNNNNNNNNNNNNNNNNNNNNNNNNNNNNNNNNNNNNNNNNNNNNNNNNNNNNNNNNNNNNNNNNNNNNNNNNNNNNNNNNNNNNNNNNNNNNNNNNNNNNNNNNNNNNNNNNNNNNNNNNNNNNNNNNNNNNNNNNNNNNNNNNNNNNNNNNNNNNNNNNNNNNNNNNNNNNNNNNNNNNNNNNNNNNNNNNNNNNNNNNNNNNNNNNNNNNNNNNNNNNNNNNNNNNNNNNNNNNNNNNNNNNNNNNNNNNNNNNNNNNNNNNNNNNNNNNNNNNNNNNNNNNNNNNNNNNNNNNNNNNNNNNNNNNNNNNNNNNNNNNNNNNNNNNNNNNNNNNNNNNNNNNNNNNNNNNNNNNNNNNNNNNNNNNNNNNNNNNNNNNNNNNNNNNNNNNNNNNNNNNNNNNNNNNNNNNNNNNNNNNNNNNNNNNNNNNNNNNNNNNNNNNNNNNNNNNNNNNNNNNNNNNNNNNNNNNNNNNNNNNNNNNNNNNNNNNNNNNNNNNNNNNNNNNNNNNNNNNNNNNNNNNNNNNNNNNNNNNNNNNNNNNNNNNNNNNNNNNNNNNNNNNNNNNNNNNNNNNNNNNNNNNNNNNNNNNNNNNNNNNNNNNNNNNNNNNNNNNNNNNNNNNNNNNNNNNNNNNNNNNNNNNNNNNNNNNNNNNNNNNNNNNNNNNNNNNNNNNNNNNNNNNNNNNNNNNNNNNNNNNNNNNNNNNNNNNNNNNNNNNNNNNNNNNNNNNNNNNNNNNNNNNNNNNNNNNNNNNNNNNNNNNNNNNNNNNNNNNNNNNNNNNNNNNNNNNNNNNNNNNNNNNNNNNNNNNNNNNNNNNNNNNNNNNNNNNNNNNNNNNNNNNNNNNNNNNNNNNNNNNNNNNNNNNNNNNNNNNNNNNNNNNNNNNNNNNNNNNNNNNNNNNNNNNNNNNNNNNNNNNNNNNNNNNNNNNNNNNNNNNNNNNNNNNNNNNNNNNNNNNNNNNNNNNNNNNNNNNNNNNNNNNNNNNNNNNNNNNNNNNNNNNNNNNNNNNNNNNNNNNNNNNNNNNNNNNNNNNNNNNNNNNNNNNNNNNNNNNNNNNNNNNNNNNNNNNNNNNNNNNNNNNNNNNNNNNNNNNNNNNNNNNNNNNNNNNNNNNNNNNNNNNNNNNNNNNNNNNNNNNNNNNNNNNNNNNNNNNNNNNNNNNNNNNNNNNNNNNNNNNNNNNNNNNNNNNNNNNNNNNNNNNNNNNNNNNNNNNNNNNNNNNNNNNNNNNNNNNNNNNNNNNNNNNNNNNNNNNNNNNNNNNNNNNNNNNNNNNNNNNNNNNNNNNNNNNNNNNNNNNNNNNNNNNNNNNNNNNNNNNNNNNNNNNNNNNNNNNNNNNNNNNNNNNNNNNNNNNNNNNNNNNNNNNNNNNNNNNNNNNNNNNNNNNNNNNNNNNNNNNNNNNNNNNNNNNNNNNNNNNNNNNNNNNNNNNNNNNNNNNNNNNNNNNNNNNNNNNNNNNNNAACCAAAGGAAGCAUGUUCCAGACGUCGAUGCCACAACCAAAUUUCAGACUUUUUCUUCUCCUCCUUAGAUCCAUCUGCCAUCAAGGCUUGUUGCAACUUAUUUGAAUCCUUUGAUUGCAAGUCCAAGUAUAGAGUUUCCCCCGCUUAAUACGACAACCAAUCGUCUGUCUUGUUUGAAUGUCCUUAAUCACACAAAAUUCAGGCCAAAAAAUGACAAUACAAGAUAAGGCUGCAGUGAUUUGAGAAACUAACAAAAGAUUGUAAUCUAAAGAUGGAACAACUAAAACAGAAUCCAAAUUCAAAGUAUCAGUAAGAGUUAAGGAUCCUUCCCCAAUGACUGGGGUUGUGUUACCAUUGGCUGUGGAAACAAUUUUUUGUGAGGAAGGUCUAAGGGGUGAAACCUGUCUAGAAUCAAAAGUCAUAUGAUCUGUAGCACCAGAAUCAAUUAUCCAUGCACUAUUAAUAACAGGUGUAAAAGUAUUUAAAAACUUACCACAAUGAUCUGUAGCGGCUACUAAUGCAGAGACUUUCUCAACAACAUUAGUCUUUGUUUUUAUUUCGGUAACAGUUGCAAUCAAGGUUUUCUUGGAAUUCUUCUUCCGUUGAUCACGAUUAUUAUCAUUAAUAACAAAGUGUUGAUAGCCUAAACAUGAUCUAAAGGUCCAUGGUGCAAACCCUCGGUUCCUCAUUGUUUUCCUGGUCAUACCAAGAGUUGUUGCUUUGAAAUUGUGGGAUAUCCAGACUGGUGGGAUCAGUUUUAUUGCAGUGAGUGCAUUUGAAUGUUGACUUAUCAAUAUUAGGGCUUGUCUUCGGAUGGUUGAUUGCUGUUGGACUACCAUAGCGACAAAAUAUCCAGGAUUUCAAUUCCAGGGCUCUGAUACCAUCUUCAAAUUGAUGAAUGAUAGUUUUUCAUUCAUUCUUUCAUGUACAGAGUAUAUAUAGAGGGUAAUCACCAUUCUAAGAAUGGGAAAGAAUGAUACGAGGAAAUAAUGAUAUAAGGAAAUAAUAACUAAUAUCCUAAUAUCUCAACUUUCCUAAUAUCUCAAUAUUCCUAAUAUCUCAACUUUCCUAAUAUCUAAACAUUCAUAAUAUCUCAACACUAAAUGAUACAAGGAAAGAAUGAUAUAAGGAAAACAUUCCUAAUAUCUCAACACCACUUCAUGAUAUAUAUAGUUUCUUACCCUUAAUCAAUGGUUUCUAAGUGAAUUUAUAUAGAAAGAAAUCCAAACUGUAGACAGCAGUAUUGGUAACACUCAAUAUUCUGUAUAUAAUAGAAUAAAUAGCGUCACAGUGAUCGUCGCCUACAAGCAAGGUACAAAUACCACAAAGAGUGACCCACAUAGACAUUCCCCAACAAGAUGUAGUAGUGACUGACACAUAGCCACAAUUAACACGUAGAAAAGGAUAAGACCGGUGCACAGUAGCUCUUAUUUUACAUACUACUUAUGCCAACCAAAGUCACUCAGUUGGGAUGGGAGGGAGAUGGAGGUUUGUGCGGUGGCUUGUGGGGCGGAGUUGAUGGCUUCUUUCCAGGAGCUUCUGGCUUUUUCAUCGGAGCUGAAGGAGGCUCAAUCUUAUGAGGCGGCUUGUACGAGUCUUCUUUGCUCUCGAAAGGAGGGUGGCCAGGGUUGUGACCAUAAUGUGGUGGUUUCUCUCCCUUGGGAGGUUUACCAAUUGGGGUUGGUGGCUUGUGUUCUGGGAGUGGUUUCUCUCCCUUGGGAGGUUUAGUGGGUGACUUGUGUUCUGGAGGUGGCUUCUCCACCGAAGGCUUGUGCUCCGGUGGUGGCUUUUUGGUUGGAGGGGGCUUGGGGUAAUCAGCAAGAGAUGGGGUGGUGAGAACCACCAGUCCAAGGAACAACACUAGCAAGUAUGUGGGAGACAUUUUUGAGUUUGGGCUGAUCAGAUGAUGCAAAACUAAAGCAUUACGUGACCUUUUAUAGCAAGUAGCUCCCAAUACCUACUUGACACGUGUUACUGUGACCCAUAAAUAUUAUGGGGUCUAUUUGUGCCCUACCGGGUUGAAAACUUGGACAAUUGGGCAAGGACCCGCCUGACUAUGGAGGACUACUGAGGUGUGAUCACAGCUUUAGGAUUUUUCUUCCUCUGCAGCCGUCUUGCCGUUGGCAUGAUUUUCUUAAUCUCAAAUAAAGGCAUAGUUAUAGAGUUGUUUAAUCUCUAAAUGGGAUUUUAUAUAUCUUCAGAUAGCCAUUAAUACAUUUGAUGAAGAAAGAAAGACAAGUGCAUACAACAUGUAUACGACUAGCUUUCAUGGAGUUCAUUUAUGAUCAGUUUUCCUGUACAUGUAAACCAAGAUCAUAUAUGUUUUUGUUCCACAACAAUUUUGGAAUCUUGUUUAUCCGUUUUUAUCAUUAUAAUGUCACAUAGGCUGCCAACUUGGGCGCUAAAUUAAAGAUCCAGUUGGGCAAGUUCGUUUCAGAAUUUCAAUGGUGGAUUCAGGAAUUGUUUUAUAAGAUAUGCAAAAUAGUAGAGGGAUGAAUAGUGUUUCAUUAAGAAAAGAGCCCUGUAAAAAUAUUGUUUAAAGGUGCCAUAGAAACUAUAAUCAAUAAAUAACUUUUUUUCCCCAUGGGUGGUGUUUCUUGUGGGGAUCAGUGACUGGUUUGAGUCAACGCCGUGUCUCUUUAGUCCAGAAAUCAACUAUUUUAUGCAUUGAAUACAUCAACAAAGAAAAUAUGAAAGCCAAAUGACACCUCCCCCGCAAAAACUAAACCCUGGUUGCUAACUUUCUAUGUUUCAGUUCCAUUCACACAAGAAUAUUAGUUCAAGUUUGAGAAAAAUGGCGACUUACCUAGUGAUAACUCGGUCUUGGUUUGCGAUUUGACUUUAACGUCAUGGGUUGAAGCCUCCUACAAUCAUCGUGUAUGCUAGUUCAAAGCUCGUGGAAGAAGUUAUACAGGGAGGGAGAAACCUCCACAGCAAGCUCCAAAAGAGAAUUAUCACAUUGAAAGCUCCAGUUGAACACUGGGUGAAAGCCAUAACAAGAUUGGUUUUCUAUCGCUCUUUUAAGUAAUGGAAGAUUAUUAUCUCUGCUUGUCACUACAACCGUGCAUGCUGCUAGAUCUUUCUAGACACUUCAAACAGUGAAACCAAGUAUGAUUCUUUUUCUCUUGAGUGGGUCCACUUGCAUGCCAAUGAACGAGUUGAAAAGUUGGACAAUUGGCCACAGCGCGCACUUACCUUCUGGAACCGAAGGUCAGUGAAGUGGGGUUCCUUUUGGCCCCUUGUGUUUCUGUUCCAACCUACUCCAGGAACCGAAGUUCAGUGAAGUGGGGCUACUUUUGGCCUCUUGUGUUUCUGUUCCAACCAAACAAAAAUGGGAGGGAAAAAUAGCAUUAUGCUUGUGCUAAAGAUCAACGCAUGAUAGCUGAAUAAGGGAGAAAAAGGCAUUGCUAUCUCAAUUUCAUAAACUUGAUAAGUAGUGACAUUAAUAGUCUUCCUCAUAGAUGGAUACAUGGUUUUAUUUUAUUUAUUUAUUUUUAUUUUUUUGUUUUAUGUCAAUGCUAAUGAAUGAAGUGCAUUAGCUUGUUUUGUGACUAGAACUACAAAUGUCCAAAUUGGAGCUUCUCCAAUAUAUUUCUCAGUGAGUUAUUGAUUAGAACUCUUGGAUUGAGUUCCAAGAUUUGAAUCAGACCCCUCUAGCAGCUUCAGGGGUACGUAGCAACCUAUAGCAUAUUAAUGAAGACUUAGGAUUUAGACUUAGGAAUACAAAUUAAUAUGUACCUCAUGCUCUGACUAGCUUCCCUGCGUAUGCACAAAAUGGAGAUGACUCCCAAAAAAAUAGCAGAAUCGCCUUAGUAUGUUUUUGUGGUUAAGAUGAUUCUCCACUUUAUAUAUCCACAUUGGUUCAUUAUGCAAAUUAAUCAACUAAGCUAUUUUUAUUUUUUCUUAAAUGUGAAAUAGGAGCUCCAAAUUAACCUAACCAUUGGCCUGAUUGAAUUGAUUUCACUUGCAUAAUGUUAUAGUAGAAGUCCGUAAUUUGAAUUUUAUUUUUGCAAAAGGUAACGUAAAUGAAGCAUUGUAAUUAAAUUUAUUUGUAAUUACAAACUAAUUUUAUUUUAUUAAGAAUUAAUUUAAUUACUCAUUUAAAAUAAAAAUCAGUUAUACUUUUACCAAGAUGAUAAUAUUCAUAUUUUUCUAGUUAACAUAUAUAAAAUAGUACACUUUUUCAUAUAAAAAAAUAAUUUAUGAUUUAUUAUAAUGUUACUAUUCACAUUUUACUAAAUUGAUGGUACAUGAUAGUGAGAGAAGGGGGUGUCACACUCAGCUAAAGUUCUUUUCAAAAUAUUGCAUGGUGUUUAAUUUUAUGUGUCGGCGCGCGUGUGAAUGGAACCUGCAAAAGUCCAAAUUGGCGUUUCUCCAUUUUCCACAUAGGAUGGUGACGUUAAUAGACAAAGAUACAAUAUCUGUAGACAUUGCUUAAAAAUCGAUGUGAAGUAUUAGAAAUUACAGGGCACUGUACUGGGGGAGCGGCUGCCCCGCCAAAGGAGGAAGAAUGUAGCAAUUUCUUCUGUUAGCCAGGCCUUAGGAUUUAUGCAUGGGAUGCCUAAUAACAAACAGAGAAAAUAUACUUUUGGGGAAGGUAUCCAACAACAGACACCAUCAUUCAGAUGGUGGGAAGGUAUCCAACAGAUGCCAUCAUUCAGAUGGUAACAUAUAUAUACAUUUAUUAGUGAGUUUUUUUAAUACCUAUAAAAAAAAAUAUACACUUUGAUAUUGUGGCUGAAUCCAUUACAUACUCAACUAACCUUGCUCAUUAGGGAUUUGACUUAACAAGGGCAACGUUGCAGUACAAGCUCAAAACUUUAUGCAGGUGACAUUACAUUUGGUAAAGAAGAGGAAAAUAACGAAAGCCAUCCAUAAAAGCAAAAUUCCACAUGGGAUGAAAUUCACAAGCUUCAUUUACGAUAGAGUCGCAUCCAGGCAAUUAAUUCCACAUUAGACCGCCUGUUGACAUGUGUACCAAUCUUUUUUCAAAAAAUAUUUAUAAAUAAUUGAUACUCACAAAAAUAAUUUAAUAUUUAUAAAGGAUAAAAAAAUAUUUUCAAAUCUAUAACAAUUUAUAAAAUAUUAAUAAAAAAUUAUCUCUUAAACUUAGUAUAGUUUUAUCAGAUUAAACUUUUAUUUUGAACAAAUAAUUUUAAUCUAAGUUUUAAAUUCUAAAAUUAUUUCCUUAAAAUAAAAUUUUAAAAUUCAACACUUCAAUUGAAAUUGUCUUUUUAAAAAAUAUCUUCUUAUUUUAAUCCUUAUAAACUAUAGUUGAUUGAAAAUACUAUUGAAGUUCUCUCUUAAAAAAAAGUCUUAUUUUAAUCUUCAUAAAUUGCCCUUGAUUUGAAAAUAAAUUUUCAGUUAUCAUAUUUUAAAUAAUAUCUAUAUUUAAAAUACUCUAUUUAAAAAAAAAUGAACUAAUUUUAAUUAUAUUAUAUUUUAUUUUUUUAUAUAUUUUUAAUGAUAAACCAAACAUAGAAAAUCAUUUUUCUAAAUAUUUUAAAAUUUCUAAGCAACCAAACAUAAUCUUCAAAAUAAAAGGAAAAUAAGGAGGGACAUUUGAGAAAUGGCGAUUAAAAAAAAGUGUACAAAAGCUCAAUUAAUUUUCUUCUAGUCUUUUAUAUAAAAAAGUAAAGGAAUUGAAAAGUAUUGAUAUGUAAAUUAAUAUUUGGAUUUUAAUAGUAUUUUAUUUGUCUUUCUCUAUCUCAUGUAAAAGAGAAUUUAAGAUAUUUCCUAAAGCAAAGCAUUAGUUAUCUGCAAUCAGUGGUGAUCAUGCCCCAUGUCAAUUUCGGACCCAUAUCUUAAAACUGUAUAAUUUGCAUUCAAACAUUACUGAUUUCUCAGAUGUUUCAUACUCCACAGAAGAGCAUUGUUUGUGAAAGCAUGCAUUUAUGUUGGAUUUUGGAUGAUGUGGGAACUGGGGCAAGGAUCAUAUGGAAGAGUGGUCGAUUUUGUUCUGUACUUUAACAUUUGAAAUAGGAGAAGCUCGGGCAUUUGUGGGGCUUAAUUGAUUUUGAAGCCUGAAAUUGCGUUUCUGUCAUUUUGUAAAAAAUAUGGCAGAUUCCAUGCUCUCAUAUGUUUGGUCUGUGGCCAUGUAUAGAUGCCCCUUAGUGACCAGUUUGUAACUGUCAAUCAUAGUGUUUUGACUCUGGCUCAACAACAUCAGCCAUUGACGGAUUUUCAUACUUGCAAAUCAAAUAGUCUUCUUCCUCCCUUAGGAAUUUCGGUUUAAAUGUUAUUAAGCAUACAUUUGGCUGACAAUUAUUAACCACUUCAUGAUAUGGUUUCUUACCCUUAAUCAAUGGUUUCUAAGUGAAUAUAUGCAGAAGGAAAUCUGAACUGUAGACAGCAGUAUUGAUAACUCUCAAUAUUCUUUAUAUAAGAGAAUAAACAACGUCAUAGUGAUCGUCGCCUACAAGAAAGGUACAUUUCCCAACAAGAUGUAGUUGUGACUGGUACAUGGACGCAAUUAACUCGUACAAAAGAAUAAGACCAGUGCACGGCAGCUCUUAUUUUACAUGCUAAUUAUGCUAACCAAAGUCACUCAGUUGGGAUGGGAGGGAGAUGGAGGUUUGUGCGGUGGCUUGUGGGGCGGAGUUGGUGGCUUCUUUUCAGGAGCUUGUGGCUUUUUCGGAGCUGAAGGAGGCUCAAUCUUAUGAGGCGGCUUGUACGAGUCUUCUUUACUCUCGACAGGAGGGUGGCCAGGGUUGUGACCAUAAUGUGGUGGCUUCUCUCCCUUAGGUGGCUUGCCAACUGGGGUUGGUGGCUUGUGUUCAGGAAGUGGUUUCUCUCCCUUGGGAGGUUUACCAAUUGGGGUUGGUGGCUUGUGUUCUGGGAGUGGUUUCUCUCCCUUGGGAGGUUUAGUGGGUGACUUGUGUUCUGGAGGUGGCUUCUCCACCGGAGGCUUGUGCUCCGGUGGUGGCUUCUCCACCGGAGGCUUGUGCUCCGGUGGUGGCUUCUUGAUUGGAGGGGGCUUGGGGUAAUCAGCAAGAGAUGGGAUGGUGAGAACCACCACUCCAAGGAACAACACUAGCAAGUAUGUGGGAGACAUUUCUGAGUUUGAGCUGAUCAGAUGAUGCAAAACUAGAAGAAUUACGGGACCUUUUAUAGCAAGUAUCUCCCAAUACCCACAUGACACGUGUUACUAUGACCAUAAAUAUUAUAGGGUCCAUUUGUGCCCUACCGGGUUGAAAACUUGGACGCUUGGCCGAGGACACACCUGACUAUGGAGGACUAUUGACGUGUGAUCACAGCUUUUGGAUUUUUCUUCCUGUGCAGCUGUCUAGCGGUUGGCAUUAUUUUCUUAAUCUUAAAUAAAGGCAUAGUUAUAGAGUUGUUUAAUCUCUAAAUGGGAUUUUAUAUAUCUUCAGAUAGCCAUUAAUAUAUUUGAUGAAGAAAGACAAGUGCAUACAACAUGUAUACGGCUUGCUUCAAUCGAGUACAUUUAUGAUCAGUUUUCCUGUGCAAGUAAACCAGUUUUUUGUUCCACAACUAUUUUGGAAUCUUGUUUAUCAGUUUCUAUCAUUAUAAUGUCACAUAGGCUGCAAACUUGGGCACCCAAAGAUCUAGGUGGGCAAAUUUGUUUCAGACUUUCAAUGGUGGAUUCAGUAAUUGUUAAAAGGUGUUUCUUCAUUAAGGAAAGAGUCCGGUAAAAAUAUUGUUAAAAGGUGUCAUAGAAACUAUAAUAAAUAAAUAACUUCUUUUCCCCAUGGGUGGUGUUUCUUCUGGGGAUCAGUGACUGGUUAGGGUCACCCAAAAUGAGUCCAGAUUAAAAUUGGUUCGAGUCAAAGCAGUCUCUUUUGUCCAGAAAUCAACUAUUUUGCGCAUUGAAUGAAUCGAUAAAGAAAAAAUGAAAGCCAAAUCACACCUCCCCUGCAAAACCUAAACCCCGGUUGCUAACUUUCUAUGUUUCAGUCCUAUUCAUAUAGGAAUAUUGGUUCAAGUUUGAGAAAAAUGGCAACUUACCUAGGGUUUACUUGGUUUUGGUUUGCGACUAUUUACGCAACCAACCAUGAGUUUGACUUUAACGUCAUGGGUUGAAGCCUCCUACAAUCAUGUAUGAUAGUUCAAAGCUCGUGGAAGAAAUUAUACAGGAAGGAAGAAACCUCCAAAGCUAGCUCCAAAAGAGAAUUAUCACAUCGAUAGCUCCAGAGAUUCCCAAGGGAACUGAAUCAAAGACAAGUUCCUCACUUUUUCUUCUUUUGAGGCCAAAUAUGAACCAAGGAUCACACGACCUCAUUCAACUUCAUAAGUUUGAUUUCAUGCAGUUGAACACUGGGUGAAGGCCAUGACAAGAAUUGAUUAAAAAAUUCUACCACUCUUUUAAGUAAUGGAAGAUUAUUAUCUCUGAUUGGCACCACAACAGCACAUGCUGCUAGAUCUUUCUAGACACUCCAUGCAAUGAAAGCACAAUGGAUCUUGUAAUGAUAGAAACUAAGCCAUGCUACAGUACUAGAUGAGGGGGUAAAACUAGUAGACAUCUUUCUAGACACUCCAUGCAAUGAAAGCACAAUGGAUCUUGUAAUGAUAGAAACUAAGCCAUGCUACAGUACUAGAUGAGGUGGUAAAACUAGUAGACAUGGCUGGCAGUUGAUUACUACUCAAAAAGUACUCUUUUAUAGCUUGAAACUAACUGUUUUAAACACUUUUGAGUAGUAGUUAAUACCUUUUAACUUAAUUGGCACAUUAAGGAACCUAGCAAGGGUUACUAAUCAACAUUUGGCAAGUUUUGAUGUUUUUGGUAGCUAUUUGAUCAUUGAAACAAGCCAAGAAUGAGGGGGAAUUUUGUGAAGUCCAUGGCAAUGCAAGUUAAAGCUCAAAUACAUGAAGAAUCCAAGCUUUGGAGCACUUCAUAGCCCUUUGCCAAGCCAAUCAAAGAUGCAAGGAAGAAAACCAAAGGAAGAAAUCCAACAAUCAGCAUUUUGGCAUGGCUAUGUGAAAUUUCGCACACCAUGCGAAACCACAAGAGGCAGCCAAAGAAUUUCGCAUGGUAUGCGAAAUCUUCUUGUGCACUGACUCUGUUAGAUUUUUAUCUUCAGAUAUUUUGUGUAAUUUCCUAGUUUCUCCUUGUAACCAACUUAGAUAUUUUCUUUUAUAUCUUUUUUUAUAUUUUUUAGGUAACAUCAUAUAUAAGAGGAGAGACAUAAGGAGGAUAUGGAUGUUUUUCAUAGAACACUUGUAAAUUUUUGGUAGUAAGAAAUAUACAAAGCUUUUUGCUCUGCCUUACCUUCUCAAGGGAUGAGUGGCUAGGUUUUCUUGGAGUGAGGGAAGCUAGGUGAAGGACCUGAAUGCAAAGGUGGGAGUUUUCCUUACUUUAAAUGAAAGUAGUUGUUAAACAUUAAUGGUUUUUAUUUUAAGGUUUAGCUUUAAAUCCCUGAAAAACACCUUGAAUGGCCAAUACUUGGUAAGCUUUUUAGAUUCUAUGGAUGCUUAUUGCUAGAUCCAUGGAUGUCUAUUAGUUAUCAUUUACGAGCCAUUGGAAGGUGAUUCAAGGUGAGGGUCUUUAGUGUUUGAAGCCAUUAAUGGGAAGCAAUUACCAUUUUUUCAUGAAUCCUUUGGAUCAAAUCUUAAUUGCUAAAUAUAAAACCGGUUUCGAGAGAUAACCACCAUCCUUUAUGUUAUUAUCCCCAACGCGAGGAGAAGAUCCGAAAUCUUCCUUUUUAUCUAAGGAACCCGAUCCUAGUGACCUAAAGCUCCAAGAUACCUUUUCUUUGUAGUUAACUUCAUUUAUUGUUUUUGCUUAACUUAAAAUCAAUCUUUGCAACCACAAUUCCAUUUUCUUUAAAAGCUAAUUUUUAUAAGGAAAAACACCAUUUUAUUUCCUUCACUAAGUCAACUGUACGAUGAAAACCCAUCCCUGUGGACGAUCCUAGAGCCACUAUACUAUGUUAGCUAUGCUACCCUAGUGUGAGGUGAUUUAGGUUUUAUAAAUUUUUUUGAUAACACCCAUCUGAGCCAGAAUCAAAUGGCACGACUGAACCAGGGACGAAUCAAAUGACGCCGCUACCAAGGAUGGUGCCAAAGUACAUUGACAUGACUUUUGGUGAACACUUGUGAUCUUCACCACAAGUUUGGUGAUUUUUCUUUUACUAAUUUUUUUUAUUUUAGCUUAUCUUUUAUUUAGUUUUUAGUUAACCUUAAAUUUUUCCUAGAAUUGUAUUUCUUUUGUUUUCUUUGUUUUUGUUUCAGUGAUCUUUAGUUGUGCAUGCCCUAUUGGAUAAGAGAUAUUGAGGGAAUACUUGUGAAGAUUGAAACUCCUCGAGAAACUGAGUUAGAAGUGUGCUUGAACAUCAUGGAUGUUCCACCUGAAGACCAGAAUAGCCAACAUGGUUAAGAGGAUAAUUUCAACACAUACCGAUCCAUGAGGAACCGCAUACAUCCACCUUGUAUGAGUGCACCGUCAGGCAUAAUGCCUCCCACUGAGCAGCUAGUAAUCUGACCUCACAUUGUGCCACUCCUACCUACUUUCCAUGGGAUGGAGAGUGAGAAUCCCUACUCGCAUAUUAAGGAAUUCGAGGAGGUUUGUAAUACAUUCCAAGAAGGAGGAGCUUCAAUUGACUUGAUGAGGCUCAAGCUAUUUCCUUUCACUUUGAAGGAUAAGGCCAAGAUUUGGCUUAAUUCUUUAAGGCCAAGAAGUAUCCAAACUUGGAUUGAUUUGUAAGCCGAGUUUCUUAAGAAGUUCUUCCCUACCCAUAGGACCAAUGGUUUGAAAAGGCAAAAUUUGAACUUCUCAGUUAAAGAGAAUGAGAAAUUCUAUGAGUGUUGGGAGAGCUACAUGGAAGCUAUUAACGUUUGUCCUCACCAUGGCUUUGACACAUGGCUCUUAGUGAGCUAUUUUUACAAUGGUAUGUCUUCUUCAAUGAAGCAACUCCUAGAAACUAUGUGUGGAGGAGACUUCAUGAGUAAGAAUCCGGAGGAAGCCAUGGACUUUUUGAGUUAUGUGGCUGAAGUUUCAAGAGGAUGGGAUGAACCAAAUGCUAGAGAGGUGGGAAGAAUGAAGUCUCAACCUAAUGCUAAGGGUGAGAUGUAUGUUUUGAAUGAAGACAUUGACAUGAAAGCAAAGGUUGCAGCUAUGGCAAGGAGAUUGGAAGAGCUAGAAAUGAAGAACAUACAAAAAGUGCAAGCCAUUUCUGAGACAUCAAUGAAAGCUAUGCCUUGUUCCAUUUGUCAAUCUUAUAAGCACCUAGUGGAGGAGUGUCCUACAAUUCCAGCAGUGAGAGAGAUGUUUGGUGAUCAAGCAAAUGUUAUUGAUCAAUUCAAGCCUAAUAACAAUGCUUCAUAUGGCAACACCUACAAUUCAAAUUGGAGGAACCAUUCAAAUUUCUCUUGGAAACGAAAGCCACCUCAAUACACACAACCUACUCAAGCACCUUAGCAAUCCUCGAAUCUUGAACAAGCUAUUGUGAACCUUAGCAAGGUUGUGGGAGACUUUGUGGGAGAUCAGAAGUCCAUCAAUGCUCAACUGAAUCGGAGAAUUGACAGUGUGGAGAGUACAUUGAACAAAAGGAUGGAUGAGAUGUAAAAUGAUCUGUCUCAAAAGAUAGACAAUGUCCAAUACGUAAUCUCAAGGCUUACCAACCUCAACACAGUGUAAGAGAAAGGAAAGUUUCCUUCUCAACCUCAUCAAAAUCCUAAGGGUAUCCAUGAAGUAGAGGCUCAAGAGGGAGAAUCUUCAAAGGUGAGGGAAGUCAAAGUAGUUAUCACCUUGAAGAGUGGUAAAGAGGUUGAUCAACCCACAUCCAAGCCAAAGCAUAAUGAAGAGAGUGUAGCAGAAAAAGAAAAGAGAGGAAAAUAAAGGAAUUAGAAUAGAGAAAAAUACAAAGAAAGAUGACCAUGAGUCUAGUGUGGAUGAAGAGCCCGAGAGGAUGGUGAUCAAGGAAGAUAUGAUGAAGAAACACAUGCCUCCACCUUUCCCCUAAGCUUUGCAUGACAAAAAAAGAACCAAUAAUACAUCAGAAAAUUUUGAAGUAUUGAGGCAAGUGAAGGUCAAUAUCCCUUUGCUAGACAUGAUCAAACAAGUGUCGACAUAUGAAAAAUUCUUGAAGGACUUGUGCACUGUAAAGAGAGGGUUGAAUGUGAACAAGAAAGCUUUAUUGACCGAGCAAGUGAGUUCCAUCAUACAGUGCAAGUCCUAGUGAAGUACAAAGAUCCGGGUUGCCGUACCAUCUCAGUGAGUAUUGGAAGGACUUGUGUGGAGAAAGCUUUGUUGGACUUGGGAGCAAGUGUGAAUUUGCUAUCCUACUCUGUCUAUAAGCAGUUGGGAUUUGGAGAGUUGAAGCCAAUAUCCAUCACUCUAUCUCUAGCGGAUAGAUCAAUGAAGAUUCCAAGAGGGAUGAUCGAAGAUGUCCUGGUUCAAGUUAACAAAUUCUACUAUCCAGUAGAUUUUGUUGUUCUUGAUAUGGAUCCGGUUGUCAAAUGAACUAAUUAUGUUCCUAUCAUACUUGGAAGACCCUUCCUAGCUACAUCAAAUGCAAUCAUCAAUUGUAGGAAUGGAGUCAUGCAACUCACAUUUGUCAACAUGACAUUAGAGCUCAACAUCUUCCAUUUGUACAAGAAGCAUAUCCAUCAGGAGGAAAAAGAAGGUCUAGAGGAAGUGUGAAUGAUUGACACUUUAGUGGAAGAGCAUUGUGAUCGAGAAUGCAAAAAGAUUUAGUUGAGAAUUUUGGGGAUCUUGAUGAAAGGUUACUUGAACCCUCAGAUUUGCUUGCUACCCUACUCCAUUGGAAGAGAAGAGAAGAAAUUCUACCCUUAUUCAAUGAGGAGGAGACGCAAAGAGCUGCAAAGGAGAAACCCCCAAAACUUAUUCUUAAGCCACUACCCACAGAGUUGAAGUAUGUAUACUUGGAAGAAGACAAGAAGUGCCCUAUUGUUAUAUCUUCAACUCUUACCAUUCAUCAGGAGGAUUGUCUACUUGAAGUCCUUAGAAGAUGUAAGAAGACAAUAAGGUGGCUAAUUUCUUAUUUGAAAGGGAUCAGCCCUUUAGUCUGCACCCAUCAUAUUUACAUGGAGGAUGAAGCUAAGCUAAUUCAUCAACCUCAGAGAAGGUUGAACCCUCACAUGCAAGAGGUGGUUCGAGCUGAAGUUCUGAAGCUACUUCAGACCAGUAUUAUUUACCCCAUAUCAAAUAGCCCAUGGGUGAGUCCUACUCAAGUUGCGCCAAAGAAGUCUGGGAUCAUGGUGGUGCAAAAUGAUAAGGGAGAAGAUGUCUCUACACGCCUCACUACAGGUUGGAGGGUGUGUAUCAAUUACAGGAGGUUGAAUGCAGUGAUAAGAAAGGACCAUUUCUCAUUGCCCUUUAUUGAUCAGGUGCUUGAGAGGGUCUCUGGGCUUUUUUUUUUAUUGUUUCUUGGAUGGCUACUCCGGGUACUUUCAGAUAGAAAUUGAUGUUGAAAACCAAGAUAAGACCAUUUUCACAUGCCCAUUUGGAACCUAUGCAUAAAGGAGAAUGCCUUUCGGCUUAUGCAAUGCACCCGCAACUUUCCAAAGAUGCAUGUUAAGCAUUUUCAGUGAUAUGGUGGAGCGUAUUAUGGAAGUCUUUAUGGAUGAUAUCACCAUUUAUGGAAGUGCAUUUGAUGAAUGCUUGGUCAACUUAGAAGCUGUUCUGAACCGAUACAUUGAGAAAGACUUAGUGCUUAACUGGGAGAAGUGCCAUUUCAUGGUACACCAAGGGAUUGUCCUUGGGCACAUUAUCUCCAAGCAAGGCAUUGAAGUUGACAAAGCAAAGGUUGAACUCAUUGUUAAGUUGCCAUCCUCAACAAAUGUCAAAGGAGUAAGGCAAUUCUUUGGCCAUGUCGGGUUCUAUAGGAGGUUUAUCAAGGAUUUCUCUAAGCUUGCAAGGCCUCUUUGUGAAAUAUUGGUGAAUGAUGUUAAAUUCAUAUGGGAUGAUGGAUUUGAAAGGAGUUUUGAAGAAUUGAAGCUAUUUUUGACAACCGUACCAAUAGUGAGGGCUCCCAACUGGCAACUGCCCUUUGAAGUAAUGUGUGAUGUCAAUGAUUUUGCUAUAGGAUUUUUUCUUGGGCAAAGAGAAAAUGGAAAACCUUAUGUGAUCUACUAUGCGAGGAAGGCAUUGAAUGAGGCACAAAGAAACUACACAACCACCGAGAAAGAAUUGUUAGCUGUAGUUUUUGCCUUGGAUAAGUUUCGCGCUUACUUGGUGGGGUCCUUCAUCAUGGUUUUUACUGAUCACUUUGCUUUGAAGUAUCUGUUGACUAAGCAAGAUGCUAAAGCAAGGCUGAUUAGAUGGAUUCUCUUACUUCAAGAGUUCAAUCUCCAUAUCAAAGAUAAGAAAGGAGUGGAGAAUGUGGUAGCAGACCACAUUUCAAGGCUAGCUAUCGCACAUAAUUCCCAUGCUUUGCCCAUUAAUGACGAUUUUCUAGAGGGGUCUCUCAUGUUGGUGGAAGUUGUCCCUUGGUACGCUCACAUUGCUAACUACCUGGUCACGGGAAAAGUUCCAAGUGAGUGGAAAGCACAAGAUAAGAAGCACUUCUUUGCAAAAAUUCAUGCCUACUAUUGGGAAGAGCCAUUUCUAUUCAAGUAUUGUAUGGAUCAGAUAAUAAGGAAGUGCGUUCCUGAAGAAGAGCAACAGGGGAUCCUUAGUCAUUACCAUGAAAAUGCAUGUGGAGGCCACUUUGCUUAUCAAAAGACAGCCAUGAGGGUGUUGCAAUCGGGUUUCUGUUGGCCAUCACUUUUCAAAGAUGCCCACACCAUGUGCAAGAGUUGUGAUCGAUGCCAGAGGCUUGGGAAGUUGACACGCAGGAACAUGAUGCCUUUGAACCCCACUUUAAUAGUUGAUAUUUUUUAUGUUUGGGGCACUAACUUCAUGGGACCUUUCCCUAUGUCUUUUGGCUACUCUUACAUCUUGGUAGGAGUAGAUUAUGUUUCUAAGUGGGUUGAGGCAGUCCCAUGCAAACACAAUGACCAUAGAGUGGUUCUCAAGUUUCUUAAAGAGAAUAUCUUCUCAAGAUUUGGGGUGCCCAAAGCCAUAAUUAGUGAUGGGGGUACUCAUUUUUGCAACAAGCCUUUUGAAACUCUCCUAGCCAAGUAUGGGGUGAAGCAUAAGGUAGCUACACCUUACCACCCUCAAACUCAUGGACAAGUUGAGUUAGCAAACAGGGAGAUUAAAAACAUAUUGAUGAAGGUGGUGAACACAAACAGAAAAGAUUGGUCAGUCAAGCUUCUUAAUUCACUAUGGGCAUAUAGAACAACUUACAAGACCAUUCUCGGGAUGUCUCCUUAUCGCCUAGUUUAUGGCAAAGCAUGCCAUCUCCCUGUGGAAUUGGAAUACAAAGCUUGGUGGGCAAUCAAGAAGCUCAACAUGGAUUUGAGCAGAGCUGGGUUGAAGAGGUUCUUAGACCUUAAUGAGAUGGAGAAAUUGAGAAAUGAUGCCUACAUCAAUUCAAAAAUUGCAAAAGAAAAAUUGAAGAGGUGGCAUGAUCAGUUGAUUUCCCGCAAGGAUUUUCAAAAUGGACAAAGAGUCUUACUUUAUGACUCUAAACUCCACAUCUUUCCGGGCAAGCUGAAAUCAAGGUGGAUAGGUCAUUUUACCAUUCACCAAGUGCAUUCAAAUGGAGUAGUGGAACUACUCAACUCCAACAAUAUCGAGAACUUCAAAGUGAAUGGCCACCGUCUCAAGCCCUUUGUGGAGUCUUUUUCUCACAACAAGGAGAAAUUCAUCCUCCUUGAUCCACAUCAAGCUUAACAAGACCAAUUUUCUUGAUGGACUUAGUCUUUCUAAAGACUAUCGAGUCCAUAACUUUUUGUUUUAUUUUUUAUUUGAGAUUUUUUCGGUAUUGUUACUUGUUUUGUUUUUUAUUUUUCGUUUUAAUUUUAUUUGGUUUGAUUUAACUUAGGUUUUUGAUGAUCAAUUACAGGGGGGAUUUCAAAUAGAGGAAAAACCAAGAUAAUUCGCACACCCUACGAAAAUUUCGCAAGGCAUGCGAAAUUUAUGGCUUAUUUUGCAUGGGGUGAAAAUUUUCGUACAUCUUACGAACCAAUUUCGAACACUUUGCGAAAAUAAACCAACCCUGCGAAAUCAUUUCGAUUACUCUACGAAAUUUUCGUAGAGCAUGCGAAAAAUUUAGCACACCAAACACCAUUUCGCAUACUAUGCAAAAACCUAAGGGGUCUGCGAAACCAUUUCGCACCUCCAAAUCCAUUUCGCACAUUGUGCGAAAACCAAGAGGCGCUGUGCGAAAAUGAAAAGUCGCCCUGUCAUCCCUUUUUAAACCCCUCGAGCCCUAAAAUCUCCAUUUCGCAAGCACCCCUGUCCUUGCGAAUCCCUCAUUUUCCUCUACUACCUUGCAACCUCGUCCCUUUCCAUUUGAUAUUGUGCCCCGCGCACAUCUCAUUUCAGAGACUCGCACUCCGCGCCCCCUCAAAGCAUGGACUCGAGACCCACCUUCCAUUUCCGACGUGGCACGGACCCAAGGAGCCCUUUCUGCCCCUUCACUAAGACACACACCAAGGCAGAAAGCCUCCUUUGCUCAAGUGCCUAGUGAUUCUCCAUCUUAGGCCUCAGAGGCCUCGGAGGCCCCGUGGAUUCCACCUUCCGAGGGUAGAGCAGCCAUUGGUCCUUCCUCUUCUACUCCUUAGCGUAGAUACGAGACGAGGAGACCACCUACUACACAAGGGGCGACUACUUCGAGCCUUGAGAAUUCAGUACGAUGCCUUCCUGCCAAGAGGGUCAAGACUUCAGGUCCAAGUGAGUCAUCCAGAGCUUCAUAGCCUAAGCCUCCUGUAGAUUCCAAGGUUCCUACUGACAUAUCACCGGAGUCUAUUAUCAGAAGCCCGAUGCUCAUAGCACCGCCCAUUGAGGGCAACUCAGAUUAUAGAGCGAGAUCUUUCCACUUGGAGCUAUAUUUUGAUCAGGAGGCCAUACGACAGCAGCCUGAGCUCCGAGACUCUUAUGGCUUACUGCAGAGGUACCAUCUUGAGGAACUUAUGACUCCUCGUGAGUUUUUUUAUCCCAGAGUAGCACUAAACUUUUACCAGUCCAUGACUACUCGUGGCGUCCCGAGUCCUACCACGAUUCACUUCACCAUUGAUAGACGUCAUGGUAUCCUCAAGGCCAGACAUAUUACAGAGGCUCUACAAAUUCCUUUCGAGCUAGAGGAUCCAUCUGUUUUUCGCUAAUGGUCCCCAGUAUCUCAGAGGGACAUGGUCCGUAUUUUAUCUAGGGGAACAUCUACAGAUUCGAUCUUUCUACGGAAGGAGCUUCGACCUGGGAUGCUCCUCUUAGAUGUGGUGCUAUGCUCCAACCUCUUUCCCUUACAACAUUCGGUACAUAGGUGAUGAGCUAUUUUGGACGCUUUAUUCCGUAUAUCAGAGGGCUUCUACUUUGGCCCGCACCACUUGAUCAUGGUCUCCCUCAUCCACUUUGAGGAGAAGGUUCAUAGGAAGAAGCUUCAGAGGGUGGACACCAUUCCAUUACUAUUCCUGAGGUUACUUUGCCAGGUCUUGGAGUACAUGGGCUUUCCUACUGAGCCUCGGCUCGAGCUUUGCCGCCUUUGUCGAGAGUGAUCCACUCUCGACAAAUGGAAUUAGUUGGCGGGCUAUUCUGCACCUCCAGGAGCCCCUCCCAUGGUAGCACCUCCAAUGUCCCCACAGGCAAAGUAGGGCGAGCUCCCGGCAAAGACUGUACCACCAAUGCCCACACUUGAGGCUAUUUCUGCUGCUCUGCCUAUGACUCCUACUGUUCCACCAGUUGGUCCUUUUACAUCCGAGCCUUCCAUCACCAUCUCGGCUUCGGAGUUUCGCGCCCUUGUGCAUACCUUUCAGACACUCACCACCACACAUACUCCUCUCUUCUAGCAAAUGGUUGAGAUGUGUGCCCAUCAGGACCGGAAGACUACUAUACUCUGCCAAAUUCAGCAGCACCUAAGACUUUUGCCUCAACCUCAACCUAACCAUCCCAUAUCAUCAGAGCCUCUAGCUCCAACUGAGGAUACUAUUCCACCUGAGAACACUACCACAGUAGAGGUCCGGUUUCCACCACCUUAAGAGGCCACCACAGCUACAUCAGAGGAUGUGUCAUCUCCACUUGAGGCUCCCACUACUUGAUCAUAGGACAUAUCUUUAUCUUAUUGUAUUUACAUAUUAUAUUACUAGAGAUUUGUCCUUGUUUUGAUACUUUAUAUUCUGGGAUUGGAUGUAUUGCCUGAUGAUAUCUCAAUUGUACUUUCUCAUAUUAAUAUAUAGACAUCAAUUUUUUUUAGUAUACUUAGCAUUUUUCUAUUUCCUCUACUCAUUACUCUUUUGUUUUUUUUUACUCAUGUGGUUUCUCUUAUACAACUCAGACUCCAUUUCACUCAGGAGGUACCACUUCCUCCCUUUAUUUUCAAUUGCUCUUGAAAUAUUGAGUGCAAUGUUGAUCUUGGUUGGGGGGAGAGUUGAGGAAGGAAGUUUUGUUAAUAAUGCUAGGUUAAUUUGUUAAUUUAGUUACUUUCUGCUUAAUUUUAAAAGUUUUCACUCUACUUUCCAUGGUUAUUAAGGAAAAAUUCUCAAAAUGAAAUGGGAGAAAUCGAAUUCUUGCAUUUUUACUUGAAUCUUAGAAUUUGUAUCAUGCUUAUUAAAGUUGAUGAAUUAUUGAAACUCCUAUUGAAUUCAACCUUAUUUUUUCCACUUUAAUCUUACCACACACGGUGCACAUUAGGUUCCAGUUAUAAGAUAAAAAACUAUCUCACCCCCUAAACUUAGAAAAAUUUACACUUGGUACCUUUGACAUCGUUUUAAUAGUGUUGGGACACCUUAUAAAAGGCCAAUGAGCCUUUAAAAAAAAAAAAAAAAAAAAAAAGAGAAAGAACAAAGUAUUGCACUUGCCUUGAAACCUGAGCAAGAUCCGAGGGGUAUACAGUGAAAGUCUUUAAAACCUGGUGCCCUAAGCCUUGAUUGGUUGGGAGUCACCGACCUCAAUGCUCGUUAUAAGGGUGAAUAGGUGGAGUUUAACAUAUUGUAGGUGCUUGGGUAUUGAAUUUCAAUCUCAAAAGUCCGGGAAAAAAUCUAAGGAGUUAGUGGUCAAAAGAUCCUUAAAGCUUGAUGCCCUAAACCUUGAUUGGUUGAGAGUCAUUGAUGGAUCCCCGCUACAUGGACAUUUUAGAAAACAAUACCUUUAGCAUUGCACGCCUACAAUGAAAAAAAAAUGUGAAAUAAAAGAGGUGCGUUCUUAGCCUAUUGGAGGUUGGUCAGUUUGCUAAAGUUUGAGAAAUCUAGGUUGGGGGGAGAGAAUAGUCCGACAUACUAUAAUAAAAAACUAAUAACCUUAACACUUAGAUUUUUGUGGAAGAGUAAGGAUUGGACCUUUAGGGGUGGAAAUUCUUUUGAUGCUUAAAUUUGCAUAAUGCCUACUCUUUAUAAAUUAUGAUUAGGCAAGAGAUUUGAUGACUCUUGUUCAAAGUUGGGUUUUUCCUCUUUGAUGUUCCAUGAGAGAGUAUAAUCCUCAUCAUGCCACUUGAAAUCUUUUUGGAGUGAUUAACAUGAUUUUGUAAAUUAUUUUACUGUCUAUUUUUCUUUAUCUCUCUUUUAUUGCUAAUGGACUAGCAAUAUGUCAGUUGGGGGGAGUGAUUACUACUCAAAAAGUACUCUUUUAUAGCUUGAAACUAACUGUUUUAAACACUUUUGAGUAGGUGUUAAUACAUUUUAACUCAAUUGGCACAUUAAGGAACCUAACAAGGGUUACUAAUAAGUUUUUGGCAAGUUUUGGUGUUUUUGGUAGCUAUUUGAUCAUUGAAACAAGCCAAGAAUGAGGGAGAAUUUUGUGAAGUCCAUAGCAAUGCAAGUUAAAGCUCAAAUACAUGAAGAAUCCAAGCUUUGAAGCACUUCAUAGCCCUUUGCGAAGCCAAUCAGAGAUGCAAGGAAGAAAACCAGAGGAAAAAAUCCAACAACCAGCAUUUUCGCAUGGCUGUGCGAAAUUUUGCACACCAUGCGAAACCACAAGAAGUAGCCAAAGAAUUUUGCACACCAUGCGAAAUUUCGCAUGGUAUACGAAAUCUUCCUAUGCACCAACUCCGUUAUAUUUUUAUCUUCAGAUAUUUUGUGUAAUUUCCUAGUUUCUCCUUGUAACCAACCUAGAUAUUUUCUUUUAUAUCUUUUUUUUAUAUUUUUUAGGUAACAUCAUAUAUAGGGGGAGAGACAUAAGGAGGAUAUGGAUGUUUUUCAUAAAACACUUUUAAUUUUCUGGUAGUAAGAAAUAUACAAAGUUUUUUGCUCUGCCUUACCUUCUCAUUUUGUUUUCACCUAUCUUUCUAGCCAAACAACCUCUGAGAAUGAUUUCUCAGGGGAUGAGUAGUUAGGUUUUACGUUUCUUGGAGUGAGAGAAGCUAGGUGAAAGACCCAAAUGCUAAGGUGGGAGUUGUCCUUGCUUUAAAUGAAAGUAGUUGUUAAAUAUUAAUGGUUUUUAUUUUAAGGUUUAGCUUUAAAUCCCUUAAAAACACCUUGAAUGGCCAAUACUUGGUAAGCUUUUCGGAUUCUAUGGAUGCUUAUUGCUAGAUCCAUGGAUGUCAUUAGUUAUCAUUUAUGAGCCAUUGGAAGGUGGUUCAAGAUGAGAGUCUUUAGUGUUUGAAGCCAUUAAUGGGAAACAAUUACCAUUUUUUCAUGAAUCCUUUGGAUAAAAUCUUAAUUGCUAAAUAUAAAACUGGUUCGGGAGAUAACCAUCCUUUAUGUUAUUAUGCCCAAUGCAAGGAGAAGAUUUCGAAUCUUCUCAUUUGUCUAAGGAACCCGAUCCUAGUGACCUAAAGCUCCUAGAGACCUUUUCUUUGUAGUUAACUUCAUUUAUUGUUUUUGCUUAACUUAAAAUCAAUCUUUGCAACCACAAUUCCAUUUUCUUUAAAAGCUAAUUUUUAUAAGGAAAAGCACCAUUUUAUUUCCUUCACUAAGUCAACUGUAUGAUGAAAACCCAUCCCUGUGGACGAUCUUAGAGCCACUAUACUAUGUUAUCUAUGCUAUCCUAGUGUGAGGUGAUUUAGGUUUUAUAAAUUUUGUUGAUAACACCCGUCUGAGCCAGAAUCAAAUGGAACCACUGAACCAGGGACAAAUCAACAGCCUAUAUGGGAGGGACACAAGUUUAAUUGAUUUGCAUUUCAGCGUUAUAGAUAAGUAUGUUUUGGAAGAUUUGUUCUGGAAAUACUGCACCAAGUACGAUUCUUUUUCUCUUGAGUGAGUCCAUUUGCAUGCCAAUUAACGAGUUGAAAAGUAGGAGCACCUACCUCGUGCUCAUGGAACCGAAUGUCAGUGAAGUGGGGCUCCUUUUAGCCUCUUGUGUUUCUGUUCCAACCAAGGCGGCGUAGGGAAAAACAACAAUAUGUCUGUGCUAAAUAUCAACGCAUGAUAGAUGUUUUUUUUUUUUUUUUUGGUAUGUCAAGGCUAACGAAUGAAAUGCAUUAGCUUGUUUUGUGACUAUAACUGCAAAUGUCCAAAUUGGAGUAUCUCCAUUUCUCACUUCGGAUGGUUAACUUUAUAAACAAGAUAUAGGAAACAUGUGAACAUCUUGAGGAACAAUUCAAAUUAUUCAUUAGAAGUCCUGGGUUAAGUUCCAAGAUUUAAAUCAGACCCUUCUAGCAGCUUCAAGGGUACUUAGCAACCUAUAACAUAUUAAUGAAGAUUUAGGAUUUAGACUCCGGAAUACAAAUAAAUAUGUAUCUCAUGCUUUGACUAGCUUCCCUACAUAUGCAUAAAAUGGAGAUGACCCAAAAAAAAUAGCAGAAUCUAGCUUCCCUACAUAUGCACAAAAUGGAGAUGACCCAAAAAAUAGCAUAAUCGCCUUAGUUUCUGUGGUUAAGGUGAUUCUCCGCUUAAUAUCCACAUUGACUCAUUAUGCAAAAUCAACUGAGCUAAUUUUAUUUAUUUAUUUAAUGUCAAAUAGGAACUCCUAAUUAACUGAUUACUGUCGAAAAGUGCUAUUUUGUAGACCUAAUUAUAAGGGUUUUAAGCACCUUUGAGUAGUAAUCAUAUUCAUUUAACCUAAUUAAUUCAUUAAGCUCCUUAGUAAUUAGUUCUAACCAUUUUUAGUGGCAAGUUUACAUGUUUUUCAUCAGCUUAUGAACCAAUUCAAGCAUGCCAAUUGAUGGAGGAGCUACUUGGGCGAGUUAAGCAAGGAUUUUGGACGUUUACAGGCUUGAAUUUCAAGUGGAAACACGAGCACAAGCAAUGGGAACACCAUUUCGCAAGGGGAGGCAAUUCACCUUGCCAAAUGACCAAUUUCGCAAGGGGAUUUUCCUCAUGGUGCAAAAUUUGGUCAUUUCGCACCAUGAAGAAACCACCUUGCAAAAUUUCGCAAGGUGGAUUUAGGCACCUUGCGAAAUGCCAAAUUUCACAAGGUGGCUUUUCACCUUGCGAAAUUUGGACCUUUCAUCUUCCCCCCUUGCGAAAUGCCUUUGAAAUCCCCUGUUUUGAGACGCUGUUGAUGAUAUUCCACUGCCGGUUCUCCAAGAUAUUUUGCUUGACUUUUAGCUUUAUAAAUACCUAUUUUACCCUUGUAAUCAACCAAUGAAAAGGUUGCUUUUGUAAUAGCUCUUGUAAUUUAGCUUUUUAUUGUCUUUAAAUAGAGGUGAAGAGCCUCAGACACGAUCAUCUUGUAACCUGUAACUUUAUAAGUUAUAAGAGCACUUUUGUUCAUACGCUUCUUUUCUCUUUUCUUUCUCAUUUUCUUAGUAGCCAAACAUCCUUGGAGGAUGAAAUCCCCAAGGAUGAGAGGCUAAAACCUUUUAGUUUCUUGAAGUAAUGGAUGCCAUGUGAAGCUCCCGUGUCAGGAUGGAGAUUUCCAAGCCAUAAAUGUAAGUAGCUGAGCGUCAUAAAUGUUUUCAUUCAAAGUAAAGCUUUUAAUCCCUCUGACUUGCUUUGAAUGGCCAAUACUUGAUAACCUUUUGGUCUCAAUGGAUUCUUAUUGUUAGAUCCACUGACGUUCAUUAGUUAUCUCCUACGAGCCAUUGUAUUGCAAGUCGAGGAGAUGACCUAUACCAAUAAAAGAGCAUUUAUGAGGUUCAACUACCCUUUUUGUAAGUUUUCAAGGACUAAAACUCAGUUGUUAAACUCAUACCGGUUCGAGAAGUAAGCAUCACCUUAGUUGCUUCCCCAACUCGAGGUGAAAAGUCCCAAAAUCUCCAUUUUUACACAGUGAGUUAAGCAUGGCUAUCCAAAGCUUUAAGAAACUUCUUUUUCCAUCUUUUAACCUAUUUUCAUGUUAGUUUAGUUUACAACACCUUCAUCUUUUUAUGUUUUCAUCUUAACCUAAUUUUUAUUAAGAAAAGUUCACUCCAUCCUCCGAACUUCACCAGUUAAAGUAAAAACCCUUCCCAGUGUUCGAUCCUAGAGCCACUAUGCUAUAGUAGCUUUGCUACUUUAGUGUAAGGACCUUAGGUAUAAAUUUUGUUGAUACCCUUACAUGCCAAGCUACCAAGAGUCGGGUUAUCAUUAACCUAACCAUUGGCCUGUGUAAAUUGAUUUCACAUGCACAAUGUUGUAGUAGAAGUCCAUAUUUUGAAUUUUAUUUUUGUAAAGGUAAGGAAAAUGAAGCAUUGUGUAAUUAUAAAAAUAACUUCAUUGGAAUUCACAAGGUUCACCCAAAAUGGAGCUACAUCUGUAUUCUAUCCUACAGUAGACUAUAUAGAUUGUACAAUAGUAAAUUGCAAAUACAAUUAAUAAGUCUUGUGCUUCCUUACUAAUAAUCCUUUGACAUGAACAUUGCAGCACUAAGGUCCUCUUGGGAAGACACCUUGCACCCAUGAGAGCACUAAGAGGAAGCAAGGCAGAGUCAUGGGUGCAAUGUCAUGACUUGUUGUUGCACCAAGAGAGGCUUGGUGAUGCCAUGGUGUUGCAGUAGCAAGAAUGUUGCCUUGGCAGGGACACGAUCUAGGGAUAGAUGCCAAGAAAGGCUUAGCACUCACAUGAGUUGCACAAAGAUGAAUGUAAUAGAGCAUCAGAGAGACGUCUUGGCAAGUAAAUGAAUGGAUCCAAGAGACAACAACAUGAGGAGUUUCAAAUGGAUAAGGAAUGACUCAAAGACAUUUGAAAGCUACAAGUUGGAUUCUAAUUACGAUUGCAAUUUGAGUUUGAGUAGGAGUUUAGAUUUUGAUUGUAAUUGUAGUAUGAGUUGGACUAGGAUUGCUUAUCCUUAGUCAAUAUAGGAGCGGUUCGUGUCACCCUAUGAAAAGAGUUUGAGUAGGGACUAGGAUUGCUUACUCCUAGUCAAAUAUGGAGUAGGUGGUGCCACACCUAUAAAAAAAAGGGACAACAUGAGAGAGAGAGAGAGAGAGAAAGAGAGAGUGAAUUCACUAAAGAUAUUGUGGGAGUUUUGCUUUGUUACGUCUUGUAUUAUUACUUAGAAUAGGAAUAAAAUACAAGUUGGGGCUAGAGCCCCAUAAUUAAUCUCGUGUGCCUUUGUGGUUAUUCUUUAUUUGUCAUCUCGUGUGGAUUGGAUUAGGUUGACUUAGAGGGCUUCUAAGCACCACCUUUGUGGGUUAUUAUUUAUUUUCCAUCUCUUGUGGAUUAGAUUAGGUUGACUUAGAGGGCUUCUGAGCACCACCUUUGUGGGUUAUUAUUUAUUUUCCAUCUAUUGUGGAUUAGAUUAGGUUGACUUAGAGGGCUUUUAAGCACCACAUUUGUGGGUUAUUCUUUAUUUUCCAUAUCGUGUGGGUUGGAUUAGGUUGACAAGGAGAAAAAUUAUGUGGGAAAUUUGUGUUGGGACACUUACCAUAACCAAGUAAAAUCUACCAAGUCCUUUGUAAUAUCUUCAACAAAUAUUUUAGACUAGUUCUUUCAGUUAGUGUAAAGGAGGAAGAAGUGGUAUUGAUUCUAGAAAUAGGGUGUGUGUAUUUGAACUACAAUCCUUAUGAUCCUUAGGUCUCUAAACCUUCGUGAUGGGCUCCCUGACAUUUCAUAGGUUGUGCUACACAUGCGUUUGAAAUUUAGAGUGCGUUUGACAGUGAUUCCGGGAAGUGUUUUUGGCCUUUCUUACACUUGAAAAUUUUUAUUUUUCAAGUAUUAGAAAUGCUACAAACACUUUUGAAAAUUACUGUCAAACACACUCUUAGGAGCGCACAUAUAUAGUAGAAAACUAGAAAUUGUGGUUUUUUUAGGAUUUACUGUAAUGUCAUUAGGAGGGUAGUAAGUUGAAAUUGAGUAUGAACAAAUAUUUCUUUCUUUGGGAUGUUCUUCUAGUAGGUGCUGAUGAAACUGUUCUUUCUACUGCCAAUGUCACAUAUCAGCCAGAAAUUGAAAAUUUCAGUCAAGGUGUCCUCUGUUUUAGUGGUGAGGAAAGCUAGAAAUUUUAAGGUGAAGUUUUGUUAAAAACCUUAAGUAGCUGGGAUAUCAGGCCUGUUUUGCUUGAAAAAAAAAGUUGCAAGAUAACUCAUAUGCCAAACAGGUUCUGAUAUUGUGAAUCUAUCGGCAGACAUCAGUAAUCUCAUCUUCUGAGAUGGAUGUUGGGGGUGCAUGUGGUGGUGGAGGGGCAAGGUUUCAUUUGGUUUAUUUUGUUGAUGGAUAUUGUCUAGCCACCUGCGCCAAGUUUGAGGGGUGGUGGGUUGUGAUGACCCUACAAUUACUAUUAAUUUCUUCAUCUUUUACCGAUUAAAGUGUCCGAACAGUCGAAGUUACCCUUAUGCAUGUCAACUUGAUCACUUACCUCUUCAAUGGAGUUUAUGCUGGUUCAUUUAGGAACUGAUUUUUAUUGUUAUGUAUUAUAUGCUGAUGUUUAGGUCUCUCCAUCAUCACUAUAUACAAAAAUUCUAGGUUGAUACUAUAGGUUGAGAUUUAUUUUUUAAAUAAAAAAUAAUAAAAAUAAAAAUUAUGGUGAUGUUUAGUUGUUUUAUGGAAAAUUUUAACAAGUAAAAGUUAUUUUUGGGCAAGUUUUCAAACAAAAAGAAAAGUAAAAGUUGUUUUGACAAAAACAUAUAGAAAAAAAAAUCAUAGAAAAUAAAUAAUUUCCCCAUAUUCUAACUUUUUUGAAUUUUUCUCAAUGGGCAAAGGAAUAUCAAAUCAAGUUUGAGUAGGAUUUCUUAAUUUUUAAAAUAACUUACAAUUAAAAAAUUUUGGUGUUUUCAUUUUUGGACAAUUUUUUAUUAAGCAAAUGGACUCUGAGUCAUGCAAGAGAUAUGGUUCAUUAACCGGUCGAACAAUUUUUUUAAAUUAAUUUAAAAGUCAAAUACAUAAUCAAUUUCACAAAAUUUAUAAACAAAAAUAGGUUUAGAGAAGAUCUACACAUAAUUUUACUUUUCUAAUUUUAUUUUAUUUUAUUUUUUGUUGGAAAAUAGUCUUCAAAUCAUGUAAGAUUUAAUAGGUUAAAUUUGUUAACAAUAAAUUUUAAAUUAUAAAAUAUAAUCUGGAACUCAAAAAUCAAUUCAAGUAAUGCUAAAAAAAAAUCAAAUUUGGUAUAGAAUGACUUUGUAAAUUUUUUUACAAAACAAAUGAAUUUUAAAUCAAGUGAGAUUUAAUGCAUUAGAUUUUUAUCAAAUAUAGUAAUUUUAAAAAUAAAUUUGGAACUCAACAAUAGACACAAUAAAUACCAAAAAAUAAUGAACCAAAAUUGGUUUGGAAUAACUCCACAACCUUUUUUUUUUUUUUUUGGUGCACACGAAUUUUCUUACUAGGUAUAUUGCUUUCAAAUUGAGAAAGAUUUACCAUUUAGAUUUUUUUUUAAUGAGUUUAAUGGUAUUUUAAAAUAAUUCAAAAUUUAAAAAAUUGACUAAUUAAUAUUAUAAAUUGAUAAACCAAGACUAUUUCAAAAUGCAUUGGGGGCUAAGGGGGUUGAAAAUAGGGACAAUGGGAUGGGUUUGGGACAUGACACUCAUAUCUCAUUUCCAUUCCAAUUACACAGUUAUCUCCCAUCCUUAUCCCAAACUUGUGUUGGAGCAAGUUGAUUUGUUCCCAUCUUUGUUGACGAAAUGACUAAUAACCUCAUCCCCUCCUUAUCUUAGAUGUACAUUUUGUCAAAUUUGAUCAGGUAUGAUUGAUCCAAGCCCUAACCCUAAUUGGUAAUGAGUGAAUACUACACCUAAUUGCAUUCUUCUUUCAUUGCAAAAUAAUGAGAUUAUAAUAAUCUAGCAAAUAAGAAAAAAUAGUAUGGAAGUUCAAAUUAACACCAUAACUAUCAAUAAUUUUAAGCUUAUAGAUGACUUAAAUGAUUAAAAACUAAUGCAAAAUCCUAAAAAAAAUAAAAAUCAUAUAAAGAAUUCACAAGAGAACAGAAUGAACAAAAACCAAAUAUGAACAUGGGUCAACAUUAGUUAUGGAUUUGGAUUCCUUUCAAGGCCAAUCUUUGAACCAAGACUUCAUCAAAUCAACUACUUCAAAGGCUUUUGUGUUCUUCUUGGGUUGUGCUCUCAAACAAAGACUUCGAGGUGAUGUUCUAGAUGAUUGAAUUACACAUAUUUAGGGUGGAGAGAUUGGAGAAGCUUGAAGAUGCCAACGAUGGGUACAAUUGAGUGGUCAAUAAGAACAAUGUAGCCUAUGACUAGUUUGAUGUCAUGGUACAAGAGUUUUAGGCAUUGAGGUUAAAGCAAGAGCAACAUGGAAUUGAUUUCGGAGUCUUUCAGUUAGUGUAAAGGAGGAAGAAGUGGUGUUGAUUCUAGAAAUAGGGUUUUAAGUGGUGCGUGAUUACUACUCAAAAAGUGCUAUUUGAUAGCCUUUAAUUAAUCCUUUUUAACACUUUUGAGUAGUAGUUUAGGCCUUUUAACUCAAUUGGCAUGUUAAGGAUCCUUUAAAGCAAUUUUGAUCACUUUGUGCAAGUUUUGGUGUUUUUGUUAGUAUUUUGAUCACCAAAGCAAGUCAAGAAUGAGGAGAACUAUGAGGAAUCAUGGGCAAAGCUUAGAAUUCAAUUGCCAAGAGUGAAUCCGGAUUGCAAGGAGAAAAAGCAAAGAGAAUCUGUCAUGAAGCCUAUUCUUGAUGACAGUCGUAGCAGCCACUUUUGGAGCACUUUCUGAAGUCCAAAUGAUGCAAGCUAUAUACCAUUUCAAAGAUCAGGAAGUCAACAAUCCAAUGCUUCAAACGGUGCGCGAUUCGGAGUUGAAACGAAGAAGUUGCAGCCAUUACAAGCCAGUCACUCUAAAGUGUUGCGGAAUCAGCCUUUUGUUGCGAGAAUUUCGCAGCACUUUUGUACAGUAAGGUGUUUCUCCUUCUGACGAUGCACGAACCAUGCCGCGAGAGGGAAGCUAGGAACUUCAAGAUGGAAGCCAACUUUGCAGCCUGGUGAAGAUAGCUUGGUCUUGCGAAAUAAUUUCGCAGCCCUCUUGGGUGUCUGCGAAAUUUCGCAGGCACCACUUUUUUCCUGCGAAAUGGCUCCGGAAGCCUCCCGAAGCUUGCUACCGACAUUGGGAGAUAUUUUCCAUUAGAUUUUUGUUGUCUAAAUUCCAAAAUACUCCUUGUAAACCACCAAUUACAUGAUUCCUUAGUUUUUAAGUUAGUAAAAAGACCAAAUAUCUAUGUAAUAAUUAGUUUUAUAUUAGUUUGCUAUAAAUACCUCUCGGGAGCAUGUUCUCAGAGAGGAGUUCCUUCUGUAACCAUUUUGGUAAGCAAGUAAAGUCUUUUCUUUCUACUGCCUUACCUUCUCACUUUGUAUUUUCAUUUUAUUUCUAAGUUAUGAAUUCUCUGAGGAGCUUUCCCCAGAGAAUGAGUAACUAAACCUCCAAUUCCUUGGAGCUAAGGUUGCCGGGGAAGGUUCCAAGUGCAAGAAUGCAAAGCUCUGUGGUUUUAGCUAGUAAUGAAGAGGAAGUGAAAUCCUUUAGUGAUUUCAAUGUUUUUAGUUAACUUAAAACACCUUGGAGUCACCUGGGCCAACACUUGGUAAGGCAAGUGAUUUCCAACCGUGGAAAUGCACUAGUUUACCCCUUGCGAGCCUCUGGUAGGUGACUUCAAGGUAGGAUUUUCUGGAAUUACCAACACUUGGUAAGCUUUUGGACUCCUAGGAGACAUCCAUUAGUUAUCUCUUGCGAGUUUGUGAAGGGGAAUCCAAGGUUAAAGAUCACCUUGAAUGGUAAGUGCUCGUGAGAGGCAUGAACCAUUGCAAGUUGUAUCAGUGAGAGAAUUAAAGUGAAAUCUAAUUGAAGGAGUCUCUGUACAUCACCGGUUAGAGAAUUGACUAUAAGUUGAAUCUCUAAUGCGAGGAAAUGAACCAUCUGACCGGAGCUAUGUCUUUUGCAUGAGGAACCACCCCAGUGAACCUAAAUCUCCAAGGAAUGCUUUUCUUCCUAAAUUAUUCCAAACUUCUGUUAAGUUAGUUAGUUUAAGUCUAAACCUUUACCAAUCAAACUUUGUGUUUUAUUUCUUAAGCUAACCGUGAAAUGAAACAAAACCAAUUCACUUGGAAUUGGUAUCCUUGAUUGCUUGCAAAUCAUUCCCAGUGAACGAUCCUUAGAGCCACUAUACUAUAGUAGCUUUGUAUUUGCUACCCUAGUGUAUGGUGUUAUAGGUAUAAAUUUUGUUGAUCACUUCCUCAAUCAAGGAACACCAGCUGAACACAAAUCAGCUGAGACACCAAUUGGGCAUGAGUCAAAUGGCGCCGUUGCCGGGGAAUGAGUGUCAAGAUCAUUGUGAUACCAUUUUUGAGCACUUGUGAUUUUCAUCACAAGUUGGUAAAGUUUCUUUCACUUUACUAAUUUUCAUUCUCUCUUUGUUUAUUUACAAUCUAAGUUUAUCUUUUUAAAAUUUAGUCUAGUUUAAUUUUGCUAUUGUAGCCUUGUUUCUCUUGUUGUCCUCUGUUCUUGUUGUCCUCUGUUUUCAUUUUAGUUGCAGCUGAAUACUAGUUGUGUAUGCCAAAGUGGAUACGAGACAUUGGAGGUAGGCUUAUUAAGUGUGAUACACCUCAGAGAGGAGAAUUGGAAGUAAUCUUGAAUAUCAUGGAGGCUGCACCUGAAGAUCAGCAUAGUCACCAAGGUCGUCAAGACAAUCUCAAUGAAUUCAGAUCAAUGAGGGACCGUAUGCAUCCACCUCGUAUGAGUGCACCAUCAUGUAUAGUGCCCCCUACAGAGCAACUAGUGAUCAGACCAUAUCUUGUUCCACUUCUACCAACUUUCCAUGGGAUGGAAAGUGAGAAUCCGUAUGCACACAUCAAGGAAUUUGAAGAUGUUUGUAAUACAUUCCAAGAGGGAGGAGCUUCAAUUGAUUUGAUGAGGCUUAAGUUAUUUCCUUUUAAUUUAAAGGAUAAGGCCAAAAUUUGGCUUAAUUCUUUAAGGCCAAGGAGUAUCCGCUCUUGGACUGAUUUACAAGCUGAAUUCCUCAAGAAAUUUUUUCCUACUCAUAGAACAAAUGGCUUGAAAAGGCAAAUUUCAAACUUCUCAGCUAAAGAGAAUGAGAAAUUCUAUGAGUGUUGGGAAAGAUACAUGGAAGCUAUAAAUGCUUGUCCUCACCAUGGCUUUGAUACUUGGCUACUGGUGAGUUAUUUUUAUGAUGGUAUGUCCUCCUCAAUGAAGCAACUCCUCGAGAAAAUGUGUGGAGAAGAUUUCAUGAGCAAAAAUCCAGAGGAAGCUAUGGAUUUCUUGAGCUAUGUAGCUGAUGUUUCAAGGGGAUGGGAUGAACCAACUAAAGGAGAAGUGGGAAAGAUGAAGUCUCAGUUGAAUGCUUACAAUGCAAAGGCUGGGAUGUAUACUUUAAAAGAGGAUGAUGACAUGAAAGCAAAGUUGGCAGCUAUGACAAGAAGAUUGGAGGAGCUGGAGCUGAAAAGAAUGCAUGAAGUGCAAGCUGUUGCUGAAGCACCAGUGCAAGUGAAGUUGUGUCCCAAUUGUCAAUCGUUUGAACAUUUGGUAGAGGAAUGCCCUGCAAUUUCAGCUGAAAGGGAAAUGUAUAGAGAUCAAGCAAAUGUUGUUGGACAAUUCAGGCCCAAUAACAAUGCUCCUUAUGGAAAUACCUACAAUUCAAGUUGGAGGAAUCAUCCAAAUUUUUCAUGGAAGGCCAGAGCAACUCAAUACCAACAGCCGGAUCCACCAUCUCAACAAUCUUCAAGUAUUGAACAAAUAAUAGCUAAUCUCAGCAAGGUAGUGGGAGAUUUUGUGGGAAAGCAAGAAGCCACCAAUGCUCGAGUGGAUCAAAGAAUGGACAGAGUGGAUCAAAGAAUGGACAGAAUGGAGAGUAUGUUGAACAAAAGAAUGGAUGGAAUGCAAAAUGAUAUGAAUCAAAAAUUUGAUAACAUCCAAUAUUCAAUUUCAAGGCUUACAAAUUUGAAUACACUGCAAGAAAAGGGAAGAUUUCCUUCUCAACCUAACCAAAAUCCCAAAGGUGUCCAUGAAGUGGAAAGCCAUGAGGGAGAAUCAUCACAGGUGAAAGAUGUGAAAGCUUUGAUCACUCUAAGGAGUGGUAAGAAAAUUGAGCAGCCAACACCCAAGCCACAUGUUGAGAAAGAAGAAGAGAUGAAGAAAGGGAAGGAAAUGGAAGAUAAAGGCAGUGAGAUCAGUGAAGAAAAGAAGGACUCUGAUGCAACAAUGAAAGUAAUUCCAGAGAAGGAGCUUCUGAAGGAAGAAAUGCUGAAGAAAUCAACUUUUCCACCUUUUCCUCAAGCAUUACAGGGGAAAAAGGGGGUUAGAAAUGCAGCUGAAAUCCUAGAAGUAUUGAGGCAAGUGAAAGUUAAUAUUCCACUGCUGGAUAUGAUCAAACAAGUUCCAACGUAUGCAAAAUUCCUAAAGGACUUGUGUACUAUCAAAAGAGGGUUGACUGUAAACAAGAAAGCCUUCUUGACUGAGCAAGUAAGUGCAAUCUUACAGUGUAAGUCUCCUUUGAAGUACAAAGACCCUGGAAGUCCUACCAUUUCAGUCAUGAUUGGAGGAAAGGUAGUGGAGAAAGCCUUGCUAGACUUGGGAGCAAGUGUGAAUUUGCUUCCAUAUUCUGUCUACAAGCAACUGGGACUUGGAGAGUUGAAGCCAACAGCAAUCACUUUGUCUCUGGCAGAUAGAUCAGUGAAAAUUCCAAGAGGGGUAAUUGAGGAUGUAUUGGUUCAAGUAGAUAAUUUCUACUAUCCUGUAGAUUUUGUUGUUCUUGAUACAGAUCCUACUGUAAAGGAAGCUAAUUUAGUUCCUAUCAUCCUUGGAAGGCCAUUUCUUGCAACUUCAAAUGCAAUCAUCAACUGUAGAAAUGGGCUUAUGCAACUCACUUUUGGUAACAUGACACUGGAUCUAAAUAUUUUCUAUAUGUCUAAAAAGCAAAUCACUCCAGAAGAAGAAGAGGGUCCAGAAGAGCUAUGUAUUAUUGAUACUUUGGUGGAGGAGCACUGCAAUCAACAUAUGCAAGAUAAGUUGAAUGAAAGUUUUGUGGAUAUUGAGGAAGGUUUUUCUGAAUCUCCUAAUGGGCUUGCUACUCUACAAAGUUGGAGAAAGAUAGAAGGAAUUCUACCUUUGUUCAAUGAAGAAGAGGAGGCAGCUGUUGAAAAAGAAAUUCCAAAACUCAAUCUGAAGCCUUUACCUAUGGAGCUGAAAUAUACAUAUCUUGAAGAAAAUAAUCAAUGUCCUGUCGUAAUAUCUUCAUCUCAAACCAAGUCUCAAGUGAAGGAUGCAAGCUUCAAAUGGGAUCCGGGCAAACUGAAUCAGGAAGGGCAAAAAGUUUUGAUGUAUGACACAAGACUCCAUAUCUUUCCUGGGAAGCUCAAGUCAAGGUGGAUUGGUCCAUUUGUUAUUCACCGAGUAUAUUCCAAUGGAGUGGUGGACUUAUUGAAUUCCAAUGGCAAGGACAGCUUUAGAGUCAAUGGAUAUCGUCUUAAGCCGUUCAUGGAGUCAUUCAAAUCAGAAAAGGAGGCAAUCAACCUCCUUGAACCUCAAAAAGCCUAAGUGAAAUGGGUUUGCUGGACGUGGUUUUACCACAGUCCAAAAAUUUUUGUAAAUUUUGUAAAUUUUCAAGUUGUUUCCAUGCUUUUAAUCUUAGUUUUUGAUUUUAAAUCAUGUUUUUAGGUGUGUUUUAAUCGUUUUAUAUGAUCCCAGGCGGAAGAAAUUUCAAGGGGAUUGAAAAGAAAAAAAUCGGGUCGAAAUUGGAGCCGAAACAGAGCAAAAACAGGGGAAAAACAGAGCUCUGCGAAAUUUCGCAGGGUGAAGGAAACUUCUGCGAAAUUGGCAUUUUGCUGCCAAACCAUUCCGCAGCACUGUAGAAGCCUCUGCGAGUGUAUUUCGCAAUUGCGAAAGUGGAUUUGGCACACGAGUGCCACUUCGCAGCACAGUGACAUCAAUUUCGCAGCUGCGAAACUCACUGCGAAGUUGCUGCGAAAAUGGCAAGUUGCUGCGAAAUUGGCGUUUUGUUGCGAAACGUAAUCUGACCCCUGGGCUUCCGUUUUUCCUAUUUAUACCUGUCAAAAGUGCUGCGAAAAAGGUUUCAAAAAUUAGAGCACCAUUCUCGCAGCCCUUUCAUCUUCUUCGCCAAGCCACGCCGUCCGUUUCUCCGGUCGUCUUCUCCGUUUAGCAGCGCCGGCCAAAGAUCGAUAGCCCAAAAAUGGCACGAACGCGAGGGGCAAAGUCUUCAUCCCCUUCGAACCGCAAAAGGAGUCUGCGAAAGGAGCCAAGUUCAGGCUCUGUUCCAGAACCUGCUCCAAAGCCUUCGCCGUCGAGACCACAACCUUCUCCAGUGAAGCCGGCGCCACCAAAGCCGCCGGCAAGGCGAUAUUUAACCAGGUCAGGUGGUCAGCCAUUGAAGAAGAAAGCCAGAGUUGAGAGCUCUGAACCAAUCGAUUUGACUGAGCAAUCCCCUGAGAAAUCACCAAAUCCUUCACCGGUACAAAUUCCAGUGCCAUCACCGGUUCCCUCGCCAAUUCCCUCACCAGAAGCAACUCCAAUUCCAUCGCCGGUACCAUCUCCGGCACCCCAAGAAAAAGCUCAGGAGCCUCAAGCGCCAAUUCCAGAGCCCCAAAUUGCAGCUGAAGCACCUCUGGAAGAAGUGAUCCGAAGGCCAAUGCUGCCUCAGCCCCCAAUCGAAGGAAACCUGGAUUGCCGAACUCGGGCAUUCCAUUCUGAGCUUUGCUUCGAUUUAACAGCAUUCAGAGUGAGGCCAGAGCUUGCCCAAUCCUUCCAACUGCUGAGGAGAUAUCAUAUGGAGCAUCUGCUAGCUCCAAGGGAUUUUUUCUAUCCCCGGGUAGUCACGGAUUUCUACCAAACCAUGACAACCAAAGAAGUAAGAAAUCCAACUCUGAUUCAUUUCAUAAUUGAUGGAAGGCAUGGUAUUUUGGGAGCAAGACAUAUUGCUGAAGCCCUGCAAAUUCCUUUUGAGCCAACUCAAUUCGACAAUUUUAAAGCUUGGACAAAUCCUACUGAGUUAGAGAUGGUUAGCACACUAACCAGAGGAGCUGCAAAUCGAUCGCAUUUGUUGAGGGGGGAGCUACCUCCAGUUAUGUUUUUGAUUGAUGCCUUUUUGAGGCAUAAUAUCUAUCCCCUGCAGCAUUGGACCCAAAGAAGGGGAAUUCUCCUAGAAGCCUUGUACAAAAUGUCUGAAGGAUUCUUCUUUGGGCCUCAUCAUCUGAUCAUGGCAGCCCUUCUAUACUUUGAGGAGAAGGUUCACAAGAAGAAGCUUCAAAGAGCAGAUUGCAUUCCACUCCUCUUCCCAAGGCUGCUAUGCCAAGUUUUGGAGCAUCUCGGAUACCCCUCUGAGCCUCAGCAGGAAAGAAAGAGAAUAUGCCGUGAGCCUUUUACCCUUGAUAAAUGGAAUAAUAUGACGGCCUACAAAAUUGAUCAGCCUGGGCAGCCUCAGCCAGCAGCAAGGAGAGUCUCCCCAAGACAUAUACCUGAAGGUAUAACACUUGCUACUCCUGCCAUCCCUCGAGCUCCACCAGCUGCACCUGCUCCAUCACAGCCAUCCACAUCAGCUGAGCCGAGGAUGGCCAUCCCUAUAUCCGAAUAUCGAGAGCUGUGCCGUGCAUUGGAGACUCUUACAGCUUCUCAGAGCAAUCUUGCUCAGGAGUUGGCAGCCAUUAAAGCAUGCCAGGAGCAGAUGUUAGCCUCUCAGACUCAACAAGCUGCCAUCCUAAGGCAGCUUCAAGUCCAUUUCGAUCUGCCACAAGCUGUAGAGCCCUCUAUUCCUACUCCACCAGAGCCACACUCUCAGCCUUCAGAGUCUCAUCCUCCAGAACCCGAAGCACCAGCUGAUCCACCUACUGAGGAGGCAGAUCCUUCUGCCUAGCACCAUCACCCCCCUCAUCAGACAUUAUAUAUAUAUUUGCUGUUUAUGUUUUUAUGCAUGUUUGUUUUGUUUUAGUUGAAAAGAAAUCCCAGUAUUUUGGUACUAUAUAUGGGAUUCCUUGUGUUACUUGUCUUUAGUAUUGUAAUCACAUGAACUCAAAGUAAUACAAGUUGACUAUUUCUUGUUAAAAGUUAGCAUUAAAGUUUCCUUAUUUCCUUUUCUCACAUAUUCUAUUCUUUUUGAAACAUGUGGUUUUCCCCAAUCAAUAUUCGAAUUUGAUAUCAGCAUGGAGGUACCACUUCCUCCCUUUUAUUACAGUCACUCAAAUCACAUUGAGGACAAUGCUCAGUUCGGUUGGGGGGUAUGAGGAAGGAAGUAUUCUAAACCUUUUUGGUAUUGCAAUUAUAUUGGUUAAUUAGUUGUAGAUUUUACUUUUUACUAGUGUUACUCUAUUCUCCAUGAAUUUUGAGGAAAAAUUUUCAAAUUAAACCAAGAGAAAUUGAACUGUUGUUUUUCACUUGACUUAGAGUAUGGAUUAUGCUUACUAAAGUGGUUCAAUUGUUGAAACUUCUACUGAAAUUGAAUUGAGUUCUUCCACUUUAAGCUAUCCACACACUGUGCACAUUAGUUUCCGAUUAUAAGAUGAAAAGCUAUUUCCCUCUUGACUUAGUAUAUUUUUGGGACUUGGUAUAUUUGACCUCAUUUGAUAAAAAUUGAAACACCCUGCAAAAGGCCAAUGAGCCUUUGAAAUAAAGAAAGUUGUUUGCUUGCCUUGAAACCCGAGCAAGGUCUGAGGGGUAUAUGGUGAAAAUCUUUAAAGCCUGGUGCCCUAAGCCUUAAUUGGUUGGGAGUCACCGACCUCAAUGCUCGUUACAAGGGUGAAUAGGUAGAGUUAGCAUAUGGUAGAUGCUUGGGUAUUAGAAAUUCAUUCUUAAAAGUCCGGGGAAAAAUCCGAGGAGUUAGUGGUUGAAAGAUCCUUAAAACUUGGUGCCCUAAACCUUAAUUGGUUGGGAGUCAUCGAUGGACCCCCAUUACAUGGACAAGUCAGAAAGAGUACCCCAUAAAGCUACCUUAAAAAAAAAAAAAAAAAAAAAAAAAAAAAAAAAGAUGAAAGUGUGUUCUUUUCUUAUUGAUUUUGGUCAGUUUGCUAAAGUGUUGAAAAGAGAUAGGUUGGGGGGUGAGAUUAGUAGCAUAUUAUUCUCGGAACCUAAGGAACCAAUACACAUAGAUUUUUGUGGAAGAUUGAAGUUUAGUUCUUAGAAAAUGAAAUGAUUUUAAAACUUCAGUUUGCAUAAUGCACUCCCUUGAUUGACAGUGUUUAGCAUAGGUGUUAUGACUCUUGUUGAGAUUUGGGUUUGUAUUUCUUUAAUGAUUCAUGUGAGAAAUAGAUCAUCAUGCCACUUGAGAAUUAUUUUCCUUUUAGCAUGAUGUUGUAAAUUUUAGAUUAGUUUGCUAUUUAUUUUUUAUUUUCUCUCCUAUAUUGCUAAGGGACUAGCAAUAUGUCGGUUGGGGGGAGUGAUUACUACUCAAAAAGUGCUAUUUGAUAGCCUUUAAUUAAUCCUUUUUAACACUUUUGAGUAGUAGUUUAGGCCUUUUAACUCAAUUGGCAUGUUAAGGAUCCUUUAAAGCAAUUUUGAUCACUUUGUGCAAGUUUUGGUGUUUUUGUUAGUAUUUUGAUCACCAAAGCAAGUCAAGAAUGAGGAGAACUAUGAGGAAUCAUGGGCAAAGCUUAGAAUUCAAUUGCCAAGAGUGAAUCCGGAUUGCAAGGAGAAAAAGCAAAGAGAAUCUGUCAUGAAGCCUAUUCUUGAUGACAGUCGUAGCAGCCACUUUUGGAGCACUUUCUGAAGUCCAAAUGAUGCAAGCUAUAUACCAUUUCAAAGCUCAGGAAGUCAACAAUCCAAUGCUUCAAACGGUGCGCGAUUCGGAGUUGAAACGAAGAAGUUGCAGCCAUUACAAGCCAGUCACUCUAAAGUGUUGCGGAAUCAGCCUUUUGUUGCGAGAAUUUCGCAGCACUUUUGUACAGUAAGGUGUUUCUCCUUCUGACGAUGCACGAACCAUGCCGCGAGAGGGAAGCUAGGAACUUCAAGAUGGAAGCCAACUUUGCAGCCUGGUGAAGAUAGCUUGGUCUUGCGAAAUAAUUUCGCAGCCCUCUUGGGUGUCUGCGAAAUUUCGCAGGCACCACUUUUUUCCUGCGAAAUGGCUCCGGAAGCCUCCCGAAGCUUGCUACCGACAUUGGGAGAUAUUUUCCAUUAGAUUUUUGUUGUCUAAAUUCCAAAAUACUCCUUGUAAACCACCAAUUACAUGAUUCCUUAGUUUUUAAGUUAGUAAAAAGACCAAAUAUCUAUGUAAUAAUUAGUUUUAUAUUAGUUUGCUAUAAAUACCUCUCGGGAGCAUGUUCUCAGAGAGGAGUUCCUUCUGUAACCAUUUUGGUAAGCAAGUAAAGUCUUUUCUUUCUACUGCCUUACCUUCUCACUUUGUAUUUUCAUUUUAUUUCUAAGUUAUGAAUUCUCUGAGGAGCUUUCCCCAGAGAAUGAGUAACUAAACCUCCAAUUCCUUGGAGCUAAGGUUGCCGGGGAAGGUUCCAAGUGCAAGAAUGCAAAGCUCUGUGGUUUUAGCUAGUAAUGAAGAGGAAGUGAAAUCCUUUAGUGAUUUCAAUGUUUUUAGUUAACUUAAAACACCUUGGAGUCACCUGGGCCAACACUUGGUAAGGCAAGUGAUUUCCAACCGUGGAAAUGCACUAGUUUACCCCUUGCGAGCCUCUGGUAGGUGACUUCAAGGUAGGAUUUUCUGGAAUUACCAACACUUGGUAAGCUUUUGGACUCCUAGGAGACAUCCAUUAGUUAUCUCUUGCGAGUUUGUGAAGGGGAAUCCAAGGUUAAAGAUCACCUUGAAUGGUAAGUGCUCGUGAGAGGCAUGAACCAUUGCAAGUUGUAUCAGUGAGAGAAUUAAAGUGAAAUCUAAUUGAAGGAGUCUCUGUACAUCACCGGUUAGAGAAUUGACUAUAAGUUGAAUCUCUAAUGCGAGGAAAUGAACCAUCUGACCGGAGCUAUGUCUUUUGCAUGAGGAACCACCCCAGUGAACCUAAAUCUCCAAGGAAUGCUUUUCUUCCUAAAUUAUUCCAAACUUCUGUUAAGUUAGUUAGUUUAAGUCUAAACCUUUACCAAUCAAACUUUGUGUUUUAUUCCUUAAGCUAACCGUGAAAUGAAACAAAACCAAUUCACUUGGAAUUGGUAUCCUUGAUUGCUUGCAAAUCAUUCCCAGUGAACGAUCCUUAGAGCCACUAUACUAUAGUAGCUUUGUAUUUGCUACCCUAGUGUAUGGUGUUAUAGGUAUAAAUUUUGUUGAUCACUUCCUCAAUCAAGGAACACCAGCUGAACACAAAUCAGCUGAGACACCAAUUGGGCAUGAGUCAGUGCGUUAGAGGAUCAAGAAGAAGAAAAAGAAGGAACUGUUGGAAUUAGUAUGAGUGUGAAGAGAAAAGUAUAUAAAUAAGGGGAAGUAAAAGCAAAGUUCAAAAAGCUAUAUUUUUUUAUUGUUGGUGUAUGGUUGCAUGAUUAUCCCUAUAAAUAAUAGGAGUUUUUUGGUAUUCUACUAGUAGUUGAAGCAUAAUUUCAUAAAUUAAUAUUUAGAGCGGGGUGGGGUGAGUUGUGACAAAAUUCAUACCCGUCCCAAACCUUGGUUCAGAUUUUUAAAAUAUUCUCAAACUUAUCAUAUACCCAACUUUUAUAUUUCAUACUUGUCCUAAUAGAGGCACGUUAGGCCGGGUUACUUGAGUAACCUACAUAAUUGUCAUCCCUAGUUGAAAUACACUUUUUGGCAGUGGCCACCAACUGAGCUAGAAGCUUGAUUGAUUGACCUACAAGAUUAGUUCUCAUCAUUUUAAAAAAAGUUCUGGCUUUGGUUGUGAGUGCAAUUGAAUCUAAACUGGCAUUUGCUUAAUGCAUCUACUUCAAUCCUAAACUUCUUACUUCUUAAGCCUCAAUUGUUGUUAGGAUUUUGGAAAACCCAUUUCCUUAAAUUGUAAAUUUAAGAUAAAAUAAAAUAAAAGUGAGACAUUUCUUGAUUGAAUAUUGUUAAAGGUCCCUUGGCAUUAAGACUUGGUUGAAGCCUUGGAAGAUUAGUGGAACUCUCAACAUGUGUUUGAAUCUUGAGGAGAGUGGAUGUAAGCCAAAAUUUUGUCAAACCAUUAUACAAAUUGAGUUUGAAUCCUCAUUUCUUGAUUUCUUAUUUAUUUGCUUUUUCUUAUUAUUACUUGAAUUGUCAUUUGCAUUCAUUAAUGUUAAAAUUGGUUAUAAUUAACCAACACUAAUUCUCUUUCCCCUUCCCUUUCUUGGGUGUAAACCUAGGUUGGAUUAACUAGAUAAAUCUAUUAAGAUGGUAAAAGAAUAAUUAUUCUUAACAUACAUAAGAUCAUCUUCAAUCAAAUGACUCAUUGGCUAAUAUGUUGAAUUUGCUUAUUACUUGCAACUCAAAAUUGUGUUCUAGUUGUGUCAAGUCCCCAGUGUAUGGACAUUAAAUUUGUAGUACGUGAUGAGUAAUUAGAUGGUCCAACUCCAAGAAAGUGAUUGAAAAGUAGUUCAAGAAAGGUGCAAAAGGGAAUUGUUUUGGUAUUUUCGUUUUUAUUCUUGAAGGUGGCAGAGCUAAAAUUUGAGAAAUCAAGCAAAACAUACUGAAAUUACAUUGAAAGAAAGAAGAUGGGAGUUAAUGUCUUGCAGUACAUGAUAAGGACUUCAUGCAUGUAGUGUGACCCAUGUCUUGGACUGAUGCCAACUCACGGUUACACUUAUACCCUUGGUUCUCUCUUUACUACCUUGGCUAACCUAGAUCAGGCUAUGAGAUAGGCUCCUCACCACACCAUUACUUGCCCAUUAAUUAGAGACAUUUUCAAGCAAUGAGGUAACAUGGUGACACCAAGAGGGUCUAUUCCUCGCCCGGAACAAGUCUAGACUUGGUCUCAAAAAAAUGGAGAAAAAUGAGGUGUCGUUAUGUAGAAAUACAACAACCAUGCCUUCCUCAUUACUUAGAUUCAGAAUGUGAAGGUGAAAUUGAGAAACAGAAACUCUUGAAACCAAAAUGAAAAUUGAUACUUUUACGAAGAAUUACAACAACAUUAGAGGAAGACUACAUUCUUCCUCUUUAUUCCUACAUUUCUACACUACUUCUACUCCACUCCAUAUUUCUACAUACAUCUUUAAUCAGUCUUCCCUCCUUUAUAUAGAGCCAUCUUCACACAAAUUUCGCAAGGUAGAAAAGAGGAAUGAAACUUGGAGCAAGGUUCGACUACUGGUUGUAGCUUGUCAAGGCUGGAAGUGAACUUUUCUUGGCUUUCUGGGCAUGGGUAGUAACUUGUGGGUUCCUGUUUGGCAUAAAAAUGGCUAGAACAUGUGGCACUAUCUUGUUGGAUGAUGUGUCAAGCAUGUGGCAGCCAUCUAGUGGCGAUUAUGUCAAUUUUGGGAUGGAGAGUUGGCAUCCAAUUGCAAAGAAAUAUGACGUCUACCAACAUGCAAUGUAAACCUAUGUAGAUCAUAUGAAGAUAGAGAGGAAAAAUAUAGAAAUGGAUAUAUACCUAGAACUAGCUUUUUAUUAAAUGAAACGGAGAGACAACAAUGAAGGAAAAUAAAAUUUUUUGGCUUAUAUCAAAGAGUUCACAUUGUGUUACCCUAGGUUUUCUUAAAACUUACUUUUAUGAUAACAAAAAAGAAAAAACCAUUAUUGUUUAAUCCUUUGUUUUAAACGCAUGUAAGGUGUAAUUAAGUUAGUUCAAUGCAUUAAUUUAAGAAACUUGACCUAUCAAAAGUACAAAAUUAGAUGAAAUCCAUUUCAAUGGUUAAAAUGAUCAAAAUCAAACUUUUUCUAAGUAUUUUUUAAAAGCAUCAAUAGUGAAAGACAAUUUUAUAUUUAGUCGGAGUUUGGACAAAACUGAAAAACACACAAAAUCCAAGCGACCAUCUCUAGCUUGGAUGGUCGCUUGAUCCCACCUAGAGAUGUGCAUGAGUAAAAGGAUUUGAAAAUGGAAAUUGACUAUGUAGUCGAUCAAUUAACUUUGCAACAUCAUAUGCAAUCCUAAUUGCUAGUCAUCUAAUCAAUUAGGUAGUCAAUCAACAGGCCAAAAAUAUGUUUAUAAUGACUAUUUUGUACAAAAACCACCUGUAUAGUUAAAUAUAAUGCAUUUCAUUUAUAAAUCUUCUAAUUCUUGAAUAACGAUCCUAUCAUCCUUUGAAAGUUUUUAUUACACUUUUUUUACUUUUGUUCUAAAACUUACACAUCACCCUUAAUUGUACCAUGAGAACCUAGCUAUUUUUUAUUUUUUUUUUUGUAAUUCAUCAAAGUUAGCUUUUGUAUUCAUUGUUGUAUUAUUUUUAGUAUAACUUAGAAAGCUAGUGUUUUCAAGUGAGUAAAAUUAACUUGUAAAUAUUGUAAAGAUUCAUCGACAUGUAUCUUAAACUAAGUGUACAAGUUAAAACAUUUGCUAGUAGAUUUUCUCAAAAUUUAGAAUAGAGCUUGAGACUAUUGAAAUAGGUGGGGUUGCACCAAACCACAUCACAUCGUUGUUUGCACCUUUUUUCACUCUCUUUUACUUAGUUGCUCUAUAUUUGUUGUCUAGUAAUAUCCUAUAGGCUUGAUGGGUUAGGGAGCAUCCCUUUGUGAAAAAAUUUUAUUCAAUCCUUAGUUGUAUCACGCAUAUAUAAAAUGCCUCAUUGUUUUAAUGGUAUUCAGUCGUGGCAUCACAGAUAUGGGCAUCUAAAUUUUAAAAGUUUGAAACUUUUAUCUAAAGAAAAUAUGGUGCUUUGCCUUUUUGUAAAGCAUGUUGAUGAAAUCCAUGAGAAUUGUGUACUUGGGAAGCAACACCGAGAUGACUUUUUUUUUUUUUUUAUAAUAUUGUUUGUCCAAAUUCCCUACAAAUUAGGCCACCAGAUGUUCAUAAUUCUCCCUUCUUGAAUUUGAAAACUCGGACAAUUGGACAAUGCGACACCUAAGUCCGGUUUCUAAAUGCUAAAGUGAAAGGGUAGGUAUGGACCAUUGAAAUGUGAUCACAACUUUUCUCUGUAGCCAUGUUGUCUCUUUUUUCUUUUGCAUGAUUUUCUUACCUUAACAGAAUCAUAGACUUGUUUAGUCUCUAAAUGGGAUUAAUUUCAUCCAGCUUUAAGCUACUAUAUUAUAUCUAGGUGGAGGACUUUUAAGAGUGCAACCGACAUAGAGCACAUGGAAGUGGGUAUAUGGGACAUGAAAUUUCUUCUUAUAAAGAUUGCAUGAUUUUUAUAUUAGAGUUGUUGAGGCGCUAUGUAUUUAGCUUGUUUUGCAGUUAAAUUAAUUGGAUAAGUAGACAUUGGCGUUUCUAAAUCUACUGUGAAGUGCUUCAUGUACGUGUGAAGUAUUAGAAAUUUCUUUCUUGGCAACUUGUUUUUCUUUGCGGUCUACUGAUAGGUUUGACUAAAAUUAUAUUCCCUGUCAUGCUAAUUAAUUUUCACGUGCAUGCUCAAAAGAAAAGUAUGACCUUAGUGCACCAAAAUCACUUUGAUUAAUUUGUGAUAGGUUUUUGUGCAUCAUGACAUUAGCCUUAUUCAUUUAGAUAAUGUUUAGUUUUUAGAAAGUAUUAAGAAAAGGAAAAUAAAUAUUAAGAAAAAUAUUCUUAUAUUUGAUUGUAUUAUGAAAAAUAUCAUAAAAAAAUCAAAUAUAAUUUAAAUUAAUUAAUAAUUUAUACAUUUUCAAAUUAUUUAAUCUUUAUAUUGAAGAUAUAAUAUAAAUGAAAUGAGUUUUAAGUAUUAUAUAAAAGUGAUUUAUUGAUCUUACAUAUAUAUAUUUCUUUUUUUUUUCCUUCUAUUUUUUCUCUUUAUUUUAUUUUCCUUAUGUUUUCCUCAACAUUUUCCGGAACCAAACAUAGCCUUAGGAAAUCCACAAUUACCUUCAACUGAGUAGAUUCUGUUGUUUUAGCAAUGUUAGGCUGCUAACUUGUGUUGGUACGAACCUAUUAAGCCUAAAGAUGUAAUUAGUUAGGAUAUUCUUUUCCCUCUAGUCUUGUAGCUCCACGUGUACAGUUGGUUAGGACCUCAUUGUAUAUAAUGCUUGCCCUGUUAUUGUAGAAGACAACAAAGAUAAAUAAUAUUAACAUUUUUCCUCUCAUCUCUCUCUGUUUCCCUCUGUUUUCAUCUCCUCUCUCAUCUUGGUAUCAGAGCCUCCAUGGCUUCUUUCAAAGAAACCUCCGAAUCACCUUCUGCUAGCAUUGUUAAUGUGCAAAACCCAUUAUCUCAAUCAAACAACCUUCCUUCACCAGUAGCCACACCCUCUUUUUCUUUCUCGUCUAUGAAUCAACCUCUCACAGUGAAGCUGGAUAAUGGGAACUACCUCAUAUGGAAGAAUUAGCUUCUAAAUGUCAUCAUUGCUAACGGACUCGAUGAUUUCAUUGACGGAUCUCGACCCUGCCCUCCUCGAUUUCUCGAUCUGCAACAACAAACCCUCAAUCCAGAGUACUCAGCUUGGCAGAGAUACAAUCGACUUCUGAUGAGUUGGCUGUACGCAUCCUUGUCCAAAGAUAUAAUGGCUCAGAUUGUUGGGUAUUCAACAGCUAUGGAGAUUUGGAAUGCCCUUAAUCAGAUUUACUCUGCCUCUUCUAUGGCGCGGUUUACUGAGCUUCGCACCAAGCUUCAAACGCUCAAGAAAGAUGGACUCUCAGUUGGUGAAUAUAUUCAAAGGCUCAAAUCCAUUUGCAAUAGUCUUGCAGCAAUAGGAGAACCAGUUUCUGAGAAAGACCAUCUUAUCUAUUUGUUCAAUGGAUUAGAUUGUGAGUAUUAUUCUUUUGUUACCUCCAUUCAAAAUCGAUCUGACCAACCAACUAUUGACAAAAUCCAUAGCCUAUUGCUUAGCUAUGACUUCCGGCUUGAACAACAAAACUCUGUUUCUCUCCAUUCUGCCCAAGUCCAUAUGGCUCAUCUGAACAAGAAACCUUAUAAAUCAACUCCUCAACCUACAUUCAAUCAUAUUCACAUUCAACCUAGAUACUCUUCUCCACCUUUUAAGCCAACCACUAGUCAAUAUCAACCCAACAUUUUGGGCAAACCACAACCACAACCAUGACAGCCUCAACCUCAAUGGAAACCACAUUUUUCAAUCUAAAAUCAAAAGCCUCAGCGCCAAAUUUGUGGUAAAUUUGGACACACUGCUCUUAUUUGCUUCCAUCACACAAAUUUGAACUAUUCACCCCAACCUUCUCCUAAAUCUUUCAAUACUGUUCUCACCACAAAUUCCCAGCUCCCUAAUCCUCCAAAAUUUUCUUACCCUACAAUGGCUCAUCCUGCUGCUACGCAUAACACGGUUCCCGAUACAAAUUGGUACAUGGACUCAGGUGCUACACAUCACUUUACUCUGGACAUCAACGUGCUUGACACUGUGACACCAUUUAGUGGUUCAGAACAGGUGACAGUUGGGAAUGGUAAGCAACUCUGUAUCUCACAUCUUGGUACUGCAAAACUACCAUCUUCGUAUUCUCCUCCUGUUCUACAUCAGGUAUAUCACACUCCAAAAAUUUCAAAUAAUCUUAUUAGUGUUAAAAAAUUGUGUUCUGAUAAUAAAGUUUUUGUUGAAUUUUAUGCCACUCAUUUUCUUGUCAAGGAUCAGGUUUCGAAGAGAGUUCUCCUUUAGGGUCAACUUGAUAAUGGCUUAUACAAAGUUCAGUCGUCAUGCUCUCCUUCUGCUGUUUCCUUUCCUCCUCAAGUUUUCAUAGCCAACAUCAAGUAUCCAAAUCUGUGGCACAAGAGACUAGGCCACCCAGCUUUAUCUGUUGUUAAUCAAAUCUUGGAUUCUUGUAACAUUGCUCGAACACAGAAAAUUUGUUUUAAUUUUUUAAAUUCUUGUCAAUUAGCAAAGAGCCACAGGCUUCCUUUUUCUCUGUCUCCAUCCAUUGCAGAAAAACCUUUUGAGUUAAUUCAUACAGACCUAUGGGGUCUUUCGCUCGUUCGCUCUAUUUCUGGUGCUCUUUAUUUUUUACUUUUCAUUGAUGAUCAUACUCGUUUUACUUGGUUUUAUUUGCUCAAAACAAAAGAUGAAGCAUAUCCUACUUUUCUCAAGUUUCAAGCUCUCAUUGAAAAUCAAUUUAAUACCAAGAUUAAGGCUGUCCAAUCUGAUUGGGGAGGUGAGUUUCGAUCUCUCUCCAUACCGUUUUCAAAUAUGGGCAUUGUCUAUUGUUUAUCGUGUCCAUACACCUCACAACAGAAUGGGCGAGUUGAGCGAAAAAAUCGCCAUGCGAUUGUCCUUUCUUGCUUGCUCUAUGCCCUUAUCUUAUUGGCCUUAUGCCUUUCAAACUGCCACUUACCUUAUUAAUCGUCUCUCUACCCCUGUGCUGCAUCAUCAAUCCUCUUACUUCGCACUCUAUCACAAACUCCCAACUUAUACUCAUCUUAAGGUCUUUGGUUCCUCUUGUUUUCCGUAUUUGCACCCUUAUAAUACCCAUAAACUCCAAUACAGGUCACUAGAGUGUGCUUUUCUUGGUUACAGUUCACACCACAAAGGUUAUCUAUGUCUUGACAUUCAUUCUAGCAGGGUGUAUAUUUCUCGCCAUGUGAUUUUUAAUGAAGAUUCUUUUCCAUUCAAGAAUUUGAAAUCUUCUCUCUCUCAGUCUAUUUCUUCUUCCUCUUCUUUAUAAGUUCCUCUGUUCAUUCUCUUGCCUCCCCUUUCCCCAUCUCCUCUUAUUUCUUCAUCUAUACCUCAUUCUUUUCCCUCUUCUUCUUCUACCUCUAGUACUUGUUCCCCUCUCGUUGCUCCUACCUCUCUUCCUUCCUCUUCACACUCUGUGUCUCCAUCUAUUCCACCUCCUUCUCCACCUUCUCCGAGUGUGGACCUGCUUGCACCUUGUGUGAAUACAAAUUUACAUACUUCUUCUCGCACUCACAAUAUUCAUCCUAUGGUGACUAGAUCUAAGGUUUGUAUCUAUAAACCUAAGUUGUUGUUGAGUGUCUCCAUAGGUUCUCUCACUAAGCCUACUUCCUUUCUUCAAGCUAUUAAAGAUCCUUCAUGGAAGCAAUCCAUGGAAUUCGAGUUUGCUACCCUUCAACACAACAAGACCUGGCAUUUGGUUCCUUCACCUUCCUCAGGCGAAGUAAUCGGUUGUAAAUGGGUCUAUAAGCUAAAGCUUCAGCCUGAUGGCUAAAUUGAGAGAUACAGCCUGCUUAGUAGCUAAGGGUAUCAUCAAAUUGAAGUAUGGACUACUUCGAAACAUUCAGCCUGAUNNNNNNNNNNNNNNNNNNNNNNNNNNNNNNNNNNNNNNNNNNNNNNNNNNNNNNNNNNNNNNNNNNNNNNNNNNNNNNNNNNNNNNNNNNNNNNNNNNNNAGCUUCAGCCUGAUGGCUAAAUUGAGAGAUACAAGGCCUGCUUAGUAGCUAAGGGUUAUCAUCAAAUUGAAGGUAUUGACUACUUCGAAACAUUCAGCCUGAUUGUCAAGCUUUCUACUAUCUGUAUUGUGCUCAGUCUUACUUUUUCCCAGAAUUGGUGUAUUAGACAGCUGGAUGUUCAUAAUGCCUUCUUACAUGGUGACUUAGCUAAAGACGUUUUCAUGGAACAACUGCCUGGAUUUGUUGAUCCUCUCUAUCCUACUCAUGUCUGCAAGUUGGAUAAGUCUCUCUACUGUCUUAAAUAGUCACCUCGGGCUUGGUAUACUAAGCUGAGUACUUCUCGCUACACUUGGGAUUUGUUACUUCUAAGAAUGACUCUUCCUUAUUUAUUUGUCAUUCGUCUCAUGGGUUACUUCUUGUUCUUGUCUAUGUGGAUGAUAUAAUCGUCAUUGGGAGCCACUCUCCUCAGGUUACUCACCUUAUCCAACAGUUGCAUCAUUAGCUUUCUUUAAAGGAUCUUGGUCCUUUACAUUAUUUUCUGGGCUUGGAGGUUCAUCACACCCCUACUGGUAUUCACCUCAGCCAAGCAAAGUAUAUCACUGAUCUCCUUACCCGGGCGGCUAUGUUGGAUGCCAAGCCAUGUCCCACUCCUAUGUCCUCCAACACAUAUCUCUCUUUUCAUGAUGGAGUGGCUCUUGAAAAUGGUUCAGAUUAUCGAAGUUUUGUUGGUGCCCUUUAGUAUUGUACCAUGACACGCCCAGAUAUAGCUUUUGCAAUAAAUAAAGUGUGUCAAUUCAUGCACCAUCCCUCUAAUGUUCACUGGCAGGCUAUAAAACGUAUUCUCCGGUACUUAAAGGGCACAUCUCAUUUUGGUCUCUUCCUACAGCCUUCCUAUGACUUCAACAUCACUUGCUAUACAAAUGCCGACUGGGCUUCCUGUCCUGAUGACAAGUGUAGCACCAGUGGCUACUGCCUCUUUCUUGCCUCUAAUCUGGUUUCUUGGUCAUCUUCCAAACAAAAAGUGGUCUCCCGCUCCAGCGCCGAAUCAGAGUACCGAGGGGUAGCAAAUGGGGCUGCUGAAAUUGCUUGGACUGAAUCUCUUCUUUGUGAACUUUCCAUUACUCCCCCUCCCCUCAUUCUCUGUGACAAUAUCAGUGCCACGUACUUAGCUGCCAAUCCUAUUUUGCAUGCCCGCACCAAACAUGUGGAAAUCGACUAUCACUUUGUCACGGAACGUGUUCUUCAAUGCUCUCUUUUUGUCCAGUUUACACCUUCUGAUGAUCAACUUGCUGAUUGCAUGACCAAGCCUCUCUCCACCCAACGUUUCAUCACUCUACGCUCCAAGCUCACUGUUCUCACUAGACCAAUGAGCUUGAGGGGGGAUGUUAAGCCUAAAGAUGUAAUUAGUUAGGAUAUUCUUUUCCCUCUAGUCUUGUAGCUCCACGUGUACAGUUGGUUAGGACCUCAUUGUAUAUAAUGCCUGCCCUGUUAUUGUAGAAGACAACAGAGAUAAAUAAUAUUAACAUUUUUCCUCUCAUCUCUCUCUCUGUUUCCCUCUGUUUUCAUCUCCUCUCUCAUCUGAACCAAAUGAUCCAUGUUAACCUUGGCUUGGUUUGAUUUGGCUCUAUCUUAGAGAGCUCAAGGAUCACGUCAACUCUGGUUUCUACUAUUCAGGUCCAUUCCCAUAUGAACUGGUUCAAAUUUGAGAAAAUGGUAACAGACCUUUAGUGAUGUUGGUUUGGAGCCAGUUGCCAAACCCGCCCUGAGCUUUACCACUAAUGUCAAGGGAGAAAGCCAUUUGAACAAAAACAAUAGCUUCAAGGGACUGAAUCGUGGAUGAAAUCUGAUCCACAUUUCUUCUCAUUUUGGAAACAAAUGAGAACUUAACUAAGAAGAUUCUACGGCCUCAUAGUGCUUUUCCUGAUCUAAGGUUGGUUCGUUUCCCAAACUGUGAGAUGCACGUGCCAGACUUCAGAACUCUCACGCUCAGGAGUGUAUCCACGUGGUGGACAUAAGAUGGUGGCUUAAGAUCUGGUGUCGGUGGCUUUACUUUACUAGGAGAGUAGUGUGUCUUCAUCUCAUUCACUGCCGGAGGGUGGCGUAAGCAGUGACGCUAAGGUGGGGCACAGUCAAUAUCAUUUGCAUUUGACCAUUAUAGUUUUCUCCCGGCUUUAAAGUAACCUUAUCGUGAUAAAGGAUUACUAGCACUAGUUCAGAUGAUAGUCAUGUUAAAUUCGGACCAUGUUUGUGUCACAUUAUCAGCAACCAUGUGUUUAUGGUUCAUGCUUUCUGCAACUAAAAUUGAUAUAUAACCAGGUGAACUUCAAUCUAAAUUCUGAAAGUACUCAUGUGAUAGAUGGUGCCCGUCUGCAGAGUCCAUCAAUUGAAAAAUGGAGUGAGUGUAUCUAUAAGAGGGAAGGCUUGGAAAAUGUUCAGUUUUCUGGGAAUUCAACAAGGAUCUAAAAUAGAUUGUUUUCUUUGCUGAUUUCAAUGGUUGAAAUUUGAGAAGAUUGUGUCCACAUAACACAACUAUUACUGGUCCUUCUGUUGCAAUUUAUCCUCUAAAGCUCUAGCAUGUCUUCCAAUUCCCACUUCCCUGUUACUCCAGGAAAGCUAUUUCUGUCAUUGUGAAGAAGAAAAGAGAAUGUACAUAUCGAUGCUUUUAAGUGACUGGAGCAUUUAUAUCAGGUGGUCUGCAGCCAUAUAUGCCACUUUGUGAAGAUUGGAACAGUCAAUCACUAGGCUAUAUAUUAGUGUGGCCCAGCCACUUUAAUCAAGGACAAGUCUUCAUACUUAAAGUCAAAUUCUGCCUUUAGUCUCAUUAUAAAUUUCUGUUUAAAUAUUAAGCAAACAUUUGUUUAAUGCGAUUAAGACAGUACUAACUCAAUACCUGUUCUAUUUUUGGAUGCAAAUGCUUGAUGGUUUCAUCAUUGGAUGGGAUAAAGGUGCAUUCAUGAUUAGGAAUACUAGUAGUUAUAUUUUAAUUCUCUUUUUUCUCAAUGAGACUUGUUGGCACAAUUUUGCUGUUGAGAAACCUACCUCUCCAUGGAAAAUAAGUUGUGAUUGAUAGUACUGGAUAUAUUCAAGAAAUCUAAAUAUAGAUAGCACAAAAUAUUAUCGACAUAAAUAGCAUUAACAGCGUACGUAUGUCUCAGUGCUCAUCAGCUAUAAGCAUGGGGCAAACACUUACUAUGAGCAACUUACGUCAAAAUUCCAGAAUAGGACAUAGAAGUGACAGAUAUAGAACAUUGCAUAUGAGUCACAAGAAAGGAAAUUACGGGUGCAUAGCAGCUCUUAUUUUACAUACUACUACUCAUACUGAUCAAAGUCACUCAGUUGGGAUGGGUGGGAGUAGGAGGUUUGUGGGGUGGCUUGUGCGGAGGAGUUGGCAGCUUCUUUCCAGGACCUGGUUGCUUCUCUGCUGGAGUUGAAGGAGGCUUAAUCUUCCGAGGUGGCUUGUAUGAGUCUUCAGCAUUCUCAGCUGGAGGGUGACCAGGGUUGUGACCAUAAUGUGGUGGCUUCUCUCCCUUAGGUGGUUUGCCAACUGGGGUUGGUGGCUUGUAUGAGUCUUCAGCAUUCUCAGCAGGAGGGUGACCAGGGUUGUGACCAUAAUGUGGUGGCUUCUCUCCCUUAGGUGGUUUGCCAACUGGGGUUGGUGGCUUGUGUUCUGGGAGUGGCUUCUCCCCCUUGGGAGGUUUUUCCAAUGGGGUUGGUUUGUGUUCAGGAGGUGGCUUCUCCACUGGAGGCUUGUGUUCAGGAGGUGGCUUCUCCACCGGAGGCUUGUGUUCAGGUGGUGGCUUCUCCACCGGAGGCUUAUGCUCUGGUGGUGGCUUCUCGAAUGGGGGAUGCUUAGGAUAAUCAGCAAGUGAGGGGGCGGUGAGAACCACCAGGCCAAGCAACACCACUAGCAAAUAUGUAGGAGACAUCUUUGGGUUUGGGCUCAGAUGGUGCAAAACUAGGAGAAUUGGCUAGCCUUUUAUAGCGGAUCGUACCCAAUAAUGAAAUGACACGUGUCAUUAUGACCCAUGUGUAAUGGGGUCGAUUUGGGUCCUACAGUGUUGAAAACUUCGACAUCCACUUUUGGCCUUUUGCUUUCUCUACAGCCGCCUUGCUUUUUCCCUCUUUCCUUUUGUUUUCCUCCUGCCCCAUUCUAUCAACUAAACACAAUUAUGUAGUUGUUUAAUUCUUAAAUGAGAUAUUAUCCGUCAAUCGUAUUAUAUUUUAUCAAGAGAGAACGGAGUGCAAUGUGGCUGUAAUUUUAUCGUUUAGUUUUAUCUCUUGGACCACUGCAUUUUUGUUAAGAGGUGCAAUAAUACACGUCUUUAUCUGCCAUUCAAUAUUUACAGUAAAGAGAGGGCACAAAACUCUUCACUUCGCACCAUAAUUAUUUUGUUUUCUGGACACCCCGGGGCCCUUUGGUUGGUUUGGGGGUCAGAAAGUGAACAUCAUAGGGGGUUUUUCCCUUAUGUGCAUUUGUAUCUGAUGGCUUUAACUCGCCUUGUUACUACAAAGAAACUGUCACAGAUAGGAACUUAUUCCAGGCUGAGUAUCUCCUCAUAGACCCUAUAAAAGAAGACAAGUCAUAAUGAACAUCUAACCUUUGUUCAAUUUGAUUCAAUGCCCCCAUUGUGUCCAUCUCACAAAUCUGAAUUAUUAUAUCCAUUGAAUACAUAAAUUAAUGAAGAAAAUAUGAAACCCAAGAUACAUCUCUGCACAACCUCAACCCUGGUUGCUAUGUUUCCCUUCUAUUCACAUGAUUUGAUGCUAAUUGCCAAACUUGCAACAAGCCCUGAGUUUGACACCUAGUAUCGAUGGGCGAAUUUAAAGUCUCCUCCAAACAUAUAUUCCACAGCUUGAAGCUCACAGAAGAUGUUACAGGCAGGGAAAAACCUUCAGAGUUCGCUACCAAAGAUAAUUAUUAAGGAGAUAUCACAAAGAGAAUUCCAAGGGGUCUGAAUCAAAGACAAAUUGGUCGUUCGUGGGGGUUCUUACUUUCUUUUGGGUAUAACUCACUGAGGGCACUGUCUUUGUUAUUUGCAUUUCACAUUUAGAGUUCUGUUCUGGAAACAUAUAAAAGGAGCAUCAUUUUGUUCUUGGGUAACCCAUAGUCGUGAGUGGGUCCAUUUGCAUGCUACUUAGUUGAAAAGUUGGACCAUUUGCUCCGACGCCUACCUCCCGGAUUCCAUGCUCGGAUAAAACAAGAAUAAAAAAAAUAUUUAUAAUUUACAAAUGGGGGAAAGAAAAAAAUGUCAACAACAAACCAGGAAAAAAGAGUAGUAAAAUUCAUGUCACAUGCUAGUGAGAGAAGGGGUUGUUACACUCACUCGAAGUUCUUUCCAAAAUAUCGCAUGGUAUUUUAUUUUAUGUGUCAGCGCAGUUGUGAAUGGAACGUGCAAAAGUCCAAAUUGGCGUUUUUCCUUUUCCCGUGUAGGAUGGCGACCUUUAAUAAAUAUUUAAAACAAAAAACGAAAAAAAGGAGGGAAAAGGGAUCAGAAAAGAUAAAACAAUGUGUACAAGAGCUCAAUUAGUUUGCAAAUUACUGUUUGGAUUUUGAUAGUAUUUUAUUUGUCCAUCUAUAUUUGAUGGAAAAGAGAAUUUAAGAUAUUUCUGAAACAAAAGCAUUAGUGUAAAACUAAAUUAAGGUAUAAUUAAGUUAGUUCAAUGCAUUAAUUUAAGAAACUUGAUCUAUCCAAAGUACAAAAUUAGAUGAAAUCCAUUUCAAUGGUUAAAAUGAUCAAAAUCAAACUUUUUCUAAGUAUUUUUUAAAAGCAUCAAUAUUAAAAGACAAUUUUAUAUUUAGUCGGAGUUUGGACAAAACCAAAAAGCACACAAAAUCCAAGCGACCAUCUCUAGCUUGGAUAGUCACUUGAUCCCACCUAGAGAUGUGCAUGAGUAAAAGGAUUUGAAAAUGGAAAUUGACUAAAUAUUUAGUUGAUCAAUUAAAUUUGCAAUGUCAUAUGCAAUCCUAAUAGCUAGUCAUCUAAUCAAUUAGGUAGUCAAUCAAGUGUUUGUAAUGACUAUUUUGUACAAAAAACCACAUGUAUAGUUAAAUAUAAUGCAUUUCAUUUAUAAAUCUUCUAAUUCUUGAAUAACGAUCCUAUCAUCCUUUGAAAAUUUUUAUUACACCUUUUUUACUUUUGUUCUAAAACUUACAUAUCACCCUUAAUUGUACCAUGAGAACCUAGCUAUUUUUUUUUUUUUUGUAAUUCAUCAAAGUUAGCUUUUGUAUUCAUUGUUGUAUUAUUUUUAGUAUAACUUAGAAAGCUAGUGUUUUCAAGUGAGUAAAAUUAACUUGUAAAUAUUGUAAAGAUUCAUUGAUAUGUAUCUUAAACUAAGUGUACAAAUUAAAACAUUUGCUAGUAGAUUUUCUCAAAAUUUAGAAUAGAGCUUGAGGCUAUUGAAAUAGGUGGGGUUACACCAAACCACAUCACAUCGUUGUUUGCACCUUUUUUCACUCUCUUUUACUUAGUUUCUCUAUAUUUGUUGUCUAGUAAUAUCCUAUAGGCUUGAUGGGUUAGGGAGCAUCCCUUUGUGAAAAAAUUUCAUUCAAUUCUUAGUUGUAUUACGCAUAUAUAAAAUGCCUCAUUGUUUUAAUGGUAUUCAGUCGUGGCAUCACAGAUAUGGGCAUCUAAAUUUUAAAAGUUUGAAACUUUUGUAAAGCAUGUUGAUAAAAUCCAUGAGAGUUGUGUACUUGGGAAGCAACAUCGAGGUGACUUUAUUUUUUUUUCCUUUUAUAAUGCCACACCUAAGUCCGGUUUCUAAAUGCUAAAGUGAAAGGGUAGGUAUGGACCAUUGAAAUGUGAUCACAACUUUUGGCCUUUUCCUUUCUCUGCAGCCAUGUUGUCUCUUUUUUCUUUUGCAUGAUUUUCUUACCAAAACAGAAUCAUAGACUUGUUUAGUCUCUAAGCUACUAUAUUAUAUCUCGGUGGACUUUUAAGAGUGCAACCGACAUAGAGCACAUGCAAGUGGGCAUAUGGGACAUGAAAUUUCUUCUUACAAAGAUUGCAUGAUUUUUAUAUUAGAGUUGUUCACGUGCAAUGUAUUUAGCUUGUUUUGCAGUUAAAUUAAUUGGAUAAGUAAACAUUGGCAUUUCUAAAUCGACUGUGAAGUGCUUCAUGUACGUGUAAAGUAUUAGAAAUUUCUUUCUUGGCAACUUGUUUUUUCCUUGCCAUCUACUGGUAGGUUUGACUAAAAUUAUAUUCCCUGUCAUGCUAAUUAAUUUUCAUGUGCAUGCUCAAAAGAAGAGUAUGACCUUAGUGCACCAAAAUCACUUUGAUUAAUUUGUGAUAGGUUUUUUUGCAUCAUUUAGAUAAUGUUUAGUUCUAAGAAAAAUUUAUAUAAAAAUGGUUUAUUUAUCUUACAUAUAUAUAUAUAUAUAUAUAUUUUUUUUUUUUUCAUUUUUUUUUCUUCUAUUUUAUUUAUUUAUUUUAUUUUCCUUAUGUUUUCCUCACAUUUUCCGGAACUAAACAUAGUCUUACGAAAUCAACAAUUGCCUUCAACUGAGUAGAUUCUGUUGUUUUAGCAAUGUUAGGCUGCUAACUUGUGGUGGUACGAACCAAAUGACCCAUGUUAAUCUUGGCUUGGUUUGAUUUGGCUCUAUCUCAGAGAGCUAAAGGAUCACGUCAACUCUGGUUUCUACUAUUCAGGUCCAUUCCCAGAUGAACUGGUUCAAAUUUGAGAAAAUGGUAACAGACCUUUAGUGAUGUUGGUUUGGAGCCAGUUGCCAAACCCGCCCUGAGCUUUACCACUAAUGUCAAGGGAGAAAGCCAUUUGAACAAAAACAAUAGCUUCAAGAGACUGAAUCGUGGAUGAAAUCUGAUCCACAUUUCUUCUCAUUUUGGGAAAAAAUGAGAACUUAACUACAAAGAUUCUACUGCCUCAUUCAUAGUGCUUUUCCUGAUCCAAGGUUGGUUCGUUUCCCAAAUUGUGAGGUGCACGUGCCACUCUCACGCUCAGGAGUGUAUCCACGUGGUGGACAUCAGAUGGUGGCUUAAUAUCUGGUGUCGGUGGCUUUACUUUACUAGGAGAGUAGUGUGUCUUCAUCUCAUUCACUGCCGGAGGGUGGCGUAAGCAGUGACGCUAAGGUGGGGCACAGUCAAUAUCAUUUGCAUUUGACCAUUAUAGUUUUCUCCCGGCUUGAAAGUAACCUUAUCGUGAUAAAGGAUUACUAGCACUAGUUCAGAUGACCGUCAUGUUAAUUCGGACCAUGUUUGUGUCACAUUAUCAGCAACCAUGUGUUUAUGGUUCAUGCUAUCUGCAACUAAACUUGAUAUAUAACCAGGUGAACUUCAAUCAAAAUUCUGGAAGUACUCUUGUGAUAGAUGGUGCCUGUCUGCAGAGUCCAUCAAUUGAAAAAUGGAGUGAGUGUAUCUAUAAGAGGGAAGGCUUGGCAAAUGUUCAGUUUUCUGGGAAUUCAACAAGGAUCUAAAAUAGAUUGUUUUCUUUGCCGACUUCAAUGGUUGAAAUUUGAGAAGAUUGUGUCCACAUAUCACAACUAUUACUGGUCCUUCUGUUGCAAUUUAUCCUGUAAGGCUCUAACAUGUCUUCCAAUUCCCACUUCCCUGUUACUCCAGGAAAGCUAUUUCUGUCAUUGUGAAGAAGAAAAGAGAAUGUACAUAUCGAUGCUUUUAAGUGACUGGAGCAUUCAUAUCAGGUGGUCUGCAGCCAUAUAUGCCACUUUGUGAAGGUUGGAACAGUCAAUCACUAGGCUAUAUAUUGGUGUGGCCCAGCCACUUCAAUCAAGGACAAGUCUUCAUACUUAAAGUCAAAUUCUGCCUUUAGUCUCAUUAUAAAUUGCUGUUUAAAUAUUAAGCAAACUUUUGUUUAAUGCGAUUAAGACAGUACUAACUCAAUACUUGUUCUAUUUUUGGAUGCAAAUGCUUGAUGGUUUCAUCAUUGGAUGGGAUAAAGGUGCAUUCAUGAUUAUGAAUACUUGUAGUUAUAUUUUCAUUCUCUUUUUUCUCAAUGAGACUUGUUGGCACAAUGUUGCUGUUCAGAAACCUACCUCUCCAUGGAAAAUAAGUUGCGAUUGAUAGUACUGGAUAUGUUCAAGAAAGCUAAAUAUAGAUAGCACAAAAUAUUAUCGAUAUAAAUAGCAUUAACAGCGUACGUAUGUCUCAAUGCUCAUCAGCUAUAAGCAUGGGACAAACACUUACUAUGAGCAACUUACGUCAAAAUUCCAGAAUAGGACAUAGAAGUGACAGAUCUAUAUAUAUAGAACACUGCAUAUGAGUCACAAGAAAGGAAAUUACGGGUGCAUAGCAGCUCUUAUUUUACAUACUACUACUCAUACUGAUCAAAGUCACUCAGUUGGGAUGGGUGGGAGUAGGAGGUUUGUGGGGUGGCUUGUGCGGAGGAGUUGGCAGCUUCUUUCCAGGACCUGGUUGCUUCUCUGCUGGAGUUGAAGGAGGCUUAAUCUUCCGAGGUGGCUUGUAUGAGUCUUCAGCAUUCUCAGCUGGAGGGUGACCAGGGUUGUGACCAUAAUGUGGUGGCUUCUCUCCCUUAGGUGGUUUGCCAACUGGGGUUGGUGGCUUGUAUGAGUCUUCAGCAUUCUCAGCAGGAGGGUGACCAGGGUUGUGACCAUAAUGUGGUGGCUUCUCUCCCUUAGGUGGUUUGCCAACUGGGGUUGGUGGCUUGUGUUCUGGGAGUGGCUUCUCCCCCUUGGGAGGUUUUUCCAAUGGGGUUGGUUUGUGUUCAGGAGGUGGCUUCUCCACUGGAGGCUUGUGUUCAGGAGGUGGCUUCUCCACCGGUGGCUUGUGUUCAGGAGGUGGCUUCUCCACCGGAGGCUUAUGCUCUGGUGGUGGCUUCUCCACCGGAGGCUUAUGCUCUGGUGGUGGCUUCUUGAAUGGGGGAUGCUGAGGGUAAUCAGCAAGUGAGGGGGCGGUGAGAACCACCAGGCCAAGCAACACCACUAGCAAAUAUGUAGGAGACAUCUUUGGGUUUGGGCUCAGAUGGUGCAAAACUAGGAGAAUUGGCUAGCCUUUUAUAGCGGAUCGUACUCAAUAAUGAAAUGACACGUGUCAUUAUGACCCAUGUGUAAUGGGGUCGAUUUGGGUCCUACAGUGUUGAAAACUUCGACAUCCAGUUUUGGCCUUUUGCUUUCUCUACAGCCGCCUUGCUUUUUCCCUCUUUCCUUUUGUUUUCCUCCUGCCCCAUUCUAUCAACUAAACACAAUUAUGUAGUUGUUUAAUUCUUAAAUGAGAUAUUAUCGGUCAAUCGUAUUAUAUUUUAUCAAGAGAGAACGGAGUGCAAUGCAGCUGUAAUUUUAUCGUUUACUUUUAUCUCUUGGACCACUGCAUUUUUGUUAAGAGGUGCAAUAAUACACGUCUUUAUCUGCCAUUCAAUGUUUACAGUAAAGAGAGGGCACAAAACUCUUCACUGCUCUGCAUGUGUCCCAAAAAUGCGAUUGGACAAAUUAUGAUUUGCAUGCUAAAAAGAGGCAAAUGAGGUUAAUUCGCACCAUAAUUAUUUGGUUUUCUGGACACCAUAAAAAGAUGUUAUACAGGCAGGGAAAAACCUUCAGAGUUAGCUACCAAAGAUAAUUAUCAAGCAGAUAUCACCAAGAGAAUUCCAUAGAGUCUGAAUCAAAGACAGAUUGCUCGCUCGUGGGGGUUCUUACUUUCUUUUGGGUAUAACUCACUGAGGUCACUGUCUUUUUUAUUUGCAUUUCACAGUUAGAGUUCUGCUCUGGAAGGUUUGUUCUGGAAACAUAUAAAAGGAGCAUCAUUUUGUUCUUGGGUAACCCAUAGUCGUGAGUGGGUCCAUUUGCAUGCUACUUAGUUGAAAAGUUGGACAAUUUGCUCCGACGCCUACCUCCUGGAUUCCAUGCUCGGUAAAACAAGAAUAAAAAAAAAUAUAUAAUUUACAAAUGGGGGAAAGAAAAAAUGUCGGAAAAAAUAGUAAAAUUCAUGUCACAUGCUAGUGAGAGAAGGGGUUGUUACACUCACUCGAAGUUCUUUUCAAAAUAUCGAAUGGUAUUUUACUUUAUGUGUCAGCGCAGUUGUGAAUGGAACGUGCAAAAGUCCAAAUUGGCGUUUUUAUUUUUCCCAUGUAGGAUGGUGACCUUUAAUAAAUAUUUAAAACAAAAGACGAAAAAAAAAAGGAGGGAAAAGGGAUCACAAAAGAUAAAAUAAUGUUUACAAAAGCUCAAUUAGUUUGCAAAUUACUGUUUGGAUUUUGAUAGUAUUUUAUUUGUCGUUCUAUAUUUGAUGUAAAAGAGAAUUUAAGAUAUUUCCGAAGCAAAAGCAUUAGUUUGCUCUGUGAUGUCCCACAUCGAAUAGGGGAGAAAGUUUCUGGCGCUAUAUAUGUAGAGGCUCCUCUUAACCAAGUAGAUGCGUUUUAAAACCAUGAGGGCCCCCUUAGGUCCAAAGCGGACAAUAUCUACAUGAUUGGGUGUAAGUCAUUACAAAUGGUAUCAGAGCCGAUCCCCGACCCCGGUGUGGGGGUUUGUUUGGCCCUGUAAGGGGUGUUUGUCUGUUUGACCCCACAAUCCCAUGGGACACAACGAGGACGUUGUGUCUGCAUGGGGGGGCGUUUGUGAUGUCCCACAUCGGAUAGGGGAGAAAGUUCCUAGUGCUAUAUAUGUAGAUGUUUCUCUUAACCAAGUAGAUGCAUUUUAAAAUUGUGAGGGCCUCUUUGGGCCCAAAGCGGACAAUAUCUACAUGGUUGAGUGUAAGUCAUUACAUGCUCCAUGUCAAUUUCAGCAUUUCUCAUAUGUUUCACACAUACACAGAAGAGCAUCGUUUUUUAAAGCAUGCAUUUAUGUUGGAUUAAUUUGGAUUUUGUGGGAACUGGGGCAAGGAUCACAUGGAAGAGAGGUUGACUUUUUUCAGUACUUCAAUGGUUGAAAUAUGUGAAGGCUUGAUUGAUACUAAAGCUUGAAAUUGCGACUCUGUCAUUUGUAAAAAAAUAUGACAGCUUCCAUGCUCUCGUUUGGUUGCAUUGUCCGGUCGAGAGGUGCAAAAAGCAUUCUCUCUCUUCUAAUAGUCUUUUCGUUUAAAUCAAGGGAUUUGCCUUCCCGGUCGAGGUCCAAUAGAGGGUAACGGUCACCUACUAAACAUUAAAUGCUCCAACAACUAGUGAACUGAUCGACCCCAGCUCGACUAGUUGAGGUUACUUUUUGGUUUUCUUGUCUCCCGAGGUUAGAAACCUAUAAAUAGAGAGCUUCACUUCAUUUAUGAGUAAGAGAACACCUAAAUUUAUUUGUUUACCUACUUGUUUUUGCCAUAAAAGCUCUCAUUUCUUUUCUUGGUGUAUUAAAUCUCCAUUUGCAUAUCCUUUAGUGCACCUUUGUGAUUCAUUCUAGCCUUGAGUUGUAUUUAAGCCUUUGUUGAGCUAGGUUGAGAGUUUCAUACUUGUUUAUUGAGUGUUAAAGCCUUCAAGUGAGUUAAAACUUGAAGAGAUUGUGUAAGAGCCCAUUGGAGUCGGAAUCCAAGUGUAAAGGUGAUUAAAAGCUUGGUUGAAGCUUCAAGUUAGUGGAACUCUCACUCGGUUAUGAGCUUGAGAAGAGUGGACAUAGACAAGGCAGUGUCGAACCACUAUAAAAUCUGAGUUUGAUUUCUCUAACCUUAUCUCUUUAUAUUUGCUUCUCUUGUGCUUAAAUUUUUUGUGUUUAAAAAGAAUUUUUAAAAACUCAAUUCACCCCCUUCUUGGGAGUUUUUCUCUUUUAAGAUCAGCUUUUAUUUUCUCAAUUGGUAUCAGAACUAUGCCUCUUGUUUAAGACUUAAUCGUCUAAGAGGAAAUGGCUAAUCCAUCAAGUUCAUCUCACAUUGAAAGUUUUGCAACCAAUAGACUUCUUUUUUUUUUUUUGCGGGAACUGAUUAUCCCUAUUGGAAAACUAAAAUGACUUGGUUUUUACAAUCAAUUGAUUUAGAUGUAUGAGAUGCCAUUGAAGAUGACCUAACUUUUCCUUCAAAACUAGUUGAUGGAGUCAUGGUUCCAAAACCUAAGCAAGAAUGGGAUGAGCGUGAUUGAAGAAAUUUUCAAUUAAAUGCUAAAGUCGUUUAUACUUUGCAAUGCUCUAUGGACAGAAAUGAAUAUAAUAGAAUAUGUCAAUGCAAAUCGGUUAAAGAAAUUUGGAGAUUGCUUGAAAUAACUCAUAAAGGAACAAAUCAAGUUAAAGAGUCAAAAAUCAAUUUACUUGUUCAUAGAUAUGAAUUGUUUUUUAUGAAAGAUAAUGAAACUAUUGUUAAGAUGAUCACUAGGUUCACCAACAUUGUUAAUGGUCUUAAAGCCUUGGGAAAGACCUACAAGGAAUCCGAAAACGUGAUGAAGAUCUUGAGGUCACUUCCAUCAAAGUGGCAUACCAAGGUCACCGCAAUUUAAGAAGCAAAAGACUUGAUCAAGCUACCUUUGGAGGAGUUCAUAGGGUCAUUGAUGACAUAUGAAAUCAAUUUGGCAAAGAAGUAACAAAAAGGUGAAGACAAAAAGAAGAAGAACAUAACUCUCAAAGCUACAACUAAGGAAGAAGAAGUUGAAGAAGAAAAACAAAUUGAAGAAGAUGAAGAUUUAGCCCUCAUCACAAGAAAGUUCAACAAAUUCAUGAGGGGUGAAAGGUUUAGAAGAAGAAGGUUCACUUCUAGAAGAGACUUUUCUAAAAAGGAAUCUUCAUCUAAUGGUGACAAAAAGAGAUGGGAAGAGAAAAGAGACUUGGUGUGUUUCAAGUGCAAGAAACCGGGACACAUUAAAUAUGAUUGUCCUCUCUACAAAAGUGAAGUCAAGAGGAAAAAGAAUAAGGCAAUGAUGGCCACUUAGAGUGAAAGUGAAGAUGAAUCAUCCGAAGAAGAAAAUGAGAAAGAAGUGGCAAACAUGUGUUUCAUGGCAAUAGAUGAACUUGAUGAGGUAAAAUCUAACCUUAGUGAUUAAGAUAUACAUGAUGCAUUUGAAGAAUUGUAUGAGGAUUUUUAAAAACUUAGUUUGAAAAAUAUUUCUCUUAAAAAGAAAGUUCAACAACUUGACAAAGAACUUAGAGAAGUAAAAGAAAAAUUUUCAAAUGUUAAAGUUUCUAAAACUCAUCUUGAAAAAGAAAAUGAGAUUCUAAGAAAGAAAAAUGAAUAGUUGAACUCCUCUCUUUCAAUCUUUUCUUCUAGACAAAAAUCUUUUGAAAUGAUUCUAACUAGCUAAAAAUGUGUUUUUGACAAACAAGGGUUAAGAUUUAAAUCUUCAAAAAAUCAAAAGUAUUUUAAAAACUAUUUUGUAAAGGAAUCCACAAGUGCAAGUCCUUCCACUACUUGCAACUUUUGUGGAAGAGAAUGGCACAUUAGUAGUACGCCCUUUAAGAAAUGGUUCUCAAAAGAAUUUAAAUGCAAAAACUAAAAAAGAUUUGGAUUGAGAAAUCCAAGGUCACUAACCCUCAAGGACCCAAAAAGAUAUAGGUACCUAAAUCAACUUGAGUUUUAUGUUGUAAGGUUCAAAGAAUGAUAAGUGGUUCUUAGAUAAUGGUUGCUCAAGACACAUGACCGGAGAUGAAUCCAAGUUUGCUUUUCUUAAAAAGAAAAAUGGAGGAUAUGUUACCUUUGGAGACAAUGCAAAAGAAAGGAUGAUUGGUCAAGGCAACAUUGGUAAUGGCACAUCCUCUCUCAUUGAAAGUGUUUUAUUAGUAGAUGGUUUCAAACAUAACCUUUUAAGCAUUAGUCAAUUUUGCGACAAAGGUUUUUAAGUGAUUUUUUAAGCAUCUCAUUGCAUCAUCAAGGAUAUUCAAAAUGAUAAAACCAUUUUCAUGGGCCAUAGAUGUGAUAAUGUUUAUGCUAUAAAUAUUUCAAAAUAUGAUGGCCAUGAUAGAUGUUUUUCAAGCAUGCAUGAUCAAAGUUGGUUGUGCCAUAGGAGAUUGAGACAUGCUAACAUAGACCUCAUUUCCCAACUCAACAAAGAUGAACUUGUUAGAGGCCUUCCCAAAAUAAUUUUUUAAAAAGAUAAAGUUUGUGAAGCUUGUCAAGUGGGAAAGUAAAUCAAAAACUCUUUUAAAAACAAAAACUUCAUUUCCACAUCUAGGCCACUUGAGUUGUUGCAUAUGGAUUUAUUUGGUCCCUCUAGGACACCAAGUCUUAGAGGAAAUUCUUAUGCAUAUGCUAUUGUGGACGACUUCUCUAGAUACACAUGAGUCUUGUUUUUUAGUCAAAAGAAUAAAGUUUUUUAUGAGUUUUCAAAGUUUUGCAAUAAGAUUCAAAAUGAAAAAGGUUUUUCAAUUACUUAUAUAAGAAGUGAUCAUGGGAGAGAAUUCGAAAAUAUUGAUUUUGAAGAGUAUUGCAAUGAGCAUGGAAUUGACCACAAUUUUUUGGCUCUUAGAACUCCUCAACAAAAUGGGGUAGUUGAAAGGAAAAAUAGAACUCUUCAAAAAAUGACAAGAACCAUACUAAAUGAAAACAACUUACCAAAAUAUUUUUAGGCCAAAACGGUUAACACUUCUUGUUAUGUUUUAAAUAGAGUAUUAUUGAGGCUCAUACUUAAGAAAACUCCCUAUGAGCUUUGGAAAAACAAAAAACCCAACAUUAGUUAUUCCAAAGUCUUUGGAUGCAAUAUUUUAUAAUAAACACCAAAGACAAUCUUGGAAAAUUUGAUGCAAAAUUGGAUGUUGGAAUUUUCCUUGGUUACUCAACUUCAAGUAAAGCUUUUCGAGUUUUAACAAAAGAACCAUGGUUGUAGAGGAGUCCAUCCAUGUUAUUUUUUAUGAAUCUCCAAGAAAGAGAGAGGAUUGAUGAUGAUUUAGGUUUGAAGACCUCUAUAGGAAGAUUGCAAAUCGAAGAUAGAAGACAACAAGAAGAAAAUGGAGAGAAUCCAAAGAAAGAAGGAUCACCAUUGGCACUACCCCCUCAUCAACAAGCGCAAGGUGAAUCAAGUCAAGAGCUUCCUAAAGAAUGGAAGUUUGUCAUCAAUCACCCACAAGAUCAAAUUAUAGGCAAUCCAUCUAGUGGGGUAAGAACUAGAUCCUCUCUUAGAAAUAUUUGCAAUAAUCUAGCUUUUAUCUCUCAAAUUGAGCCUAAAAAUAUAAAUGAUGUUUUAGAUGAUGAAAAUUGGAUAAUUGCAAUGCAAGAAGAGUUAAAUCCAUUUGAAAGAAGUGGAGUAUGGGAAUUAGUACCAAGACCUUCAAAUCAAAGUGUUAUUGGAACUAGAUGGAUCUUUAGAAAUAAAAUGGAUGAAAAUAGCAUAAUUGUUAGAAAUAAAGCAAGAUUGGUAGCCCAAGGUUUUAAUCAAGAAGAAAUGAUAGAUUAUGAAGAAACCUUUGCCCCCGUAGCUAGGUUGGAAGCCAUUAGGAUGCUACUUGCCUUUGCAUGUUUUAAAGACUUUGUUUUAUAUCAAAUGGAUGUGAAAAGUGCUUUUUUAAAUGGUUUUAUAAAUGAAGAAGUAUAUGUUGAACAACCACCCGGUUUUCAAAGUUUCAACUUUCCUAACCAUGUUUUUAAACUUAAAAAGACACUUUAUGGUUUGAAACAAGCACCUAGAUCAUGGUAUGAAAAAUUGAGUAAAUUUCUUUUGAAAAAAAUGUUUUAAAAUGGGAAAAAUUGACACAACUCUUUUUAUAAAAACCAAAGAAAAUGAUAUGCUCUUAGUUCAAAUAUAUAUUGAUGAUAUCAUUUUUGGUGCUACUAAUGUCUCUCUUUAUGAAGAAUUUUCUAAGUGCAUGCAUAGUGAGUUUGAAAUGAGCAUGAUAGGAGAACUCAACUUCUUCCUUGGACUUCAAAUCAAGCAACUAAAGGAAUGAACCUUCAUCAAUCAAGCAAAGUAUAUAAGAGAUCUUCUCAAAAGGUUCAACAUGGAAGAAGCCAAAACAAUGAAGACUCUAAUGAGCUCAUCCAUUAAGCUUGAUAAGGAUGAGAAAGGUAAAUCCAUUGACUCUAUUAUGUAUAGAGGCAUGAUAGGUUCUUUGCUCUAUUUGACCACUAGUAGACCUUACAUUAUGUAUAGUGUGUGUUUGUGUACUAGAUUUCAAUCUUGUCUUAAAAAAUCUCACUUAAGUGUCGUGAAAAGAAUCCUCAAAUAUUUGAAAGGGACAAUGGACAUAGGCUUAUGGUAUCCUAAGAGUGAUAACUUUGAAUUAAUUGGUUUUUUGGAUGCUGAUUUUGUCAGUUGUAGGGUUGAAAAAUAAAACACUAGUGGCACUUUUCAUUUCUUAAGACACUUACUUGUCUCAUGGCAUAAUAAGAAGCAAAAUUUGGUAGCUUUGUCAACAGCAGAAGCUAAAUACAUAGCAACUGGUUUAUGUUGUGCACAAAUCCUUUGGAUGAAAUAAACACUUAGUGAUUUUGAUUUAUCUUUUGAGCAUAUUCCUAUUAAAUGUGAUAAUAGUAGUGCCAUAAGUAUAUCAAAAAAUCUCGUGCAACACUCUAGGACUAAGCAUAUAGAGAUUAGACAUAAUUUUCUUAGAUAUCAUACACAAAAGGAUGAUAUAACACUUGAAUUUGUAAGCAUAAAAGACCAACUUGCCGAUAUCUUUACAAAACCUCUAAGAACAUUUUGUUGAUAUUAGAGGACAAUUAGGAGUGAUUUCUUUAUGAUCUAAUGUGAUGAAUUCUUGAUGAAUAUACUUUUUGAUUGCAUGAAUUUCAUGUCAUAUAUGCAUCAUAUAGAAAUAUACUUAGAUAAUGGUCAAAUUUCGACCAAAAAUCAAAAUUCCCAUGGCAUUAGGCAUAAAAAUUUUGGAAUUUCAACUGAAAAUGGUAGGAGGAGGAUCACAAAAUGAGAAAGUAUGCAAAAAUUGAAAAAUCAAAACGUUGACCAAGCGGUCAAUCGGACUAGACCGAUCGACUAGUUUGUCGAGAUUUAGGAUUUUUAAGAGACUCCAACGCUUCAAUUUUUGCACCGUUCUCCUCUAUUUCUUCACGGUUUCUCUGAUUUUGUCUUUUAGAGACUAAUUUGAGUGCGUUUUGGAUCAAUUGAAGCAUUUUGGAUUGGAUUUUAGGAAGAUUGAAAGUUAAGGUUUCGGAUUUGGGUCGCCUUCUCUUCCUCUCGCGUGUCACAAUCAGCUUUAGCAUUGUUCUCUUUCCAUUUUCACACACCUAGGGUUUCAGUUGUGAGCAUCUCUCUCUCUUUACCAACCACUACUCCCUUGCUUCUUCCAUAUGGCUCCUAGGCGAGAGUCCGCUACUUCUAGGGCACAAGGCAAGCACCCAACUGAGUCGUCUCAGUCAAAGGCACGUCGAAAAGUGAGAUUUGACAUUGCCUUGUUCAGUUCCAUGGAGGACUACCAACUAUACAAGCAACACUUUGCUUAGAGACGAGUAGUUCCCAAGAGAAAUAUUAAUUUUCCUCAACUUCAGCAUUUCGAAUUUAAGGGUCUAUUUACUAGGAUGGUUGGUUGUCUAUUGUCACAAUUUCGGAGCCGGUUUUCCUGACCUUAGUGCGAGUUUUUUACUCGAGGGCGACUUAUGGCAUGGGUGGCAUGAUCAUUUCUACUGUUGGAGGAGUUGAGAUCUGUCUGGACCCAGAGAGCAUCUGCCAUAUUUUCGAUAUUGCUCUGGUUGGACUCAAAGUAUACAAGUCCAAAAUGUGGCCCAUUGUGCCAGGAUUUGAGCUUAGAGAGGUCAUUCAGAGGAUUUGUGAACUUCCAGACGCCCAGGAGAUGGGCAAACCAUUGCCACACAGUUUGACGGUCAUCAACAGGGUGCUACACCAUAUAUUGUGCUCUAUCUUUCUACCACGAAGUGGACAUUGAGAUGAGGUCUCUUAUUAUGAGGCAUUCCUUAUUGACUCCAUUCUAACGGAGAGACGAAUUCAUCUACUAUGUCAUCAUUCACUAAGCCUCCUCACAGUGACAUACCACCUCAUCAGGCACCUCUUGCUCCUGACCAUGCUCCAUUGAUGGAUUUAUUUACUCAUAUUAGCUCUCUAGGCACUCGCAUGAAGGAGUUUGUUGUAGUUAGUGAUACAUGGUUCUACUCCAUAGAGGAUCGCAUGGAUCAGUAUCAGACUGGCUUCACGUCACAGUUUGAGUAUCUCCAAUAGAGGAUUGAGCAUAUUGAGGAUCACUUGAGCAUGAGAAGAUGAUGGCUUUUCUAUGCUCUGUGUUUCCACCUCCACCUCGUCAACCUUGAUUUCUUAGAGACCCAUUGUUUUCAUUUUGUAAUGUUGCCAAAAGGGGGAGAUAUUUAGGAUCUAGGACUCUAUAGGAGACUUACAUGCAUAUCAUUUUCAUAUCAUUGUUUGGAUCGUACAUAUUGGAUAGUGAUACUUUUUACUUAUAUAUGAUAUGCCUAUAUGUUUCAUGUCUUACAUUGUUUCUUAUUGCAAAUUAUCUCUAACAUGUCUUGAUUAUCUUUUUUUUAACUUCAUAAAUUUUGAUUGUUAACCCAUGAUUGGUUUGAGGGGAAGAUUCUUCUUCUCCUAGAUAACCAAGGUUUGUCAUCAUAAAAAAAUUGGAGAUUGUUAGCCCAAGGGUUCUCCUAAUCAUGUUUUGAUGAUAACAAACCAUGCUUAAGUUACUAAUUGGUUUGAAUUAUAAAGAAUUUCAAGUGUUAAUUUGAAAAUUCAUCAAAGAACCUAAUGGAUGCAAGAUCAAGAUUUUUGGAAGACCUUUAAUCAUAAGAAACAUAUGUAAGAUGAAUGCAUGGGUGCACUUAAGAUUUGCAUAUCAUUUCAUGCAUAUUUGGAAAACACGGUUUAUGCUUUAAAGUUACAUUUCCAUCAAAAUUUGAGAUCCAUCAAAUGAACCUUAGGAAAAAUGUUUUAAAAUUGGCAUAUAAUUUUACCUAAAGACCUUGCCUAAGUGUUAGAAGCAAAAGGACAAAAAAAAUAUAGGUUUUCUGGUCAAAAAUGGUGAACCAGUCAAGGCAUUGUCUAAAUCAGCUCAAUCGGCCAAGGUACCGGUCGAUCGGUUUCCCUUUCCCUGUCGAGAUCUAGUCAAGAGGUACAAAAAUCACAAUCUCUGUCUCUUUCUCUCUUUGUCUAUCUUCCAGUAGUCUUUCCUUCCCGGUCGAGGGAUUUGCCUUCCCGAUUGAGGUCCGAUUGAGAGUAAUAGUCACUUGCCAAAUAUUAAAUGCUCCAACAGUUAGUGAACUGGUCGACCCCCACCUUGCCCAGUUGAGGUUACUUUUUGGUUUUCUUGGCUCCCGAUGUUAGAAACCUAUAAAUAGAGAGUUCCACUUCAUUUAUGAGCAAGAGAACACUUGCAUUUAUUUGUUUACCUACUUGUUCUUGCCUUAAAAGCUCUCAUUUCUUUUCUUGGUGCAUUAAAUCUCCAUUUUGAUAUCCUUUAGUGCACCUUUGUGAUUCAUCUUAGCCUUGAGUUGUAUUUGAGCCCUUUUUUUAGCUAGGUUGAGAGUUUCAUACUUGUUAAUUGAGUGUUAAAGCCUUCAAGUGAGUUGAAACUUGUAGAGAUUAUGUGAGAGUCGAUUGGAGCCGAAAUCCAAGUGUAAAGGUGAUUAGAAGCUUGGUUGAAGCUUCAAGUUAGUGGAAUCCUCACUCAAUUAGGAGCUUGAGGAGAGUGGACGUAGCCAAGGAAGUGUCGAACCACUAUAAAAUUUGAGUUUGAUUUCUCUAACAUUGUCUCUUUAUAUUUGUUUAUCUUGUGCUUAAAUUUAUUGUGUUUAAAAAGAAUUUUUAAAUACCCAAUUCACCCCCCUCUUGGGUGUUUUUCUCUUUUAAAAUUAGCCUUUAUUUUCUCACAAACUAUUGUAGUAUAGUGGUUUUUAGGUGUCAUCCAUUAGGAUGAAUUGUUCUCGGUAAUUAAGGCGUGAAUGAGAGGAGAAUUAAUGAUUGUGAUUAAGUAAAAUUGAUUUGAAAAUUCAUGGUGAAAAAUCAAUUUAACAAUGGUUUCUAAUUGAGAAAAACAAUGAAAUGUGAAAUAAAAUAAAAUUAAUAGGAAAUGAAAUUCUCGAAGUUAGAAUUUUCUAAAAAACAAAUUCCAUGGUGAAUGGAUGUUGAGAUCUAAUUUUCAUCAAGUUAGAUUGAAAACCGAAAUUUUCAUAUAAACUGAUUUUUUAUUUAGUUUUAGGUCUAGAUUUAAUUUCCCUUAAAAUUAGGUUAUUUAAUCCAAGAAAUCAAUUCAAAUCAUAUAUUCAAUUCAUCUUAAAUUAUCUUCCAAUUAUUCACACAAUGCAACUAUUCAAUCUCAUCAAAUCUAGCUUUUAAGAAUUUAAUGAAUCUACCUAGUUUGCAUUGUAAUAGUCAUCCAUGACAAUUUGAAGAGAAAAAUAAUUCAAUUAAUCAAUCACUUGGAUCAAAUUACCUUUGCAAUUAAAGUUCAUUUCUCUAAUUCACCACAGAUUUUGUCUCUAGAUCCUCCUUUCUCAAAGAAAAAUGAGAUUUAGCCACACAUGAUUGGAGAUUUGGUCUCAUAAGGCAUGUUUAGCUAGUGAUAAAAUGAGAGAAAAUAAAGAAAAAUAGAGAAUUCGAUUAAGAAAGAAAAUCUAAAAAAUUCUACAAUUAGAAAUGUCCAAAAAGCUUUUUCAUGAGAAAAUCAAGUUUCUAUUUAUAGGCCAAGGUCAAGUGGACACUUGACAUCAUCUAAGAGGUCUUCCGGAAGCUUCUUCAUCAAGAAAUCUGGAGUUUAAUAAUAAAAUGGUCAUUUCACAAGAGCUCAAACAAUUUCGCAUGAUUAUGUGAAAUAAAAAAUGCAACAACAGCAAUUUACAUCUUCUUGGAGCAUUUCGCAUGACUGUGUGAAAUUUUCACAUGAUCAUGUGGAAUCGACUUGACAACUCUCAUUUAGCCUACAACAUAAUUCCACCUUUUGGUCCAUUUUUCAUAGUCAUGCGAAAUGGAAAUAUUUGAUUUUUAAGUUUUCUUUUGUCAUUUCUUUCAUUUCCUUCUCUUGAUUCCACUUCAACUACCUCCGAAUCCUGGUCCAAACCAAUUGCAUUACUUCUUUCAUUAUGCAUUUGGAUCAUCAUCAACAUUAUUUGUUCUCUUCAAUUUGAUUCAUCUCUUUUGUCACCAAUUUAUCAAAAUCAUACCUUGAAAUGACUCCAAAACUUCAUAAAACUUGUUAGUAACUCUUGCAAGGGCAACAACAUAUUAAUUAAGUGUUUUAGGCAUAGUUACUACUCAAAAGAUGCGAAACUCAUGAUAAUUAUUAUAUAAAAUAUGCUCUUUUUGAGUAGUAAUCAACUUUCUUGCAUAAGCAGACCUUUUAGGGUGGAGUACUAAAGACCAAUAUGCUUGUCCUUGUUGUAAUAAAGAAACUUGCUCUUAUUGAUUGCACCAUGGGAGAAAAUUUUGCUACAUGAGUUAUCAUCAAUUUCUUCCCACCAAUCAUAGAUUUAGACGUGACAAGAGGCCUCUUAAUGGCAAGGAGGAACUGACACUCACACUUAUACAAUUAUCGGGCAUUGAUGUGUUGCAACAAUUAGAAUAACUUACACCAAUUAUGUUGGGGAAGUCACAAAAGGCAAACAUGAAAACUAAAAGGAAAAAAGAAAAAUGUUACAUAUCACCACAACUGGAAAGAAAAAAGUAUUUACUUUCAUUUGCCAUAUUGGAAAGCACUUAUUUUACAUCAUAAUAAUUUAGACAUAAUGCAUAUUGAGAAAAAUGUGUGACAAUAUAAUUGAGACAUUGUUCAGUAUUGACGAAGAAACAAGGACAACCUAAAUAGUCAUCUCGAUUUACAAGCUCUAACUAUUAGAAAUGAGAUUCACCCAAUAGAAAGCAGGACCAAAUUUAUUUUGCUUGCAACAUGCUACUCACUCACCCCAAAUGAGAUUAAGGAAUUUUGCAAGUUUUUGAAAUCAAUAAAGGUCCCCAAUGGCUAUUCUUUCAAUAUCUCUCGUUAUGUGCAACUCAAUGAAAGGAAGAUAUAUGAGCUCAAAUUGUAUGAUUGUCAUGUCCUAAUGCAACAACUUCUCUCACUUGUAGUUCGUGGAGUUCUACAUAAGAAUGUUUGUGGAGUUAUCAUAGAAUUGCGUAAUUUUUUCAAGCAAUUGUGCUCAAAGGUGUUAGAAACAAAUCACUUACACCAACUUGAGAACAAUAUUAUUGUCAUACUAUGUAAAAUGGAGCAAAUAUUUCUUCCAUCAUUCUUUGAUAUUAUGGUGCAUUUACUUGUGCAUCUAGUAAGGCAAAGGUUGCAAGACUUGUGCAAUAUUGUUGGAUGUACCUAAUUGAACGAUAUUGUUAUAAUUUCAUAUGAAUCAUUUAAUUUUAUUUUAUAUUAUGUUCAGUUCAUUAACAUGUACAUUGGUCUACAUAUGGAUGAUGAUAGGUACCUAAGCACUUUAAAGUCAUAUGUGCGUAAUAGAACUUUUCUAGAAGGUUCUAUUGUAGAAAGGUACCUUGCAAAAGAAUGUACAACAUUUUAUUCUAGGUACUUGAAUGAUGUGGAAAUAAAGUAUAAUCACAAUGAUAGAAACUUUGUUGGUUUCAACACUAGAGGAGAUGAAAGGGGUUAUCUUUAAACAUAUUGGACAUGCAUUGGGAAAGCCCAUAUUUCAUUAACUUAGUUCAAAAGAGUGGUCACAAGCACAUUUAUAUGUGUUGACAAAUUGCGAAGAUGUCAUACCAUUCAUUGAGUAAAAAAUUUAUUUGAAUUUUAAUUAAAGCUCUAGUUUAUAUCCUUAAUCAAUGUUUUUUAAAUUCACAAGGAGCACAAGCAAACCAUCAAGGCUAGACCACAUAUACGUGUUUGAGACGUAGAUUUAAUUCAUAACAAGGAAUUUAUCAAGUGGUUUGAAAGACAUGUAAGUAUAUUCCUUAUUAUAAGGGAUUUAUUUCACAUUAUGUUUAUAUUGAAUCCAAACCUAUUAUUGAAUUGUAGGUUGAACAAUUACAUAAUGAAGGUCAUAUAUCUGAACACCUUCUCACAUUAUCAUGUGUUCCAAAUUCAUUAGUUACAUGCUUCAAAUGAUAUAUUGUCAAUGGAUUUAGAUCCCACAUUAAAGAACGUGAUAAAAAAGUUUUUAAAAAAAGACUCAGAAUAAUGGAAUUGUUGUAGUUGCAAAAACGUCAAGCUUUACAAGUGCAUGUGAUAUGAGUCCAAUUAUUAGUGAUGCUCUCUACUAUGGUGUUCUAACUAAAGUUGUUGAGUUACAUUAUCUUGGUGAAAAUAAGGUUGUUUUAUUCGAGUUUGAUUGGUGGGAUGUUACAAAUAUUGGAAAAUUGAUAAAAGAUGAUGAGUACAAUUACACAUUUGUUAACUUUGCAUGAAUUCUAACCACGAACGAACGAUUUGUACUUGCAUCUCCAGCAAAGUAAGUGUUCUAUGUGAAGAAUGCGAAUGAAUCAGAUUGGCAUACUAUCAUGGAGAUGCAACCUCAAGACCUCUAUAAGAUGAACGGGAUAGGAUCCAAUGGUGAUUUUGAACCAUUUCAACAAAGUGAACUACAUGAUCACUAAUAUAUCUCAGAUUUAGUUGAUGAAGAUAUAAUCAAGUGGAACAAAAGUGAUGUUUUAGGACUAAUCAUCCUAAAAAAUAUUGUAGUUUCUUAAAAAAAAAAUGAAAAUGAAGAAGAUAAUUGAACCUUUGUCAUACUUUAAAAAGCAACUAUGCAUUGUUCAUUUUGUAUGUUUUGGUUUUCUUCAUUUAAUUUCCUGAUUUUUGUGAUUCAAUGUCAUAUUAUUGAUCUUGAAAUAUUUUUCUAAUUUUUCAUUCUACGAUGGUUUCAACAAGGAUGACAUCAAGUCAAAAAAGGAAAUGUGGUCCCACACACAAUAUUGCAUUACAGGGAUUAAGGUCAGGGAAGAAGGUAAAAGUUGCAUUUAAUGAGUACAAUCAAUUGGUUAAACAGAAAAAUGGAAAACACUUAUCGAGCUACAUAGGGACACUUGUAUCUAACCAACACAAUGUACCUCUCCAAGCUAGUGAUUGGAAAAAUGUUCCAAAUGAUGCAAAAGAGAAAGUAUGGCCUUUGUUUUGGUAUGUUGUAUUUCUCACUAUAUGAUGUCAUUUCACUGUUAUUCUAUUUUGUGACUAACGUUUGAAUCAUAUGUAAGAAAAAUUUGAAGUAGAUAAAGACUGAAAAGAUUACAUGUUGGGUAUAGCCUCAAAUAAAUAUAGAAGCUAUAAAAAUAUGAUGAAUGCAAAAUACUAUGACCCUUGGCAUAAGGAUGCAUGAGGAGAGGUUAAUACAUAAAUCACCAUUUGUCUCUGAUGUUGAUUGGAAGUGGCUUGUCUCUGAUGCAUAAACCAAAUCCCCCACUGAAUGUUUGAUAUUUGAUAGCAGGAAAAACACACCCGCAGCUAUACACCUCCAUCAUUCAGAUAAUUAUAGUGGGGGAGAUGAUUCAUGGUUGCCCUUAUACCCUUUAUUUGCACCAUCUAUUGAGAUUCUUUAUCAUGGCCAGGUUUUACUGCAGCAAUAAGAUAUGGUGGCAACAAUUUUAUCUAUAGGUGCGGUUCCAGACCGCCUCCAUAGGUGCGGUUCCUGACUGCCUCCAUAGGUGCCUCUUCUUGUAAUGUUUGUUCUGGGAAUUACACUUGAAAGCCUUAUCGUGAUAAGGGAUUACAAACACUAGUUCAGAGGACAGCCAUGUUAAACUUCCACUAUGUUUGUGUCACAUUAUCAGCAGCCUAGUGUUUAUUGGUCAUGCUAUCUGCAACUAAUAUAACCCGGUGAACUUCAAUCUAAAUUCUGAAAGUACUCAUGUGACAGAUGGUGCCUUUCAGCAGAUAUCAUCAAUUUAAAAGUAGUGUGUGUGCCUAUAGGUGGGAAGGCCUUGGCAAAUGUUCAGUAUUCCGGUAAUUCAAGAAGGAUAUAUCUAAAAUAGAUUUUCUUCUUGCCCAUUUCAAUAGUUAAAAUUUGAGAAGAUUGUGUCCACAUCACACAAAUAUUAUUGGUCCUUCUGUUGCAAUUUACCUCUGAACAUGUCUUCCAAUUCCCACGGUCCUGUUACUCCAGGAAAACUAUUUCGGUCAUAUUGAAAAAAAAAAUAUUAAAGAAGGUACACAUGCUUUUAAGUGGACUGGGGCAUUCAUAUCAGGUGGUCUGUAUCCACAUAUGCCACUUCGUGAAAGGUGGAACAGCCUAAUCACUAGGCUAUUUAGUGUGGCCCAGCCACGUUAAUCAAGCACAAGUCUUCAUACUUAAAGUCAAAUGGUGUCUUUAGUCUCAUUACACAUCGCUAUUUGAAGAUUAACUCAUCACUAGUGUAAUGCGAUUAAGACAGUCCUAACUCAAUAUUUGUUCUAGUUUUGGAUGCAAAUGCUUGCUGGUUUCAUCAUUGGAUGGGAUAAAGGUGCAAUCAGGACUAUGAAUACGUGCAGUAAUACUUCAUUCUCUUUUUUCUCAAUGAGACUUCUUGGCACAAUUUUGCUGCUCAGCAACCUACCUUUCCAUGGAAAAUCAGUUGUGACUGAUAGUAAUGGAUAUAUUCUAGAAAGCUAAACAUAGAUAGCAUUCAAUAUUAUCGAUAUAACAUUAACAGCGUAUGUCUCAAUGCUCAUCAGCUACAAGCAAUGGACAAACACUUUGAGUAACUCACAGCAGUCAAAAUUCCUAAACAGGACAGACGUGACAGAUCUAUAUAUAGAACACUGCAUAUGAGUCACAGGAAAAGAUAAUACGGGUACAUAGAAGCUCUUAUUUUACAUAUUACUCAUACUGAUCAAAGUCGCUCAGUUGGGAUGGAUGGGAGAAGGAGGUUUGAGGGGUGGCUUGUGCGGGGAAGUUGGCAGCUUCUUUCCGGGAGCUGGUUGCUUCUUUGCUGGAGUUGAAGGAGGCUUAAUCUUCCGAGGUGGCUUGUAUGAGUCUUCAGCAUUCUCAGCAGGAGGGUGACCAGGGUUGUGACCAUAAUGUGGUGGCUUCUCUCCCUUAGGUGGUUUGCCAACUGGGGUUGGUGGCUUGUUUUCUGGGAGUGGCUUCUCUCCCUUGGGUGGUUUGCCAACUGGGGUUGGUGGCUUGUGUUCUGGGAGUGGCUUCUCCCCCUUGGGAGGUUUUUCGAAUGGGGUGGGUUUGUGUCCUGGUGGUGGCUUCUCUCCCUUGGGAGGUUUACCAAUUGGGGUCGGUGGCUUGUGUUCUGGGAGGGGCUUCUCUCCCUGGGGAGGUUUAGUGGGUGGCUUGUGUUCUGGAGGUGGCUUCUCCACCGGAGGCUUAUGCUCUGGUGGUGGCUUCUCGAAGGGGGGAUGCUCAGGGUAAUCACCAAGUGAGGGGGUGGUGAGAACCACCAUGCCAAGCAACAACACUAGCAAGUAUGUAGUAGACAUCUUUGGGUUUGGACUCAGACAGUGCAAAACUACGAGAAAUCGCUAGCCCUUUAUAGCGGCUCGGACCUAAUACUGACAUAAUAUAAAAUAAAUAUUAUAUUUUAUCAAGAGAGAACAGAGUGUAAUUUUAUCAUUAAUACCGAUCGAGGCCAAAGAAAGAAGACCCAUAAUCCAUUUCCCACAAGCAUACACAAUGCAGCUGUAAUUUUAUCAUUUACUUUUAUCCCUUGGACCACUGCAUUUUUGUUGAGAGACACAAUAACACAUUUUUAUCUGUCAUUCAACAUUUACAGUAAAGAGAGGGCACAAAACGCAAUUAGAUAAAUUAUGUUUUGCCUGCUAAAAAGAGGCAAAUAACUUUAUUUGCAACAUAAUUAUUUUGGUUUCUAGUGACCCCGGGGCCUUUCGGUUGGUUUGGGAUCGGAAAAUGAACAUCAUAGGGGGGGUUGUGCCCUUAUGGGCAUAUAUAUCUGAUAGCUUCAACUGGCCUUGUUCCUAGAAAGAAAUUGCCAAAGAUAUAAACUUAUUCCAGGCUGAAAGUAGAUGAGAGUCAUAAUGAACAUCAACCUUUGUUCAGUUUGAUUCAAUGCCCCCAUAGUGUUCAUUUCACAGAUCUGAAUGAUUAUAUCCGUUGAAUACAUAAAUUAAUGAAGACAAAUAUGAAACCCAAGAUACAUCUCUGCAUAACAACCCCAACCCUGGUUGCUAUGUUUCCCUUCUUCUAUUCACAUGAGGAUACUGGUUAUAAUUGUCAAACUUGCAACAAGCCCUUUGACACCUAACGUCAAUGGACGAAUUAAAAGUCUCCUUCAAACGUCUAUUUCACAGCAUGAAGCUUAUAAAGGAUGCUGACAACCUUCAGAGUUAGCGACAAAAGAUAAUUAUCAAGGAGAGAUAGUUCCAUGAGAAUUCCAAGGAGUCUGAAUCAAAGACAAAUUGCUCACUCAAGGGUUCUUAUUUUCUUUUAGGUACAAAUCUCUUGAGUGUUGUUAAAGAAACACGUCACUGUCAUUUUGAUUUGCAUUUAACAUUUCACUUUUGUUCUGGAAGGUUUGUUCCGGAAACAUAUCAAAUGAGCAUCAUUUUCUUCUUCGGUGACACAUGGUCGCGAGUACGUGGGUCCAUUUUCAUGCCACUUAGUUGAAAAGUUGGAAAGAAAAAACAUGCCAACAAGAAGAUAGUGAGAGAAGGGGCACUUCAAGCCUUUAACAUGAACAAACAGUAAAUAAAAGAUGUUUCUCCACUCAUAAAAGUGUGUUAGAUAGCAAUAUAACGAAUCACAUCCAAAAUCUUUACUAGGCUCAAACAUAAAGAAGACUCAUUUUUAAGAAAAGAUAAAAAUGGCAUUGUCUGAUAGUAUCCAAUACACGAGAUGGCACUUAAUUUGUACAAGAUCUGUCAAUGCUGACGCACAUUUUCUGAUUAAAAAAAAACUGAUCAGUCAAAAGCAAUGAAGAGAAGUGAUGACAAUGAAUGAUGCUUCCAAUAUUUUCACCCCUUAUAGUGUUCUUCAUGAUUCAGAUAUAUAAUUGGAAAUAGAACAACCCUAUGCCAUACAUUCGUCUAAGUAUGGUGUCUAAUUUUUUGUGUCAGCGGUUGCGAAUGGAGCGUGCAAAAGUCCAAAUUGGCGUCUCUCCAUUUCCACAUAGGAAGGUGACCUUUAUUGACAAAUACCCAAUAUUUGUAGACAUUCCUUAAAUAUCAUAACUUCUUGUUGAUUUGAAAAUCAUUUUUCAACUACCAUGUUUUAAUAAAUAUUUUUUAAAAUGUAUUUUUAUCAAAGUCCACCAUGAUGGAUAAUAUUCACCAUGCAAUAAUUAAUAAAGUACAAACUAAGCGAAAUGAAAAGCAUUUUCUUUGCUUUGAGUUGAUUUUGGUUGCAUUGAGUUGAUUUUGGUUUCAUGGUUUUUUCAACUCUUAUUUUGAUUGGAAGAUGUCAAGAAAAGAAAACAUAAAGAAAAAUUAAAAGGGAAAAAAGAAGAAAAAUAAAAAAAAAUAGAUUUAAAAGUUAAUAAAUUAUUUUUUAUAUUUAUUUUAAUUCAUUUCACUUAUUUUUCUUUUACUAUAUAAAAUUUAAAUAAUUUAAAUUUUAUAAUUAAUUUAAUUACAUUUCAUUUUCUUCUAUAUUUAAAUAUUGGAAAAAUAUUUUACUUAAUAUUUUUUUCUUUAAUUUCUUUGGCAUUUUGGGAACCAAACUUAGCCUUUAAAAUAAAAAACAAAAAAAAAAUGAAAAUAAGGAGGGAAAAGUGAGAAAAGAUAAAAACAAUAUGUAAAGGAUUUGAAAAGUAUUAGUUUGUAAUUACUAUUUGGAUUUCAAUAGUAUUUUAUUUGUCUUUCUAUAUUUCAUGUAAGAGAGAAUUUAAGAUAUUCCCCAAGGCAAAGCAUUAGUUACCUGCAAUCAGUGGUGAUAAGGCUCCAAGCCAAUUUUGGGCCCCAUAUCUUAAGACAGUACAAUUUCCAUUUCAACAUUUCUGAUUUCUCAGAUGUUUCACAUACCACAGAAGAACAUUGUUUGUGAAAAUAUGCAUUUAUGUUGGAUUUUGUAUGCUGUGGGGACUGGGGCAAGGAUCAUAUGGAAGAGUGGUUGACUUUUUCUGUACUUUAACGGUUGAAAUAGGAUAAGCACGGGCAUUUGUGAGGCUUAAUUGAUUUUGAAGCCUGAAAUUGCGUUUCUGUCAUUUUGUCAAAAAAAUGGCAGAUUCCAUACUCAUAUGUUUGGCCUGUGGCCAUGUACAGAUGCCAUUUAGUGACCAGUUUGUAACUGUCAAUCGUUGCGUUUUGACUCUGCCUCAACAACAUCUGCCAUUGACGGGUUUUCAUACUUGCAAAUCAAAUAGUCUUUCGUCCCAUCAGGAAUUUCGGUUUAAAUAUUAUUAAGCAUACGUUUGGCUGACAAUCAUUAUCCAGUUCAUGAUUUGGUUUCUUACCCUUAAUCAAUGGUUUCUAAGUGAAUAUAUGUAGAAGGAAAUCCGAAGUGUAGACAGUAGUAUCGAUAACUCUCAAUAUUCUCUAUAUAAUAGAAUAAACAGCGUCAUAGUGAUCGUCGCCUACAAGCAAGGUACAAAUACCAAAACGAGUGACUCACAUAGACAUCUCCCAACAAGAUGUAGUAGUGACUGACACAUGGACACAAUUAACUCGUAGAAAAGGAUAAGACCAUUGCACAGCAGCUCUUAUUUUACAUACUACUUAUGCUAACCAAAGUCAAUUAGUUGGGAUGGGUGGGAGAUGGAGGUUUGUGCGGUGGCUUGUGGGGCGGAGUUGAUGGCUUCUUUCCAGGAGCUUCUGGCUUUUUCAUCGGAGCUGAAGGAGGCUCAAUCUUAUGAGGCGGCUUGUAUGAGUCUUCUUUACUCUCGACAGGAGGGUGGCCAGGGUUGUGAUCAUAAUGUGGUGGCUUCUCUCCCUUAGGUGGCUUGCCAACUGGGGUUGGUGGCUUGUGUUCAGGAAGUGGUUUCUCUCCCAUGGGAGGUUUAGCAAUUGGGGUUGGUGGCUUGUGUUCUGGGAGUGGCUUCUCUCCCUUGGGAGGUUUAGUAGGUGACUUGUGUUCUGGAGGUGGCUUCUCCACCGGAGGCUUGUGCUCCGGUGGUGGCUUCUUGGUUGGAGGGGGCUUGGGGUAAUCAGCAAGAGAUGGGGUGGUGAGAACCACCAGUCCAAGGAACAACACUAGCAAGUAUGUGGGAGACAUUUUUGAGUUUGGGCUGAUCAGAUGAUGCAAAACUAAAGCAUUACGUGACCUUUUAUAGCAUGUAGCUCCCAAUACCCACUAAGUAUUGUGGGGUCCAUUUGUGCCCUACGGGGUUGAAAACUUAGACAAUUGGGCAAGGACCCACCUGACUAUGGAGGACUAGUGAGGUGUGAUCAUAGCUUUAGGAUUUUUCUUCCUCUGCAGCCGUCGUGCCGUUGGCAUGAUUUUCUUAAUCUUAAAUAAAGGCAUAGUUAUAGAGUUGUUUAAUCUCUAAAUGGGAUUUUAUAUAUAUCUUCAGAUAGCCAUUAAUAUAUUUGAUGAAGAAAGAAAGACAAGUGCAUACAACAUGUAUACGACUAGCUUUCAUGGAGUUCAUUUAUGAUCAGUUUUCCUGUACAUGUAAACCAGGAUCAUAUAUAUGUUUCUGUUCCACAACUAUUUUGGAAUCUUGUUUAUCAGUUUUUAUCAUUAUAAUGUCACAUAGGCUGCCAACUUGGGCGCUAAAAGAACCAGUUGGGCUAGUUCGUUUCAGAAUUUCAAUGUGGAUUCAGGAAUUGUUUUGUAAGAUAUGCGAAAUAGUAGAGGGAUGAAUAGUGUUUCAUUAAUAAAAGUGUCCUGUAAAUUAGAAGGUGUCAUAGAAACUAUAAUCAAUAAAUAACUUUUUUUCCCCACGGGUGGUGUUUCUUGUGGGGAUCAGUGACUGGUUUAGGUUCACCCAAAAUGAGUUCAGACUAAAAUUGGUUUGAGUCAAUGCCGUGUCUCUUUUUUCCAGAAAUCAACUAUUUUAUGCAUUGAAUAAAUCAUACAAAGAAAAUAUGAACGCCCGCAAAACCUAAACCCUGGUUGCUAACUUUCUAUGUUUCAGUUCUAUUCACGCAAGAAUAUUAGUUUAAGUUUGGGAAAAAUGGCAACUUACCUAGUGAUUACUUGGUUUUGGUUUGCGACUAUUUACGCAACCAACCAUGAGUUUGACUUUAACGUCAUGGGUUGAAGCCUCCUACAGGAAGGGAGAAAGCUCCACAGCUAGCUCCAAAAGAGAAUUAUCACAUUGAUAGCUCCAGAGAUUCCCAAGGGGACUGAAUCAAAGACAAGUUCCUCACUUUUUCUUCUUUUGAGGCCAAAUAUGAACCAAGGAUCACACAACCUCAUUCAACUUCAUAAGUUUGAUUUCAUGCAGUUGAACACUGGGUGAAGGCCAUGACAAGAAUUGAUUCAAAAAUUCUAUCACUCUUUUAAGUAAUGGAAGAUUAUUAUCUCUGAUUGGCAUCACAACAGCACAUGCUCCUAGAUCUUUCUAGACACUCCAUGCAAUGAAAGCACAAUGGAUCUUGUAACGAUAGAAACUAAGCCAUGCUACAGUACUAGAUGAUGAGGUAAAACUAGUAGACACGGGUGGCAGCCUAUAUGGGAGGGACACAAGUCUAAUUGAUUUGCAUUUCAGCAUUAUAGAUAGGUAUGUUUUGGAAGAUUUGUUCUGGAAAUACCGCACCAAGUAGGAUUCUUUUUCUCUUUAGUGGGUCCACUUGCAUGCCAAUUAACGAGUUGAAAAGUAUGAGCACCUACCUCGUGCUCGUGGAACCGAAGGUCAGUGAAGUGGGGCUCCUUUUGGCCUCGUGUAAACUUGAUUCAGAAGUGAAGUUAAUAGUCUUCCAUUCAGAUGGAUACAUGGGAAUUUUUCUCUUUUAUUUAUUUAUUUAUUUUUUUUUUGUGUGUGUAUGUCAAAGGAUAAUGAAUGAAGCGCGUUAGCUUGUUUUCUGACUGGAACCGCAGAUGUCCAAAUUGGAGUUCCUUCAUUUCUUACUUAGGAUUGUUACAUGUAUAAACAAGGUAUAAGAAAUAUGCCAACGUGUCUUGAGGAGUUAUUGAUUAGAAAUAACAAGUCACCCGACUGUAGAGUUCCAAGAUUUGAAUCUUCAGACCCUAUAGCAGCCUCUGGGGUACGUGGCAUCCUAUAGCAUAUUAAUGAAGGCUUUUUCGAUUUAGACUUCACAAUACCAAUUAAUAUGUAUGCACAAAAUGGAGAUGACCCCAAAAAAAACAGAAUCGCCAUAGUUUAUGAGGUUAAGGUGAUUCUCCACUUAAUAUCUACAUUAGCUAAUUAUGUAAAUCAAAUGAACUUCUAUUUUUCCUUUUUUUUUUUGGUUUAUGUCAAAUAGUAGCCCAUAAUUAACCCAACCAUUAGCCUGUUUGAAUUGAUUUCACAUGCACAAUGUUGUAGUAGUUCAUAUUUUGAAUUUUAUUUUUACAAAGGUAGUUAAGGAAAAUGAAGUAUAAUAAUUAUAAAAGCAGACUAUAUACACUACAAUAAUUGUUAGAAUGGUAUCUCAAAUUCUAAUUUAAAAUAUUAUUUUUUGUAAAAGAAAUAUUAUAUAGAAUAUUUCCUAAUUUUAUAAAUGAUUAUAAUUAGAUCUUUAUAAAAUAAGGAAAGUUGGUAAGAAUAUCUUUAUAAAUAUUUUAGGUCAUGAGAGAAAGAAAUGGGAUAAAAAUGUGAUGAAGAGGUGAAAUAAGAGAGUUGAUUAGGAUAUAGAUGUGAAGAAGAAAGGGAUUCAAUAUAUAUAUAUCUUUCAAUUACCACAUUAAAACCCUGUGAACCUUUUAUAUGGUUUACUUUAUUUUUAUAUUCCUCCUUUAAUAUAUUUACAUUAAUGCUUCCAUUGGCACAACAAUAACGAAUUACAAAUACAAGCAACAAGUCCCAUGUUUUAUUACCAAAAGCAGGUAAAAUCCACCUAAUAUAUUACAAUAUAUUCAUCCAAUAUUUUAGACCAAUUCUUCACCAUAAAUAUCAUAAUGUGGCUUUUGUUCUUUCUUAAAUUUAAAUUGAAUUGUCUUAUAUCAAUUUGUUUGUGAUUUUUUCAUUAACUUCACUUUCAUUUGGUUAUCUUUGGUUUUUGAAAAGUAUUAAGGAAUUAAUUAACAAAAUAAUGUUAAGAAAAAUAAUUUUCUCUCUUUUGAUUUUGAUUUUGUAGUAGAAAAAUAUAAUUAAAAUUAUUUAAAAAGUAUGUAAUUUUAAAUUAUUUAAUAUUUAGAUAAAAAAAAUAAGUCUAAUGAGUUUAAAAUAACAUAUAAAAAUAAUUUAUUUAUUUUAAAUUUAUUUUUUAUUUUCCAUUAUGUUCUCUUUCUCUUUUACUUUUUCAUAUUUUUUCUUACGAAGAAUCAAACACAACCUCAUAUUAUAUGUCAAGUGUUUGUCUAUAUUUGAGCAAUGUUAGAUACGGCCAUGGAUUCAUCAAACUAAACUGAUUUUAAUAGAUACUUCACAAAUUGAUUUAUACACUAAAUCAUUGGAUAGCAAUGAUGCAUUGGAAUUAAACGUAGGAUGAAGCUCGAAGAACACUGUUUGUGUAACAACAUAUUUAUGAAAUUAUGCAAAGGAUGAGCUUCGGGGUAGUAGUACAAGGUCAUUAAUGGAGAGCCGUGUUAAACCUUGAUUGUGAUUGGAUUCCGUUAUCAGCAACAGCAACCUUGUUUGUAACCUUGAAAGUCAUUCUGUCCACAUCGAAACUCCAAUUUGACGUUUGUAAUUACCAUUCCUGGAGUGUUCCUUGAUUGAAAUUUAAAUAAUAAUUGCGGCCCACAAGGAAUAUUUUCGAUUCUGUGGGAAUUUGACAAGGUUUGUUAGAGAAGACUGGUGACAUGUUGACUUCAAUGGUUCAAAUAGGAGACGUAUGUGGAUUUGGGGGGUUUAAUUGAAACUGAGUCCCUAUGGCUUUUUAAUAUUUGCAUUGAGCAGUCUCCAUGUGACUUCCUAAUUCCCACCAACCCUCCUGUCCAUGCUGUGAAACUAAAUUGUAAUUUAUCAGCCUUUGUCAAUGGUUUCUAAAUUAAAGAUAUAGACCAUGCAUGUACUUUAAUAAAAGCAAAUCUAAAGUGUAGAUAGCAGCAAUGGUGACACCCAAUAUUCUCCAUAAAAUAGAAUUAGAAUAAGCAGUGUUACAUUGUUCAUGAUCACCUACAAGCAUACAAGAACUUCCAUGAAUAACUCAUAGCAAUUGCCAACAGGGCGUCGUAGAGACUCAUACAUAGAACACUAUCCACCCAGAGGAAAGGACAAGACCAGUGCGCUGCAGCUCUUAUUUUUCACAUGUAUACCACCACUCGUAAUAACCAAAUUCACUCAGUUGGGAUAGGUGGGAGAUGGUGGUUUGUGGGGUGGCUUGUGGGGAGGAGUUGGAGGAGGCUUUAUUUUCUGAGGCGGCUUGUAUGAGUGUGCAGGAGGAUGCCCGGGAGUGUGACCAUAAUGUGGUGGCUUCUCUCCCGUAGGUGGUUUGCCAAAUGGGCUUGGUGGCUUCUCUCCCUUAGGAGGUUUACCAAUUGGGGUUGGUGGCUUGUGUUCUGGGAGUGGUUUCUCUCCCUUGGUAGGUUUGCCAAUUGGGGUUGGCGGCUUAUGUUCUGGGAGUGGCUUCUCUCCCUUGGGAGGUUUGCUAAUUGGGGUUGGCGGCUUAUGUUCUGGGGGCGGCUUCUCUCCCUUGGGAGGUUUGCCAAUUGGAGUUGGCGGCUUAUGUUCUGGGAGUGGCUUUUCUCCCUUGGGAGGCUUGCCAAUUGGGGUUGGCGGCUUAUGUUCUGGGGGUGGCUUCUCUCCUUUAGGAGGUUUGCCAAUUGGAGUCGGCGGCUUAUGUUCUGGAAGUGGCUUUUUUCCCUUGGGAGGUUUGCCAAUUGGGGUUGGCGGCUUAUGUUCUGGGGGUGGCUUCUCUCCCUUGGGAGGUUUGCCAAUUGGAGUCGGCGGCUUAUGUUCUGGGAGUGGCUUCUCUCCCUUGGGAGGUUUUGUUGGUGGCUUGUGUUCUGGAGAUGGCUUCUCCCCUGGAGGCUUGUGCUCCGGAGGUGGCUUCUGAAAUGGCGGGGGCUUGGGGUAAUGAGCAAGAGAUGGAGUACUGGUGAGAACCACCAUUCCAAGCAACAAUACUAGCAAGCAUGUGGGAGACAUCUUUGAGUAGUUGUAGCUAAGAUGGCGCAACACUGUAGGCAUUGGGUGGCCUUUUAUAAAGGGCUGGACCCAACAGCCAUAUGACACGUGUCAUGAUGACAAAUGAAGUUGAGGGGAUCCAGAUGGGUCCUACUGAGUCGAAAA